rnacentral:lncRNA from 1 species
CAUCUAUGUUUAAAAAAUGCCAUGAUAGGGGUUCAAGUACAAAGAGUAGGAAAAUAAAAAAGUUGGAUUUAAAUUAUUCCAGCUAGAAAAACAAUUCAUAAUGCUCCCAAGUGAAAUUUUAUUUCCAAACAUUAUUCUUCGUCAUUUUCUCGCUACAAUUAUCUGAUGCAUUCGCAGUGACCAUCAUGGCAGGUCCCACCUCCGUAACCAUCUCUGUUGCAGAUAUCAUUACAAGAUGAAGUUCAUGGUGCCCCUCGACACCAAUGUUAGCUUCCUUUCCUACAACAAUAAAAAAUAAAAGGUGCCAUCAGAACCUUUUGUUGUUCAUAUGUAAACUAGGAUUCUAUGAAAUCAAUGUACUAUGCAAAUAGUAGGACAGCAGUGGAGUGCUAAUACAAACACAGGAAGAAGAAUUACUGGCUGGUAUAUAACUAUUAUGUACUAUGGAAACCAUACGUACCACGACAAAAUUGUAAUGGUGAUCAGAACAUCACAAGGAAAACACCUCUAUCAUUUCCAUGCCAUUGUUAAAUAACACUAGGUUUAAACUACUAUGAGGCAUGAUAACUUUCAAAUAAGGGGAUGAGCGCAACGCACAAGUUUGCACUACAAGGAAAAAUAGUUAUAUAUAUAUUGCGAGUAUGAGGAAAAAGAUACUUGCCUAUCUUAACUAAACACCUCACUCUAUUAGGCAUGGUUGAAACACUUUUCUCUUGCAAAAAUACUGGCAUAUAUUAACUUGAACGAUCAAACUUCAUAAGAAACAUUCAUCUCAUUGGCAACAGAGAAUGAUGUAAUAGGAUCAAUUUUUUAUCUAGCUCUAGGAAACCACAAAUUCAUAUAUACUAUAGUUGAUAAGCUCUGGUAAAUAGAAAUGUACAUAUCUUCCUCCCUGACGCUUCCUCGACAAUAAAGUGGUUGAAACCAUCAAAAGUGCCAUCAAGCAUAGAACACCAGUGUUGAUCCGGAUUAGAGCCUUAACAAAAUUGUUUAGCAUUCUCUUCUUCUAUGUCCUUUUGGUUGUAGACUUGUACUACAUUGCUGGUUCCUUCUGCUAUUCAUAUAGAGGCAUGGCCAAUUCUUGGAGUAUCAAUGUUUGCCACUUUAUUCAUUCCUUCUUUUGUGUGUUUCCUUUUUACAAUUCGUCGUAAUUAAUAAGUAUCCUCAGAAAAUUCUUUGACUACUUCUCCAUCCUUGAAAAUUUUAAACAGAUGACAGUAUGUAAUGCUGGAAAGGGAGACACUAUUGCCUUAUGGUCAGACAAAUGGGCUGAUGAUAUCCUAGAGAACACUAUGCCUCACCUUCACUCUUAUGUUAAGAACAAGCAUAUUACUCUUGCUGAAGCAACAAAUUUGGAUGUUGAUAGCUUCUAUGAUAUGUUCUAUCUCCCUAGGUCUUCUAUAGCUAUCCAGCAGAGUAAUGUUGUAAGAGAGUUGAUUAACAAUAAAGCUGGAAUUCAAUCUGCUGACAUAUGGCAGUUCUAUUGGGGUGGCACAAAGUAUUCAAAUAAAAGGAUUUAUAUGGAAUAUAUUGGUAAUCCACCCGAUGCUCCCAAGCAUUUUCAUUGUACAUGGAAAUCUUGCUCCCUCCCUAAAAAAAAUUCUUCUUCUGGUUGCUUCUACAAGACGGACUCCAUACCAGGGAUCUCCUUAUGAGGAAGAGUUUCCAUAUUGAAAGCAGCAGAUGUGUCCUACAUGAUGAUGAUCCCAAUGAGCAUUUCACCCACUUAUCUUUCAGCUAUGAUUUUAGUCACAAUUUCUGGUUAUUUAUUGGAUUCCAAUGGAACACUGACCUAAAUAUGAUGGAGAUGCUUGUGCAAGGGAAGAAGCAUAACAACAUUUGUUGCUUUAAUGAAUGCCUAGUUGCAGGUUGCUGGAGCAUUUGGAAGCACAGAAAUGGCAUCAUAUUUGACCAUCAGGCUAGAAAUAUCAAUCAAUGUAUUGCUAUUUUCAAGGAGCACUCUGUCAUGAUCAUCAAAAAAGCUAGGCCUAGUUUGAAAGAAGGAAUGCAAUCUACAUAUUAAUAGAAAAUGAGUUACAGUGGGGGCCUUCCCCACUGUGUGUUGCUCAAAAAAAUAAGGAUCCUCGGAUGAUACGCACAUUAUCGGUGUUCUGGGAACGGGGGUCCCCAGACAUGCCUGCCUGCGGCCCACGGCGUGGCUCUGCGAGUGGGCCUGUAUGGCCCAUCUUCACUAGCAAGGACUCAAGACUCUCGCGAGGGGCCAAACCUCUCGAGGCAAGCGACAGAAGACCUCCUUAGGAGCGGCUUCACAAGGCUGGCUCGAGAGGGACGGAGAGUUCAAGGCCAGGAGAACCUCGCGAGGUUCUAGUGACGUGAGCCAUGACGACCAAGGCCAGGCGGGCGCCAGGCGGGCACCAGCGCACAAUGUCCUUGUUUCCCCUUCGGUCGUAAGGAAGCAGGGGUAUGUGCGGAGUACCGAGGCUUCAAGAAAAGGUUCCCAUAUUAGUGCAACAAGACCAAGACCAGAAGGAUGACAAGAUAGAGGUCACCGUGGAGCCCAAGACAGCGUCACCACCAGAGCCUUUGGCAGGCGAAUACUACUUUUGUCAGGAUAAGUUGUACUAGCUGUCCCCUUUCAAAUUGGCCGAGGUUGGCUCCCUUCUCUCUCAAUAUUUGGGAGGAGGACUAGGGCCUCUAUAAAUAUGACUAGCCACCGCCAUAGCUAGGGGGAGGAUCGAUCAAUCGGUUCGGCCAAGAGAGACCAGGACAUCCACAAGUUCACCGAGCACAAGAACACCUCUCCUCGGGAGGCUGUUCUUCCCCUUGUACUAUUCAUCCUCAUCCCAAGAGGCAAUCCACCACACCACACUAGAGUAGGGUAUUACAGCACAAUGGCGGCCCGAACCAGUAUAAAUCUUGUGUCCUUUGUGUUGCGAGUUCGUCGAGUUAGUUCGUAAGAUCUUAGCUGAGGUAGGACGUGGAUCAGUAGGGGGGAGAUCUUCGCGCGCACCCCAGUGUUCGAACCUUGACGGUUUUGCCGGAACCCGUGAUCCGACAUUUGGCGCGUCAGGUAGGGGUGCCCCGAAGCUUCUCUCCCACCGGUCGACUCCCCCAUGCUUUGCGGUUCUGAUGUCCGGCGACUCAAAGACCAACGCCAACCGCUGGGCAGCCUGGCCGGCCCGGGCGGCGCCGCCUGCCCAGGAAGACCUCAACCCUGCAAUCCAAGCAGCACGAGCGCCACCAGACUCUGCGGGGCGCGGGCGGCGUGGCCAGGCGCCGUCCACCCUCAAUCCACGACAGGUGCGGGCUGCUGCAAGGGCCGCAAGCCAUGCCGCAGCAACGACACCGCACACCCGGAGGGAGCAAGCAAACAUGCGAGCUGCACUCAUGGUGGCACGGGAGCUACUACGAUGCCGUCUUAUGGAGAGUAGCCGGGAUGCAUUGCUGGAGUGCGUCACCGAGCUACUGGACGCCGCAGAUUCAGGAGUGCCGCCCUUCUGUUCUCUGCUCACGCCACGAGCUGCGGCCGGGUCGCAUUGCGGGCCACGCCGCACCCGCGUGCCUACACGUGCACCACCAGGCUUCAUCGGCACUGGCGCGACCAACGGGGCUGCACGCCCCCUCGCGCCCGCGCCACCUCUGUAGGGUGCGGGCGCGAGCGCUGCCACGUAUGGUCCGAGCGGGAUGCAGCCCUAUCAUCCUCAAGGUGGCACGCUGGGUCGGGCGACGUGGAGUGUGGGGCACUACGGCGAGGUCUUUGAGGCGGCAGCCUUGGAGGCCUACGUACCCCGCAUGGUGGACCAGGAGUACGUGCUGGAAGACAACCCUGGCUCGCUCCUCGAGCCUGGCUGGGAGGAGGAGGCGCUCGAACCUGGCGCCUUUCAGGACCCCUCCGGGAGCCUCGCCAACAGCACUGACGACAAUUGCUAUAGGGUACCACUAAUUCCUCAGGAGCAGGCUUACGCUAACCAUGGUGCGCAGGGGGUCAGGUCGCAGCAGUAGAUGGCCGUCCCGGCUCGUCGGCCUCCCUCCCGCCAGGGGGCAUGCUGGGGGUUGCAGGAAGGAAGCCAAGGCGAAGCCCCUCCUCAGCGCCGCACGGAAGAAGGCGUCCCUCGGAGGUAGGCCCUCUAUCGGGGAUGUGCUCCAGAGCCUACCCCCGGCAGAGGACCCGUGGUCGCCGAGGGCGCCGCUGGCAUCCCCUCUGCCAUCGUUGGUGCUGUCCUGGUCUCCGGUCAUCCCAACGGUGGUAGGGGGCGGCGCAAGACGGGGCCCUCGUCUGGGGAUAUGAAGUAAGGCUCACGCCUGUGAAGAUCGCCGCCCGUGACACUCUCACGUAAUAACGAGUGGGGCUGUACACGCCCCGGAGUCUCAGGAGUGCCACCCUCGGGCCUCGGGGGCUCCCUCCCACGUCCUAGUGACAGCACUUAGCUCCGCGCUGGUGAGAAGACAUGAAGACCAGAAGACUAGACUAGGUGCUGGACGCGGCCAUUUGCUUUGGAUCCCCUUUUCUGUAGCCUUGCCUUCUGGAUUUGGAUUUAAGUUGGAGUUGAGUUUUCAUUUGAUGCGUGCACGGGGUGCCUUUUCUCGUUCGAGCGAUUUCUUGCUGUCUGGUUCUUGCCUUAUACCGAAGUUCGCGCCUGCUGCUUCCCCCUCACGGGCCCCUCGCGAGCGGGGCUGAGCAAGACGUACACGCGCCACGCACGUGCCGCGCCUUGGCUAGCGCUCGCUUACCACGCGCCCGCCUCGGGUGUCUUGAUGAGUUCCUCCAGAGCGUCCAACCUCACGAGCCGGUUUAGGUUCGCCCAGGCUAAGUUAAACUGCAACGACAACUUUGCCCCAGGGCACGUGGGUCCACAAAGAUACAUAUUCAACUCAACCUAACAAGAUAAAGGAAGUAGCACAUUUACAAGAGGGGCUUCCCCCAGAUCGCCCUUAGACGCGUAGCUGGCAUCGCUGCCAGCACCGAUGGCAUCACCAUCACCUCCACCAGCGCCGCCAUCCCCGUCAUCGACCACGUCACCCGCGUCCGCCUCGACCACCACACCAUCGUCGUCGGAAGUGAAGGACCUAACCUUCAUGUCCACAUUAUCUUCCACCCAUCGCGACAGGUUGCCCCGGAUGGCCUCGGGUAUGGGAGCGAUGGAGGCAUCAAAGUCAAAGUUGGGGUCGGCGUUCUGGAGGUGGCUGAUGACUCGGCAGAACGCACGUCCUAGCAGGCCACGGCUCCUCUCCUCGACAAAUUGGUGAGCCCUCUCUUAAUGGCUCUCCAGGCGCGUCACCACGUCGGCAAAGAAGCGGAGGUGGCUGGUGUAGUCGUUCGCAUGGGGAUGAGGAGCAUUCUCAUAGCAGAUAUGGCGCAGGACGGUGUUGGCCCUGUUACUGAGGUCCUGGAGCAUGGAGGCAUGCACGCGCUCCAACGUCCGCCGCUGAAGCACUUCUUCCUUGUUCUGCCAUGCGACGGACUCGGCGUUGGCGACCCGCUGCCGGAGAGGGAGCAGCUCGGUGCGGGCGGCAGCCAGCUCAGCCUGCGCCGAGGCCAGGGCGGUCACCGUGGCCUCCUCACGCCGCUCCACCGCGACCAACCUGAACUUGAGGGCAACUGUCCUACUAGCGGCCCUAGCGUCCACGAGCUGCAGCUUCAGGUCAUACCUGCUCUGGAGAUCAGCGCGAGCCUCGGCCAGCCGGCGAUCGACCUCCUCCUGGGCCCUGGCCUCGCACGCACCGACAUCAUCCUCCGCCUGAGCAACCUCGCGCUCCCUCGUCUCCAGCCAUUCGAGCUCAAGGCUGCGCUCCACGGCUUCCAGCGCCAGCGCCUCCUCACGCUUCCGGAUCUCUUCCUCCUCGGCGGGCGUCCCCCUCAAUGAUGCAAGGGCAUCCCUGUGUGCCUCCACUUGCUGAUCCAAUACGGCACUCCAGGCUUGGAGCACCCACGCGCGCUUCUCUGCGUCCUCGCAAUGACGGUUAGCUUCCCGAUCCUCUUCCAGAGCUCGGGAGCAGGCCUCACGGGAGGCUGCGAGGGAAGCCUCAGCCUUUGCAUUACCAAACUCAUGUUGGUGGCGCCCGAGGUUGAUGGCCACCUUCAACUUAUGCCGCUCCUCCACCAGCCGAAGACCCUCGGCCACGAGGCGCGCGUCCACAUCCACGAGCUCUUCACCAACCUGGUUCAUCGCGUCCAUCGCCUCCUGAAAGAGCUCGUGGCGAUCGACACUCCUUUCUCACGCCGACCCGAGCAUGCUGCUGACUUCAUCCUCCACCGCAGGGACCGCAGAUGCGGCCUGGAGAGGCUCGCCCCUCUCAGCAGUGGGCUAGGGGCUAGCAUCCACCCAUUUGUGGGACGGGCCUCGCACGGGGCCCGAACGAGUGAAGGCCCGCUGCUUGAAAAAGACCCCAGGAUCAAAGCCAACUAGUCGCCUCCCACGACCAGGAGAGGAACCCUUGGCACACUUGCUGCGCUCCGAGCAAGGCCGCGAAGAAAAUACGGCAAAGGCGCGAACACGAGACACCAUGUUGACGUGCCGGCUUCCCCGUUGACUUGACACCAUGAGUAGAGCACGGGAUUGAAGCGCUCGAUCCUGGCACGAGAAGCGAGGCGAGAGGAGGCUGCUCCUCAGGAGAUCUUGCGACCUUGGCGGAAGGAAUCCAGAGAAAAUAUCAUCAGGAAGGGGAACAACACGCGGAGAAUCACCAGGAUAAGGUACUUACUUGUCAACGGUGAUGUACUUCCUCCGCUUUAACGGCCCGAAGGUGCCGCUGCUUAGGGACCCUUUCCUCUUGCGGAGCUCUUCGAAGUCCACGCAGAACCGACUGAAGCACUGGACGUGGCGGCCAACACGAGGCGCAACAGGAGAAGCACCCAAAGGGGCAGUCUCAGGAGCGCCAAGCCGAGGGGAGCCAUCAUGCCCUGCCUUGUAGCGACCUGUCAAGGUCUCAGGAGCCCCGGCCUCCGGAGAUGUGGGUUGCAUCGCCUCCUCAACCACCGCCCCGGGGCAAGAGUCGUGAGUUCCUAAGGACCAUGCCUCAGGAGCCCUAGGCGGCAUUAGCAUCUCGGCACCUUCGCCAUCAGCCCUCAGCGGUGCUCGCCCCCCUGCAUCCACACUUGGGGAGAGAUCGAUGCCAGCAGCAGGAAGAGGAACCAUGACGAUGGGGUUCUCACAAGGCCCCACGAGGCCGACUAGAUGCAGCCCCCACUCAUCAAAGGCAGGCAUCUGCUCCGCGAAUGUUGCCUUGUUCAAGCAGCGGUACAGAAGGCAACUGUUCCUUGGCAUGUCAUCAAGUAGCGGGACACCCGUCGGGACCUCGAGCACCGUUCCCCGCGCCUCGAGAGUUAGCCCGGAUACCUAAAGUCUCAUAUGGUCCUUGCUGCUGAGUAAGCCCACAUCAGUUGAGAGUGGCGCUGAAGCGGGGCGAUCCGGCGCCGGAUGAACUCCUUCACCACCAUAGGCGCAGUCACAUCAAGGUCCUUGAGCCACCUCAGCCUGAGCCAGACAGGGGCAAGGCGCGGAUCGAUAAGCCUUUGAUGCCUCCAACCAGAGCUAGAAAUGGCGGGCGCUGAUGGAGAAGAGAGCAGGGGGCUGAGGACUCCAACAUCAACAAAUACCCAGCAUGUCCGAAACCCGCUCGUGGAUGGUGGGAGCUCGGAGUCAAUCCCCGUGCCGGCUGUCGCCACCACGGCCUAAAAGCUCAGGCAUCCUGAGCUCUGUUGGGGAUCAACCAGGUGCAGCGAAAAGAAGUGGCGAAGAAAGGCCACUGAAGGGGUAAUGCCUAUCAUGGCCUCGCAAACAAAAGCUAAGACGGCAAGAAGGGUCACUGAUUGAGGGUCAAGGUGCAGCAUAUGGAUCUGAUAAUGCGCAAGCACAACAUUGAAGAAGGUAGAGAAAGGAGGGACCAAGCCGGCCCAAAGGGCGUCGAUAAAGAAGGGGACCUUAGUCGCCGCCCGGUCAAUGCGAGCGCGAGACGCAGGCCAAGCCACCAUCUUUCCCCACUCAUUGAAGCUGGAGGCGAGCACGGGACGCACCAUGCCCAUAGCCUCAUCGUUGAGCACCAGCGAUCGACCGACUGCGGUCUCGGCGGCCGGGGGCGCACUAGACGAAGACAGAGGCUUCUUCCCCUUAUCUGCUUGCAUCGGCGCCAUGGCGAUGGAGUGUGUAGAGCUAAGGAAUUGGAGGGGAAUGGCGCAGGCGAUGGAAAAAUAACCAUGUAGAACACGGUGGCCGUCUAGCCAGGCGGGUAUCAAGGCAGCGUGUGGAAGCGGAGGCGCCCACGUCCAAUCAACCGCCAUGCGUCGACCAAGGCCGCAUGCUAUUGGGGUCCACGACGCUCCACACUUGGCCUUUGGUUAGCCUCGAAGCCAAGCCCGAGCGCUCCUUGGGCCCGGGGACUACUGUCGGUGUUCUGGGAACGGGGGUCCCCAGACUUGCCGACUUGUGGCCCAUGGUGUGGCUCUGCGAGCGGGCCCAUACGACCCAUCUUCAUCGGCAAGGACUCAAGAACCUCACGAGGGGCCAUGCCUCGCAAGGCGAGCGACACAAGACCUCCUCAGGAGCGGCCUCACCAGGCUGGCUCGCGAGGGGUGGAGAGUUCAAGGCUAAACGAACCUCGCGAGGUUCUAGUGACGUGAGACAUGACGACCAAGGCCAGGCGGGCGCCAACACGCACAGUGUCCUUGUUUCCCCUUCAGUACUAAGGAAGGAGGCGUAGGCACGGAUUACCGAGGCGUUAAGCAAAGGUUUCCAUAUUAGUGCAACAAGACCAAGACCAGAAGGACGGCAAGACGGAGGUCACCAUGGAGCCCAAGACAGCGUCACCACCAGAGCCUUUGGCAAGCGAAGACUACUUUUGUCAGGAUAAGCUGUACUAGCUGUCCCCUUUCAAAUUGGCCGCUCCCUUCCCGCUCAAUAUUUGGGAGGAGGACCAGGGCCUCUAUAAAUAGGACUAGCCACCGCCGUAGCUAGGGGGAGGAUCGAUCGGUCUGGCCAAGAGAGACCAGGACAACCACAAGUUCACCGAGCACAAGAGCACCUCUCCUCAUGAGGUUGUUCUUCCCCUUGUACUAUUCAUCCUUAGCCCGAGAGGCAAUCCACCACACCACACUACAAUAGGGUAUUACACCACAACGGUGGCCCGAACCAGUAUAAAUGUUGUGUCCUUUGUGUUGCGAGUUCUUCAACUUAGUUUACAAGAUCUUAGCUGAGUUAGGACGUGGAUCGGUAGGGGGGAGAUCUUCGCGCGCACCCCAGUGUUCGAACCUUGAGGGUUUUGCCGGAACCCGUGAACUGACACACAUCAUGGAAUAUCCUGUAGGUAUCGAUUGACAAUAUACAAAUAUAUCCAUAAGGAGUUUAUUAGUAUUCCAUAUACAAAAUUAGGGCAUUUAUUGCCUCCUAAAAAUAACCAUAUGAAAUUAAUUAGUUUUUCAUAUUAGCAUUGUGACAUUUUAUUGGCUCCCAAAAUUAUUUACAAACUGAAUUAAUUAGUAAUACUCCGUACCAAGAUUAUGGCAUUUAUUUGCUCCAAAAUUACAAGAGAAAUUAAUUAGUAGUAUUUCGUAACAAGAUACAUAGUGUAUACGAAAAUAUGUCAUCUUGAUAGUUUGGUAUUAAUUUAUGUAUUUGGCACCUAUGAUUUCUGAACAAGACACAGUGCGUUGCACGUACGUUCUGGCUAGUGCAUAGUUACCUGAUAUUUGACUGAAUUUGUUAUUUUGAUUUUUUUAGUCAACUAUGCAGGUUUCAUUUGGGGAGGUGGCACACUUUUUUCUCGCUGGUGGGGGGCGGGGGGGAGCGCUUUUCAUUACUCAAGCUAUAACAGUUUUACAAUCAUCGGUAAUCAUAAUGCUAAUCUCCUGGGGAGCGAGCAUGUUUAAGCUAAGAAAUUGUGUGCUACUGUCCGCGACCAACUGCCGCCAUUACAUGCCCAGCUUUAUUCUGCCCAUGACUAAUAAUCUUAUGGAUUUCAGUGUUGCAUUCGUUGAGCAGAUGUACUAUCUCUGCAACUUGAUGCAUAUUUUUGGAUCGAUCACCCGGCCCAACUUUUACAAAGGUGAUGAUCUUGGCACAGUCCUUCCCAACCCGAAACAGGGCUUGAGACCAAUGCAAAGUUAGACGGAGACCUAUCCCUUGGUGACUGAGGCAACCUGAAUUACUUGAAAACCACCUCUUGGAAAAUGACGAUAGUAUCUCGGAGCAAGCUUUCACUCCAUUUUCGCUCAAGUGCGAUUGGACAGGGCAUUGCGGCCCAUUAUUCACAAGUAUGUACACUCAAAUCACCGGCCAAUUGUCCUUCACUGGAACUUGCCCAUGCAUUUCAAUAAAUGACAAUGUAUUAUUUAAAUAUCAAAAACUGGUACACAUAUGCAAUUUCGAAAAUCGAAACACAUAUAUGUAAUUUUUUGAAGGAAUAGUUACAGAUGUAUAUAGUUAUGUUAUACUAGGACAAUGCCCACGCGCUGCUACCGUAGAUCUCAAAAUAUUCCUCAAGCACAUUAUAGCAAGGACUAAAGUUUCACUUCCCACAUCCCACCUAUUUAUCAACCACUGUGAUUCCCAAUCAUACUUAAAAUUGUAAGAUCAAAUGGGAAGGUAAAAUUUAAGCACCUAACAAUGAGAACAGAAUGAUAUGGUGCAAUAUGACCAAAAUAUAUCUGCUAUUAAAGAUCCACAUGCAUAUUAUAUUAUUGAUUUCUCUAUGUACAAUUUUCUUCUUCACCAACAAUACUUUCAUCUCUGCUUUCACUACUGGGUAAAGUCUUAUAUAUAACUUUUGAGAAAAAAUAGUAGGGUAAACCCCUACUGUAACACUUUUUUUAUUAAUAUAAGAGUGAUGUUACAAGUCGAUGUACAAUGUGAAUAUGGCUAUGUGUAUGCCUAUGCUAGAUUUACAAACAAUCUAGCUAAGUGUGCAUCCCUUUCUUCAGGCUUGGUUUUGCUUUCCUCAUGACUGUGACAAAGUGUUCCUUGAAACAGGCAUUGAAAUAUUCUAUGCUCUUUGUCUUGUGGUAAAAUAUAAUGAUGUUUUUGUGCUUCUAGAUGGACCAGCAUCCAACAAUCAAGCAUGCUUUGAAUGGUUGUAUGUUUGUUCUGGUUUUUUGCUUUAUCUAGCAUUUCAUUGAUGCUAUGGUCAGUGUUCCAUUCAAUCCCAAUAGGCAUCUAGAAAUUGUGGCUGAAGUCACAUGGGAAAAAUAGAUGCUUCAGGUGUUCAUUUGUCUCAUCAUCACAUAGGACACAUUUGCUUGAUUCAAUAUAGAAGUGUUUCCUCGCUAGCAAGUCUCUGGUAUUUAGCCUAUCAAGUAGAAGUAACCAGAAGAAUUUUUUCGCUAAGCAUCUAGAUUUCCAAAUCCAUUGGAAUGGUUAAGGGGUAUCUGGUGGGUUUCCAAUCAAUUCUAGAUAAAUACUUUUGGUGGAAUACCUUGUAGAUGUCCAGUAGAAGUGCCAAUUAUCUCUGCUAUUGUUGCUUGCAAUACUAAUCAUGUUCCUCAAAGAUAUGCUUUGUUGUAUGGCAACAGUUGACAUGGGUAGAUGAAACAUUUCAAAUAGACCUUCCGUAGCUAUAUCAUGUGUAGCAGCAAAUGUUAUAUCCUUGUUUUUCUCAUAUGAAACUAGUUGCAGGAAUUUAUUCUCAAGAUUACCAUCCUCCCAUUUAUCGUACCACUACUAGGGAAAAGCCUGGCAGUAGCGCGGGUUUUAGGUAUAUCAGUGGCGUGGGUGCUCGCGCUACUAAUACGAAGCUACGGCUAACAGGUAGUAGUAGCGAGGGUGCUACCCGCGCUACUACUACAUCCGUUAGUAGUAGCGUGGAUACCACCCAUGCUACUACUAACUGGUAAUAGCGUGGUUUUGGACCCUCGCUACUGCUAACUAAUUAGGAAAUAAAAAAAUAAGUUCCAGCUGUAAAAAAAAAAUUUCAGCCAUGGCUACUGCUGCUAGGCGUCAUCGUCCUCUUCAUCCAUGGUCGAUGCUGAUCCUGUAGUGGAUGAAGUUGUCCAUGGAGAUGGUGCUUCCCCAUCCAACUUUUCUCCACACCUCUCCUUUACUGCUGCUACAAAAAAGAAACAAGGAUUGGAAGAGGAAGAGAGAGAUAGAGAGUAGUAGGUGCAGCAACUCAGCAUUGGCCGCCGGAGUUUGAGCCAAAACCCUAGAUGAUGCCAUGGGUUGAGGUCAUAAGAGAACUGGCCAUCGUCAUGGGCGGCGCUCUGCUGGAUCUUCCUCUCCUUCCAGCAGCGGAGGAGGAGGAAGGAGGGGCAGCAGAGGAAGAGUAGGAGGAAGGAGGGGCUACAGUGGAAGAGGAGGUCACCUGAUUUGAGGGAGAUGUCGCGGCGUGAGGCUGACAAUUGCUGUGGAGGAGGAGAAGCGCAUGUGCAGGAGCGCCAUGGAGAAAGAGAGAGAAGGAGAGGGAUGGGGGAGGAGUGAUUUGGACGAGGAGAUGGGGAUUUCAGGGCUGUUAAAUAAACCCAGUACUUAGUAGUAACGCGGGGUUUUACCCCUCGCUAGUAGUAUGGCAUGUCCGGGGGAGCACGGUAGAGACCGCUUAAUAUUAGCGAGGGGUAAAAACCCGCGCUACAACUAUCAACUUAGUAGUAGCGCAGGUUUAUAACCCUCGCUACUACUAUGGCAUGUCCCAGGGGCACGGUAGAGUCCGCUUAGUAGUAGCGGGGGUUGAAAACCCGCGCUAUAGUAGUAGCGAGGGGUAAAAACCCGAGCCACGGCCGGCGGGGCCCUCGGGCCAGCACUCCAUCGAGCCACUGCAUGCUGGCGGCGGAGGGGCCGGAGGCGCCACGGCCACGGUGCACUCUCCCCCUCCACGCUAGCCACUACGGAUGUCGGUCCGUCGUGAUGACGCUUGUGAUGACAUUUCCAUAGCGUCGUUCGACCCACGGACCCGCCACGACCAAUGCCAGGUUCUUCGGGAGAGAGCCCAUGAAGACGCUCGAACCACCAUCGAGUCCCGGUGCGAUACGCGCCACCAGUCAGACAGGCGGGCGAGGCCCGCCAUGGACCACCCAGCACCGGGAUGCUCCGGCGGCCUACCUUACGAGGUGGGUUGCCCAGCCUUUACCCAUGGGUUGCGGCAGUUCCAGUGGUCGUCCCACCGCAUGUUCAAGCCCGACGUCGGCGAGAAGUACGACGAUAAGGCUCACCCGUCAGAGUUCCUCAGCAUGUGGACCAUCGCGAUGCAAGCCGCUGGAGCUCGUGACGACAAGGUGCUUGCCAAUUACUUCCCGUUGGCCCUAAAACCCAAUGUCAUGUCUUCGUUGAUGCACUUGCGGGUGGAUUCCAUUUCUUCUUGGUCAGAUAUGUGCCAAGAGUUCAUUGCUGCCUUCACUGGAGGCCACCAAACUCAUGGCCAGGCGAGUGAUUUGCAUAUCAUUCCCCAGAAGGAAUGUGAAAACAUGUGCAAGUACGUACAUAGGUUCAACCGACUACAAUACAACAUCCCAAAUGUUCAUCAUGUCGCCGUGAUCAGCGCAUUCCAUCAGAAUGUGCGUAACGCAAGAUGCGUGAAGAGCUCGCAAUGAACAAGGCAAGGACGUGGCCGAACUUUAUGUUCUGGCCGAUAGAUGCGCCCGGGCUGAAGAGGGAAGGAAGUACCCCGGCGAAGACGCCGGUGCGGAAACUGACUCUACCAACGAAGACGCCGCCGCCCCGACGAAGAAGGGUCGGCUUCGCAACCGGAAACGCAAGGACGAGACUGUGCUUCCCUUCGAGGGAUCCGGCGACACUAGCACCGCCAAGAAGGCCAAGGCAGACGACCCCUACAAGGAGAUUGCCGGGUGCGCCACUUGUCGGGCCUUGGCGGCUGCCGAUAAGCCAGGGGGCUCCGACAAGCAGUACUGCGAGAUCCACCGCACCAAGGGCCACGACCUCCAGAAGUGCCGACAAGUUGAGCUGCUUGCUGAAAAGCAAAAAUCCGAAUAUGAGAGGCGGGACAAGGAGAAGGGUCGGGAUGGUGCCAAAGGAUCUGGCAAAAAGCGUGGCGACCAAGGAGGUCACCGCGACAAGGACAACCAGCAAGAGAGGCCCGCUCGGGGCCGUGACAAGAAGCAGGAAGACGAUGAUCGUGACGAGGAUGACGAGUCCGGUGAGCAUGAAUUCCAGAAGGCUACGAAGGCCAUGUGCAUCGAUGGUGGCACCUCGAUGCACACUUCUCACCGCCAGCUGAAGCAGUAGGCGCGCGAGAUUACAGCAGCAGUGCCAUCGUUUGACGUUCAGAAGCCACCGAAGUGGUCCAGCACGCCCCUCAUCUUUGACGCCGAGGCCCACCCUGACCGCACAACUACGAUCGGGUGUUGCCGUUGUUGGUCUCACCAACGAUACGCAACGUCAAGGUGAAUAAGAUGCUGGUUGACGGCGGGGCCAGCCUGAACUUGAUCUCUCCCGUCGUGAACAAAAGGCUGCAAAUUCCUUAUGGAGCCCUUGAGGAAACGGGUACGUUUCAAGGGGUCGGUCCGGGGAGAAGCCAGCCAAAGGGGAAGGUCACAUUGCCCGUGAUGUUUGGAGGUGAGUUGAACUACAAGACGGAGAUGAUCGUCUUUGAUGUGGCUGAGAUCCCCUUGCCCUACAACGAGAUCCUCGGCCGCCCGGCACUAGCCAAGUUCAUGGCGGCGUCGCACUAUGCCUACAAUAUGCUGAAGAUGCCUGGGCCGAUGACCAUCAUCACCGACCCCUCCGACAAGAAGGAUGCGUUGAUCUGUGCCGACCAACUCUAUCGAGAAGCAGUUGCAGCAGCUGCCGCCAAGGCACUUGCUCCUUCCGUUGAGGCCCCGGGAGGGAAGAAGAAGACCGGCAAGAUCUCUCGCACCCACUCCGGCAAGCUCACCUCUUAGGAGUGAUGUGCUACCGUCGAGGACGUGCCCGAGAGGUCUACCGGCAAGAGCAAGAAAUCUAGAUCUGCACCACCAGAGACCAAGAGGGUGUCCGUCAAGGAGGAUGGCACGGGAGGGGCUUUCACCAUAAGCUCCACCCUCGAUGGCAAAUAGGAAAGCGCGCUCGUCACUUUCCUGUGGGCGAAUAUCGAUAUGUUUGCAUGGCAAGCAUCCGACAUCCCCGGCGUUCCCAGGGAAGUGAUUGAGCACCACCUUGCUGUCCGUCCCCAUGCGCGACCCGUCAAGAAGAAGGUCAGGAAGCAAGUUUUGGAAUGACAGGAGUUCAUCACAGAGGAGACAAGGAAAUUGUAAGCGGCAGGUUUGGUGAGUGGAGUGCUCCAUCCGACGUGGUUGGCCAAUCCGAUGGUGGUGCGCAAGGCAAAUGGGAAGUGGAGGCUGUGUAUUGACUACACGGAUGUCAAUAAGGCUUGUCCGAAGGACCCCUUCCCGUUGCCGCACAGCGACCAGAUUGUUGACUCCACAACCAAGUGUGAUCUAUUAUCAUUCCUUGACGCCUACUCAGGCUACCACCAGAUCUUCAUGGCAAGAGAAGUUGAAGAGAAGACAACCUUUAUCAGCCCAUGUGGUACGUGUUGCUUUUUACGGAUGCCUUUCGGGUUGAAGAGUGCUGGAAGCAUAUAUGGAUGACAUAGUGGUCAAAACCAAGGACAAGGCGACCCUUGUACAAGACCUAGGAGAGAUGUUUGCCAACCUACGCAAGAUCAACCUCAAGCUGAACCCUGAGAAGUGUGUCUUUGGCGUCCCAUCAGGAAAACUUCUCGUGUUCUUUGUGUCGCAGUGUGGGAUCGAGGCAAACCCAAACAAGAUCAAGGCUAUUGAGCUGAUUGAGGCACCCAAGCGGAUCAAGGAUGUGCACCGGCUCACUAGCUGCGUUGCCGCCAUGAGCAGGUUCAUCUCUAUGUCCGGUGAACGUGCCCUUCCCUUUUUCAAAAUCUUGAAGAAGGCAGGCCCAAUGGAGUGGACCCCAGAGGCCAAGGUGGCGUUGCAGGAUUUGAAGAAAUACUUGUCCUCUACGCCAAUACUGGUUGCGCCUAAACCACAAGAGUCGUUGCUGCUGUAUUUGGCAGCAACGAAUCAAGUGGUUAGCGCCACACUAGUGGCGCGGAGGGAGGUCAAAGAAGAGGCAGAUGCAAUGAGAGGACCGGUGGAUGACAAGUCAGAGAUUCCCCCGGCAGGGCCUGGUGCUGGCAAGGUAAGGCCCCAGACAGAGUUCGACACCAUCGGGGCAUGGCCCGCAUAGUCAAGUGAAGUGGUGCAGAAGAAGAAGAUGAUGAGACACCCGGUUUACCUUGUCAGCUCCCUCUUGCAUGGAGCCAGGUCAAGGUACUGCGGUGUGCAGAAAUUGCUCUUCGGCCUCCUAAUGGCCUCGAGAAAGUUGCGUCAUUACUUCCAAGCUCACGAGAUUGCUUUCAUCACCCGCCUCCCGUUGCAAUGGAUACUGCACAACCCAGAUGCAACCGGAAGGAUUCUCGAGUGGGCCCUGGAGUUGUCAAGCUUUGGUUUGAAGUUUGAAAGUACUUCGUCAAUCCAGAGCAGGGUCUUGGCAGAGUUCAUUGCAGAAUAGACCUCAACGCCCGACGAGGAAAUCCAGGAGACCGCUCUCCCCGGUAAGGAAGCAAGUCGCGAAUGGAUCAUGUACUUUGAUGGGGCUUUCUCGCUGCAAGGCGCCGGUGCCGGCAUGCUACUUGUCGCACCCACGGGAGAGCACCUCAAGUAUGUGAUCUAGAUGCACUUUCUAAUAGAGAUGUCCACAAACAACACUGCUGAGUACAAGGGGCUACUCACCGGACUCAGGAUCGCGGCAGACCUCGGGGUGAAGAAGCUCAUUGUCAGGGGUGAUACGCAGCUUUUCAUCGGAAAGGUCAACAAAGAUUACCAGAGUCCGUUGAUGGAGGCCUACGUAUAUGAGGUGAGGAAGCUGGAGGAGUGCUUCGACGGUAUUCAAGCAGAGCACGUUCCCCGAGGGAAGAACGACAUCGCAAACUACCUGUCAAAGCACGCUGCAUUCAAGCUACCUAUGGAACUAGGUACCUUUUUGCUUCGGUUAACUCAACCAUCCGUCGAACCAUCAACGGAGCAGAACAAGCUUAGGAAAUCGGGCCCCGGCAAGUACUUUCUCGCUGAGCCCCAGGGUCACCGGCAAGGGUGUGGUCGUGGAUUCCGAGCCUGCCAAGGGGCACCUGGCUCCGGCAGGGCGCCAAGCCCUGGCCGUAGAGACGGCUGCCUCCGUGGUGGAAGAGAUGCCUUUGGUCCUUGCCGUUGAGGCCCAGGCUCCGGCAUGGGCACAGCAUACCGUCCGUUUCAUCCAGACUUGGGAACUUCCUGAGGAGCAGAAAUAAGCGGAAAAAGUAGCCCGUCGGUCUGCCUUGUACCAGUUCGUCGAUGAUGUCCUGUAUAGAAAAAGACCGAACGGUGUGAAAUUGAAGUGCAUUCCCCGGGAGGAAGGACUAGAGCUGUUGGCAGAGAUACAUGGAGGCAUAUGUGGCUCCCACAUAGGGUCAAGGGACCUUGCCGGCAAGGCAUUCCGGCAAGGCUUCUUCUGGCCCACCGCCCUCUAGGAUGCGACGACACUAGUAACCAAGUGUGAAGCGUGUCAGUUCCAUUCAAAGAAGCUUCAUCAACUAGCUCAAGCCCUUCAAACAAUUCCUCUCACCUGGCCGUUUUCGGUCUGGGGGAUCGACAUACUGGGCCCCUUCACCCGUGUUGUCGGGGGCUUUGAAUACUUGUACAUUACAAUCGACAAGUUCACAAAGUGGCCAGAGGUGGAAGCAGUGAGGAAGGUGACAGCACAGUCAGCCGUCAAGUUCUUCAAGGGACUAGUCUGCCAUUUUGGUGUGCCAAACAGAGUCAUCACCGAGAACGGCACGCGGUUCACAAGCCACACCUUCAUGCAGUACAUCCGAGACCUCAGUAGCAAGGUCCGUUUUGCUUCCAUGGCACACCCACGGAGCAACGGCCAAGCGGAGAGGGCUAAUGGUGAAGUAAUGCACACAAGCAAAAGGCGCUAGAUUGAUGAGUUGUCGGCGGUUCUUUGGUCGAUCAGAACGACGCCAAAUCGAGCCACCGGCCAAACAACCUUUGCCCUGGUAUACGGGGCAGAAGCAGUUCUCCCCAUGGAACUCAUAUACGGGUCACUUCAAGUGCUCGCUUAUGACGAGCUUGAGAAAGUGCAAUUGCGGCAAGAUGAAGCAACGCUCCUUGAGGAAGAUCGUCUUUGGGCGGCUGUGAGAGCAGCACGCUACCAGCAAGCCCUGCGCCACUACCAUAGCCACAAGGUUCAUGCCCGAAGAUUUGAGGAAGGCAACCUUGUUCUUCGGCGCGUUCAGUCGGCCAAGAAUUCCAACAAGUUGACGCCAAAGUGGGAAGGCCCUUAUCGGGUAAUACGAGUCACCAGGAUUGGCGCAGUCCGCCUGGAGACCGAAGAUGUUGUCCCAGUAAGCAAUUCCUGGAACAUCGAGCACCUUCGCAAGUUUUACCCAUAAGGCGCGGUUGUCGGGCCUCUCGGAGAACCACCUUUUGUACGAGCCUUGCCGGCAAGGCAUGUAACCCUCUGUACAAAGCCAGGCGAAGACCCUCAGCAUAAAUAAACAAAGCGCUGGCGCCCUAAGUUAUAGCGUGAUGCUAGGUCAAGUCUCUCCCUCGGUUAGGGUUGAUAGUGGUUAGCUUCGAGUGUGCGUCCUUCUGUUACCUUUGGUUCACAGGGCACGCAGACACUUCUGUUGAGCCGCUCGGGAAAAAGAGAACGAACCGUCACUCUGGCCCCGGCAAGCAAAGACUGCCGGGGGCUGAAGAUACAAGGAUCCAACCACGGCGAGCCAAGGUUGCCGGGGGCUGUGGAUCCAGAUAAGUCUUUCAUCCCCAUGUUCUGCAUUUCCAUAUAGAACUCGGACAUGUGAAACCUCAUUUAUGUUCUUAAAACCACCGUGCUCCCCCUUUCUUGUACCCAAGGGCUACCUCCUGGGUCAGAAUUUGGUAGUACUCGUGGUGGCGAGCAGAUGAACGAGGGGCCUAACUCUACUUCGCCCCUGCCUCCGCCAAGAGCGCAAGAAUGGUCGACCGAAGUGGGGAGAUGGCAAGUCAUGUUGUCGGGCGACAAUGUUUAUCUUAAAAAUAACAAGGAUUCAUCCUUGGCACGGGCCUCGCUCACGCACAAAGAACCCGGCAAGAACUCUUUUUCAUUAAAAACAUCCCAUAUAGGUAUAGUUCAUACGGAAUUAAAAACAUGGGCAAAGGGGAUUACAAGUCUUAAAAUUAACAAGUGCCCGCAGGCUUACAAACUAAAAAAAGAUAAGAUGCCCGUGAUCCCUUUCUUGUCCCUCUCCUCAGAAGGUGGAGUAAGAGGGCAGGAGGGCGAAAAGAGCGCCUGGGUGAGGUGCGAGGAGCAGAAGGCACCAAGAGAAUGUCCCGGUGCCGGGAGGGGAGCUGGAAGAUGAGGCCGUGGGCCGGCAAUACGCGAUGAAGGCGCCGGUGCCCGCGUACUCUGAUUUGACGGCCGCCACCCGCAUUUUUCGCCUUCUCCAACCCUUCUACGCCAGCACCCAAGGAGACGAUGGGGAGCGCUCCGAUGGAGAGCUUGGCGAGGAUGGCCCUCGACAAGGCGCGUGGCCGAGGGAACGGCGGCGCGGUAAGUCGGAGUCAGCAUCCUGCCGCUCGACUCCCUCGUCGUUGCUAUCGCUGUCCUCCUGGUCACUCCCACUUGAGGAGGAAUCUUCAUCGUCGGAGGCUGCCCUCCGUUAACUUGAAGUAGAGGACAAGCCCCGCCGUCAAGCUGUGGUUGCAUGUGAACGUCUUUCAUCCACGGCAGAGGUACAUGACGUGAGAAGUAGGGAAGUCAACAUCGACCCGCGUGCCGCCGUUCCCACAACCCUUCAUGUGCAACCAGAGGGGCUGGGGUGGAUCGAGCUCCAUCGCCCGAGCAAAUGCAGUAGGGAGACGGAGGCGGAGACACGGUGGCCGGCGCAGCCGGAUGAAGAACUCGCGGGGCUGGUCCCCGACGUGGUGCUCCGUCGGGGGAGGCAACGCUGGCGGAGGCGAGGCCGAUGCGCCGCCCCAUCCUCCUCUCCCCUGAGCGCCACGACGACCUCGAGCUCGUCCCCUCCCCCUACCCAUCGUGGCUGGUUCCGCUAGCAUGAGCUCUUGGGGAGGAGGAACGCGCUGACGAGAAGCAACCCUCGCCGCCACCGCCGAAGGCCAGCGCUUCCUCUCGCCAUGGCGGAUAGAAGAAAGAAGCAGAGGUGGAAGGAGAUGGAUGAUGGGAGAAUGUGGAAUACCGCCCCCCUCCCCUCCUUAUAAAGGGGCGGAGUCGGGGCUCGGUCGCCCCACUCGACCAAUCCGGUCAUCGGGCGCAUAGGGAAUCAGGACCGGCCUGCUGCCCCAAUCAGCGACUGCCCGGUUUCCCGCUUCCUCCUCCUGCCACCUGCAUGAAGGACACAUUGCGAGCGAGCAGCAUUAAAGGGACAGGCGAAGCGGCCGCUCCCCACCCCGUGAUCGUGGGGCGCGGGCUCCUUGAAGACCAUGACCUGAGUCUACCCAAGUAAAUGGGUCGUGCCUCUGCGUCUCCCUCCUUUUACGGGGAAGGCGCAGGCCGCCUCUUUACCACGAUGUGAUGCAUGCAUGCAGAAACCGCCCCAUGCAUGACCCCCAUGUCGUGCACGACCCUCCAUGUCGCGCGUUCAACGUGGGUCAUGGGGAAGCGCAGCGGACGAGAAAUUACUAUGGUGAGAUCCGCCCCACCUGCCCGCGCACCGUUCUAGGCCUAGCCCAGCAACGUGUCGCACUUAUGUAUGGCCCAGGCCCAGGGGCUCCUGUCGGUGUAUAAAAGUAGGGGCUCUCCUUUUGACCCCUUUACUUGUGCACGGGCAGUCAGAGCCACGCGCCACGGCCAAACUUAGCAGGGCAGAGGAGGGAAGUCGGAGAGAAGCCGAAGCACGAGGAAACCAAGGCAACGCCAAGACCAGAAGCGCAGGAGGGCGAGAGGGUGAGGUGGACUCCCUCGGCAAGGUCCUUGCCGAGGCGGCCCCCCGAGCCCUGGCAAGAGCCUUGCUGAGGCAACUUGCCCGAUGCCAGCGGAGUGAGCCACGCUUAAGCCCACCAGCUCCAACCUAACCAACUGCGUUGGAACUGGCUCGGGAGGCGCCUUUGUGGUGGCAUGCAAAUCUUCAUCAAGCUCAUAACCAUAUGAGUUCACAUGAGGACCAAGACAGCGACCCUCGGUAGGAUCCUAGCCGGGGAAAUCCAGAAGACCCCCGGCAAGACCCUUGUCGGGGAUGGCAGCAAUGCCACGGCAAGACCCUUGCGGGGGCCCCGGCAAGACCCUUGCCGAGGUCAUCAGCAGGGCCACUGCUAGGCCCAUGCCAACCAAGACUCCGCCACCAGCCAAGACUCCGACGCUGUUCGCAUGCAGCUGCCAGCGCAACCAGCUGGGCAGGCACCGGCGUGGCAACAUGCAGCUGCCAGGCCAAAUCAGCAAGCACCUAUGUGGCGUCAUGCAGAUCUUCAUGAAGGCCCUACCACCGCACCACCUCAGCUGCCUGCCUACCUACAUGGCGCCGCAUGCAUCGCUAGCAUGGGCGCAUGUCGAGGCGAAGCGAAGCGGCGACCGACGGGACGUGCCUCAUUCCCAUCCCGAUAAAGCUAAUGGAAACCUAUGUAGCACAUUUAAUGCGCUUUGUCCCGUAAUGACGUGCGAUAAGCUCGCGCACUGUAGGCCUUUCCACCUCCCGUGUGCCACUGUGGCAGCCCCUUUUUCUAUAAAAGGAGGCCCGAGACGACCAGGAGGGCGAUUCGGCUUUUUGGAACGGUGCAGCCACCGUAGCUAGUUCAGAAAGCUCAAGAACACUCAAUCCAUCCACCAAAGCAGUACUAGGGUUUUACGCAUCCUUGCGGCCCGAACCUGGGUAAAUGACUCGUGUGCUAGCUUCUAAACCUGCUCUUCCCAGUGAUCCCAUAGGUGUCGUUCUCACCGACAAUAUGUCAUUUUGGAGCUAAGUAAGCUUAUUAUGUCAUUUUGUAUGAAAAUAAGCUAAGUAUGUGAUAUGUAUGAGAUUAUGGAGGUUAUAAUGCCAUUUUUAACCUAAGUAAGCUUAUUAUUCCAUUUUUGACAUAAGCAAGCUAAGUAUUGGUCAUUAUUGAGCUAACCUAGGUAACCAAGCAUAUUAGAGCUAACUUAGCAUAUUUGAGCUAACUUAGAGCUAACUUAGGUCAAUUUGGAGCCAACUUAGGUAAAAUGUGUCAUUUUGGAGCUAACUUAGGUCAUUUUGGAGGAAACGAAGCUAAGUAUAGGUCAUUUUAGAGCUAACUUAAGUAAAAUGGACCAUUUUUAGCUAAGUAAUCUUAUUAUGUCAUUUUGGAGGAAAAUAAGCUAAGUAUAUGAUAUUUAUGAGGUUACAAAGGUUAUUAUGCCAUUUUUUUACCUAAGUAAGCUAAUUUUUCCAUUUUUUUACAUAAGUAAGCUAAGUAUAUGUCAUUAUUGAGAUAACCUAGGUAACUAAGCAUAUUAAAGCUAACUUAGCAUAUUAGAGCUAACUUAUGUCAUUAUGGUAAGCAUAUCGGAGGUAAUAAAGCUAAGUAUAUGUCAUUAUUGGAGGAAAUUCUGCCACAAAGACGAUUUCACUUUCAGAGCUGAAGAUCAGACCUCUAGGGUUUCCCGAAAGUUGGAUGGUGAGACUUUGAAAUUGUGUGGAUAUGGAAUGUAUGUCGAUGGAGAAUUUUCCAUGCCAAUGACCACUUCGUCGGUUCACCCUCGUCGACGUCAUCUAUCACCAGUGGUGUAGCUUUCUCUUCCUUCAGACCUAACUUGCCCAUCACCUCCUCCAGUCAUGCCCUCACCGCACGUGGCAAGAGAGAGCCUUCCUUCCCUUGGACAUUGCCAAAUGGAUCCAUCCCGACACCACCCCCGUAUGCGCACCACCGAUCAAGAUCAAUCGUGCGUCCCCUCAAAACUAUAAUCGCCUAACAUGAGGCUCCUAUGUUUUCGGGGCAGUAGACCAAUGGCUGCGAUCACAGUGGUGCUCCCGUCAACCAGAGUUCGACUCCCAUGUGGAGCGAAUAUAUCUGGGGUUCUCACUAAGGAGGGGUCGAUAAGGCACCUAUCCCGUUUGAAUGUGUAGAGAAAAUGAUUCCCCGCGAUAGCCUACGUAGACGUUGCUUGAGGAUGAGGAUGAGGAUUAUACGUGUAAUUCUCUCCAACGUUUUAUGGUACACAAUAUUCAUCUAAGAAGCCUAUAGGCCACCAACAGUCACGCCUAGAACUCCACUGACACCGAUGACUCCAUGAAGGGAACCCUCAAGGAGAAGAACCUCGCAGGUGUGUCGGUGCGGUGGGCGGGAGGAGCGGGCUACGGAACAAUGCAGUGUAUGGGGGAUAGUGAUAGGUUACCAAAGAAAGAUCUAAUUUGUUCGUCUAGAUGAAAACAGUUUUAAAGAGAAAAGCUUAGACAUUAGUAAAUAGAAAACUAAUAUAAGUACAAGGGAUAGCAUACAUCCGAGUACAGAUGAAAAGGUUCAUCAAAAGUUAUCACAAAAUUCUAAACAUUUAUCAAUCCAUCGAUAAGUAGACCAUUUAGGACGGCGACCACUCCUUGGAUCCGUAAGUAAGGAAUAAAAAUAGAUGAAGGAAACCUUAACUUCUUUAGAUAUUUUUAGACCAUACGUAUUUUUUGGGCAAAACUUUUUUUGAUAGUAAAUAUUUGGUUAAUAAGUGGAGGCGUUCGGCAUAGUUUAUAAUAGCUCAACUAGCCUAGCACUAAAAUCCAUUUUGCAACGGUUGAUCAUUUUUUUGCGAGAAAACUUUCGAUCUACUCCUCCAUUCUUUUGACGUAAGAUGUAUUAGCCUAGCACAAGAAAGAAUGAGAUACACGCAAUCAAGAAAGAUACUUUCCUUCCUUUCCUACAAGGAGAGUGUCACACCCAAUAUGCGACUCUAUCCUAAAGGAACUCGAAGGUCCCACCAAGGAUAGCACCACAUCUUGACACGCUUUUGAAAGGUGGAUAUCAUUACAUCGUACCAUUACAUAAUAGUUGGGGAUACAUACAAGACAUACAAAUGCCAUAAGAAUACAUCAACAUCAUACAUGCGAACAACAUUCGACUACAGAUGUAGCACAAACAAAAGCUCAAACGACAUCCACCCUGCUAGCCCAGGCUGCCGACCAGGAACCUAACCCAAGAUUGAUGAAGAAGAAGAACUCCAAAACAAGUAAACAUCGCUCUCACGUCAUGAUCAUCACAUUACAUGUACCUGCAACUGUUGUUGUAGUAAACUGUGAGCCACGAGGACUCAACAAUCCCAUUACCAUGGGUAUCAAGACUAGCAAAGCUUAAUGGGUAGGAAAAGAAUAAGUGGUGAUGUUGCAGCAGGGACUAAGCAAGGUAUGGUGGCUAACUCACGAGUACAAGAGGAAGAUGAGAAUCUAUGCAAAUGGUCGCAAACUAGUAAUGAUGAAGAAGUGAUCCUGAACUACUUACGUUCAAACAUAACCCAACCGUGUUCUCCUCUCGAACUUCCCCGAAAAGAGAUAGUCACGGUUAAGCACUUGGUUGGUGUAUUUUGAAUGAGUUUACUUCAAGUCCUCUACAACCGGAUAUUAACAAAUUCCCAUCUGCCACAUAACUGCGGGCAUGGCUCUUGAAAGUUUAAACCCUGCAGGGGUGUCCCAACUUAGCCCAUGACAAGCUCACGAUCUACGGAGACAAUCCUCCAUCGCGGGACCCUCCGAUCAGACUUGGAGUCCCAGUGCACAAUACAUUUUGACAAUAGUAAAACUAAUCCAGCAAAACCUCCCAGCGUUCCGACACCCUAAUAGUAGCCGCACGUAUCUCAUCUGAGGCCACGACCGGAUAAGCGAAGUGUACAUGAUCCAAAUACCCCAAGUUGCCUAGGGGUAGUCCCGCACGGUGCUCUAGUUUGGGACCAACAUGGCCCCCCUGCUAUGUAGAAAGAAUCCGCGGGUUCAUGACGCCCUAUGCCAAUUAAUUAUUUAGUUCAAGUAUUAUUAUGGCAAAUGUUAAAACCAAUGUUGAGCCUUGCUGGAAGAGUUUUAUUCAAAGCGAACUGUCAAGAGGGGCCCAUAAACCCUCACCAUGUUAGGGACGCAAAAUCAAGGAACAUAACACCAGUAUGACGGAAACUAGGGUGGCAAGAGUGGAACAAAACACGAGGCAUAAGGCCGAGCCUUCCACCCUUUACCAAGUAUAUGUGUGCAUUAGUUAAAAUAAGAGAUAUUGUGAUAUCCCAAAAUAUCCAUGCCCUAGCAUGGAACAACCUGCACCUGCAACUAGCAAGGCUAUAAGAGCGGCUGAGCAAAGUGGUAACAUAGCCAAACAACGGUUUGCUAGGAAGGGUGAAAAGGUUAGAGGCUAAUCAUGGCAAUUUGGGAGGCUUGAUAAACAAGUGGUACGUAGCGCGACACAUCGAUAGCAUCGAGAUAACUAGCAUAGCAAAGAUAGUAGUGAGAUCCAAGGUGACGGUCAUCUUGCCUGAAAUCCCGCUAGGAAGAAGAACGAGUCCAUGAAGAAGACGAUCCCGCAUAGUCGAACGAAUCCUCACAAUCGCAACGAAACAGGAACUAUCGAGAAGGAGCAUAACUGGAAAGAAGCAAGAAACAUGGUAAACACACAACACAUAAACAUGACAUGAUUCUCAACCAAGUAUGAUGCAUGGCAAGGCUAUAUGAUGCUACUCAUGGCAAUAGAUGAUGCAUACAAGAACAACACAUCAAAGCAAGUUUAAAUGAGGCCGAAGACAACAUAUAACAAUUUUGGUAAGUCCUCAUAUGUAAAUUUCGAAAUUGGUACUGAUCUGAACAAAACUUUAUGUUAAAGUUGUUAAACAUCAAGUUAAAGUGCACCAAGAUGAUCUACACGGUCUUCUAGUCAAGUUACAUAUAAAGUUCGUUUAAUUCGGAGCUACGGCCUAGAAGAUAUGAGCAAAACAAGUUAAACAUGGCACUGAUUGCAAAAUGCAAGCAAAACAACAUCACAAACACUCCAAAAUAAGGAUUCGACAAGGCAACAUGAAACUACAUGCACAACUAAGCAAGUUUCAUAUAGAGCAUGCUCAAAACGGAGCCACGGUUCAACACAUACACCCAAUUCACUUUUCAAACACAGUCUGCCGAAAAGAGCAACUAAGCACUUUGCAAUCAAGGAAACAACAAGCUAGAGGAAACAUAUGGACACAAACUUGAUAUGCACUCAAAGUACAGAUUGCAUGCUCCAAAUUACACUAAGUUUCAAGUUCAUAGGCAUCAGGAUUAAUCCAAGAUGAUCAAUGCGAAAAGCAACUUGAUAACACAGAUUAUGACUUAGUGAAAAACAGAUCAUAUGCUUGAGGAGAAAUAACAUGUUGACAUGUUGGAGGCAUGAAACAAUGAUGCUAUAGUGCAAGAACAUAACAAGCAAAAGCAUGGCAUUCUAGUACAAGUUGAACAUGGCAAAACAUGAUUACUAAGCAUCUCCAUAAGAGCCCUAGAUCAAUGGCAAUCAACAAGACAAGAUGCAACAGGAUAUAAGAUGAUUCUCAGACUAGAGGAAAUCUGGGAAUGCAAAACAAUAACAUUAUGAUGCUGACUUCGGAGGCACAUAACAGCAAGCAUAGAAAAUUAAGUAAUCAUGCAAAAUACAUGGGCAUAUAGUAGACAUUAUAUACUUUAACUUAGUCCAUGGGCACAAUUUCAUAUGAGGAAUGGAGUAAUUACUAUGAUUCAUGCAAAAAGGAACAUGUUGUUAACAGGAUAACAUAUUUAGCAUGAUGGCAACUUUAGAGAAAGAAAGAGACAAGCUACAGCAAGUUAUAUGGCAACCAAGGGCAUGGCAUAAAAUUACACAUAACAAAGAGCAAAAACAUCAAGGCAUCAUAACCAUAUGACUCAUGGACUAGUGGGAACCAUCAAGACAAGUUUGAAUUUUAUAACAGUUUCAACAAGUGUAAAACAACAACUUUGGCAUAGCAUAUUAGCAAGCUUGGAACAGAGGUCAUAUGAAGUCUAAAAUUAUCAAACUUGGCAUGUGGACAAAAUACGCAUAGCAUACUUCAUAUCAUGUAAUGGGAGCACCUCUAAAAGAGACAUAGUUUAAUUAAUAACAAGCUCAAAACAUGGCAUCAUGAAGUUAACAGAAAACUCGAACAUCAUUUACACAUGUUCAUGGCAAUGAAAACAUAUGCUACAGGAUAUAUAUGAGGCAUCAAAUGGCAUGGCAUGAUAGAGCAUAACAUGAACAUCAAAACAUGUCAACAGGCGGUGCGCGCGACGAGCUGUGGGGCGGAGGCGGCGCGAGCUGGCGGCAACGCAGCGGCGGCACAAGGCGACGAUGCGGGCGGCUCAGGCGCCGGCAUGAGGCGCGGCCCGGUUCGGCCCGGUGGCAGGCCGGCAAUGGGCCCUGCGGGCCUGCGUGGAGGAGACGGCAGCGGGUGACAUGGCGCCUUCCGAUUCGCCGAGGGCAGCGGCGUUGGAUCCGCCCGGCACGGACGGACGUGUCCGGCGGCGUGGAGGGAAGAUGGCAGCUAGGGUUUGGACUACGAAUUCGGACGACCUAUAUAUAGGUAUAGGGAGCUAGGAGAGGGAAAAUGAGGUGCGAUUUUCUCCCACAUGAUCGUGAUCUAACGACGGAGAGGAUGGAGGGGGUUUAGAUGGGCUAUUGGGCUAUUAUGAAGGGGUGCUGGGCUGCAAAGAGAAGGAGGGGUUUUGGUUAACGCGGUUAACCGUUGGGGCAUCAAACAACCUCCAAAUGGAACGAAAUUUUACAGGCGGUCUACCGGUGAUAUACCAAGGCCACUCGACAAAUCUCGGCCCUUGAUGAGAACAUUUUUGUCCCGCUCACGAAACAAGAACUGGAAGGUGCAACGGGUGCAUGUGAGAGUGUCGGAUGUCGAAACGGACAAUGGAGAAAGUGACCGGAUGCAAGUUUUGAAAAAUAUGAUGAUCUAAUGCACAUGAUGACAUGGCAAAAUGUAGCACACAAGAAAAUGUAAUGGCAACAACGACGAAUAACUAGAAGACACCUGGCGCAUCGGACUUGGGGAGUUAAAGAGAGAUACAUAAAAUCAUGAGAGAGAUACUUUCCAUUUCUCUAGAGGAAUAAAAAUGAAAUUACGAGGAAUUAUAAGAAAUGCAACUGAGGCAGUAUUCACCAACUGUCAGGUAGUUCAAAGAACACUAGAAGUAAAAUUUACAUCCAGGUCCAUAGACCACUUAGCGACGACUACAAGCACUGGAGCUAGCCAAAAGGCGCACCUUCGUCAUCACCCAUCCUUUGUCGGAGAAGGGCAAACAUUGUUGUGGUAGAUAGCCAGGAACAAAAAUAUGCUGCAGCUCGUUAGUUUCCAGUUGAAUAUGUUUGAUGGACCAUUGGUAUGCGCUUAUUUUGUGUGCAAUAACAAUGAAUCUAUUUGGUCCCAAUAGCCAAUAAGCCAUAAUAUGUUUUCCAGCUGUCCUAGCUCUUGGUAUCAAAGAUGAUUGUUUGCUACAGAAUUAUUCAAGUCGAUACAUCAAGGUCUGCACAAAGGUAUGGAUAAGUUUAAAAGAUUUGACACUAUCUAGUGUAUAGUUCCAGAUUCAGAUGAAAAAACAUUCUGAUUGAAAUCAUAGUAUUAAUUAUACUUUGGUGGUAGAUUUAAUUUUAAUUUUUCCCAAAAAUUGUCCCAAUACCGUGAGUGUAAUGCACGUGUAUGUGAGCAUCUAUGUUAAAAAAGGCCAUGAUACGGGUUCAAAUACAAAGAGUAGGAAAAUAAAAAUGUUCAAUUAAAUUAUUCCAGCUAGAAAAACAAUUCAUAAUGCUCCCAAGUGAAUCUUUAUUUCCAAACAUUAUUCUUGGUCAUUUUCUUGCUACAUUUAUCUGAUGCAUUCGCAGUGACCAUGAUGGCAGGUCCCACCUCCGUAACCAUCUCUGUUGCAGAUAUCAUUACAAAAUGAAGGAUCCGUACAUGGAGUGUAGGGUUCACGGUGCCCCUCGACGCCAAUGUUAGCUUCCUUGCCUACAACAAUAAAAAAUAAAAGGUGCCAUCAGAACCUCUUGUUGUUCGUAUUUAAACUAGGAUUCUGUGAAAUCAAUGUACUAUGCAAAUAGUAGGACAAUAGUGGAGUGCUAAUACAAACAUAGGAAGAACAUCUACUGGCUGGUAUAUAAUUAUUAUGUACUAUGGAAACCAUAUGUACCACGACAGAAUUGUAAUGGUGAUCAUAAAAUCACAAGGAAAACACCUCUUUCUUUCCAUGCCAUUCUUAAAUAACACUAGGUUUAAAGUACUAUGAGGCGUCAUAACUUUUAAAUAAGGGGACGAACGCGACGCACAAGUUUGCACUACAAGGAAAAAUAGUUUUAUAUCUAUUUUUUGCGAGUAUGAGGAAAAAGAUACUUGCCUAUCUUAACUAAACACCUCACUCUAUUAGGCACGGUUGAAACACUUUUCUCUUGCAAAAAUACUUGCAUAUAUUAACUUGAACGAUCAAACUUCAUAAGAAACAUUCAUAUCAUUGGCAACAGAGAAUGAUGCAAUAGGAUCAAUUUUUUAUCUAGCUCUAGGAAACCACAAAUUCAUAUAUACUACAGUUGAUAAGCUCUGGUAAAUAGAAAUGUACCUAUCUUCCUCCCUGAUGCUUCACUCAAUAAUAAAGUGGUUGAAACCAUCAAAAGUGCCAUCAAGCACAGAACACCAGUGUUGAUCCGGAUUAGAGCCAUAAUGAAAUUGUUUAGUGUUCUCUUCUCCUAUGUCUGUUUGGUUUAGACUUGUACUACUUUGCUGGUUCCUUCUGCUGUUUAUAUAGAGGCAUGGCCGAUUCUUGGAGUAUCAAUGUUUGCCAUUUUAUUCAUUCCUGCUUUGGCGAAUUUCCUUUUUACAAUUCGCCGUGAUUAAUAAGGAUCCUCGGAUUAUAUGCACAUCAUGGAAUAUCCUAUAGGUAUCGAUUGACAGACUACAAAUACAUCCAUAAGAAGUUUCUUAGUAUUCCAUAUACACAAUUAGGGCAUUUAUUGCCUCCUAAAAAUAACCAUAUGAAAUUAAUUAGUUUUCCAUUAUAACAUUGUGACAUUUUAUUGGCUCCCAAUAUUAUUUACAGAUGGAAUUAAUUAGUAAUACUCCAUACCAAGAUUGUGGUAUUUAUUCGCUCCAAAAUUACAAGGGAAAUUAAUUAGUAGUAUUCCGUAACAAGAUACAUAGUGUAUAAGAAAAUGUGUCAUCUUGAUAGUUUGGUAUUAGUUUAUGUAUUUCGCACCUAUGAUUUUUGAACAAGACACGGUGCGUUGCACAUACGGUCUGGCUAGUGCAUAGUCACCUGAUAUUUGAUUGAAUUUGUUAUUUUGAUUUUUUUAGUCAACUAUGCAGGUUUCAUUUGGGGCGGUAGCGCGUUUUUUUCCACUGGCGGGGGGCAUUUCAUUACUCAAGCUAUAACAGUUUUACAAUCAUCGGUAAUCAUAAUGAUAAUCUCCUGGGGAGCGAGCAUGUGUAAGCCAAGAAUUUGUGUGCUGCUCUCCAUGACCAAUUGCCACCAUUACAUGCCCAGCUUUAUUCUGCCCAUGACUAAUAAUCUAGUGAAUUUCAGUGUUGCGUUCGUUGAGCAGAUGCACCAUCUCUGCAACUUGGUGCAUAUUUUUGGAUCGAUCACCCAGCCCAACUUUUACAAAAGUGAUGAUCUUGGCACGGUCCAUCCCAACCUGAAACAGGGCUUGAGACCAAUGCAGAUUUAGACGGAGGCCUAUCCCUUGGUGACUGAGGCAACCUGAAUUACUUCAAAACCACCUCUUGGAAAAUGACGAUAGUAUCUCAGAUCACCGGCCAAUUGUCCUUCACUGGAAAUUGCACGUGCAUUGCAAUAAAUGAUAGUGUAUUAUUUAAAUAUCAAAAAUUGGGACACAUAUGCAAUUUCAAAAUUCGAAACACAUACAUGUAAUUUUUUGAAGGAACAUUUACACCUGUAUAUAGUUAUGUUAUACCAGUACAAUGCCCACGCACUGCUACCGUAGAUCUCAAAAAAUGCCUCAAGCACGUUAUAGCAAGCACUAAAGUUUCACUUCCCACAUCCCACCUAUUUUAUCAACCACUGUGAUUCCCAAUCAGACUUAAAUUUUUAAGAUCAAAUGGGAAGGUCAAAUUUAAGCACCUAACGAUGAGAAGCGAAUGAUAUGGUGCAAUAUGACCAAAAUAUAUCUGCUAUUAAAGAUCCACAUGCAUAUUGCAUUGUCGACUUCUCUUGUACCAUUUUCUACUUCACCAACAAUGCUUGCAUCUCCCUUUCACUACUGGGAAAAGUCUUAUAUAUUUUUUUGAGCAAAAAUAGUAGGGUAAACCCCUACUGUAACACUUUUUUGAUUAAUAUAAGAGUGGUGUUACAAGUCGAUGUACAAUGUGAAUAUGGCUAUGUGUAUGCCUAUGAUAGAUUUACAAAUAAUCUAGCUAAGUUUGCAUCCCUUCCUUCCGGCUUGGUUUUGCUUUCCUCAUGACUGUAAUUGUUCCUUGAAACAGGCAUUGCAAUAUUCUAAGCUAUUUGUCUUGUGGUAAAAAAUAAUGAUGUUUCUGUUCUUCCAGAUGGACCAGCAUGUAGCAAUCAAGCAUGCUCUGAAUGAUUGAAUAUUUGUUCUGGUUUUUUGCUUUAUCUAGCAUUUGGUUGAUGCUAUGGUCAGUGUUCCAUUCAAUCCCAAUAGAUAUCCAGAAAUUGUGGCUAAAGUCACACGGGGAAAAUAGAUGCUUCAGGUGUUCAUUAGGCUCAUUAUCACAUAGGACACAUUUGCUUGAUUGAAUACAGAUGUGUUUCCUUGCUAGCAAGUCUCUAGUAUUUAGCCUAUCAAGUAGCCGUAACCAGAAGUAUUUUUUUCGCUAAGCAUCCAUAUUUCCAAAUCCAUUGGAAUGGUUAAGGGGUAUAUGGUGGGUUUCCAAUCAAUUAUAGAUAAAUCCUUUUGGUGGAAUAACUUGUAGAUGACCAAUAGAAGUGCCAAUUGUCUCUGCUAUUGUUGCUUGCAAUAUUGAUCAUGUUCCUCAAAGAUAUGAUUUGUUGUACGGCAACAGUUGACAUGCGUAGAUGAAACAUUUCAUAUAGACCUUCCGUAGCUAUACCAUGUGUAGCAGCAAAUGUUAUAUCCUUGUUUUUAGCAUAUGAAAUAAGUUGGGGAAUUUAUUCUCAAGAUUAUCAUCCUCCCAUUUAUCGUACCAUAACCUAGAAGUAGAUCCAUCACCAACUUUGCAAAGUUACAUGCUUUUGAAAUCAUUUACAACAUAGCAGCAAUCUCUCCACCCAUGAUCCAACCUUUGUUGGAUAAGUUGGUAUCUCACCAUUGUUUUAGUAUGAGUUCCAUAAUAUUUUCACCCAUGUUAUGUCAUACUUAUUAAAGAACUUGUGUAUGAACUUUGUCAGACAUGCUCUGUUCUGAGUUCUGAGCUCUAGUACUCUAGGCCACUAUCUUUUUGAUUGAACAUACCUUCUCCCAUUUGGCUAGACAUUUGCCAUGUUCGUUGAUAUUCUUCCAAUACCAUAAGAAGCACCUGCCAGAUUUUUCAAAAUGAUCUAGGAUGGUAAAGGCAACUCUGAUGUUGCACAUUGCAAAAAUGGGCAAUGCAUUGACCACGACUUUAAGAUGGACCAAUCUUCCUGCAUAUGAGAUCAUAGGUGCGAUACCAGAUAGCCUGACAUCUAAUCUUGACACCAUGGGAUCAAAUCAUCAAUUUUUGGUCUUGUGGAGCCCAUUGGUAAACCAAGAUAUGUGAAAUGCAUGCUUUAUUUUUUACAUCCAAGUAUGUUGGCAAGUUGCAGAGCUCUUUCAUCUGUUAUGUUCACUAGUUGACCCGUUGCGCCAAAUGGCCCAGAGACCCACUAAAGACAUGUUGUCGAUGAAAAUAGUUUCAUGCUGCAAGAACCUUCAACUAAACCACCCGUUGCGCCAAAUGGCGCAGAGACCUGCUAAUUCCAUGUUAGCGAUGAAAAGAAAUCCAUGGUUUAGUUGAUAUAGUUACGGGUAUGCACAUAUGAUAACAAAUUUAAUCUUUCUUAUAUGAAAAAAAUAGGGCUUGUUAUCAACAAUAAGAUGUAUAUACACAAUUAAAUUUGGUAACAUAGAGUUCUGUUUGAAACAAAAUGCAUGUAACAAAUCUAAUCCUCUUUAGUAGGAAAAACAUGGUAUAUUUUGUUGUGUAUAAUGAGAUGUAUAUACAAAUUCUAAUUUCGUAGCACAGAGUUAUAUAAUCUAUAAGAUGUGAAUUGCGGACAUCACAUCCAGAGAUAUUCACAUCAGCAACAAAGUUGUCUACAAUUCAUGUGAACGAUGUGGUUCGCCGAGGCGGCCAUUUUGGGGGCGUUGAUUUCUGAGGGAGUCCAGGUGGUGAUGAUGAUAGACACUCGGUGAUCAUUUGCGAAGGGCAUGAUCAGCGCAAAUCCUGCAUAUUUCCCUUGUGAAGCCCGUCUUGAAAGUCGGAGUUGUCAAUUGUUCACGUGUGUAGCCAUCUGUUAGCAUGUGGCCAGGUUGGCUGGUGGUACCCAUGUUGUGUGGGUUGAGUUGUAUUGGUUUUAGCCCGGUUUUCCUCCAUUAACCAGGCAAUUCUCACUAUCUUGUAAGCUAAUGAAAAUGGAAGUCUUUUGUCUCGUUUCAAAAUAAUUAAAUAAAACAUCAGCGAGAAACAACAUCCUUGGGCCAGCACCUGACUAAGUUGAAACGAUAUUGUUCCGCGCCUUCCAAAUAUGUGAAGGAUAUUACCGAUGUUAUCUUGGGCUUGCAGCCCUUCGGGUGGCAUCACAACAACAAAAUUACGGUCAUUUUUUCAUAUAUAUAUAUAUAUAUAUAUAUAUAUAUAUAAAUGAAGUGUCAGGUCAUAGCAUUGCUGAAGCGGACUAAAAUUUAGGAGAAUGGAUGAGAAUAGAAAUGAUGUAAAGUCGGGUCUCGGUUUAAAAUGGGCAUAAGAAAGUAGUAUUUUAGUAGAGCUGUAUCGGAAUGCACAAAGGCUUAGUAACUGCAAUACUAAUUUACUCAAGGAAGAGCUGCACAAUUUACUCAAGUAUGAGCUGCUCAAUAUUGUCGUCAGAACAAACUGUAAUAGGAUCGUGGGAAUUAUAUGCUGAUGUGUACACACCUUCACAAUUAUAUAACUCUAUGUAACAAUGCACAAAGGAGUAGCAGCCACAAUAUUAAUUUACUCAAGGAAGAACUAGUCAAUUAUGUCAUCAGAACAAACUGUAAUAGGAUGGUGCAAAUUAUGUAAACCUUGAACGGGGCGCAUAAUACCUUCCAAAGCCUGUUAACAUCAAGAUGUAAUAAGGCAAGAGAAAAAUGAUUGUAACUAUCUUCUAAUUGUUCAAACAUUUGAGAAAGCUUAGAGAAACCGUCCUGCUGCCUUUUUCUCCAAUGUUCUCUUCCUUCUUUUACCUGCAAAAAUUAAGCAUGUUCCACAAACAGGCAAAAUCAGUGUUGUUACCAACAAACUUUCAUAUUAUAAGAGGUAUUCUGGAAGUAUUUAUGCUAACUAAAUUCAGAAAAGAUCAAAAUCAUAAUAAUUUAGCAGCCCUAUAUAUGACUUGUUUCAAUCCUCAUGGUGCAUAUCAAAGCCCUGCAAUCGAAACUGAAAAAUUACUCGCACUGAAAUCUCUAAACACCAGUUGAUCUAACUAAUCAAGCAAGUAGCAGUCCUGCACUGAAACCCCUAAACACCAGUUCAGUUAUCCAUAUUAUACACAUCCCGACUACUACAAAUUCUGAAAAAUGAGAAACUGCACCCUCAACAACAACUAACAUAAAGGCUAAAACAGAGCAAUCAACCGUUAUUUCUGCCAUGGCACAAAAUUUCUAAUAGAAUCACAUCUAAGAAUGUCAAUUAGAAGGAGAGAAAGGAACUCUAAGAAUUCAUGGUGGCAGAUAAAGCAAAUAAAAUAAUAUUGUUCAGGAAACGAGAUAAUAUCAGGCACACGAAAGGUUGUUCCGAGAUGUUCCAGACAAUCUAAUAGUUAGACAUCACACAAAAAAAGGUUGAAUCAAAGAAAAACUAAAAACCAGAUUACAAUAUAAACUGGUUACGUUUUUUUGCUUAGGCAAAGGCUGACAUGAACAUUAGAAACCAAAUUGAACUUAUCUUUUUCUAUGUAGUAAAAAACUGAACAAGUGUUUGUGUUUUUCAUCGAAAGAAAAAAAAUGCUAGGAGAGUAAUAUGCUUAUGGCAGAAUUAACAUUGAUAGCAAAAGAAGAUAUAUACUGGAAAUGUUGGACUAAAUUUAGCCAUGGGAGAUAUUAAAAAAUUGGACAGCAUUGACAGCCAACCAAGCAAAUGAAGGAAUAUCCCCGCCAAAAUUAAGAACGGUAAAUUAGCAUCUAGAGGUAUAUAAAAACAAACAUUCCGCUUGGAAGAGUGUUAUCUCAGUAUGAUAUAAAUAUCUAUGAAAAUGUACGCACUAGCUACUAUUCAUGGGGUGUCACCAGUAGCAAAACCCACACCCCAAAUUGUAAAAUCUGAUGUCAGCAGCAAGAUUGCUGCACAAACAAACUGCUUGAAUCUAAUGAAUAAAGAAGGGAGCAUCCUAAUCGCAUACAACAUGAUCUAUGAACAUAGUUUUUUUCCAAAGGAUAUGAAUCAAAUUAGCAAACUAAUUUGACCAACGGCUCUCGCCAUCUUCUGAAGCUAAUCACAUGAAAUGGUUGCGUAGAGCAAAAAUCCAAAUCACAUCAGCAAAGAAAAGCUAUUUCCAUGAAGUGCAGUAGAAGCAGUUAGGAGAGGAUGCUGCAAUUUCCAAACAAAGUAUAAAUAGAUAUGAGAUAGACAUGAAAUAAUUCAUUAUAUCUCAGACCACACUAAAGUACAAAGAAUCAAAGAUAUGGACAUAAUAAAACUAAACUUCAAUUAUAUGAAUAUAUGCAUCAACACAAUAGCCAUUCAGUUCAUAGUUUACACGGGAAUGGACCAAACAACUGCAUCGCUUGCCGGUUCGCUAGUGUUGUACAACUACAAAUGCCAAUACCUUGUUCCCCAGGACCAGCAACAUGGUGGCGUCGGAUGCACUCGUCGUCUCUUGAUGCAUGUGGAGGUCCCCAAGCCAAACCCAUGGACACCUCUCCUGCCGCCUAUCCAGCUCGCUGCACCAAGCACCGCGCUCACCGGUGCUAUCCGUUGACCCGCAUUGGUUGAGGCACCACCAGGAUGGUCGAUUUCACAUGGGUCUCCUUUUCCUUGUCUAAAUCCCAUCCGGAAGUUCCCUACAGAGAGGGAAACAAAGAGCACCACUGCUGCAGCUACCCAGGGUACUAUAAAUACAUGGAUGGAAUCAAGACUAAUAGAUAAAAAUAAAAGAGUAGAUAGUUUAUUUAGUAUAGCACUUUUUUUCUUUUUGAAGGAUUUAGAAUAGCAGUUAGGACCAAUAGAACUCCAUUUUACCAAUCUGGUGUUUGAUUUGAUAUACCAUGUUUAACUAUCCAUGUUUAGGGUCAUCCCAUCAGGGCAUUUGAAAAACUUUUAUGAAGAAGAGUUAACUUCUUUAAUCAACCCCGUAGAGCGAUGUAUUUAUCAAGGAACGGAACAACAUUCAGAGCUGCAUGAACAGACUUCCAUAUUAUAAGAGGUAUUCUAGAAGUAUUUAUGCUAACUAAAUUCAGAAAUGACCAAAAGCAUAACAAUUUAGCAUCCAUAUAUACAUGAUUUAGUAGCAGGGGCGAAUUCUCCCAACUAUAUAUUGCAAAAAGGGUUGUAGUAGUCUUCGGCUUGGCUAGUUUUACCUUGAACGAAAUUGCGAUUUAGAAAAGCAACAUGGGUUUUCUGAAGAAGCUCUUGUACCCGAUCAACAGUCCCAUUGCCUGAUCGGAGUGAGGGAGAAAUGCAGGUAAGGAGAAUGAACAAGCAUCUUGAAGUGAGAGUAGUAAAUAACCAAGAAAUGAACCAAUAAAAAAACACAAAGAACAAUCACUAUCAGACCCAUUAAUUUGUCCAUAUACAUGAUUGAGAGUAUAACUUGGAAACGAAAAAUAUCUAGGCAGAUUAGAGAUAGAGCUCACCUUGUUUUUUCCUCUUCCUCAAGAUCCUUCCUCUUCUCUUCUUCGUUCGAUCUACACACAUCUUCUUCAGAAAAACAUAAAAAAAGAUAUCCAAAUUAGAUUAAAGAACCAAGGGAAACAACAGGGGAACCUGCAUGAUUUUUUCUUCUGCAUCUUCCAUGGAUGACGAAUCUCACAGAGAAUGUUGAGAUCCAUCUUGGCCUCACCUUCUGGCGAGGACGACAACAACGAAGGCACCAUGGACCACCGCUUCGCCAGCAUCACCGCCUGUUGUGGCUGCUACUCCCCUAAUCCCCGGCGGUGCCACCACUGGAACAUGAGAGGAGGUGAGGGGAGGUGACGGCCUCUAUCACCUGCUUUUCCCUAUCGCCGGCCUCUCCUCCACCCCGUGAGGCGUCUGCUGCCCGGUCUUCGGCCUCGCUGCUCCACCCCACACCGCUGGCCUCUUGGCCCUCCCCAGCUCCCUCCCAUCCGACGUCGUGCCUCCUCCCCUCUUCCUCUCUUUCUCCCUCCUCUGUCUCCCUCUCAUCUUCUCUCUCCUACAGAUCUAACUGAGCGUCGUCGACGUUGCCCUUUGCCUAUAGGUCGGCGCUCUGGUGGGGAUCCGGGGAGGAGGAGGGGGCGGAAGGGAGGAAUGGUGUGGCGGCUAUGAGAAGGAGCGGGUGGCUGUGGAUGGGGGGCUAGGGUUUGGUGCAGUUAUGUCCAAUGGGCUCCUCGUCCCAGCCAUGGGACGCGCGGCGCACGAGGAAAGGUUCACCCGCCCGAAGAUGACCCGCUGCUGAGACAGCCAAUGCAAGCUUGAGACGACCCCCUCGUCAUUGGACAAGGAAAAUGACUGAGAGGUGAAAAAUGAUUUAAUUGCAAGUGAAGAUCCAAUGGUGCAGGUGAGCCAGAGGGGCAGAUCCGACGGCCGACGAAACUCCAAUCGGCGGAGCCUUGAGGAGGUGAGUUGGCUAGCUUCUUCAUAGAUUUAAAUUGGUAAAAGGGAGGAAUUACUAUAGUUUACCUUAAGCCCGGUGAAUUCAGAGGAGAUUUUAUAUAUGUGUACCAUGUGACUGAGUUGUUGACGAUCAGUUGGCAUGAUGAUCAAUGUGUCAUAUGCAUACUAUAUGCUGGGGUAGUUCAUAUAACCAUGGUUCUCAAUAGGAGUAGACAGAUGACCUUCUUGCCAUGAUUUAUUAAAUAAACUUGGAGAAGCUCAGCAUCAAUGACAUAGAGUAUAGGGGACAAUGGGUCUCCUUGGAUGACUCCUACUUUGAAUUUUUUAAACUUACCAUGCACUCCAUUGAGAAUAACAAAUGCAUAUGUCGUUGUGAGUAACCGUUUGAUUGACCCAGUCCAUUCAUCAAAGCCUAGGUGUUUAACCAUGUAUAGUAUGUCAUUCUAAUCCAGUUUGUCAAAUACUUUUUUGAAAUCAAUUUUGAAGAUGAUGAUCCGCUUCUUGGAUUAGUGGCACAUAUGGAUAUAGUCAAAAGGCCAUGCAAGGCGGGCUUGAAUGGUAUUUUUUUUAAUAAAACCAUACUAGUUUACACCGACCAUAGUAAUAAUGACCUUUUGUACUCCGUUUCCUAAAAUUUUGGUGAGUACUUUGAUUCACAUGCUCAUCGGGGAGAUGGGCUCGAAGUCAUUGGGGGUCUUAGGAUUUUCCAUCUUAGAAACUAGAGCUAUGUAUGCUGAGUUGACUAGCGAUAAGUCUACUUUUUCAUCAUGAAAGUCUUAGAUUAGCUUAUAAAAGCUUUCUUUGAUGGUAUGAUGGCAUUUCCUCAACAAUAGUCCAUUAAAGCCAUCAGGGCCUCAUCAUUUAUCAUUUGGCAUGGACUUAAUCACCUCAUCAACCUCUUCCUUGGUGAAGGGCUUCUCUAGAUCUUGUAGAUGUUCAUGGCUAGCCAAUUCAUCAAUGUUUAAGUUUUUUAUAGUAGUUUCUCUUGUAUAAAUUCUGUCUUUCAAGGAUUGCCACAAAAUAGCAGUUUUCUGUUCAUGACCAUGGACAAUAUUAUUGUCAGAAUUCAGUAAGAAGGAUAUAUAAUUAUUUCUGAAUACUUGAGUAGCAAUGGUAUGGAAUUUUUUGUAUUUUCAUCAACCAAUUUGGCCCAUUUGAUAUUUGCUCUAAUUUUCUAGUAUUUUCUCUCAGCUUCAAGGAGGUUAUUGGUAUGAUCAAUAUGUAUCUUCCUAAAGUUCUUUUUGGGCUUGGACAACGGUGUUUGAUCUUCUGGCCCAUCAAGUAACUUGACAUGGAAACAACAUUUCUGCAUGGUCAGGUUCAGCUGUCAUAGCUUUUUACUCCAAUUUUUUAAGCCUUUUUUGAUUGACUUAAAUUUCGAGACAAUGUUUUUUGCUGAGUCACCAAACUGAGCAUUGUUCAACCAAUGGUUUCCUACUGUUUCAAUAAAGCCCUCGAGUUCAAUCUAGAAUUCCUCAAGUCUGAAGAUAUGACAUUUAGGGAUAUGGCUAUCAAUUUGUACCUUAAUAGGGACAUGAUCAGAUGAAAUCUUGGCGAGAGGAAUUGCUAGAGAAUUCAAAAAUUUGCUAGUCCAAUUAGAGCCUGUGAAGAUCCAGUCUAGUUUCUCAAAUAGAGACUCGUCCUGCAUGUUUCUCCAAGUGUAUUUUCUACCUUUGAGAGGGAUCUCCAUAAGGUCUUGAUUAAUGAUAAUGUUGUUGAAUAUCAUCAUACUAUUUGGAUAUCCACCCUACCUGAUUUGUUUCUAUCUUGUGGGCUCCUAAUGAAGUUGAAAUCUCCCACUAUCAUCAAGUGCUCCAAUGUACUGGAGUCAAAACUUCUGACGAAAUUCAUUACAUAGAGCAGAAGACAAUGGCCUUUGAUAAAGGUUCUGCUAAACAUAUAGGAGGGCAUGUGCCAUUUACAGAAAUUUUGACUAUUCGUUGGAACUGUCAUACUGAAGUUAAGUGGAUGACACUUCAUGAAGUUCCAUCUUGCAAGACCCAGUACCAAUAGCCUACAAUGUGCCAAUGGGGAGCACUGGAGAGGUGUUGCCUGCUUAUCCACAACAAAGGCAUCAAAUUUGGGGCCCAAAUUCAAAGCAACUUCAGUUUUCUUAUUAUUGAUAGUUUUUGCAUCAGACUGUGGAGCUUGCAUUUUCUCCUUGCCCUUUUCUUUAGCAACCAGUACAAAUAGUUUAUCAUUAAACCCCAUGUUGAUCUGAGCAAUCCUUCCACUUCUCCUACAGAGAGACUCAUCCACAAGGACCUAUUUCUUCCUCUUGUUGGGGCCAUUCACAGGCUUGCUAGUUUCAGCAAAAUAUUCCUCAGUAAUCUCAACAAUGCUAGCAGAGCUCUCAAAUGUAGGUUGUUGCAUUAAAAAGGUUAAAUUUGGCAUUUACAGUCUUGGCUCCUCUAAGUUUGGGAAUGAUAUCAUGGGCAUUGGAGACCAGAUUGUCAAUGAGGCCUUGCAGUGCAACAAUACUACCCGACAAUUCAUCAUCUCCAUAGAUAUUUGGGUAGUAUUCAGAGCUACCAGCAGCAGUAUUGGUCUCAUAAUUCAUAGCAAUGUUGCUUGGGACAAAUACUGGGCUGUUGGCCAUGGUAGGAGCAGAGUUGUCCAGCAUAGGGGACUGUGGAACAGGUAUGAAGUCAUCAUUUGCUUGGGCAAGAUUAUCCUGUGUAGCUGCAUUAGGAUGGUUCUGACCUACAACCACUACAAGAAUCAGCUGAUUUUCCGUCUGCCAUGGCAGACGACAAAUGACCAAAGCGGAUGGCGAAGGUCUUUAUCGUCUACCGCUGACGAAAUACUCUUCUGGCACUGACAGUUACGGUAAAGAGCCUCUUUGCCAUGUGUUUUAGCAUAGUGGACAACAAAGACCUUUGCCGUCAGCUUUCCUACUCAUCCUGCUCUUUUUCUUUGUCGUCUGCCACAGACGGCAAACGACACCAUCCUUUGCCGUCUGCAUAGACGGACAAGUGCCAAAUGGGUCAGCGCCAAUGCUCCCAGGUAGUACAGGUUGCUGCCAUGUGGCCACUUUGCCAUCUGUGGCAGAUGGUAAAUACCCCUUUGUCGUCCGUGGUAAAUGGCAAAGUGCCUGUAUUGCCCCAUUUCAUUCUGUUUUUUGCUAUAUUCAAGCAUUUUCACAGCAAAAUAUAUGAUAUAUAUAUAUAUAUUUCAUAGGGCAAGUUUCAUAGCAAAUAUAUGAGAUAUCCAACACUUAAGUUUCAUCCAUACAUACAUAGUUCCAUCCAUACAUACAUAGUUUGUAAUGCCCUCGAUGCGGCUAUAUCUCCCACGUGUCGAAGCACGACUUAGAGGCAUAACUGCAUUGAAAGCAAUGUUGCAAGUGAGGUAAUCUUCGCAAACAACCCAUGUAAUACAAUAAGGGGAAAAAGGAUACAUAGUUUGCUUACACUUGCCAUGUCACACAAAUGCAUAAAUAACAUUACAUUCAUCCAAGUACACUCAAGGUCCGACUAUGGAACCAAAAUAAAGAUAAACCCCAAAUGCAACAUAGUCCCCGUUCGCCCUAACUGGGCACCACUACUGAUCAUCUGGGAAAGACACGUAGUAACGGCGAGAGUCUUCAUCGAACUCCCACUUGAGCUCGGUCAUACAUCUGGAAUGGUAUCAUCGGUCCCUACAUCUGGUUUUGGAAGUAAUAUGUGAGUCACGGGGACGGCUGUACUUCUUCACACACGCUCUCGGCACAUACCACCAUGUACAUGUCGUGUAUCUCGGCAACCUUCAAGCGGAAGCCUGGUGAGGGAGUCGACCAUGACCUGACUAACCACAGAAGUCUCUAGUCCAGGUUUAUCGCCUAUUCGGGUUCCAUCCGCAAGGAGAUCCGGCCGGAAUGUCGCUCACGGCCCCAAACGAUGUGAGCAGGGUUCCCAAGCCCACCAUCCGGGUGCCACUUGGUACACCGUGUCAGUGUGCCUAGUCUGUCCCAAGCCCACCUGUACCGGGUGCCACUUGGUAGACUACUAACACAACCUACAAACACCAGAAACUAGUUGCAACUCCUGGACAGAGAUUGGGUUGAUUAAUAAGUCGAGAGAGCUUGGAGCGACCGGAGCCCAAUGUAUGGUAGUAACUGUUCAUGGAUCACAAACACAGAACUCAGUUCCCGAGGAUGGCUGCAAUGAGACAACCCACCAUGUACUCCUACAUGGCCUCUCACCAUUACCUUUACCAAAUCGUGUUCACACACUUAGCUCUCAACGGUAGGACAUGUUCACCACAUUCCAGUUCAUCCCCGAUGAAUCAGACCUGACUCAACUCUAAGCAGUAGCAGGCAUGAAAAACAAGCAUGAAUGAGUAGGCACAUCAGGGCUCAAACAAUUCCUACUCAUGCUAGUGGGUUUCAUCUUUUUACUGUGGCAAUAACAUGUCAUGCAGAGGAAAGGGGUUCAACCAACACAGCAUGUAAUAGUUGAAUCACUAUUGUCCUAAUGCAGUAAAAGAGAGCAGGAGAGAGAUAGUGGGAUUGUAUCGGAAUGAACAAGGGGGUUUUUCUUGCCUGGAGCGAGAUAGCUCUUCAUCGAUGUCAUUGAUCACAUCGUCGAGACAUACGUCUACCAAGGGGGAACAAUCACCGACAAACACAGAAAGAAUACAAUCAGUGCAAUGCACAAUAUGAUGCAUGAUCAUGACAUGUCAAUAUGCUGUGAUUGAGCUAAUGCAGCUAAGAACAUAAAGUUUUGAGUUGAUUUGAACUCAAGUUUCAAAUUUAGAUUCAAGCUAUGAAUUCAAAUAGUGCAUGAUCAUGUUUUGAAUUAAACAGUGAGGUUAAGUUGUUUAAACAUGCAUGAAACCAGUACAGAUGGAUAGAUUGGAUUUUUUGCUCAUUUUUCAUAUAUAAAUUAUAUCAUUUGGAGUUAGAGGUUAUUUUCUAUGAAUUUUUUGAAGUUUAUACAAUUUUCUGGAAUUUCCCGAAUUAUUUUAAAUCCAGAAAAUGUUUAACUGCGUCAGUGUUGUGCAAGCAUGACGUCAGUGAGUCAACUACGGCUGUCCAGGUCAAGCCUGACUAGUGGGUCCCACUGGUCAGUGAUAGAGUGCUGGUCAGGAUCAAUGACAGGUGGGUCCAGUCAACGCUGACUGGGCCAAGGUCAAACUGACAUGUGGGCUUUCUGUGGUUAGCUAAAACUAAACAGGAACUAAACUUCGAUUAAAUAAGGGCGCGGGGCCCAACUGUCUGUGUCAAAGUGGUUAAUUAACUAGGUGAUUAAUCCCUAAUUAAGCAGCCACGUCAUCAUCAUCGGAUCUACGCCGACGAUGACCAAACUGACGGCGAGAGCUCGCCAGACUCGCGUUAAGGACAGCAGUUCGUCACGCUACUAGCACCAGGGAGGUCCUCUCGCUCGUCCGCAUCCAAAGGACUGGAAGGGAGGCCGCAGGGUGGUGGGAAACGAUGCCGACGAUGAGGUUUAGCGGCGGCCGAGGUCGGGCUCGAGCGGGUGCGGGGUUUCAGCGAGAGCUAGAGCAAACGGCGCGGCGCGUUCGCUUCCCGGGGACGUAGUGAGCAUGUUGGUGGUGCUGGGGCGAGCGGGAGAGCGCAGGAGCAUCAAGCUCGUUGGCCAUGCCGGCGACCGAAGUUUGGGAGAUGAUGGGAGCGACACUACAAGGCAUGGCAGGACGAGAGGAUGGGUGUUCCGGGCUUCUGGAAGCGUUCUAAGCGCGAUGACACAACCGGGUGCAAGCCUCAGUGGCUAAAAUGACGGCGGCAACAUAGCCGACAGCGAGGAGCUAUCGGCUCCCGUGAGAACGAGGCUACAUGGCGCAAACUAGGUGGGGAAAAGAGGGGUUCGGAGCGGGAGCUCACACCGGUCACAUAGAGAAGCUCAGUGGGCUCGGGGAAGGCCGACCGACGACGUAUUUGACGGCGGUGAUUGUCAGGGCAGAGGUUGAUGAUGACGGCGAUGGCAACAUUCUAGGGCGUCCGUCGUUGUACAGCUUGGUGGAGAGGACGAGGGGAACGCAUCNNNNNNNNNNNNNNNNNNNNNNNNNNNNNNNNNNNNNNNNNNNNNNNNNNNNNNNNNNNNNNNNNNNNNNNNNNNNNNNNNNNNNNNNNNNNNNNNNNNNNNNNNNNNNNNNNNNNNNNNNNNNNNNNNNNNNNNNNNNNNNNNNNNNNNNNNNNNNNNNNNNNNNNNNNNNNNNNNNNNNNNNNNNNNNNNNNNNNNNNNNNNNNNNNNNNNNNNNNNNNNNNNNNNNNNNNNNNNNNNNNNNNNNNNNNNNNNNNNNNNNNNNNNNNNNNNNNNNNNNNNNNNNNNNNNNNNNNNNNNNNNNNNNNNNNNNNNNNNNNNNNNNNNNNNNNNNNNNNNNNNNNNNNNNNNNNNNNNNNNNCUCGGCUUCGGGAAUGAGAGCGAGAGAGUUGAGGCAGGGAGAGAGGGGAGCGGUCGAGGGGGUUCAGAGUGCUGCGUGGCAGCUUCAGGAGCCUCUCCUGCAUCGGCAGAAGCAGGAGGUGGUCGUGCGUGUGCCAGCGCACGGCGAGCACGCGCCCUCCUGCCCACUGGCAGGAGGUGGAGGAUGACAGGCAGUGGGAGCUGGUGGGUUGGGCCUCUCUGGUGGGCUGCCAGGUAAGUUUCCUUUCUCUUUUCCUAUUUUUCUUUCUAUUUUCUAUUUAUUUUGCUUUGUUUUGAUUUAGUAAUAAUACUAAAUCAUUUUUGUUUCUUCUGAAAUUAUUUGUGGAUGCAAUAUGGACUAGCCCAAAGCCCCACAAUAUUGUUCAGAAUGAUUGGAGUUAUAAAAGUAUUUAUAGGGAUUUAUAACCCCAAGUCAAAUACAAUACGAAUUAAUUCAAAAAUCCAAAAAUGUCCUAGAAAUAUAUUCAUCAUUUUUGGCAGAGGUUUCUACCUUAACCAAAAAUCAUGAACUUUUCUUGAGGCACUUUGGGUUCAUUGAAAAUGUUUUUAAGUUGAACCUAGUUCAGUUCUUUUAGUGCUAGGGAUUGAUCACCCCUAUUUCAAACAUAGAUAAAAUUUAAACAUGAUGCAACACCAGAUGCUAGCACUAGGCAUUACCAAUACUAGGGAUGUGACAACUCACCCCCACUAAACAAGAAUCUCGCCCCCGAGAUUCAAGACGUGAGGUAAGAAGACAGGGAGGCACAAAGCUAACACAAACUUCACGAUCCAGGUUGCACUUCAUAAGAACGUUGAUUCGAUCAUCAUCCUUGUCUUGACAUCUUGUUCUGAGAACUCCAUCAAGCAUGACAACGAGAAGAAAGGGAAAACUCUAGAAGAAUCAAUCUUCAUGAAGAUCGAGCAACUGACGAUCAACUCACGGAAUGAGAUGUUCAACAUCUCUCGAGCUAAGACACGAAACAUACAUCCAAAGGGAUGGAGUGAAACAGAGAACAAAGAUUCAAGUUGAGAAGCACAAUUCCACGCUGAAUAACAUGGUGCAUGGUUUCAAGAUAACGAGAAGUUAUCUGCCAUGAUUCCAUAACGAGACAUCUUAAGGAAGGUGACUCGCAGAAAUAUCCCUUAAGUGGCAAAAAGAAUUACUUUUGAUUCAUAAUCAUUGAGACUCUUUAUACCAACCUAAGGCAAUCACAACUGAUCAUUUGAAGGAGUUCAAAAGAAUGACAUACUCGGACUAGAAUGGAUGAUGUGGACUACCUUGUUGAAGACAACACAAUGGAUGAUUUUGCUUAUCAUCGAAAAUGGAUGGGACCCAUGGUAAGUCCACUUUGGAAGAUGAUCUUGGACAACAACUGCUGAGAAGGGCAGCCCAUGGGGGAUUGGCACAAUGGUGGUGUAAGCUGGGAACAAAAUGCAAAUGCUAGGAAUGAUCCAACUAUCAUAUCUGCCAGAGAUUCAGAUCUGGUUGGUAACGGAAUAUUUCAAACAGCAUGUCUGGAAAAGGAAAGGUAGCAACACAAAUCGAUGAGAUGACGCUGCGAGAUUCUCAAGAGAUGAACUACGAUAGCAAGCUCCAAAACACGAGCUGGUUAUGCUGCAUACAUGUGAACAUGAUGUCCCAGACAAGCAUGAACACAUAGUAGUCUUACCACGAAACACUACCGAGUUCUGGUGGGAACCAUCAAUGAGGAUACCGAAGUCCUUUCAUAAGUCCGGAUUAGCUCUUAUGAAGGAACUCUUUCUCCUUGAACAAACCAGUCAGUGGCUUGGUGUACUAGGAGAUGCACAUGGAAUGGAGGUAGCGAGCGUGUCAAACCAUAGCAUACUCCGCACGUGUAUGACUGACUUGGGAUGAUUUCCAGAGGAAGCAACAUUGACUUUCUUGAAUUCACGGUGGCAACUUGCAUCAAAUGCACAUGUAUUCGAGGAAGUCACUUCUGUCAUCCGAACAUAUGCUUCAUGAACGGGACAUGAGGGCAAUGCUUAUAUAGUUUCCAACACUACUUAGAUGUUCGACCUGAAUCAUGGACAAGAUAAGAAUGUUGUCGAUGGGCUCAACAACAAUUCAUCCAGGUUCCCAUGAAGAUGGAAUUCCACGACUAUGUGAACAAGGUGAUAGCAUUGGUCAGUCCAAAGGAUGUAAUGGUGUAUGCCCGAGGAAUCAACCUCGAGUAAGACAACAUUACGAACAUCGUUGGUUCUGAUUUGAUUUGAGGAUAGCCCACACUCAAAUCAAAGUUUGGAUAAGACAAUAGAUCCAACAACUGAUCACGAGGACCAAUCGAUGAAGAUAUCAUCUUUCUUCAACACACACACGGAGAAGAUAUCCCUUAGAGAUGAACUAAGUUAAGCAAAGCUUCUACCUUCCAACUCUCCAAGUUGUUGUCUAUCUCAACCAACUAGCUCAGGGAUAUCCCACACAGAUUCUUGGAGAAAAGGCUGGCUACAACAAACCAACUUGAUCACGAACUCAACAUAGCGGUCAGGUGAUAACCUGGUGAUCUCUCCGAGAAGAUAUUCGGAAAAUCACGAACCACCGAUAAGUUACUAAGAUCGAGAACAAUCUUGCUUUUCAGGGAAAGACGAUAUGAUCAAUAGAGCAAGGGUUUGACAAAAUCCUAACUCAUUAUUCGAAGAGUGCACUAGAAAUAAGGAUUAGGAUGCACGAUCAAUCUUAGAAUGAUGAUUCAAUAACCAGCACGCUAAGAGUGAGAGUAAUGUCCAUCAACUACCAAGCAACGAGGUUGCUAGGAGUAUUGAUUUCACACAUCACAGUUCACUUGUCGGUAUAUAUAAUCCUAUAAGACUCAAAACAUUUUUCUAGACUCAACAACGUCAGCGAUUCAAUCAAGCAGGGGGCUCCUGAGUCGGGGAAUGCUCUGAUACCAACUUGUAACACCCAUGAUGCGGCUAUAUCUCCCACGUGUCGGAGCACGACUUAGAGGCAUAACCGCAUAGUAGGCAUGUCCCAAGAGGGCUAAUGUUUACACAUCCCAUGUACUGAAUAAGAAAGGGAUAAAGAGUUGGCUUACAAUCGCCACUUCACACAAUACAUAAAUAUAUCAUUACAUCAACCAGAAUACAAUCAAGGUCCGACUACGGAAUGAAAAUAAAGAAAGAAAACUCCAAAUGCUAUAUCCCCGAUCGCCCCAACUGGGCUCUUCUACCGAUCGACUAGAUACGGAACAACACAACGAACACGAUCUUCAUCGAGCUCCCACUUGAGCUCAGUUGCAUCAUCUGCAAUGGUAUCAUCGGCACCUACAAAUGUUUGGAAGUAUAUGUGAGUCACGAGGACUCAGCAAUCUCACACCUGCGAGAUCAAGACUAUUUAAGCUUAUGGUAGGAAAGGGUAGUGUGGUGGAGUUGCAGCAAGCACUAAGCAUAUAUGGUGGCUAACAUACGCAAAUAAGAGCGAGAAGAGAAGCAAUGCAGCGGUCGAGAAGCUAGAAGUGAUCAAGAAGUGAUCCUGAAUCUACUUAUGUUCAAAUAUAACACAAGAACCGUGUUCACUUCUCGGACUCCGCCGGAAAGAGACCAUCACGGCUACACACGCGAUUGAUGCAUUUUAAUUAAGUCAGGUGUCAAGUUCUCUACAACUGGACAUUAACAAAUUCGCAUCUGCCCAUAACCGUGGGCACGUCUUUGGAAAGUUCAAAAACCUGCAGGGGUGUCCCAACUUAGCCCAUCACAAGCUCUCACGGUCAAUGGAGGAUAUUCCUUCUCCCAGGAAGACCCGGUCAGACUAGGAAUCCUGGUUGCGAGACAUUUCGACAAUGGUAAAACAAGACCAGCAAGACCGCCUGAUGCGCCGACAUCCCGAUAGAAGAUGCACAUAUCUCGUUCUCAGGGCAACACCGGAUUGUCCAAGAUUCUGGUAGGCCAGCCCAGAGUUGCCCCUGGUGGCCACCGGCGGCUGACAGGUUCGAACCAACACUUAGACAAGCACUGGCCUGGGGGAUAAAAUAAAGAUCACCCUUGAGUCUGCAGAACCCAAGGGAAAAAGGCUAGGUGGCAAAUGGUAAAACCAAGGUUGGGCCUUGCUGGAGGAGUUUUAUUCAAAGCGAACUGUCAAGGGGUUCCCACAACACCCAACCGUUUAAGGAACGCAAAAUCAAGGAACAUAACACCGGCAUGACGGAAACUAGGGCAGCAAGAGUGGAACAAAACACCAGGCAUAAGGCCGAGCCUUCCACUCUUUACCAAGUAUAUAUAUGCAUUAAUUAAAAUAAGAGAUAUUGUGAUAUCCCAACAUCUCCAUGUUCCAACAUGGAACAAAGUUCAACUUCACCUGCAACUAGCAACGCUAUAAGAGGGUUAGAGGCUUGACAUGGCAAUAUGGGAAGCAUGAUAUGGCAGGUGGUAGGUAUCAUGGAAUAGUAAUAGAGCGAACAACUAGCAAGCAAAGAUAGAAGUGAUUUGGAGGGUAUGGCAUCUUGCCUGCAAAGUUCUCAGAGUUGACGAAAGCUUGAUCCUCGUUAGCGUACUCAACAGGUUCCUUGAUCACAUACUCGUCUCCCGGCUCUACCCUAAGCAAGAACAAAAGCAAAGGACCAACAAUCAAUCUCGGUGCAAUGCACAAGCAACAUGAUGCAAAACAAGGCAUGACAUGUGGGACGUGAUAUGUAAUGCAUAUGCGUGCUCCGGAAGGAAAAGGAUUAACAAGGCAUCAACUUGGAAAACCAAGUGUGCCGCUGGAAUGAUGAGAUGAUUUCGGUCGAAAUUGAUAUAAAGAUCACCGGAAUCGGAUGCACGGUUUGCAAAUGGCAAGCAAAACAAGGAUGGCACAAUUUUGCGAUUAACAACACGAUGCCAUAUACAAUGCAACAAGAAACUAAGCUACUACACUCCAACAUAGCAACAAAACACAUGGAAGUGAUCUACGGCUAAAUCACACAAGAGGAGGUUCAAACAAGCAUGGCAAAAGUGCAAAAGAUAUCAGCUCACAGACUUAGUGAAAAUAUCAACAUGCCAGGAAUUAACAUCAGGAACCAAUGUUUAGAGCAAGCAGACAACAUGCUACAGGAACAGAUAAUAGCAAAACAAGGCAUGGCAUGAAUAUACCCAAAGCAUAGAACAAAAGUCCCUUAGUGAGCAUAAGCCAAAAAGGAUCAUAAGAUAUGAUGGCACCCAUGUAAACAUAGCACGUCUCGUUAACAGAUUCAGACUUAGCAGAAAACAGAGCAUGGCAUAAACAGAAUUAUGAAGGCAUCUUUGUGAGCUCGAUUUACUCAUCACAAAGCCUUGCAUGACAAACUAAGCAUACUACCAGUAAGAAGACAUGAUAAAGAAGCAAGAUUAAGUCAUGCCAUGUCACUCCAUAAUUGAAAACAAGGGCAUGGAUGGAUAGAGCACAACCAUAUGUCCAAAUCAUCCUUACUGAAGAUACUCAAAACAGACAUGGAUCACUCUGUAGCAUCAUGGAUACAUGGCAUAUAACAGCAGGGAAAUGACAGUGAAAUUCUAAGUCCUUGAAAUGAGCAAUAUCACGAGAACUACUCUGCAUACUUGUGCUAGUCACCACAUUGAUCACAAAAAUACAUGGAACACACCCCUGUAAAGAUGGCAUGGCAUAGACCAAAAACAUGUAGAGCUCAUCUUCAUAUGGAGCACACAACAAAUGUAGCAGAAAUGACAAAUCCUCAUACUCUGCUAAAAAUCAGCACCUAACAAUUUAUAGCACUCUUGCAUCAAUGAUUUGGGCAUCAAGAUGGACUCAAACAAGCAUGCCACAAUGGAACAAGAUGACCAGAACAUCAUGAUGAACAUUUUGAUAUAUCGUGCAUGUAUAAUGGAGACAAAUACACAUAGAUAUGCUAUGAUGAACAUGCACUCAUGAGAUGGAUUUUUCCAGACUUAGACAAAUAUUACAUGGGCGCAGGAUAUCUAAAGUGCGCACUGGCGGGGACUUAGGUGGGCUCGCUCACAUUAGGCCACUUGGUCCAGAGAGGAGGGAGAGGCGGAUCAGGCCAGCAUGGGGCAGGCCGACGGGGACGGGCCGCGGGGCCCAUGUGGCGAGACGAGCGGGACGAGCGCUCCUGCUCGAUCCCGAGCAGGAACGUGGCGGCGGCGGAUCAAUGGCGACGGCGGCAGACCAGGAAGACGAAGAGGGGCAGGAACCGGCCGGAUCCGGUGGAGGAGAUGCAAGGCGGCGCCGCGGCAGAGCUUUGACGCGUCGUCGGCGGAACAUGACCAUGGGGAUGACAGGACGGCGUCGGUUGGGUCGGCAGGGCACGAACUCCCGUGGGGAAGCGAGGCGGCGCGAUGAAUGAGGUGGCAGGGCGCGGUGGCCGGCGGCGGCGCACACGGUCGUUGGCGGCGGAGUGGCGCAGGUGCCCCAGCGGGUGUGGUGAAGGAGGCGCGGGCCGGGGAGGGCACGACCUGGGCCCGGCGGGCUUCGGCGGGAGGUGCGCCGAUGUGGGGCACGACCCGCUCUGAGGUGGCGACGCCUGAGUGGCUGAGGCGGCGGGGAAGCUGAUGUGGCGUGACGCCAUUGGUCGGAGUGACGUGGAGGGGCGCGGUGGACAUGUCCGGCAUGGCGAGGACGGGUCCAGAUGCACAGUGGAGGAGUGGAUCUAGGGUUAGACCACGAAAUUCGGAGGGGAUCGCCUAUUUAUAGGUAGGAGGUAGGAGUGUCCAAAUGAGGUGUAGUUUUCGACCACGCCAUCGUGAUCCGACGACGGAGGACAUGGAAGAGGUUUGGAAGGGUUAUUGGGCCACUUUGGAGGGGUGUUGGGCUGCAACACUCACGAGGCCUUUAUGGUUCCCCGGUUAACCGUUGGAGUAUCAAACGGCCUGGAAAUGGCACGAAACGUGACAGGCGUUCUACCCGUGGUGUACCAAGGCCACUUGGCAAAUCUCGGUCCAUUCCGAGAACGUUUAACACCCGCUCACGAAAAGAGACAAAAGGGGAACGCCGGAGGACGUAGGAGUGCCGGAUUGCAAAACGGACAACGGGGAAAAUGCUCGGAUGCAUGAGACGAACACGUAUGCAAAUGCGAUGCACAUGAUGACAUGAUAUGAAAUGCAUGACAUGAACAAAAUGCAAAACGAAAGACAAAAACCCAACCAUGAAGGGAAUCUCAUGUCACAUCUCUGGAAAAGGCAAAAGUCGGGAUACAUGUCAUCCGGGUUACAAAUAUGGAAAGUUGUAUCCGGGGCGUUACAUGGCAUCAUAAUACUUUCAGGCAAAAGUAUAAACACAUCCUUUAUAAUCCAAAUAGCAUUGUUCUUACAAUGGGGAUACAUGUCACUCGAACAUGAUACUCUUCGAGCACUGAGCCUCUAUUAAACGAGCGCCUUCUAGGACUUCUACAAAAUAGUGCUUGGCCAAGCCCUGCUCUACGGCCGGACCCCAUGUUGCAAUAGCGGUGGCAUCCAUCUCUGCCCAGUAUGUCUUAACACGAGCAAGAGCAAUCAGCGCACCCUCUAUGCACGUCGACCUCUUUACAGCGCCGAUAUGCGGCACAGCACCAAGGAAUUGUUGCACUAAACCAAAAUAACUAUUCGACCUUGACCCUUCCGGCCAAAGUUGAUCCACGACAGACCUCAUGGCAAGCCCGGACAACCUAUGGAGCUUAGCCCACUUGGCCAUUUGCUCAUUUAGCAUAAGCGGACACGUUGGAGCACUGAACUGUGACCAGAACAACUUUUCUACUUCGUGAUCUUUUUGAUCUUUGAAAAAUGAAGUCGGAUCAGCAGCACUCAUUGCCAAGUCCGAAUACGCGUCUGCAGCACUCCACAAUUGAUCCAGAGGGGCAUACUUCGGAUCUCCGAACAUCGUCUACAAGAAAAAGGGCUUCCCAGCCAUGAUAUCUCCAGCUUGACGAAGCUCCUCCUUCGCCGCUCUGAUUUUAGAGCGGGUCUCCUUGGCUGCUACCAUGGAUUUGUCCAGGUCCGCCGCUUUCCCUUGGCUUUCCUUUUCAAGAAGCUCAUACCGGUCGGCGGCAUCCUUUAGCUCAACGGCCAUCUUGGCUAUUUGAUUUCGCUCUGGCGAUGAGGAGCCCAUUCAGCUCUUAACUCUUCGGCCGCCUUUAGGGCGGCCACAUCACUUCUCCUGGCUUGUUCCUUGGCUCGGUCAAGCUCAGCUCAAAGGGUCUCCACGGCGGCAGCUCCACCUGCAGUCACAUCAUGUUAUAGAUACUAGCAUCAUGCUCCUCUUAAUAUCUAUUGACCACCGGAGAAUACAUACCCUGUGCCUCGUCAAGCCGCUUGUUCACAAGCACGAUGUCAGCAUCUGCCGUAUCAAGCUGCCGCCUCAGUUCGACAAACUCAGCAGUCCGGCCAGCCACCGGACCGUGAGCCGCCUUCACAUGAAAGCAGCGCGAUUAUUACCUGGGACUACGAUCCUCUGUUUGCCGCCUCUAGACAGCAGCCAGAGUCUCAGGGGCUGCUAUCUGUAUAGAGCACACCAAGCAUGCGGGGUACCAUCAAAAAUUUUAUAUAUUACUUUGCGUACCUCAAAGCCUCUUAGCAGACUCAUAAAAGCUUCAUGCAACCCACUUUUGGCGGAUGAAAUCCUCUCAACCACCGCACCCAUUAAAGUAUGAUGCGCCUCUGAGAUAGCCGCUUGCUCCAAAAGAACCAUCAGUGUGUCCGGUUGCGCACCGGACAAUCCCAGACUCUUUCUGUUGCUCUCCUUAGGAGCCGAAUACUCCUGACUUCGGUUGGCCGAAGGGUUACCUUCUGGCCUUGGCAGAUCAGGAGAAAUCCUCCGUGAUGACACCUCGGGGUCGUCCACCCUAGGAGACUGCGUGACAGGGGGAGGCGUUUCACUCUCCAUCACCUCCGGAAGAAGAUCCCCCGAAGACGAACUCCGUCGAGAAGGGCUACGAUCCGGACUGCAAGACAUUUGUGUCAGUUAUUGUCCUCGGAGAUAGAGCAGGAUAUAUUUACCAAAAGUACUCUUGAUUCACUUAUAGCACGGUGGAGGGCUGGCCCCCUUGCGGGCACUGUGCGGUAAGGACGCCCUCCAGGGCAGGGCCCCUUGGCGAAGGUUUCUUCCCUCGUUUGGAAACCUUCGUUUCCAAGUCUUCAGAUGCAUUCAUUUUCCUUCCUUGGGGAGAGGGGAUUCUAGAUUCUUCUCCCUGAUUAUCCUCCUUCAUAGAGACACUAAUUCCCCCGGUUUGGAUGAACAAUGCGUGAGGCCCGCUUUCGGCUUCUUUAUUCCUCCCUUUAUCUUCCCCUAAUGGCACUUGAUAAGGUGAGAGCUCAAGCAGCCUAGCUAGUACAGGAUCCAGUGAGCCUUCGGGAAGGGGGGCCGUACACCUGAUCAUCUUCGUCUUUCUUAUCUAGUCCUGGCCAAGAUCGAUUUUUCCAGAAUUAUGUUGUGAUAAAUAAAAAGACAACAUGUUCGGCUGCAGAAUUACAUACAUGGGUAUCUGGACGAGUGCAGUUUAGACCCGCAUCCUCGGUGGUGUUCGGACACUUUAUUCAUGAUCCGAAGAACAAUCCAUACAUCCCUUCGAGCGUCAUGCCGAAGAAUUGCUGAAUAGUUCGCGGUCCUUCCGGGUUGAACUCCCACAUACGGAGAGAUCGACGUUGGCAUGGCAGGACCCGACGAACUAGCAUAACCUGCAUUACCUUGACAAGACUGACAUCCCUCUUGAGGAGAUCGCGGAUGCGACUUUGCAAUGUCGGCACAUCAUUAACUAGCCCCCAGUCCAGCCCCUUGUUGACCCAUGACGCCAGUUGUGGCGGGGGGGCAAAGGGAAGGUGGGGGCAGCUACCCAAUUAGUACUUCGGGGAGCUGUGAUGUAAAACCACUCUCGCUGCCAUAAGUUGGACACCUCCAGGAAGGAACCCUUUGGCCAUGGAGCAUCGGCGCAUUUGCUUAUUAUGGCACCUCCGCAUUCUGUGUGUCGCCCAUUGAUCAUAUUCGGCUUCACAUUGAAGGUCUUGAGCCAUAAAAUCUAUGUCACAUUGGUCGGCAUAAUUUUCAUAAACAAUAAAUGAACCAAUAGUUAUAAAGAUAAUAUAUAUACCACAUCCGAAUCAUAGAUAGGACAAGGGCCAACGGGGGCGGAUACCAAAACCAUCGCACUAUAUAAGAUGCAAUUAUAAAAGUAAGAAAAUAAUACAAGUAUCUAUGUAAACAUACAAGUAAGAAUAUUUUUCCUUUCAGAUAGAAGAUAAGAACAAGAGGCUGACCACAAUGGUGCCGGUGAUGAGCUCGGCGCGGGUGAUCGACGGCGGUGAAGACGGGGACGGGGCGUGACGGACCGCUAAACCUAGACAAAUAUUGUGGAAAAUGGAGCUUGGAGGUCGAGCUUGGAUAGGAGAAAGCUUAAGUAGUGUGGCUCGGGUGUUCCAUCGAACACCUUGUGUGCAUAGGAGGUGAGCAAGAGCACCACCAAGCCCGCUUCCCCUCGGCCAGAAAAAAAGAGAGCAGUGUGCUCUGCUCUCACGCGAGGGGGUAUAUAUAGGCACUUCAUUGGUCUCGGUUGGUGGCAUGAACCGGGACUAUAGGUGAGCCUUUGGUCCCGGUUCAAGCCACCAACCGGGACCAAUGGUGGUGGGCCAGGAGCGAGGCCCAAUGGUCCCGGUUCAUCCUACCAACCGGGACCAAAAGGUCCAGAUGAACCGGGGCCAAUGGCCCACAUGGCCCGGCCGGCCCCUUGGGCUCACGAACCGGGACCAACGCCCCCAUUGGUCCCAGUUCUGGACUGAACCGGGACUAAUGGGCUGACCCGGCCUGGACCAAAGCCCUGUUUUCUACUAGUGACACGACGAUAAAUGACGAGAUGUGAAGGCUGGAAUCUGGGGCUAAAUCAUGGAAAUCGGGCCCGUAAUAGAACAUAAGCCCUCUAACAAAGGGAUCAAGACUAAAGCCUAGCCCUCGGAGGAAGUGGGAAACAAAUACAACACUCUCGUUGGGUUCGGGAGUGGGGAUGACCUACCCUUGAGCAGGCAGCCUGUGCGAGAUUUCCACGGUCAGAUACCUAGCUUCCCUUAGCUUCGUGAUGUCCUCCUCUGUGAUAGAGGAAGCCAUCCACCGGCCUUGAAGGUUGGAUCCGGACAUGGUUGAAGGAACGAAUUUCUUAGCUAGAGCCUUGGGUGUUGGAACUCGGGGUGGGGGAAGGGAAGGAUUGAGCACGAGAAGAAAAGGACAGGCCUUGGCCCCUUUAUAAAGAGGAUGAAUAUUGAGCGUCCUCCGCGUGGCCGUUCGGAACUUGCCUAAAAUCAAGGAGUCAUACUAGUAGGCAUGGUUGGGUUACCCACACCCGUAUUGAUGAGAAUCCCGUGAUAAGGGGACACGAUCUCUGCUUCGACAAGACGUGCCAAGAAAACCACCUCAUAAUAUGUGCAUUAGGUGGUUGAGAAAACCAGUUCGAAUAAUGACCAGGCCAUAGCAUGAUGUCACAUUAUAAAAAGUUUUCAGCAGAUUAGAUUUGUGGAAUAAUAUACUCUCUACGGUUGUAUGUGGAAUUUGUUUUGCAGAGCCGGACACGACCCAUGUGUUCAAAAUCUUCUAUGGAGUAUUCAGAGACGGAACCCGCCUUGCAAUGCCGAAGACAAUCUGCAUGCCAGACUCAUUGUCAUUGAAGCCUGGUUCAGGGGCUACUGAGGGAGUCCUAGAUUAGGGGGUCCUCGGACAGCCGAACUAUGUCCUUUGGUCGGACUGUUGGACUAUGAAGAUACAAGAUUGAAGACUCCGUCCCGUGUCCGGGUGGGACUCUCCUUUGCGUGGAAGGCAAGCUUGGCAAUUCGGAUAUGUAGAUAUCCUCCCUUGUAACCGACUAUGUGUAACCCUAGCCCCCUCCAGUGUCUAUAUAAACCGGAGGGUUUAGUCCGUAGGACAACAACAAUCAUAAUCACAGGCCAGCUUCUAGGGUUUAGCCUCUACGAUCUCGUGGUAGAUCAACUCUUGUAAUACUCAUAUCAUCAAGAUCAAACAAGCAGGACGUAGGGUAUUACCUCCAUCGAGAGGGCCCGAACAUGGGUAAACGUUGUGUCCCCCGCCUCCUGUUACCAUCGGCCUUAGACGCACAGUUCGGGACCCCCUACCCGAGAUCCACCGGUUUUGACACCGACAGCGAGGGCGACGACGACAGUGAUGGAGUGGGGGGAGAGGGUGUGGGGAGAGUGACCGGCGAAGAAUUGGGACUUGGCGGUUAGCCAAAUUUGAUUUUAACUCAAAACAACACUAGCGCUACUUUAAACCCAACGCUAUAGCUAACUGCUAAUGGCACAUAGUAGUAGUGCUUUUCUAGAACAAAGUGUUAUUGCUAUAGUAGCUAUAGCACUAGUUCUCAAUCAAGCGCUACUGCUAACUGUUCCAAAUUUUAUUAUUUUCUUUUUAUUAUUUUCCUUUUAUAGUUUUUAAUUUCCUUUUCUUUUAUCAAUUUCCUUUUCUUUUUUGCUUACUUUCCUUUUUCUUUUGUUCUGCUUUCUCCCUUUUGUUUUUGUUUUUUUGCUUUUCUCCCGACAACGGCGUCUCCGGCCCUCUCCCCCUACGCGCAUAUCACUGGAACCAUGCAUGUGGUGGUAACAUAUCAGUUGACCGAUAACGGUUACUUAAGUGCGUACACAAAAUAUAUACAUAUAUAUAUAUAUAUGUAGGUUUCUGAUCAGCUGCGUCGACGACGUUUCACAUUGAUCUUCUUCCCUUUCUUGUUCGUUCCCGAGUAAUUGAGCCCCUCCAUGUGACUAUUCCGGAGCCAUGGAUUACGAUCUUUCUUAGGUAAUGUAGUCUUGAUUCUUGUUUUCACGUAUGCUUCAUCUUCAUUGUCAUCUUCCCUCAUCGGGUUGCCGUAUUGGUCGUAGUCUUCCUUGUUGGCUACUCCAUCCAUUUCGACGAUGUUCCUUUUGGAUCUCCUCACGACAACACGGCUGGGAUUGGACAGGUCGGUUAUGAAGAAGCAUUGUGUCACGUGCUUAGCAUGUACCCAUGGCUCAUUUUUGGCGAUGACGUUAAAGUUCACGGGAGUGCUCUUCACGUUGGGUAUAGACAUGGUGGUGAAAUACUUGUUUUCUCUUACGACAUCCUUGGCCCAUCUGACAUGGAACAUCGUUGCAUCGUGCAUUCCAGCAUAGUCAAGCUCCCACAUCUCUUCGACCCUUCCGUAGAAUCUCUCAGUUGUGCCGUUGGCGUCAGUCACACAUUGAAAUGUCACCCCAGAGUUCUAGUAAUCACUAUCCAUGUCUCUGGCCUCCGUGUAGAACGUGUACCCAUUGAUAUCAUAGGACUGAUAGCUCGCGAGCUUGGGCGCGGGACCAUGUGCUAAGGCGUGUAGAGCAAUCCAUCCGAACUCCCCCCUUCUGGGGGAUUUUCAAGAACUUUCUGUUUAAACCGGCGCAAGAAAGUGGCGUUGUGCUCUAUAGUAACUUCGUCGUCCGUCUUGAGCAUCCCCUUACUUCUUUGUGAUGGUUUCUUUGUGUUGUGCCACAUAAUCAUCUACCACAUCUAGGUGUUGUAGCACUACUAAGUUAGCCCUGUCAAAGUCGUUCCGUCUAUUCGAGUAGUCCACGUGCAAUUCACUCCAGCCGUUGUAGUGACCAUCUCCUUCGAGCUUCCCAUCGUGAUUCUUGACGGGUAAACCAACAACAGGGUCUCCGACGCUUAUAUAAUUCUCGCAAAAGGAGACGCACUCAUGCGUCAGAUACCCCUGGACGAUGCUCCCAUCUGGACGGGACAUGUUACGAACGAAUCCUUUGAUGACCCCAUUCAUCCUCUCGAACGACAUCAUGCUGUGAAGGAAUGACGGCCCGAGGUUGAUGAUGUCAUCCAUGAUGUGGACACAUAGAUGCACCAUGACGUCAAAGAAUGCACAGGGGAAGUACAUCUCAAGCUCACAUAGUAUGACAACAAUCUCUUCUUGUAGCCUUCGGAGCUGCUUCACACUUAUGGACUUUCGAGAUAUAAGGUCGAAGAAGUUGUAGAGACCAGUAAGCAUGUCAUGGACGUGCUUCUCCAUUAUCCCUCUAAUGGAAACUGGGAGUAUUUGCGUCAUCAUCACAUGACAGUCAUGAGACUUCAUCCUGCUGAACCUUUUCUUCUUGGUGUCUAGAAAUCUGCUUAUCUUCCCAUAGUAACCAGAACUGACUUUAAUUCCCAUAAGGCACUUGAUGAAUUGAUCGAUCUCCUUCACACUUAAGGUGAAUCAAGAAGGGGGGCAAUGAUUCUCCUCCUUCUUGUUGAAUUUUCUUCCCCUUUCCCCCUCCUCCGUCUCCGUCUCCGUCUCCUCCAUCAACUUUUUAUGGUGGACAUCUUUCCUGAUCAUCAAAUCUUCCAAGUCUUUCCUUGCCUUCGGCCCAUCCUUGGUCUUCUCCGGCAUGUUCAUCAGUGUGCCAAGGAAGCUCUCGAGGACAUUCUUCGUGAUAUGCAUUGGAUCAAGGCAAUGAGGUGUGUCAUGAUUGUUCCAGUACUCCAAGUCCCAGAAAACAGCCCUCGUUUUCCAUACCUUCAGCAGCGGCUCCGGUGCCUUUUUGAUCUUUCCCGGCGCAGGGCAUUGUUCCUAGUUUCUCAACAGCUCGUCGAUUUCGGUGCUGCUCCUCUUACGUGGAGGUACUCGAAGCUCAGCCAACCCAUUGAAUAUAUCUCCAUGCUUUCUCCAUGGGUGAUCCUUCUCGAGCCAUCUACGAUGCGCCAUGUACACGAUUUUCCUGGACUCACCAUCUUUCGUUGACGUAAGAUGCUAAGACGUUGUAUCAUCCAUGCACCUCGUGCAUCCGCGGUAUCCUUGGCACACCUGGCCUGAGGUGUACCCGUAACCGAGAUGGUUGUGCAUUGUCGUCAUCAGCGCGGCUCUCACAUGGAAAUAUUCUGCUUUGCUGGCGUCCCAUGUCCAUGCCGGUGUUUUACAUAAUGUGUCUAGCUCCUCUUGCAGAAGCCCCAUAUAUAGGCUACUACUAUUUCCUAGUUGUUUCGGCCCUCGAAUCAGCAUGCUCAUGUGUAUGUACUUUGUCUUCAUGCACUUCCAUGGGGGGAGGUUGUACAUCCAUACAAACAUGAGCCAUGUGCUGUGGUUGGUGUUCUGGUUUCCAAACGGGUUCAUGCCAUCGGUACUCGCACCAAGCACGAUGUUCCUUGGAUCUUCUGUAGCAAAUCCAUAUACGGCGUUGAAUGCUCUCCACUGGCUACCAUCUAUGAGGUGUCUCAGCCUCGGAUCACCUUCAUCGUCGGGCUUCUUCCUCUCCGCAUGCCAGCACAUGAGCUUUGCUUCCUUAGGAUCUAUGAAAUACCACGGCAUACGGGGAGGGAUCGGAAAGUACUAUCCAACUUUCUGAGGAGCUUUCUUUCCGGCCUUAUUGUAUCGAGAAGCAUUGCACACUGGACAACUAGUUUUUCCCGUGUGCUCCCCUCGAUAAAUGAUGCAAUCGUUGAUGCAUGCGUGGUACCUAAUGUGCGGAAAAUCAAAAGGGCAAACGAUUUUCUUGGCCUCCUCGACACUAGUAGGACACAGGUUCCCCGUGGGAAGAACUUUAUUAUGUAGAAACUUCAAAUGCUCAUCGAGGCUUCAAGUUCGAGCGUGAAACUCAAGCGGGUCACCUCAGUAUCGCAACCGUCAUACAAUGGAGUACUCGAGUCUACUUCAAGUUGUGCCGGCUUGGCCUCCUCUCUAGAGGUAGCUCUCUCGCUAGUCGUACUCUUGCGAAGGAGGUCUCGAACAUGAGGGUCCUGCACGACUGCACUUAGUAGCGUCUAAGACUGCGGCGUGACUGCCGCCUCUUCUCCGCCAUGUCCAGACUCUUCUUCUCCGUGUACGGAAUCUUCUCCGCCGCCAUCAUCAUUUCCGGACUCUUCCCCGCCGACAAGUCUGGCGCCAUCGUCUUCCUGUCGAUCGGUCAUCUCUUCGUCUAGCCUCAUGUCGUUAUUCCCUGCCAUGUGGACGUCCUCAUCAUCAUCAUCUUCACUUAUCCACUGAGUAUAGCCAUCCAUGAAACCAUUCAUUAGCAGGUGCGCCUUCAAAGUGCCACGAUCAAAAGGGUCCAAAAGGACUCCUUCCUUGCAUCUUGCACACGGACAUCUAAUCGUAGUCCGAUUUUUUGCAUACAUGUCCAUCACCGUGGAUUGCAUGUACUGCUCCACCUUCCAUCCACUCACCUUCAUGACCGACUGCAUGGUAUAACAAGCAAAAGGGUUAUGAAAUAAAUAAUGCAUGCUUCAAAGUCAUAUAUAUAAAAUUUUGGCAUGAGCUUGCCUAAAAAUAGGACAUAUGAGUUUGCUCGCAAUUCACCGAAACGGAAAUAAAUCGACAUUUCGGCAAAACAUAAGCAACUCGAGGGCAUGUCACUAGCCCAAAUGUCUCCAUAUAUAUAUAUAUAUAUCCCAAACACACAUAUUCUCAUUCACACACAUAUUCCCAUUCUUGAAAUGAACAACUUUUUACUCACAUAUAUAUAUAUAUAUAUAUAUAUAUAUAUAUAUAUAUAUAUAUAUAUCUCCCGAGAGAGACCGAGAGCACGCGAUUAAUUAGAUGAUGAAAGAGAAUGAUCGAUGGAGCACGNNNNNNNNNNNNNNNNNNNNNNNNNNNNNNNNNNNNNNNNNNNNNNNNNNNNNNNNNNNNNNNNNNNNNNNNNNNNNNNNNNNNNNNNNNNNNNNNNNNNNNNNNNNNNNNNNNNNNNNNNNNNNNNNNNNNNNNNNNNNNNNNNNNNNNNNNNNNNNNNNNNNNNNNNNNNNNNNNNNNNNNNNNNNNNNNNNNNNNNNNNNNNNNNNNNNNNNNNNNNNNNNNNNNNNNNNNNNNNNNNNNNNNNNNNNNNNNNNNNNNNNNNNNNNNNNNNNNNNNNNNNNNNNNNNNNNNNNNNNNNNNNNNNNNNNNNNNNNNNNNNNNNNNNNNNNNNNNNNNNNNNNNNNNNNNNNNNNNNNNNNNNNNNNNNNAAGAGAGGUAGGAGGAAGAGAAAAGAAGAGAAACAAUGGUGGAGCUAGAGUGGAGAGGGGAGAGGGGAAAGGAGGGGGAGAGAGGGCAAAGUGGUGACAGGAGGGGAAGGGGGUGGAAAAGGUGGCACCAGCCGCAACUAGCAGUAGCACUGCUUUGAAAAAAGCACUGCUGCUAUUGGACUUAGUAGUAGCGCUUUCCAGGAAAAGCGCUACUAAUAAGGGUGGCCCACUAGUAGUAGCGGCGCAUAAAAAAAGAGCACUGCUACUAAACUGCUAGUAGUAGCACUUUUUCUGUACACCGCUACAACUACGAAAACAGUCGGUGGCCUCGUCUGGUCCCACAUAGUAGUAGCGUGUUUCUGCUUCACAUCGCUACUACAAUGGAGUUACUAGUAGCGCUUUCCUGGAAAAGCGCUACUGCUAAAUAGCAGCAGUGUUUACUUCUUUCCAGUGCUACUACUAUGCUACUGUGUAUAAGCGUUUUCCUAGUGGUGAAAAGAGGCAUUGUUUAAUUAAUAACAAGCUGACAACAUGGCAUCAUGAAGUUAAGAGAAAACUAGAACAUUAUUUAGGCAUGUUCAUGGCAGAAAAACAUAUGCUACAUUACAUAUAUGAGGCAUCAAAUGGCAUGGCAUGAUAGAGCAUAACAUGAACACCAAAACAUCUCAACUAGGAAUCUCUAGAUUAUGCAUGGAAUAGAUGGUAGCAUCAAACUAGAAUGGCAUCACAAUGUAACAGUUACAGACUUAGAAAAAAUCAUGAAGUCUCAGAAAUCAGCAACAUCAAGUAGCACACUUGACAAGCUUGUACUAGUCACCACAAGGCACAUAAAAAUACAUGGAUUGACCCCCUGUAAAGAUGGCAUGAAGAUGCUCCUAUACCAUGUCAACAUGAUGCUCAAAAGAUGAACACACAAAAUACUAUGAAAAAGACAAAUCAGCAAGUUAUAACAAUUUUCAGCAGUUAACAACACAUGGCACUCUUGCAACAAUGAUUAAGGAAUCAAGAUUAACAUUACCAUGCAUGCAAAUGACACUAGCAUGUAGAGCAUUCAUAGACGAACAAUUAGACAUAACAUGCACGAAAAAAGAAGCAAUAUGUGUGAAGUUACAACAUGAUGAACAUGCACACGUGAUGUUGGAAUCUGUGGACUUAGCAGAAAUUACACCCUCCGAAAAAGUCGACGCGGGACGAGGAGAAGCGGGACGGAGGGAUCUGGGUGCGGAGGCGACGUUCGGUUUGGUGAAAUGGUGAUUCUAGUCCACCUCCAGAUUCGGCGACGGAGGAGGACACCGGCGAGGCUCUCCGGCGAGGGGUGAGGUCGGCGCGGGCAAGCUUCACGAAGGGCGGUAGUGGCGUGGCUAGGCUCCGGCGGUGAGGCGUGGUGAUUGCGCGCUGCGGCAGCUGCGGCGGCUCGAGCGGGCGCCAGUGGCGGCGGCGCGGGCUAGCGGUGCGGGCGGUGAGCGGCGUGGCGUCGGCGACGCGGCGGCGAUGCGGGCGGCUCAGGCGCCGGCGCGAGGCGCAACUCAGUUUGGCCUGGGUGCGGGCCAGCGAUGGGCCCCGUGGGCCCACGCGGUGGAUACGGCGGCGGGGUGACAUGGCGCCUUCCGAUUCGUUGACGGUGGCGGCGCGGACGGACAUGUCCAGCAGCAUGGAGGGAAGAUGGAGGUAGGGUUUGGACCCCGAAUUCGGACAGGGAGGACCUGUAUAUAGGUAGAGGGAGCUAGGAGAGGCCAAAUGAGGUGCGGUUUUCGCGCACACGAUCAUGAUCCAACGACGGAGAGCAUGGAGGGGGUUUAGAUGGCUAGUGGGCUGUUAUGAAGGGGUGCUGGGCUGCAAAGAGAAGGAGGGGUUUCGGUUAAUGUAGUUAACCGUUGGGGCAUCAAACGACCUCCAAAUGGAAUGAAAUUUGAUAGGCGUUGUACUGGUGAUAUACCAAGGCCACUAGACAAAUCUUGGACCAUGCCGACAAUGUUUUUCUCCCGCUCAUGAAACGAGAACCGGAAGGUGCAACGGUUGCAUGUGAGAGUGUCGGAUGUCAAAACGGACAAUGGAGAAAGUAACCGGAUUCAAGUUUUGAAAAAUAUGAUGAUGUAAUGCACAUGAUGACAUGAAAAAAUGCACCACGCAAGCAAAUGUCAUGGAAACAAUGACGAAUAACUGGAAGACACAUGGCGCAUCGAACUCUGGGCGUUACAGAGAGAUACAUAAAAUCAUGAGAGAGAUACUUUCCUUUUCUCUAGAGGUCUAAAAAUGAAAUUACAAGGAAUUAUAAGAAAUGCAACCGAGGAAGCAUUCACCAACUGUCAAGUAGCUUAAAGAACACCAGAAGUAAAAUUUACAUCCAGGUCCGUAGACCACUUAGCAACGACUACAAGCACUGGAGCUAGCCAAAAGGUGUGCCGUCAUCAUCACCCAUGCUUCGUCAGAGAAGGGCAAACAUUGUUGUGGUAGAUAGCCAGGAACAAAAAUAUGUUGCAGCUUGUUAGUUUCCAGCUGAAUAUGUUUGAUGGACCAUUGGUAUGCGCUUAUUUUGUGUGCAAGAACAAUGAUUCUAUUUGGUCCCAAUAGCCAAUAAGCCAUAAUAUGUUUUCCAGCUGUCCUAAUUCUUGGUAUCAAAGAUGAUUGUUUGCUAUAGAAUUAUUCAAGUCCAUACAUCAAGGUCUGUAGAAGGUAUGGUUAAGUUUAAAAGAUUUGACACUAUCUCAUGUGUAGUUCCAGAUUUAGAUGAAAAAACAUUCUGUUUCAAAUCAUAGUAUUAAUUAUACUUCAGUGGUAGAUUUAAUUUUAAUUUUGCCCAAAAAUCUUCCCAGUAUAGUGAGUCUAAUGCACAUGUAUGUGAGCAUCUAUGUUAAAAAAAUGCCAUGAUAGGGGUUCAAGUACAAAGAGUAGGAAAAUAAAAAAGUUCGAUUUAAAUUAUUCCAGCUAGAAAAACAAUUCUUAAUGAUCCCAAGUGAAAUUUUAUUUCCAAACAUUAUUCUUCGUCAUUUUCUCGCUACAAUUAUCUGAUGCAUUCGCAGUGACCAUCACGGCAGGUCCCACCUCCGUAACCAUCUCUGUUGCAGAUAUCAUUACAAGAUGAAGUUCACGGUGCCCCUCGACACCAAUGUUAGCUUCCUUUCCUACAACAAUAAAAAAUAAAAGGUGCCAUCAGAACCUUUUGUUGUUCAUAUGUAAACUAGGAUUCUGUGAAAUCAAUGUACUAUGCAAAUAGAAGGACAGCAGUGGAGUGCUAAUACAAACACAGGAAAAUGAAACUACUGGCUGGUAUAUAAUUAUUAUGUACUAUGGAACCAUACGUACCACGACAAAAUUGUAAUGGUGAUUAGAACAUCACAAGGAAAACACCUCUAUCAUUUCCAUGCCAUUGUUAAAUAACACUAGGUUUAAACUACUAUGAGGCAUGAUAACUUUCAAAUAAGGGGACGAGCGCGACGCACAAGUUUGCACUACAAGGAAAAAUAGUUAUAUAUAUAUAUAUUGCGAGUAUGAGGAAAAAGAUACUUGCCUAUCUUAACUAAAUACCUCACUCUAUUAGGCAUGGUUGAAACACUUUUCUCUUGCAAAAAUACUGGCAUAUAUUAACUUGAACGAUCAAACUUCAUAAGAAACAUUCAUCUCUUUGGCAACAGAGAAUGAUGUAAUAGGAUCAAUUUUUUAUCUAGCUCUAGGAAACCACAAAUUCAUAUAUACUACAGUUGAUAAGCUCUGGUAAAUAGAAAUGUACAUAUCUUCCUCGCUGACGCUUCACUCGACAAUAAAGUGGUUGAAACCAUCAAAAGUGCCAUCAAGCAUAGAACACCAGUGUUGAUCCGGAUUAGAGCCUUAACGAAAUUGUUUAGCGUUCUCUUCUUUUAUGUCCUUUUGGUUGUAGACUUGUACUACAUUGCUGGUUCCUUCUGCUAUUCAUAUAGAGGCAUGGCCAAUUCUUGGAGUAUCAAUGUUUGCCACUUUAUUCAUUCCUUCUUUGGUGUGUUUCCUUUUUACAAUUCGUCGUAAUUAAUAAGUAUCCUCGGAAAAUUCUUUGACUACUGCUGCAUCCUUGAAAAUUUUAAACAGAUGACAGUAUGUAAUGCUGGAAAGGGAGACACUGUUGCCUUAUGGUCAGACAAAUGGGCUGAUGAUAUCCUAGAGAACACUAUGCCUCACCUUCACUCUUAUGUUAAGAACAAGCAUAUUACUCUUGCUCAAGCAAAAAAUUUGGAUGUUGAUAGCUUCUAUGAUAUGUUCUAUCUCCCUAUGUCUUCUAUAGCUGUCCAGCAGAGUAAUGUUGUAAGAGAGUUGAUCAACAAUAAAGCUGGAAUUCAAUCUGCUGACAUAUGGCAGUUCUAUUGGGGUGGCACAAAGUAUUCAAAUAAAAGGAUUUAUAUGGAAUAUAUUGGUAAUCCACCCGAUGCUCCCAAGCAUUUUCAUUGUACAUAGAAAUCUUGCUCCCUCCCUAAACAAAAAUUCUUCUUCUGGUUUCUUCUACAGGACGGACUCCAUACCAGGGAUCUCCUUAUGAGGAAGAGUUUCCAUAUUGAAAGCAGCAGAUGUGUCCUAUGUGAUGAUGAUCCCAAUAAGCAUUUCAGCCACUUAUUUUUCAGUUGUGAUUUUAGUCACAAUUUCUGGUUAUUUAUUGGAUUCCAAUGGAACACUGACCUAAAUAUGAUGGAGAUGCUUGUGCAAGGGAAGAAGCAUAACAACAUUUGUUGCUUUAAUGAAUGCCUAAUUGCAGGUUGCUGGAGCAUUUGGAAGCACAGAAAUGGCAUCAUAUUUGACCAUCAGGUUAGAAAUAUCAAUCAAUGUAUUGCUAUUUUCAAGGAGCACUCUGUCAUGAUCAUCAAAAAAGCUAGGCCUAGUUUGAAAGAAGGAAUGCAAUCCAGGCUAGACUAUUUGUGAAUCAUCCUUGUUUAUAACUCUUUGUAAAUCCUUGUAACUGUCCUUCAUAUUAAUAGAAAAUGAGUUACAGUGGGGGCCUUCCCCACUGUGUGUUGCUCAAAAAAAUAAUGAUCCUCGGAUGAUAUGCACAUUGUCGGUGUUCUGGGAACGGCGGUCCCCGGACAUGCCUGCCUGCGGCCCACGGCGUGGCUCUGCGAGUGGGCCUGUAUGGCCCAUCUUCACUAGCAAGGACUCAAGACUCUCACGAGGGGCCAAGCCUCUCGAGGCGAGCGAUAGAAGACCUCCUCAGGAGCGGCCUCACCAGGCUGGCUCACGAGGGGAAGAGAGUUCAAGGCCAGGAGAACCUCGCGAGGUUCUAGUGACGUGAGCCAUGACGACCAAGGCCAGGCAGGCGCCAGGCGGGCACCAGCGCACCAUGUCCUUGUUUCCCCUUCGGUCGUAAGGAAGCAGGGGCAGGCGUGGAGUACCGAGGUGUCAAGCAAAGGUUCCCAUAUUAGUGCAACAAGACCAAGACCAGAAGGAUGACAAGACAGAGGUCAUCGUGGAGCCCAAGACAGCGUCACCACCAGAGCCUUUGGCAGGCGAAUACUGCUUUUGUCAGGAUAAGCUGUACUAGCUGUCCCCUUCAAAAUUGGCCGAGGUUGGCUCCCUUCUCUCACAAUAUUUGGGAGAAGGACUAGGGCCUCUAUAAAUAUGACUAGCCACCGCCAUAGCUAGGGGGAGGAUCGAUCAGUCGGUCCGGCCAAGAGAGACUAGGACAUCCACAAGUUCACCGAGCACAAGAACACCUCUCCUCGGGAGGCUGUUCUUCCCCUUGUACUAUUCAUCCUCAUCCCAAGAGGCAAUCCACCACACCACACUAGAGUAGGGUAUUACAGCACAACGGCGGCCCGAACUAGUAUAAAUCUUGUGUCCUUGGUGUUGCGAGUUCGUCGAGUUAGUUCGUAAGAUCUUAGCUGAGGUAGGACGUGGAUCAGUAGGGGGGAGAUCUUCGCGCGCACCCCAGUGUUCGAACCUUGACGGUUUUGCCGGAACCCGUGAUCCGACAUUUGGCGCGCCAGGUAGGGGUGCCCCGAAGCUUCUCUCCUACCGGUCGACUCACCAAUGCUUUGCGGUUCCGAUGUCUGACGACUCAAGGACCAACGCCAACCGCUGGGCAGCCUAGCCGGCCCGGGCGGCGCCGCCUGCCCAGGAAGACCUCAACCCUGCAAUCCAAGCGACACGAGCGCCACCAGACUCUGUGGGGCGCGGGCGGCGUGGCCAGGCGCCGUCCACCCUCACCCCACGACAGGUGCGGGCUGCUGCAAGGGCCGCAAGCCAUGCCGCGGCAACGACACCGCACACCCGGAGGGAGCAGGCAAACAUGCGAGUUGCACUCAUGGUGGCACAGGAGCUACUACGAUGUUGUCUUAUGGAGAGUAGCCGGGAUGCAUUGCUGGAGUGCGUCACCGAGCUACUGGACGCUGCAGAUUCAGGAGUGCCGCCCUUCUGUUCUCUGCUCAUGCCACGAGUUGUGGCCGAGUCGCAUUGCGGGCCACGCCGCGCCCGCGUGCCUACACGCGCACCACCAGGCUUCAUCGACACUGGCGCGACCAACGGGGCUGCACGCCCCCUCACGCCCGCGCCACCUCUGUUGGGUGCGGGCACGAGUGCUGCCACCUAUGGUCCGAGCGGGAUGCAGCCCUAUUCAUCCUCAAGGUGGCACGCUGGGUCGGGCGACAUGGAGUGUGGGGCACUACGGCGAGGUCUUUGAGGCGGCAGCCUCGGAGGCCUACGUACCCCGCAUGAUGGACCAGGAGUACAUGCUGGAAGACGACCCUGGCUCGCUCCUCGAGCCUGGCUGGGAGGAGGAGGCGCUCGAAGCUGGUGCCUUUCAGGACCCCUCCCGGAGCCUCGCCAACAGCAGUGACAGGGUACCACUAAUUCCUCAGGAGCAGGCUUACGCUAACCAUGGUGCGCAGGCGGGUUAGGUCGCAGCAGCAAAUGGCCGUCCCGGCUCGUCAGCCUCCCUCCUGCUAGGGGGCAUGCUGGGGGUUGUAGGAAGGAAGCCGGGGCGAAGCCCCUUCUCAGCGCCGCACGGAAGAAGGCGUCCCUCGGAGGUAUGCCCUCUGUCGGGGAGGUGCUCCAGAGGCUACCCCCGGCAGAGGACCCGUGGUCGCCGAGGGCGCCGCUGGCGUCACCUCUGCCCUCGUUGGUGCCAUCCUGGUCUCUGGUCGUCCCGACGAUGGUAGGGGGCGGCGCAAGAUGGGGCCCUCGUCUGGUGAUAUGAAGUAAGGCUCACGCCUGUCAAGAUCGCCGCCCGUGACACUCUCACGUAAUAACGAGUGGGGCUGUACACGCCCCGGAGUCUCAGGAGUGCCACCCUCGGGCCUCGGGGGCUCCCUCCCACGUCCUAGUGAUAGCACUUAGCUCCGCGCUGGUGAGAAGACUUGAAGACUAGAAGACUAGACUAGGUGCUGGACGCGGCCAUUUGCUUUGGAUCCCCUUUUCUGUAGCCUUGCCUUCUGGAUUUGGAUUUAAGUUGGAGUUGAGUUUUCAUUUGAUGCGUGCGCGGGGUGCCUUUUCUCGUUCGAGUGAUUUCUUGCUGUCUGGUUCUUGCCUUAUUCCGGAGUUCGCGCCUGCUGCUUCCCCCUCACGGGCCCCUCGCGAGCGGGGCUGAGCAAGACGUAAAUGCGCCACGCGCGUGCCGCGCCUUGGCUAGCGCUCGCUUACCACGCGCCCGCCUCGGGUGUCUCGAUGAGUUCCUCCAGAGCGUCCAACCUCACGAGCCAAUUUAGGUUCGCCCAGGCUAAGUUAAACUGCAAUGACAACUUCGCCCUAGGGCACGUGGGUCCACAAAGAUACAUAUUCAACUCGACCUAACAAGAUAAAGGAAGUAGCACAUUUACAAGAGGGGCUUCCCCCGGAUCGCCCUCAGACGCGUAGCUGGCAUCGCUGCCAGCACCGAUGGCAUCACCAUCACCUCCACCAGCGCCGCCAUCCCCGUCGUCGACCACGUCACUCGCGUCCUCCGCGACCACCACACCAUCAUCGUCGGAAGUGAAGGACUUGACCUGCGCGUCCACAUUAUCUUCCACCCAUCGCGACAGGUUGCCCCGGAUGGCCUCAGGUACGGGAGCGAUGGAGGCAUCAAAGUCAAAGUUGGGGUCGGCGUUCUGGAGGUGGCUGACGACUCGGCAGAACGCAUGUCCUAGCAGGCCACGGCUCCUCUCUUCGACAAAUUAGCGAGCCCUCUCGGAAUGGCUCUCCACGCGCGUCACCACUUCGGCAAAGAAGCGGAGGUGGCUGGCAUAGUCGUUCGCAUGGGGAUGAGGAGCAUCCUUAUCGCAGAUAUGGCGCAGGACGGUGUUGGCCCUGUUACUAAGGUCCUGGAGCAUGGAGGCAUGCACACGCUCCAACGUCCGCCGCUAAAGCACUUCUUCCUUGUUCUGCCACGCGACGGACUCGGCGUCGGUGACCCGCUGCCGGAGAGGGAGAAGCUCGGCGCGGGCGGCAGCCAGCUCAGCCUGCGCCAAGGCCAGGGCGGUCACCGUGGCCUCCUCGCGGCGCUCCACCAUGACCAACCUGAACUUGAGGGAAGCUGUCCUACCAGCGGCCCCAGCCUCCACGAGCCGCAGCUUCAGGUCAUACCUGCUCUCGAGAUCCGCACGAGCCUCGGCCAGCCGGCGAUCGACCUCCUCCUGGGCCCUGGCCUCGCGCGCACCGACAUCAUCCUCCGCCUGAGCAACCUCGCGCUCCCUCGUCUCCAGCCAUUCGAGCUCAAGGCUGCGCUCCACGGCUUCCAGCGCCAGCGCCUCCUCACGCUUUCGGAUCUCUUCCUCCUCGGCGGGCGUCCCCCUCAAUGAUGCAAGGGCAUCCCUGUGUGCCUCCACUUGCUGAUCCAAUACGGCACUCCAGGCUUGGAGCACCCACGCGCGCUUCUCCGCGGCCUCGCGAUGACGGUUAGCUUCCCGAUCCUCUUCCAGAGCUCGAGAGCAGGCCUCACGGGAGGCUGCGAGGGAAGCCUCAGCCUUCACAUUACCAAACUCGUGUUGGUGGCGCCCGAGGUUGAUGGCCACCUUCAACUUAUGCCGCUCCUCCACCAGCCGAAGACCCUCGGCCACGAGGCGCGCGUCCACAUCCACGAGCUCUUCACCAAGCCGGUUCAUCGCGCCCAUCGCCUCCUGAAAGUGCUCGUGGCGAACGACGCUCCAUUCUCGCGCCGACCCGAGCAUGCUGCUGACUUCAUCCUCCACCGCAGGGACCGCGGAUGUGGCCUGGAGAGGCUCGCCCCUCUUAGCAGUGGGCUGGGGGCUGGCAUCCACCCAUUUGUGGGACGGGCCUCGCACGGGGCCCGAACGAGUGAAGGCCCGCUGCUUGAAAAAGACCCCAGGAUCAAAACCAACUAGUUGCCUCCCACGACCAGGAGAGGAACCCUUGGCACACUUGCUGCGCUCCGAGCAAGGCCGGGAAGAAAAUACGGCAAAGGCGCGAACUCGAGACACCAUGUCGACGUGCCGGCUUCCCCGUUGACUCAACACCAUGAGUAGAGCACGGGAUUGAAGCGCUCGAUCUUGGCACGAGAAGCGAGGCGAGAGGAGGCUGCUCCUCAGGAGAUCUUGCGACCUUGUCGGAAGGAAUCCAGAGGAAAUAUCGUUAGGAAGUUGAACAACACGCGGAGAAUCACCAGGAUAAGGUACUUACUUGUCAACGGCGAUGUACUUCCUCCGCUUUAACGGCCCAAAGGUGCCGCUGCUUAGGGACCCUUUCCUCUUGCGGAGCUCUUCGAAGUCCAUGCAGAACCGACUGAAGCGCUGGACGUGGCGGCCAACACGAGGCGCAACAGGAGAAGCACUCAAAGGGGCAGUCUCAGGAGCGCCUAGCCGAGGGGAGCCAUCAUGCCCUGCCUCGUAGCGACCUGUCAAGGUCUCAGGAGCCCCGGCCUCCGGAGAUGUGGGCUGCAUCGCCUCCUCAACCACCGCCCCGGGGCAAGAGUCGUGAGUUCCUAAGGACCAUGCCUCAGGAGCCCUAGGCGGCAUUAGCAUCUCGGCACCUUCCCCAUCAGCCCUCAGCGGUGCUCUCCCCCCUGCAUCCACACUUGGGGAGAGAUCGGUGCCAGCAGCAGGAAGAGGAACCAUGACGAUGGGGUUCUCACAAGGCCCCACGAGGCCGACUAGAUGCAGCCCCCACUCAUCAAAGGCAGGCAUCUGCUCCGCGAAUGUUGCCUUGUUCAAGCAGCGGUACAGAAGGCAACUCUUCCUUGGCAUGUCAUCAAGUAGCGGGACACCUGUCGGGACCUCGAGCACCGUUCCCCGCGCCUCGAGAGUUAGCCCGGAUUCCUAAAGUCUCAUAUGGUCCUUGCUGCUGAGUAAGCCCACAUCGGUUGAGAGUGGCGCUGAAGCGGGGCGAUCCGGCGCCGGAUGAACUCCUUCACCACCAUAGGCGCAGUCACAUCAAGGUCCUUGAGCCACCUCAGCCUGAGCCAGACAGGGGCAAGGCGCGGAUCGAUAAGCCUUUGAUGGCUCCAACCAGAGCUGGGAAUGGUGGGCGCUGACGGAGAAGAGAGCAGGGGGCUGAGGACUCCGACAUCAACAAAUUCCCAGCAUGUCCAAAACCCGCUCGUGGAUGGUGGGAGCUCGAAGUCAAUCCCCGUGCCGUCUGUCGCCGCCACGGCCUGAAAGCUCAGGCAUCCUGAGCUCUAUUGGGGAUCAACCAGGUGCAGCGAAAAGAAGUGGUAAAGAAAGGCCACUGAAGGGGUAAUGCCUAUCAUGGCCUCGCAAACAAAAGUGAAGACGGCAAGAAGGGUCACUGAUUGAGGGUCAAGGUGCAGCAUAUGGAUCUGAUAAUGCGCAAGAACAACAUUGAAGAAGGAAGAGAAAGGAGGGACCAAGCCGGCCCAAAGGGCGUCGAUAAAGAAGGGGACCUUAGUGGCCGCCCGGUCAAUGCGAGCACGAGUCGCAGGCCAAGCCACCGUCUUUCCCCACUCAUUGAAGCUGGAGGCGAGCACGGGACGCACCAUGCCCAUAGCCUCAUCAUUGAGCACCAGCGAUCGGCCAACUGCGGUCUCGGCGGCCGGGGGCGCACUAGACGAAGACAGAGGCUUCUUCCCCUUAUCUUCUUGCAUCGGCGCCAUGGCGAUGGAGUGUGUGGAGCUAAGGAAUUGGAGGGGAAUGGCGCAGGCGAUGGAAAAAUAACCGUGUAGAACACGGUGGCCGUCUAGCCAGGCGGGUAUCAAGGCAGCGUGUGGAAGCGGAAGCGCCCACGUCCAAUCAACCGCCAUGUGUCGACCAAGGCCGCAUGCUAUUGGGGUCCACGACGCUCCACACUUGGCCUUUGGUUAGCCUCGAAGCCAAGCCCGAGCGCGCCUUGGGCCCGGGGGCUACUGUCGGUGUUUUGGGAACGGGGGUCCCCAGACUUGCCUGCUUGUGGCCCAUGGCGUGGCUCUGCGAGCGGGCCCAUACGGCCCAUCUUCACCAGCAAGGACUCAAGAACCUCGCGAGGGGCCAUGCCUCGCAAGGCGAGCGACACAAGACCUCCUCAGGAGCGGCCUCACCAGGCUGGCUCGCAAGGGGUGGAGAGUUCAAGGCUAAACGAACCUCGCGAGGUUCUAGUGACGUGAGACAUGACGAGCAAGGCCAGGCGGGUGCCAACACACACAGUGUCCUUGUUUCCCCUUCAGUGCUAAGGAAGCAGGCGUAGGCACGGAUUACUGAGGCGUCAAGCAAAGGUUUCCAUAUUAGUGCAACAAGACCAAGACCAGAAGGAUGGCAAGACGGAGGUCACCAUGGAGCCCAAGACAGCGUCACCACCAGAGCCUUUGGCAGGCGAAGACUACUUUUGUCAGGAUAAGCUGUACUAGCUGUCCCCUUUCAAAUUGGCCGCUCCCUUCCCGCCCAAUAUUUGGGAGGAGGACCAGGGCCUCUAUAAAUAGGACUAGCCACCGCCGUAGCUAGGGGGAGGAUCGAUCGGUCUGGCCAAGAGAGACCAGGAUAAGCACAAGUUCACCGAGCACAAGAGCACCUCUCCUCAUGAGGCUGUUCUUCCCCUUGUACUAUUCAUCCUUAACCCGAGAGGCAAUCCACCACACCACGCUGCAGUAGGUUAUUACACCACAACGGUGGCCCGAACCAAUAUAAAUGUUGUGUCCUUUGUGUUACGAGUUCGUCAACUUAGUUUACAAGAUCUUAGCUGAGUUAGGACGUGGAUCGGUAGGGGGGAGAUCUUUGCUCGCACCCCGGUGUUCGAACCUUGAGGGUUUUUCCGGAACCCAUGAACUGACACACAUCAUGGAAUAUCCUGUAGGUAUCGAUUGACAAUAUACAAAUAUAUCCAUAAGGAGUUUAUUAGUAUUCCAUAUACACAAUUAGGGCAUUUAUUGCCUCCUAAAAAUAACCAUAUGAAAUUAAUUAGUAUUUCAUAUUAACAUUGUGACAUUUUAUUGGCUCCCAAAAUUAUUUACAAACUGAAUUAAUUAGUAAUACUCCGUACCAAGAUUAUGGCAUUUAUUUGCUCCAAAAUUACAAGAGAAAUUAAUUAGUAGUAUUUCGUAACAAGAUACAUAGUGUAUACGAAAAUAUGUCAUCUUGAUAGUUUGGUAUUAGUUUAUGUAUUUGGCACAUAUGAUUUCUCAACAAGACACAGUGCGUUGCACGUACGUUCUGGCUAGUGCAUAGCUACCUGAUACUUGACUGAAUUUGUUAUUUUGAUUUUUUUAGUCAACUAUGCAGGUUUCAUUUGGGGAGGUGGCACACUUUUUUCUUGCUGGUGGGGGCGGGGGGGAGCACUUUUCAUUACUCAAGCUAUAAUAGUUUUACAAUCAUCGGUAAUCAUAAUGCUAAUCUCCUGGGAAGCGAGCAUGUUUAAGCUAAGAAAUUGUGUGCUACUGUCCGCGACCAACUGCCGCCAUUACAUGCCCAGCUUUAUUCUGCCCAUGACUAAUAAUCUUAUGGAUUUCAGUGUUGUAUUCGUUGGGCAGAUGUACUAUCUCUGCAACUUGAUGCAUAUUUGGAUCGAUCACCCGGCCCAACUUUUACAAAGGUGAUGAUCUUGGCACAGUCCGUACCAACCUGAAACAGGGCUUGAGACCAAUGCAAAGUUAGACGGAGACCUAGACUGAGGCAACCUGAAUUACUUGAAAACCACCUCUUGGAAAAUGACGAUAGUAUCUCGGAGCAAGCUUUCACUCCAUUUUCGCUCAACAGCGAUUGGACAGGGCAUUGCGGCCCAUUAUUCACAAGUAUGUACACUCAGAUCACCGGCCAAUUCUCCUUCACUGGAACUUGCCCGUGCAUUUCAACAGACGACAGUGUAUUAUUUAAAUAUCAAAAACUGGUACACAUAUGCAAUUUCAAAAAUCGAAACACAUAUAUGUAAUUUUUUGAAGGAAUAGUUACACAUGUAUAUAGUUAUGUUAUACUAGGACAAUGCCCACGUGCUGCUACCGUAGAUCUCAAAAUAUUCCUCAAGCACAUUAUAGCAAGGACUAAAGUUUCACUUCCCACAUCCCACUUAUUUAUCAACUACUGGGUAAAGUCUUAUAUAUAACUUUUGAGAAAAAAUAGUAGGGUAAACCCCUACACUAACACUUUUUUUAUUAAUAUAAGAGUGGUGUUACAAGUUGAUGUACAAUGUGAAUAUGGCUAUGUGUAUGCCUAUGCUAGAUUUACAAACAAUCUAGCUAAGUGUGCAUCCCUUUCUUCAGGCUUGGUUUUGCUUUCCUCAUGACUGUGACAAAGUGUUCCUUGAAACAGCAUUGCAAUAUUCUAUGCUCUUUGUCUUGUGGUAAAAUGUAAUGAUGUUUUUGUGCUUCUAGAUGGACCAGCAUCCAACAAUCAAGCAUGCUUUGAAUGGUUGUAUGUUUGUUCUGGUUUUUUGCUUUAUCUAGCAUUUCAUUGAUGCUAUGGUCAGUGUUCCAUUCAAUCCCAAUAGACAUCUAGAAAUUGUGGCUGAAGUCACAUGGGAAAAAUAGAUGCUUCAGGUGUUCAUUUGGCUCAUCAUCACAUAGGACACAUUUGCUUGAUUCAAUAUAGAAGUGUUUCCUCGCUAGCAAGUCUCUGGUAUUUCGCCUAUCAAGUAGAAGUAACCAGAAGAAUUUUUCGCUAAGCAUCUAGAUUUCCAAAUCCAUUGGAAUGGUUAAGGGGUGUCUGGUGGGUUUCCAAUCAAUUCUAGAUAAAUCCUUUUGGUGGAAUACCUUGUAGAUGUCCAGUAGAAUUGCCAAUUAUCUCUGCUAUUGUUGCUUGCAAUACUAAUCAUGUUCCUCAAAGAUAUGCUUUGUUGUACGGCAACAGUUGACAUGGGUAGAUGAAACAUUUCAUAUAGACCUUCCGUAGCUAUAUCAUGUGUAGCAGCAAAUGUUAUAUCCUUGUUUUUCUCAUAUGAAAAUAGUUGCGGGAAUUUAUUCUCAAGAUUACCAUCCUCCCAUUUAUCGUACCACUACUAGGGAAAAGCCUAGCAGUAGCGCGGGUUUUAGGUAUAUCAGUGGCGUGGGUGCCCGCGCUACUAAUACGGAGUUACGGCUAACAGGUAGUAGUAGCGAGGGUGCUACCCGCGCUACUACUACAUCCGCUAGUAGUAGCGUGGAUACCACCCAUGCUACUACUAACUAGUAAUAGCGUGGUUUUGGACCCUCGCUACUGCUAACUAAUUAGGAAAUGAAUAAAAAAAUUCCAGCUGUAAAAAAAUAAAUUUCAGCCAUGGCUACUGUUGCUAGGCGUCAUCGUCCUAUUCAUCCAUGGUCGAUGCUGAUCCUAUAGGGGAUGAAGUCGUCCAUGGAGAUGGUGCUUCCCCAUCCAACUUUUCUCCACACCUCUCCUUUACUGCUGCUACAAAAAAGAAACAAGGAUUAGAAGAGGAAGAGAGAGAUAGAGAGUAGUAGGUGCAGCAACUCAGCAUUGGCCGCCGGAGUUUGAGCCGAAACCCUAGAUGACGCCAUGGGUUGAGUUCAUCAGAGAACUGGCCAUCGUCAUGGGCGGCACUCUGCUGGAUCUUCCUCUCCUUCUAGCAGCGGAGGAUGAGGAAGGAGGGGCAUCAGAGGAGGAGUAGGAGGAAGGAGGGGCUACAGUGGAAGAGGAGGUCACCUGAUUUGAGGGAGAUGUCGCGGCGCGAGGCCGACAAUUGUUGUGGAGGAGGAGAAGCGCAUGUGCAGGAGCGCCAUGGAGAAAGAGAGAGGAGGAGAGGGAUGGGGGAGGAGUGAUUUGGACGAGGAGAUAGGGAUUUCAGGGCUGUUAAAUAAACCCAGUACUUAGUAGUAACGCGGGGUUUUACCCCUCGCUAGUACUAUGGCAUGUCCGGGGGAGCACGGUAGAGACCGCUUAAUAUUAGCGAGGGGUAAAAACCCGCGCUACAACUAUCAACUUAGUAGUAGCGCGGGUUUAUAACCCUCGCUACUACUAUGGCAUGUCCCAGGGGCACGGUAGAGUCCGCUUAGUAGUAGCGAGGGUUGAAAACCCACGCUAUAGUAGUAGCGAGGGGUAAAAGCCCGAGCCACGGCCGGCGGGGCCCUCGGGCCGGCACUCCAUCGAGCCACUGCAUGCCGGCGGAGGAGGGGCCGGAGGCGCCGCGGCCAUGGUGCACUCUCCCCCUCCACGCCAGCCACUACGGAUGUCGGUCCGUCGUGAUGACGCUUGUGAUGACAUUUCCAUAGCGUCGUUCGACCCACGGACCCGCCGCGACCAACGCCAGGUUCUUCGGGAGAGAGCCCAUGAAGACGCUCGAACCACCAUCGAGUCCCGGUGCGAUACGCUCCACCAGUCAGACAGGCGGGCGAGGCCCGCCAUGGACCACCCAGCACCGGGAUGCUCCGGCGGCCUACCUUACGAGGUGGGUUGCCCAGCCUUUACCCAUGGGUUGCGGCAGUUCCAGUGGCUGUCCCACCGCACGUUCAAGCCCAACGUCAGCGAGAAGUACGACGACAAGGCUCACCCGUCAGAGUUCCUCAGCAUGUGGACCAUCGCGAUGCAAGCCGCUGGAGCUCGUGACGACAAGGUGCUUGCCAAUUACUUCCCGUUGGCCCUGAAACCCAAUGUCAUGUCUUGGUUGAUGCACUUGCGGGCGGAUUCCAUUUCUUCUUGGUCAGAUAUGUGCCAAGAGUUCAUUGCUGCCUUCACUGGAGGCCACCAAGCUCAUGGCCAGGCGAGUGAUUUGCAUAUCAUUCCCCAGAAGAAAUGUGAAAACAUGUGCAAGUACGUACAAAUGUUCAACCGACUGCAAUACAACAUCCCAAAUGUUCAUCAUGUCGCUGCGAUCAGUGCAUUGCAUCAGAAUGUGCGUAACCGCAAGAUGCGUGAAGAGAUGGCAAUGAACAAGGCAAGGACAUGGCCGAACUUUACAUUCUGGCCGAUAGAUGCGCCUGGGCUGAAGAGGGAAGGAAGUACCCCGGCGAAGACGCCGGUGCGGAAACCGACUCUACCGACGAAGACGUCGCCGCCCCGACGAAGAAGGGCCGGCUUCGCAACUGGAAACGCAAGGACAAGACCGUGCUUGCCAUCGAGGGAUCCGGCGACACUAGCGCCGCCAAGAAGGCCAAGGCAGACGACCCCUGCAAGGAGAUUGCCGGGUGCGCCACUUGCCGGGCCUUGGCGGCUGCCGACAAGCGGUACUGCGAGAUCCACCGCACCAAGGGCCACGACCUCCAGAACUGCCGACAAGUUGAGCUGCUUGCUGAAAAGCAAAAAUCCGAAUAUGAGAGGCGGGACAAGGAGAAGGGUCGGGAUGGUGCCAAAGGAUCCGGCAAAAAGCAUGGCGGCCAAGGAGGUCACCGCGGCAAGGACAACCAGCAAGAGAGGCCCGCUCGGGGCCGUGACAAGAAGCAGGAAGACGAUGAUCGUGACGAGGAUGGCGAGUCCGGUGAGCAUGAGUUCCAGAAGGCUGCGAAGGCCAUGUGCGUCGAUGGUGGCGCCUCGAUGCACACUUCUCACCGCUAGCUCAAGAAGUAGGCGCGCGAGAUUACAGCAGCAGAGCCAUCGUUCGACGCUCAGAAGCCACCGAAGUGGUCCAGCACGCCCCUCAUCUUUGACGCCGAGGCCCACCCUAACCGCACAACUACGAUCGGGUGUUGCCGUUCUUGGUAUCACCAACAAUAUGCAACGUCAAGGUGAAUAAGAUGCUGGUUGACAGCGGGGCCGGCCUGAACUUGAUCUCGCCCGUCGAGAACAAAAGGCUGCAAAUUCCUUAUGGAGCCCUUGAGGAAACGGGUACGUUUCAAGGGGUCGGUCCGGGGAGAAGCCAGCCGAAGGGGAAGGUCACAUUGCUCGUGAUGUUUGGAGGUGAGUUGAACUACAAGACGGAGAUGAUCGUCUUCGAUGUGGCUGAGAUCCUCUUGCCCUACAACGAGAUCCUCGGUCGCCCAGCACUAGCCAAGUUCAUGGCAGCGUUGCACUAUGCCUACAAUAUGCAGAAGAUGCUUGGGCCGAUGACCAUCAUCACCGUCCCCUCUGACAAGAAGGAUGCGUUGAUCUGUGCUGACCAACUCUAUCGAGAAGCAGUUGUAGCAGCUGCCGCCAAGGCAAUUGCUCCUUCCGUUGAGGCCCCGGGAGGGAAGAAGAAGACCGGCAAGAUCUCUCGCACCCACUCCGGCAAGCUCACCUCUUCGGAGUGAUGUGCUACUGUCGAGGACGUGCCCGAGAGGUCUACCGGCAAGAGCAAGAAAUCCAGAUCUGCACCAGCAGAGACCAAGAGGGUGUCUGUCAAGGAGGAUGGCAUGGGAGGGGCUUUCACCAUAAGCUCCACCCUCGAUGGCAAAUAGGAAAGCGCGCUCGUCACUUUCCUGUGGGCGAAUGUCGAUGUGUUUACGUGGCAAGCAUCCGACAUCCCCGGCGUUCCCAGGGAAGUGAUUGAGCACCACCUUGCUGUCUGUCCCCAUGCGCGACCCGUCAAGAAGAAGGUCAGGAAGCAAGUUUUGGAACGACAGGAGUUCAUCACAGAGGAGAUAAGGAAAUUGGAAGCGGCAGGUUUGGUGAGUGGAGUGCUCCAUCCGACGUGGUUGGCUAAUCCGAUGGUAGUGCGCAAGGCAAAUGGGAAGUGGAGGCUGUGUAUUGAAUACACGGAUGUCAAUAAGGCUUGUCCUAAGGACCCCUUCCCGUUGCCGCACAUCGACCAGAUUGUUGACUCCACAACCAGGUGUGAUCUGUUGUCAUUCCUUGACGCCUACUCAGGCUACCACCAGAUCUUCAUGGCAAGCGAAUUUGAAGAGAAGACAACCUUUAUCACCCCAUGUGGUACGUGUUGCUUUUUACGGAUGCCUUUUGGGUUGAAGAGUGCUGGAAGCAUAUAUGGAUGACAUAGUGGUCAAAACCAAGGAUAAGGCGACCCUUGUAUAAGACCUAGGAGAGACGUUUGCCAACCUACGCAAGAUCAACCUCAAGCUGAACCCUGAGAAGUGUGUCUUUGGCGUCCCAUCAGGAAAACUUCUCGUGUUCUUUGUGUCGCAGCGUGGGAUCGAGGCAAACCCAAACAAGAUCAAGGCUACUGAGCUGAUUGAGGCACCCAAGCGGAUCAAAGAUGUGCACCAGCUCACUGGCUGCAUUGCCGCCAUGAGCAGGUUCAUCUCUAAGUCCGGUGAACGUGCCCUUCCCUUUUUCAAAAUCUUGAAGAAGGCAGGCCCAAUGCAGUGGACCCUAGAGGCCGAGGUGGCGUUGCAGGAUCUGAAGAAAUACCUGUCCUCUACGCCAAUACUGGUUGCGCCUAAACCACAAGAGUCAUUGCUGCUUUAUUUGGCAGCAACGAAUCAAGUGGUUAGCGCCACACUAGUGGCGCAGAGGGAGGUCGAAGAAGAGGCCGAUGCAAUGGGAGGACCGGUGCAUGGCAAGUCAGAGAUUCCCCCGGCAGGGCCUGGUGCUGGCAAGGCAAGGCCCCAGACAGAGUUCGACGCCAUCAGGGCAGGGCCCGCAUAGCCAAGUGAUGUGGUGCAGAAGAAGAAGAUGAUGAGACACCGGGUUUACCUUGUCAGCUCCCUCUUGCAUGGAGCCAGGUCAAGGUACUCCGGUGUGCAGAAAUUGCUCUUCGGCCUCCUUAUGGCCUCGAGAAAGCUGCGUCAUUACUUCCAAGCUCACGAGAUUGCUUUCGUCACCCGCCUCCCGUUGCAACGGAUACUGCACAACCCAGAUGCAACCGGAAGGAUUCUGGAGUGGGCCCUGGAGUUGUCAAUCUUUCGUUUGAAGUUUGAAAGUACUUCGUCAAUCCAGAGCAAGGUCUUGGCGGAGUUCAUUGCAGAAUAGACCUCAACACCUGACGAGGAAAUCCAGGAGACCGCUCUCCCCGGUAAGGAAGCAAGUCGCGAAUGGAUCAUGUACUUUGAUGGGGCUUUCUCCUUGCAAGGCGCCGGUGCCGGCAUGCUGCUUGUCGCACCCAUCGGAGAGCACCUCAAGUAUGUGAUCCAGAUGCACUUUCUGAUGGAGAUGUCCACAAACAACACUGCUAAGUACAAGGGGCUGCUCGCCGGACUCAGGAUCGCGGCAGACCUCGGGGUGAAGAAGCUCAUUGUCAGGGGUAACACGCAACUUUUCAUCAGAAAGGUCAACAAAGAUUACCAGAGUCCUUUGAUGGAGGCCUACGUAUAUGAGGUGAGGAAGCUAGAGGAGCGCUUCGACAGUAUUCAAGCAGAGCAUGUUCCCCGGGCGAAGAACGACAUCGCGGACUACCUGUCAAAGCACGCUGCAUUCACGCUACCUAUGGAACUAGGUACCUUUUUGCUUCGGUUAACUCAACCAUCCGUCGAACCAUCAACGGAGCAGAACAAGCUUAGGAAAUCGGGCCCCGGCAAGUACUUUCCCGCCGAGCCCCAGGGUCGUCGGCAAGGGUGUGGUCGUGGAUUCCGAGCCUGCCAAGGGGCACCUGGCUCCGGUAGGGCGCCAAGCCCUGGCCGUAGAGACGGCUGCCCCGGUGGUGGAAGAGAUGCCUUUGGUCCUUGCCGUUGAGGCCCAGGCUCCGGCAUGGGCACAGCAUACCGUCUGUUUCGUCCAGACAUGGGAACUUCCUGAGGAGCAGAAAUAAGCGGAAAAAGUAGCCCAUCGGUCUGCCUUGUACCAGUUCGUCGAUGACGUCCUGUACAGAAAAAGACCGAACGGUGUGAAAUUGAAGUGCAUUCCCGGGAGGAAGGACUAGAGCUGUUGGCAGAGAUACAUGGAGGCAUAUGUGGCUCCCACAUACGGUCGAGGGACCUUGCCGGCAAGGCAUUCCAGCAAGGCUUCUUCUGGCCCACCGCCCUCUAGGAUGCGACGGCACUAGUAACCAAGUGUGAAGCGUGUCAGUUCCAUUCAAAGAAGCUUCAUCAACUAGCUCAAGCCCUUCAAACAAUUCCUCCCACCUGGCCAUUUUCGGUCUGGGGGAUCGACAUACUGGGCCCCUUCACCCGUGUUGUCGGGGGCUUUGAAUACUUGUACAUUGCAAUCGACAAGUUCACAAAGUGGCCAGAGGUGGAAGCAGUGAGGAAGGUGACAGCACAGUCAGCCGUCAAGUUCUUCAAGGGACUAGUCUGCCAUUUUGGUGUGCCAAACAGAGUCAUCACCAACAACGGCACGCGGUUCACAAGCCACACCUUCAUGCAGUACAUCCGAGACCUCAGCAGCAAGGUCCAUUUUGCUUCUAUGGCACACCCACGGAGCAACGGCCAAGCGGAGAGGGCAAAUGGUGAAGUAAUGCACACAAGCAAAAGGCGCUAGAUUGAUGAGUUGUCGGCGGUUCUUUGGUCGAUCAGAACGACGCCAAAUCGAGCCACCGGCCAAACACCCUUUGCCCUGGUAUACGGGGCAGAAGCAGUUCUCCCCAUGGAACUCAUAUACGGGUCACCUCGAGUGCUCGCUUAUGACGAGCUUGAGAAAGUGCGAUUGCGGCAAGAUGACGCAAUGCUCCUUGAGAAAGAUCGUCUUUGGGUGGCUGUGAGAGCAGCACGCUACCAGCAAGCCUUGCGCCACUACCAUAGCCGCAAGGUUCAUGCCCGAAGAUUUGAGGAAGGCAACAUUGUUCUUCGGCGCAUUCAGUCGGCCAAGAAUUCCAACAAGUUGACGCCAAAGUGGGAAGGCCCUUAUCGGGUAAUACGAGUCACCAGGAUUGGCGCAGUCCGCCUGGAGACCGAAGAUGUUGUCCCAGUAAGCAAUUCCUGGAACAUCGAGCAUCUUCGCAAGUUUUACCCAUAAGGCGCGGUUGUCGGGCCUCUCGGAGAACCACCUUUUGUACGAGGCUUGCCGGCAAGGCACGUAACCCUCUGUACAAAGCCAGGCGCAGAUCCUAAGCAUAAAUAAACGAAGCGCUGGUGCCCUAAGUUAUAGCAUGCAUGCUAGGUCAAGUCUCUCCCUCGGUUAGGGUUGAUAGUGGUUAGCAUCGAGUGUGCGUCCUUCUGUUCCCUUUGGUUCGCAGGGCACGCAGACACUUCUAUUGAGACGCUCGGGAAAAAGACAACGGACCAUCACUCCGGCCCCGGCAAGCGAAGACUGCCGGGGGCUGAAGAUACAAGGAUCCAACCACGGCGAGCCAAGGUUGUCGGGGCUGUGGAUCCAGAUAAGUCUUUCAUCCCCAUGUUCUGCAUUUCCAUAUAGAACUCGGACAUGUGAAACCUCGUUUAUGUUCUUAAAACCACCGUGCUCCCCUUUCUUAUACCCAAGGGCUACCUCCUGGGUCAGAAUUUGGUAGUACUCGCGGUGGCGAGGAGAUGAACGAGGGGCCUAACUCUACUUCGCCCCUGCCUCCGCCAAGAGCGCAAGAAUGGUCGACCGAAGUGGGCAGAUGGCAAGUCAUGUUGCCGGGCGACAAUGUUUAUCUUAAAAAUAACAAGGAUUCAUCCUUGGCACGGGCCUCGCUCACGCACAAAGAACCCGGCAAGAACUCUUUUUCAUUAAAAACAUCCCAUACAGGUAUAGUUCAUACGGAAUUAAAAACAUGGGCAAAGGGGAUUACAAGUCUUAAAAUUAACAAGUGCCGCAGGCUUACAAACUAAAAAAAGAUAAGAUGCCCAUGAUCCCUUUCUUGUCCCUCUCCUCAGAAGGUGGAGUAAGAGGGCAGGAGGGCGAAAAGAGCGCAUGGGCGAGGUGCGAGGAGCAAAAGGCACCAAGAGAAUGUCCCGGUGCCGGGAGGGGAGCUGGAAGGUGAGGCAGUGGGCCGGCAAUACGCGACGAAGGUGCCGGUGCUCGCGUACUCUGAUUUGACGGCCGCCACCUGCAUUUUUCGCCUUCUCCGACCCUCCUACGCCAGCCACCCAACGAGACGAUGGGGAGCGCUCUGAUGGAGAGCUUGGCGAGGAUGUCCCUCGACAGGGCGCGUGGCCGAGGGAACGGAGGCGCGGUUAGUCGGAGUCAGCAUCCUGCCGCUCGACUCCCUCGUCGUCACUAUCGUUGUCCUCCUGGUCACUCCCACUUGAGGAGGAAUCUUCAUCGUCGGAGGCUGCCCUCUGUUAACUUGAAGUAGAGGACAAGCCCCGCCGUCAAGCUGUGGUUGCAUGUGAACGUCUUUCGUCCACGGCGGAGGUACAUGACGUGAGAAGUAGGGAAGUCAACGUCGACCCGCGUGCCGCCAUUCCCACAACCCUUCAUGUGCAACCAGAGGGUCUGGGGUGGAUCGAGCUCCAUCGCCCGAGCAAAUGCAGUAUGGAGACGGAGGCGGCGACACGGUGGCCGGCGCAGCCUGAUGAAGAACUCGCGGGGCUGGUCCCCGACGUGGUGCUCCGUCAAGGGAGGCAUCGCUGGCGGAGGCGAGGCCGAUGCGCCGCCCCGUCCUCCUCUCCCCCGAGCGCCACGAUGACCUCGGGCUCGUCCCCUCCCCCUACCCCUCGUGGCCGGUUCCGCCAGCACGAGCCCUUGGGGAGGAGGAACGCGCUGACGAGCAGCAACCCUCGCCGCCACCGCCGAAGGCCAGCGCUUCCUCUCGCCAUGGCGGAUAGAAGAAAGAAGCGGAGUUGGAAGGAGACGGAUGAUGGGAGAAUGUGGAAUGCCGCCCCCUCCCCUCCUUAUAAAGGGGCGGAGUCGGGGCUCGGUCGCCCCACUCGACCAAUCCGGUCAUCGGGCGCACAGGGAAUCAGGACCGGCCUGCUGGCCCAAUCAGCGACUGCCCGGUUUCCCGCUUCCUCCUCCUGCCACCUGCAUGAAGGACACAUGGCGAGCAAGCAGCAUUAAAGGGACAGGCGAAGCAGCCGCUCCCCACCCCGUGAUCUUGGGGCACGGGCGCCUUGAAGACCAUGACCUGAGUCCACCCAAGUAAAUGGGUCGUGCCUCUGCGCCUCCCUCCUUUUACGGGGAAGGCGCAGGCCGCCUCUUUACCACGAUGUGAUGCAUGCAUGCGGAAACCGCCCCAUGCAUGACCCCCACGUCGCGCACGACCCUCCAUGUCGCAUGUUCAACAUGGGUCAUGGGGAAGCGCAGCGGACGAGAAAUUACUAUGGUGAAAUCCGCCCCACCUGCCCGCGCACCGUUCUAGGCCUAGCCCAACAACGUGUCGCACUUAUGUAUGGCCCAGGCCCGGGGGCUCCUGUCGGUGUACAAAAGUAGGGGCUCUCCUUUUGACCCCUUUACUUGUGCCCGGGCAGUCAGAGCCACGCGCCGUGGCCAAACUUAGCAGGGCAGAGGAGGGAAGCCGGAGAGAAGUCGAAGCAUGAGGAAACCAAGGCAACGCCAAGACCAGAAGCGCAGGAGGGCGAGAGGGCGAGGUGGACUCCCUCGGCAAGGUCCUUGCCGAGGCGGCCCCCCGAGCCCCGGCAAGAGCCUUGCUGAGGCAACUUGCCCGAUGCCAGCGGAGUGAGCCACGCUUAAGCCCACCGGCUCCAACCUAACCAACUGUGUUGGAACUGGCUCGGGAGGCGCCUCUGUGGUGGCAUGCAAAUCUUCGUCAACUCAUAAACAUCUGAGUUCACAUGAGGACCAGAAGACGGCGACCCUCGGCAGGAUCCUAGCCGAGGAAAUCCAGAAGACCCCCGGCAAGACCCUUGUCGGGGAUGGCAGCAAUGCCACGGCAAGACCCUUGCGGGGCCCCCCGGCAAGACCCUUGCCGAGGUCGUAAGCAGGGCCACUGCUAGGCCCAUGCCAACCAAGACUCCGCCACCAGCCAAGACUCCGACGCCGUUCGCAUGCAGCUGCCAGCACAACCAACUGGGCAGGCACCUGCGUGGCAACAUGCAGCUGCCAGGCCAAAUCAGCAAGCACCUAUGUGGCGUCAUGCAGAUCUUCAUGAAGGCCCUACCACCCCACCACCUCAGCUGCCUGCCUACCUACAUGGCGCCGCAUGCAUCGCUAGCAUGGGCGCGUGUCGAGGCGAAACAAAGCGGCGACCGAUGGGACGUGCCUCGUUCCCAUCCCGAUAAAGCUAAUGGACACCUACGUAGCACAUUUAAUGCGCUUUGUCCCGUAAUGCCAUGCGAUAAGCUCGCGCACUGUAGGCCUUUCCACCUCCCGUGUGCCACUGUGGCAGCCCCUUUUUCUAUAAAAGGAGGCCCGAGACGACCAUGAUGGGGAUUCGGCUUUUUGGAACAGCGUAGCCACCGUAGCUUGUUCAGAAAGCUCAAGAACACUCAAUCCAUCCACCAAAGCAGUACUAGGGUUUUACGCAUCCUUGCGGCCCGAACCUGGGAAAAUGACCCGUGUGUUAGCUUCUAAACCUGCUCUUCUCACGACCUCGCGCCCGCCGACCGUAGAAGGGAUCCCAGUGAUCCCAUAGGUGUCGUUCUCACCGACAGUAUGUCAUUUUGGAGCUAAGUAAGCUUAUUAUGUCAUUUUGGAUGAAAAUAAGCUAAGUAUAUGAUAUGUAUGAGAUUAUGGAGGUUAUAAUGCAAUUCUUAACCUAAGUAAGCUUAUUAUUCCAUUUUUGACAUAAGUAAGCUAAGUAUUGGUCAUUAUUGAGCUAACCUAGGUAACUAAGCAUAUUAGAGCUAACUUAGCAUAUUUGAGCUAACUUAGAGCUAACUUAGGUCAAUUUGGAGCCAACUUAGGUAAAAUGUGUCAUUUUGGAGCUAACUUAGGUCAUUUUGGAGGAAACGAAGCUAAGUAUAUGUCAUUUUAGAGCUAACUUAAGUAAAAUGGACCAUUUUCAGCUCAGUAAUCUUAUUAUGUCAUUUUGGAGGAAAAUAAGCUAAGUAUAUGAUAUUUAUGAGGUUACAAAGGUUAUUAUGCCAUUUUUUUACCUAAGUAAGCUAAUUUUGCCAUUUUUACAUAAGUAAGCUAAGUAUAUGUCAUUAUUGAGAUAACCUAGGUAACUAAGCAUAUUAGAGCUAACUUAGCAUAUUAGAGCUAACUUAUGUCAUUAUGGUAAGCAUAUCGGAGGUAAUAAAGCUAAGUAUAUGUCAUUAUUGGAGGAAAAUUUGCCACAAAGACGAUUUCACUUUCAGAGCUGAAGAUCAGACCUCUAGGGUUCCCCGAAAGUUGGAUGGUGAGCCUUUGAAAUUGUGUGGAUAUGGAACGUAUGUCGAUGGAGAAUUUUCCAUGCCAAUGACCACUUCGUCGGUUCACCCUCGUCUACGUCAUCUAUCACCAGUGGUGUAGCUUUCUCUUCCUUCAGACCUAACUUGCCCAUCGCCUCCUCCAGUCAUGCCCUCACCGCACGUGGCAAGAGAGCGCCUUCCUUCCCUUUGACAUCGCCAAAUGGAUCCAUCCCGACACCACCCCCGUAUGCGCCCCACCGAUCAAGAUCAAUCAUGCGUCCCCUCGAAACUAUAAUCGCCUAACAUGAGGCUCCUAUUUUUUGGGGCAGUAGACCAAUGGCUGCGAUCACAGUGGUGCUCCCGUCAACCAGAGUUCGACUCCUAUGUGGAGCGAAUAUAUCUGGGGUUCUCACUAAGGAGGGGUCGAUAAGGCACCUAUCCCGUUUGAAUGUGUAGAGAAAAUGAUUCCCCACGAUAGCCUACGUAGACGUUGCUUGAGGAUGAGGAUGAGGAUUAUACGUGUAAUUCUCUCCAACGUUUUAUGGUACACAAUAUUCAUCUAAGAAGCCUACAUGCCACCAACAGUCACGCCUAUAACUCCACUGACACCGAUGACUCCAUGAAGGGGACCUUCAAGGAGAAGAACCUCGCAGGUGUGUCGGUGCGGUGGGCGGGAGGAGCGGGCUACGGAACAAUGCAGUGUAUGGGGGAUAGCGAUAGGUUACCAAAGAAAGAUAUAAUUUGUUCGUCUAGAUGAAAACAGUUUUAAAGAGAAAAGCUUAGACAUUAGUAAAUAGAAAACUAAUAUAAGUACAAGGGAUAGCAUACAUCCGAGGACAGAUGAAAAGGUUCAUCAAAAGUUAUCACAAAAUUCUAAACAUUUAUCAAUCCAUCGAUAAGUAGACCAUUUAGGACGGCGACCACUCCUCGGAUCCGUAAGUAAGGAAUAAAAGUAGAUGAAGGAAACCUUAACUUUUUUAGAUAUUUUUAGACCAUACGUAUUUUUUGGGCAAAACUUUUUUUGAUAGUAAAUAUUUGGUUAAUAAGUGGAGGCGUUCGGCAUAGUUUAUAAUAGCUCAACUAGCCUAGCACUAAAAUCCAUUUUGCAACGGCUAAUCAUUUUUUUGCGAGAAAACUUUCGAUCUAUUCCUCCAUUCUUUUGACGUAAGAUGUAUUAGCCUAGCACAAGAAAGAAAGAGAUACACGCAAUCAAGAAAGAUACUUUCCUUCCUUUCCUACAAGGAGAGUGUCACGCCCAAUAUGUGACUCUAUCCUAAAGGAACUCGAAGGUCCCACCAAGGAUAGCACCGCAUCUUGACACGCUUUUGAAAGGUGGAUAUCAUUACAUCAUACCAUUACAUAAUAGUUGGGGAUACAUACAAGACAUACAAAUGCCAUAAUAAUACAUCAACAUCAUACAUGCGAACAACAUCCGACUACAGAUGUAGCACAAACAAAAGCUCAAACGACAUCCACCCUGCUAGCCCAGGCUGCCGACCAGGAACCUAACCCAAGAUCGAUGAAGAAGAAGAACUCGAAAACAAGUAAACAUUGCUCUCACGUCAUGAUCAUCACAUUACAUGUACCUGCAACUGUUGUUGUAGUAAACUGUGAGCCACGAGGACUCAACAAUCCCAUUACCAUGGGUAUCAAGACUAGCAAAGCUUAAUGGGUAGGAAAAGAAUAAGUGGUGAGGUUGCAGCAGGGACUAAGCAAUGUAUGGUGGCUAACUCACGAGUACAAGAGGAAGAUGAGAAUCUACGCAAACGGUCGCAAACUAGUAAUGAUGAAGAAGUGAUCCUGAACUACUUACGUUCAAACAUAACCCAACCAUGUUCUCCUCUCGAACUUCCCCGAAAAGAGAUAGUCACGGUUAAGCACUUGGUUGGUGUAUUUUGAAUGAGUUUACUUCAAGUCCUCUACAACCGGAUAUUAACAAAUUCCCAUCGGCCACAUAACUGCGGGCAUGGCUCUCGAAAGUUUAAACCCUGCAGGGGUGUCCCAACUUAGCCCAUGACAAGCUCACGAUCUGCGGAGACAAUCCUCCAUCGCGGGACCCUCCGAUUAGACUCGGAAUCCCGGUGCACAAUACAUUUUGACAAUAGUAAAACUAAUCCAGCAAAACCUCCCAGCGUUCCGACACCCUAAUUGUAACCGCACGUAUCUCGUCUGAGGCCACGACCGGAUAAGCGAAGCGUACAUGAUCCAAAUACCCCAAGUUGCCUAGGGGUGGUCCCGCACGGUACUCUAGUUUGGGACCAACAUGGCCCCCCUACUAUGUAGAAAGAAUCCGCGGGUUCAUGACGCCCUAUGCCAAUUAAUUAUUUAGUUCAAGUAUUAUUAUGGCAAAUGUUAAAACCAAUGUUGAGCCUUGCUGGAAGAGUUUUAUUCAAAGCGAACUGUCAAGAGGGGCCCAUAAACCCUCACCAUGUUAGGGACAAAAAAUCAAGGAACAUAACACCAGUAUGACAGAAACUAGGGUGGCAAGAGUGGAACAAAACACGAGGCAUAAGGCCGAGCCUUCCACCCUUUACCAAGUAUAUGUGUGCAUUAGUUAAAAUAAGAGAUAUUAUGAUAUCCCAAAAUAUCCAUGCCCUAGCAUGGAACAACCUGCACCUGCAACUAGCAAGGCUAUAAGAGCGGCUGAGCAAAGUGGUAACAUAGCCAAACAACGGUUUGCUACGAAGGGUGAAAAGGUUAGAGGCUAAUCAUGGCAAUUUGGGAGGCUUGAUAAACAAGUGGUACGUAGCGCGACACAUCGAUAUCAUCGAAAUAACUAGCAUAGCAAAGAUAGUAGUGAGAUCCAAGGUGACGGUCAUCUUGCCUGAAAUCCCGCUAGGAAGAAGAACGAGUCCAUGAAGAAGACGAUCCCACGUAGUCGAACGAAUCAUCACAAUCGCAACGAAACAGGAACUAUCGAGAAGGAGCACAACUGGAAAGAAGCAAGCAACAUGGUAAACACACAACACAUAAACAUGACAUGAUUCUCAACCAAGUAUGAUCCAUGGCAAGGCUAUAUGAUGCUACUCAUGGCAAGAGAUGAUGCAUACAAGAACAAGACAUCAAAGCAAGUUUAAAUGAGGCCGAAAACAACAUAUAACAAUUCUGGUAAGUCCUCAUAUGUAAAUUUCGAAAUUGGUACUGAUCUGAACAAAACUUUAUGUUAAAGUUGUUAAACAUCAAGUUAAAGUGCACCAAGAUGAUCUACACGGUUUUCUAGUCAAGUUACAUAUAAAGUUCGUUUAAUUCGGAGCUACGGCCUAGAAGAUAUGAGCAAAACAAGUUAAACAUGGCACUGAUUGCCAAAUGCAAGCAAAACAACAUCAUAAACACUCCAAAAUAAGGAUUCAACAAGGCAACAUGAAACUACAUGUACAACUAAGCAAGUUUCAUAUAGAGCAUGCUCAAAACGGAGCCACGGUUCAACACAUACACCCAAUUCACGUUUCAAACACAAUCUGCCGAAAAGAGCAACUAAGCACUUUGCAAUCAAGGAAACAACAAGCUAGAGGAAACAUAUGGACGCAAACUUGAUAUGCACUCAAAGUACAGAUUGCAUGCUCCAAAUUACACUAAGUUUCAAGUUCAUAGGCAUCAGGAUUAAUCCAAGAUGAUCAAUGCGAAAAGCAACUUGAUAACACAGAUUAUGACUUAGUGAAAAAUAAAUCAUAUGCUUGAGGAGAAAUAACAUGUUGACAUGUUGGAGGCAUGAAACAAUGAUGCUAUAGUGCAAGAACAUAACAAGCAAAAGCAUGGCAUUCUAGUACAAGUUGAACAUGGCAAAACAUGAUUACUAAGCAUCUCCAUAAGAGCCCUAGAUCAAUGGCAAUCAACAAGACAAGAUGCAACAGGACAUAAGAUGAUUCUCAGACUAGAGGAAAUCUGGGAAUGCAAAAAAAAUACAUUAUGAUGCUGACUUCGGAGGCACAUAACAGCAAGCAUAGAAAAUUAAGUAAUCAUGCAAAAUACAUGGGCAUAUAGUAGACAUUAUAUACUUUAACUUAGUCCGUGGGCACAAUUUCAUAUGAGGAAUGGAGUAAUUACUAUGAUUCAUGCAAAAAGGAACAUGUUGUUAAUAGGAUAACAUAUUUAGCAUGAUGGCAACUUGAGAGCAAGAAAGAGACAAGCUACAGCAAGUUAUAUGGAAACCAAUGGCAUGGCAUAAAAUUACACAUAACAAAGAGCAAAAACAUCAAGGCGUCAUAACCAUAUGACUCAUGGACUAGUGGGAACCAUCAAGACAAGUUUGAAUUUUAUAACAGUUUCAACAAGUGUAAAACAACAACUUUAGCAUAGCAUAUUAGCAAGCUUGGAACAGAGGUCAUAUGAAGUCUAAAAUUAUCAAACUUGGCAUGUGGACAAAAUACGCAUAGCAUACUUCAUAUCAUGUAAUCGGAGCACCUCUAAAAGAGAUAUAGUUUAAUUAAUAACAAGCUCAAAACACGGCAUCAUGAAGUUAACAGAAAACUCGAACAUCAUUUAGGCAUGUUCAUGGCAAUGAAAACAUAUGCUACAGGACAUAUAUGAGGCAUCAAAUGGCAUGGCAUGAUAGAGCAUAACAUGAACAUCAAAACAUGUCAACAGGUGGUGCGCGCGACGAGUUGUGGGGCGGAGGCGGCGCGAGCUGGCGGCAACGCAGCGGCGGCACAAGGCGACGAUGUGGGCGGCUCAGGCGCCGGCAUGAGGCGCGGCCGGGUUCUGCCCGGUGGCAGGCCGGCAAUGGGCCCUGCAGGCCUGCGUGGAGGAGACGGCAGCGGGUGACAUGGCGCCUUCCGAUUCGUCGAGGGCAGCGGCGUUGGAUCCGUCCGGCGCAGACGGACGUAUCAGGCGGCGUGGAGGGAAGAUGGCAGCUAGGGUUUGGACUGCGAAUUCGUACGACCUAUAUAUAGGUAUAGGGAGCUAGGAGAGGGAAAAUGAGGUGCGAUUUUCUCCCACACGAUCGUGAUCCAACGACGGAGAGGAUGGAGGGGGUUUAGAUGGGCUAUUGGUCUAUUAUGAAGGGGUGCUGGGCUGCAAAGAGAAGGAGGGGUUUCGGUUAACGCGGUUAACCGUUGGGGCAUCAAACAACCUCCAAAUGGAACGAAAUUUUACAGGCGGUCUACCGGUGAUAUACCAAGGCCACUCAACAAAUCUCGGCCCUUGAUGAGAACAUUUUUGUCCCGCUCAUGAAACGAGAACUGGAAGGUGCAACGGGUGCAUGUGAGAGUGUCGGAUGUCGAAACGGACAAUGGAGAAAGUGACCGGAUGCAAGUUUUGAAAAAUAUGAUGAUCUAAUGCACAUGAUGACAUGGCAAAAAUGUAGAACACAAGAAAAUGUAAUGGCAACAACAACGAAUAACUGGAAGACACCUGGCACAUCGGACUUGGGGAGUUAAAGAGAGAUACAUAAAAUCAUGAGAGAGAUACUUUUCGUUUCUCUAUAGGAAUAAAAAUGAAAUUCCGAGGAAUUAUAAGAAAUGCAACUGAGGCAGUAUUCACCAACUGUCAGGUAGUUCAAAGAACACUAGAAGUAAAAUUUACAUCCAGGUCCAUAGACCACUUAGCGACGACUACAAGCACUGGAGCAAGCCAAAAGGCGCACCUUCGUCAUCACCCAUCCUUUGUCGGAGAAGGGCAAACAUUGUUGUGGUAGAUAGCCAGGAACAAAAAUAUGUUGCAGCUCGUGAGUUCCAGCUGAAUAUGUUUGAUGGACCAUUGAUAUGCGCUUAUUUUGUGUGCAAUAACAAUGAAUCUAAUUGGUCCCAAUAGCCACUAAGCCAUAAUAUGUUUUCCAGCUGUCCUAGCUCUUGGUAUCAAAGAUGAUUGUUUGCUACAGAAUUAUUUAAGUCGAUACAUCAAGGUCUGCACAAAGGUAUGGAUAAGUUUAAAAGAUUUGACACUAUCUAGUGUAUAGUUCCAGAUUCAGAUGAAAAAACAUUCUGAUUGAAAUCAUAGUAUUAAUUAUACUUUGGUGGUAGAUUUAAUUUUAAUUUUUCCCAAAAAUUGUCCCAAUACCGUGAGUGUAAUGCAUGUGUAUGUGAGCAUCUAUGUUAAAAAAGGCCAUGAUACGGGUUCAAAUACAAAGAGUAGGAAAAUAAAAAUGUUCAAUUAAAUUAUUCCAGCUAGAAAAACAAUUCAUAAUGCUCCCAAGUGAAUCUUUAUUUACAAACAUUAUUCUUGGUCAUUUUCUUGCUACAAUUAUCUGAUGCAUUCGCAGUGACCAUCACGGUAGGUCCCACCUCCGUAAGCAUCUCUGUUGCAGAUAUCAUUACAAAAUGAAGGAUCCGUACAUGGAGUGUAGGGUUCACGGUGCCCCUCGACGCCAAUGUUAGCUUCCUUGCCUACAACAAUAAAAAAUAAAAGGUGCCAUCAGAACCUCUUGUUGUUCGUAUUUAAACUAGGAUUCUGUGAAAUCAAUGUACUAUGCAAAUAGUAGGACAACAGUGGAGUGCUAAUACAAACAUAGGAAGAACAUCUACUGGCUGGUAUAUAAUUAUUAUGUACUAUGGAAACCAUAUGUACCACGACAGAAUUGUAAUGGUGAUCAUAAAAUCACAAGGAAAACACCUCUUUCUUUCCAUGCCAUUGUUAAAUAACACUAGGUUUAAAGUACUAUGAGGCAUGAUAACUUUUAAAUAAGGGGACGAACGCGACGCACAAGUUUGCACUACAAGGAAAUAUAGUUUUAUAUCUAUUUUUUGCGAGUAUGAGGAAAAAGAUACUUGCCUAUCUUAACUAAACACCUCACUCUAUUAGGCACGGUUGAAACACUUUUCUGUUGCAAAAAUACUUGCAUAUAUUAACUUGAACGAUCAAACUUCAUAAGAAACAUUCAUACUAUUGGCAACAGAGAAUGAUGCAAUAGGAUCAAUUUUUUAUCUAGCUCUAGGAAACCACAAAUUCAUAUAUACUACAGUUGAUAAGCUCUGGUAAAUAGAAAUGUACCUAUCUUCCUCCCUGAUGCUUCACUCGACAAUAAAGUGGUUGAAACCAUCAAAAGUGCCAUCAAGCACAGAACACCAGUGUUGAUCCGGAUUAGAGCCAUAAUGAAAUUGUUUAGUGUUCUCUUCUCCUAUGUCCGUUUGGUUUAGACUUGUACUACUUUGCUGGUUCCUUCUGCUGUUUAUAUAGAGGCAUGGCCGAUUCUUGGAGUAUCAAUGUUUGCCAUUUUAUUCAUUCCUGCUUUGGCGAGUUUCCUUUUUACAAUUCGCCGUGAUUAAUAAGGAUCCUCGGAUUAUGCGCACAUCAUGGAAUAUCCUAUAGGUAUCGAUUGAUAGAAUACAAAUACAUCCAUAAGGAGUUUCUUAGUAUUCCAUAUACACAAUUAGGGCAUUUAUUGCCUCCUAAAAAUAACCAUAUGAAAUUAAUUAGUUUUCCAUUAUAACAUUGUGACAUUUUAUUGGCUCCCAAUAUUAUUUACAGACGGAAUUAAUUAGUAAUACUCCAUACGAAGAUUACUCCAUACGAAGAUUAGUAAUACUCCAAAAUUACAAGGGAAAUUAAUUAGUAGUAUUCCGUAACAAGAUACAUAGUGUAUAAGAAAAUGUGUAUCUUGAUAGUUUGGUAUUAGUUUAUGUAUUUGGCACCUAUGAUUUUUGAACAAGACACAGUGCGUUGCACAUACGGUCUGGCUAGUGCAUAGUCACCUGAUAUUUGAUUGAAUUUGUUAUUUUGAUUUUUUAGUCAACUAUGCAGGUUUCAUUUGGGGCGGUAGCGCGUUUUUUUCCGCUGACGGGGGGCAUUUCAUUACUCAAGCUAUAAUAGUUUACAAUCAUCGGUAAUCAUAAUGAUAAUCUCCUAGGGAGCGAGCAUGUGUAAGCCAAGAAGCUGUGUGCUGCUCUCCAUGACCAAUUGCCACCAUUACAUGCCCAACAUUAUUCUGCCCAUGACUAAUAAUCUUAUGAAUUUCAGUGUUGCGUUUGUUGAGCAGAUGCACUAUCUCUGCAACUUGGUGCAUAUUUUUGGAUCGAUCACCCAGCCCAACUUUUACAAAAGUGAUGAUCUUGGCAUGGUCCGUCCCAACCUGAAACAGGGCUGGAGACCAAUGCAGAGUUAGACGGAGGCCUAUCCCUUGGUGACUGAGGCAACCUGAAUUACUUCAAAACCACCUCUUGGAAAAUGACGAUAGUAUCUCGGAGCAAGCUUUCACUCCAUUUUCACUCAAGAGCGGCUGGACAUGGUGCUGCGGCCCAUUAUUCCCAAGUACCAUGUACACUCAGAUCACCGGCCAAUUGUCCUUCACUAGAAAUUGCACGUGCAUUGCAAUAAAUGAUAGUGUAUUAUUUAAAUAUCAAAAAUUGGGACACAUAUGCAAUUUCAAAAUUCGAAACACAUACAUGUAAUUUUUUGAAGGAACAUUUACACCUGUAUAUAGUUAUGUUAUACCAGUACAAUGCCUACGCACUGCUACCGUAGAUCUCAAAAAAUGCCUCAAGCACGUUAUAGCAAGCACUAAAGUUUCACUUCCCACACCCCACCUAUUUUAUCAACCACUGUGAUUCCCAAUCAGACUUAAAUUUUUAAGAUCAAAUGGGAAGGUCAAAUUUAAGCACCUAACGAUGAGAAGCGAAUGAUAUGGUGCAAUAUGACCAAAAUAUAUCUGCUAUUAAAGAUCCACAUGCAUAUUGCAUUGUCGACUUCUCUUGUACCAUUUUCUACUUCACCAACAAUGCUUGCAUCUCCCUUUCACUACUGGGAAAAGUCUUAUAUAUUUUUUGAGCAAAAAUAGUAGGGUAAACCCCUAUUGUAACACUUUUUUGAUUAAUAUAAGAGUGGUGUUACAAGUCGAUGUACAAUGUGAAUAUGGCUAUGUGUAUUCCUAUGAUAGAUUUACAAAUAAUCUAGCUAAGUUUGCAUCCCUUCCUUCCGGCUUGGUUUUGCUUUCCUCAUGACUGUAAUUGUUCCUUGAAACAGGCAUUGCAAUAUUCUAAGCUAUUUGUCUUGUGGUAAAAAAUAAUGAUGUUUCUGUUCUUCCAGAUGGACCAGCAUGUAGCAAUCAAGCAUGCUCUGAAUGAUUGAAUGUUUUUUCUGGUUUUUUGCUUUAUCUAGCAUUUGGUUGAUGCUAUGGUCAGUGUUCCAUUCAAUCCCAAUAGAUAUCCAAAAAUUGUGGCUGAAGUCACACGGGAAAAAUAGAUGCUUCAGGUGUUCAUUAGGCUCAUCAUCACAUCGGACACAUUUGCUUGAUUGAAUACAGAAGUGUUUCCUUGCUAGCAAGUCUCUAGUAUUUAGCCUAUCAAGUAGCCAUAACCAGAAGUAUUUUUUUCGCUGAGCAUCCAGAUUUCCAAAUCCAUUGGAAUGGUUAAGGGGUAUAUGGUGGGUUUCCAAUUAAUUAUAGAUAAAUCCUUUUGGUGGAAUACCUUGUAGAUGACCAAUACAAGUGCCAAUUGUCUCUGCUAUUGUUGCUUGCAAUAUUGAUCAUGUUCCUCAAAGAUAUGAUUUGUUGUACGGCAACAGUUGACAUGCGUAGAUGAAACAUUUCAUAUAGACCUUCCGUAGCUAUAUCAUGUGUAGCAGCAAAUGUUAUAUCUUUGUUUUUAGCAUAUGAAAUUAGUUGGGGAAUUUAUUCUCAAGAUUAUCAUCCUCCCAUUUAUCGUACCAUAACCUGAAAGUAGAUCCAUCACCAACUUUGCAAAGUUACAUGCUUUUGAAAUCAUUUAGAACAUAGCAGCAAUCUCUCCACCCGUGAUCCAACCUUUGUUGGAUAAGUUGGUAGCUCACCAUUGUUUUAGUAUGAGUUCCAUAAUAUUUUCACCCAUGUUAUGUCAUACUUAUUAAAGAACUUGUGUAUGAACUUUGUCAGACAUGCUUUGUUCUGAGUUCUGAGCUCUAGUACUCUAGGCCACUAUCUUUUUGAUUAAACAUACCUUCUCCCAUUUGGCUAGACAUUUGCCAUGUUCGUUGAUAUUCUUCCAAUACCAUAAGAAGCACCUGCUAGAUUUUUCAAAAUGAUCUAGGAUGUUAAAGGCAACUCUGAUGUUGCACAUUGCAAAAAUGGGCAUUGCAUUGACCACGACUUUAAGAUGGACCAAUCUUCCUGCAUAUGAGAUCAUAGGUGCGAUACCAGAUAGCCUGACAUCUAAUCUUGACACCAUGGGCAUCAAAUCAUCAAUUUUUGGUCUUGUGGAGCCCAUUGGUAAACCAAGAUAUGUGAAAUGCAUGCUUUAUUUUUUACAUCCAAGUAUGUUGGCAAGUUGCAGAGCUCUUUCAUCUGUUAUGUUCACUAGUUGACCCGUUGCGCCAAAUGGCCCAGAGACCCGCUGAAGACAUGUUGUCGAUGAAAAUAGUUUCAUGCUGCAAGAACCUUCAACUAAACCACCCGUUGCGCCAAAUGGCGCAGAGACCUGCUAAUUCCAUGUUAGCGAUGAAAAGAAAUCCAUGGUUUAGUUGACAUAGUUACGGGUAUGCACAUAUGACAACAAAUUUAAUCUUUCUUAUAUGAAAAAAACAGGGCUUGUUAUCAACAAUAAGAUGUAUAUACACAAUUAAAUUUGGUAACAUAGAGUUCUGUUUGAAACAAAAUGCAUGUAACAAAUCUAAUCCUCUUUAGUAGGAAAAACAUGGUAUAUUUUGUUGUCUAUAAUGAGAUGUAUAUACAAAUUCUAAUUUCGUAGCACAGAGUUAUAUAAUCUAUAAGAUGUGAAUGACGGACAUCACAUCCAGAGAUAUUCACAUCGGCAACAAAGUUGUCUACAAUUCAUGUGAACGAUGUGGUUCGCCGAGGUGGCCAUUUCGGGGGCGUUGAUUUCUGAGGGAGUCCUGGUGGUGAUGAUGAUAGACACUCGGUGAUCAUUUGCGAAGGGCAUGAUCAGCGCAAAUCCUGCAUAUUUCCCUUGUGAAGCCCGUCUUGAAAGUCGGAGUUGUCAAUUGUUCGCGUGUGUAGCCAUUUGUUAGCAUGUGACCAGGUUGGCUGGUGGUACCCAUGUUGUGUGGGUUGAGUUGUGUUGGUUUUAGCCCGGUUUUCCUCAAUUAACCAGGCAAUUCUCACUAUCUUGUAAGCUAAUGAAAAUCGAAGUCUUUUUUCUCGUUUCAAAAUAAUUAAAUAAAACAUCAGCGAGAAAUAACAUCCUUGGGCCAGCACCUGACUAAGUUGAAACGAUAUUGUUCCGCGCCUUCCAAAUAUGCGAAGGAUAUUACCGAUGUUAUCUUGGGCUUGCAGCCCUUCGGGUGGCAUCACAACAACAAAAUUAAGGUCAUUUUUUCAUAUAUAUAUAUAUAUAUAUAUAUAUAAAUGAAGUGUCAGGUCAUAGCAUUGCUGAAGCGGACUAAAAUUUAGGAGAAUGGAUGAGAAUAGAAAUGAUGUAAAGUCGGGUCUCGGUUUAAAAUGGGCAUAAGAAAGUAGUAUUUUAGUAGAGCUGUAUCGGAAUGCACAAAGGCUUAGUAACUGCAAUACUAAUUUACUCAAGGAAGAGCUGCACAAUUUACUCAAGUAAGAGCUGCUCAAUAUUGUCGUCAGAACAAACUGUAAUAGGAUCGUGGGAAUUAUAUGUUGAUGUGUACACACCUUCACAAUUAUAUAAUUCUAUGUAAUAAUGCACAAAGGAGUAGCAGCCACAAUAUUAAUUUACUCAAGGAAGAACUAGUCAAUUAUGUCAUCAGAACAAACUGUAAUAGGAUGGUGCAAAUUAUGUAAACCUUGAACGGGGCGCAUACUACAUUCCAAAGCCUAUUAACAUCAAGAUGUAAUAAGGCAAGAGAAAAAUGAUUGUAACUAUCUUCUAAUUGUUCAAACAUUUGAGAAAGCUUAGAGAAUAUGUCCUGCUGCCUUUUUCUCCAAUGUUCUCUUCCUUCUUUUACCUGCAAAAAUGAAGCAUGUUCCACAAACAGGCAAAAUCAGUGUUGUUACCAACAGACUUUCAUAUUACAAGAGGUAUUUUGCAAGUAUUUAUGCUAACUAAAUUCAGAAAAGAUCAAAAUCAUAAUAAUUUAGCAGCUCUAUAUAAGACUUGUUUCAAUCCUCAUGGUGCAUAUCAAAGCCCUGCAAUCGAAACUGAAAAAUUACUUGCACUGAAAUCUCUAAACACCAGUUGAUCUAACUAAUCAAGCAAGUAGCAGUCCUGCACUGAAACCCCUAAACACCAGUUUAGUUAUCCAUAUUAUACACAUCCCGGCUACUACAAAUUCUAAAAAAUGAGAAACUACACCCUCAGCAACAACUGACAUAAAGGCUAAACCAGAGCAAUCAACCGUUAUUUCUGCCAUGGCACAAAAUUUCUAAUAGAAUCACAUCUAAGAAUGACAAUUAGAAGGAGAGAAAGGAACUCUAGGAAUUCAUGGUGGCAGAUAAAGCAAAUAAAAUAAUAUUGUUCAGGAAACGAGAUAAUAUCAGGGACACGAAAGGUUGUUCCGAGAUGUUCCAGACAAUCUAAUAGUUAGACAUCACACAAAAAAAAGGUUGAAUCAAAGAAAAACUAAAAACCAGAUUACAAUAUAAACUGGUUACCUUUUUUGCUUAGGCAAAGGCUGACAUGAACAUUAGAAACCAAAUUGAACUUAUCUUUUUCUAUGUAGUAAAAAACUGAACAAGUGUUUGUGUUUUUCAUCGAAAGAAAAAAAAUGCUAGGAGAGUAAUAUGCUUAUGGCAGAAUUAACAUUGAUAGCAGAAGAAGAUAUAUACUGGAAAUGUUGGACUAAAUUUAGCCAUGGGAGAUAUUAAAAAAUUGGAGAGCAUUGACAGCCAACCAAGCAAAUGAAGGAAUAUCCCCGCCAAAAUUAAGAACGGUAAAUUAGCAUCUAGAGGUAUAUAAGAACAAACAUUCCACUUGGAAGAGUGUUAUCUCAGUAUGAUAUAAAUAUCUAUGAAAAUGUACGCACUAGCUACUAUUCAUGGGGUGUCACCAUUAGCAAAACCCACACCCCAAAUUGUAAAAUCUGAUGUCAGCAGCAAGAUUGCUGCACAAACAAACUGCUUGAAUCUAAUGAAUAAAGAAGGGAGCAUCCUAAUCGCAUACAACAUGAUCUAUGAACAUAGUUUUUUUCCAAAGGAUAUGAAUCAAAUUAGCAAACUAAUUUGACCAACGGCUCUCGCCAUCUUCUGAAGCUAAUCACAAGAAAUGGUUGCGUAGAGCAAAAAUCCAAAUCACAUCAGCAAAGAAAAGCUAUUUCCAUGAAGUGCAGUAGAAGAAGUUAGGAGAGGAUGCUGCAAUUUCCAAACAAAGUAUAAAUAGAUAUGAGAUAGACAUGAAAUAAUUCAUUAUAUCUCAGACCACACUAAAGUAUAAAGAAUCAAAGAUAUGGACAUAAUAAAACUAAACUUCAAUUAUAUGAAUAUAUGCAUCAACACAAUAGCCAUUCAGUUCAUAGUUUACACGUGAAUGGACCAAACAACUGCAUCGCUUGCCGGUUCGCUAGUGUUGUACAACUACAAAUGCCAAUACCUUGUUCCCCAGGACCAGCAACAUGGUGGCGUCGGAUGCACUCGUCGUCUCUUGAUGCAUGUGAAGGUCCCCAAGCCACACCCAUGGACACCUCUCCUGCCGCCUAUCCAGCUUGCUGCACCAAGCACCACGCUCACCGGUGCUAUCCGUCGACCCGCAUUGGUUGAGGCACCACCAGGAUGGUCGAUUUCACAUGGGUCUCCUUUUCCUUGUCUAAAUCCCAUCCGGAAGUUCCCUACAGAGAGAGAAACAAAGAGCACCGCUGCUGCAGCUAUUCAGGGUACUAUAAAUACAUGGAUGGAAUCAAGACUAAUAGAUAAAAAUAAUAGAGCAGAUAGUUUAUUUAGUAUAGCACUUUUUUUCUUUUUGAAGGAUUUAGAACAGCAGUUAGGACCAAUAGAACUCCAUUUUACCAAUCAGGUGUUUGAUUUGAUAUACCAUGUUUAACUAUCCAUGUUUAGGGUCGUCCCAUCAGGGCAUUUGAAAAACUUUUAUGAAGAAGAGUUAACUUCUUUAAUCAACCCCGUAGAGCGAUGUAUUUAUCAAGGAACGGAACAACAUUCAGAGCUGCAUGAACAGACUUCCAUAUUAUAAGAGGUAUUCUAGAAGUAUUUAUGCUAACUAAAUUCAGAAAAGACCAAAAGCAUAACAAUUUAGCAGCGAUAUAUACAUGAUUUAGUAGCAUGGGCGAAUUCUCUCAACUAUAUAUUGCAAAAAGGGUUGUAGUAGUCUCCGGCUUGGCUGGUUUUACCUUGAACAAAAUUGCGAUUUAGAAAAGCAACAUGGGUUUUCUGAAGAAGCUCUUGUACCCGAUCAACAGUCCCAUUGCCUGAUCGGAGUGAGGGAGAAAUGCAGGUAAGGAGAAUGAACAAGCAUCUUGAAGUGAGAGUAGUAAAUAACCAAGAAAUGAACCAAUAAAAAAACACAAAGAACAAUCACUAUCAGACCCAUUAAUUUGUCCAUAUACAUGAUUUAGAUUAUAACUUGGAAACGAAAAAUAUCUAUGCAGAUUAGAGAUAGAGCUCACCUUGUUUUUUCCUCUUCCUCAAGAUCCUUCCUCUUCUCUUCUUCGUUUGAUCUACACACAUCUUCUUCAGAAAAACAUAAAACAAGAUAUCCAAAUUAGAUUAAAGAACCAAGGGAAAAAACAGGGGAACCUGCAUGAUUUUUUCUUCUGCAUCUUCCAUGGAUGACGAAUCUCACAGAGAAUGUUGAGAUCCAUCUUGGCCUCACCUUCUGGCAAGGACGACAACGACGAAGGCACCAUGGACCACCGCUUCGCCAGCAUCACCGCCUGUUGUGGCUGCUGCUCCCCUCAUCCCCGGCGGCGCCACCACUGGAACAUGAGAGGAGGUGAGGAUAGGUGACGGCCUUUAUCACCUGAUUUUCCCUAUCGCCGGCCUCUCCUCCACCCCGUGAGGCGUCUGAUGCCUGGUCUUCGGCCUCGCUGCUCCACCCCACACCGCUGGCCUCUUGGCCCUCCCCUGCUCCCUCCCAUCCGACGUCGUGCCUCCUCCCCUCUUCCUCUCUUUCUCCCUCCUCUGUCUCCCUCUCAUCUUCUCUCUCCUACAGAUCUAACUGAGCAUCGUUGAUGUUGCCCUUUGCCUAUAGGUCGGCGCUCUGGUGGGGAUCCAGGGAGGAGGAGGGGGCGGAAGGGAGGAAUGGUGUGGCGGCUGUGAGAAGGAGCGGGUGGCUGUGGAUGGGGGGCUAGGGUUUGGUGCGGUUAUGUCCAAUGGGCUCCUCGUCCCAGCCACGGGACGCGCGGCGCACGAGGAAAGGUUCACCCGCCCGAAGAUGACCCGCUGCUGAGACAACCAAUGCAAGCUUGAGACAAGCCCACUCGUCAUUGGGCAAGGAAAAUGACUAACAAGUGAAAAACGAUUUAACUGCAAGUGAAGAUCCAAUGGUGCAGGCGAGCCAGAGGGGCAGAUCCGACGGCCGACGAAGCUCCAAUUGGGGGAGCCUUGUGGAGGUGAGUUGGCUAGCUUCUUUAUAGAUUUAAAUUGGUAAAAGGGAGGCAUUACUAUAGUUUACCUUAAGCCCGGCGAAUUCAGAGGAGAUUUUAUAUAUGUGUACCAUGUGACUGAGUUGUUGACGAUCAGUUGGCAUGAUGAUCAAUGUGUCAUAUGCAUACUAUAUGAUGGGGUAGUUCAUACAACCAUGGUUCUCAAUAGGAGUAGACAGAUGACCUUCUUGCCAUGAUUUAUUAAAUAAACUUGUAGAAGCUCAGCAUCAAUGACAUAGAGUAUAGGGGACAAUGGGUCUCCUUGGAUGACUCCUACUUUAAAUUUUUUAAUCUUACCAUGCAAUCCAUUGAGAAUAACAAAUGCAUAUGUCGUUGUGAGUAACCGUUUGAUUGACCCAGUCCAUUCAUCAAAGCCUAGGUGUUUAACCAUGUAUAGUAUGUCAUUCUAAUCCAGUUUGUCAAAUGCUUUUUCGAAAUCAAUUUUGAAGAUGAUGAUCUGCUUCUUGGAUUAGUGGCACAUAUGGAUAUACUUAAAAGGCCAUGCAAGGCGGGCUUGAAUGGUAUUUUUUUAAUAAAACCAUACUAGUUUACACCGACCAUAGGAAUAAUGACCUUUUCUACUCCAUUUCCUAAAAUUUUGGUGAGUACUCUGAUUCACAUGCUCAUCAGGGAGAUGGGCUCGAAGUCAUUGGGCGUCUUAGAAUUUUCCUUCUUAGAAACUAGAGCUAUGUAUGCUGAGUUGACUAGCGAUAAGUCUACUUUUUCAUCAUGAAAGUCUUAGAUUAUCUUAUAAAAGCUUUCUUUGAUGGUAUGAUGGCAUUUCCUCAACAAUAGUCCAUUAAAGCCAUCAGGGCCUCAUCAUUUAUCAUUUGGCAUGGACUUAAUCACCUCAUCAACCUCUUCCUUGGUGAAGGGCUUCUCUAGAUCUUGUAGAUGUUCAUGGCUGGCCAAUUCAUCAAUGUUUAUGUUUUUUAUAGUAGUUUCUCUUGUACAAAUUCUGUCUUUCAAGGAUUGCCACAAAAUAGCAUUUUUUUGUUCAUGACCAUGGACAAUAUUAUUGUCAGAAUUCAGUAAGAAGGAUAUAUAAUUAUUUUUGAAUACUUGAGUAGCAAUGGUAUGGAAUUUUUGUAUUUUCAUCAACCAAUUUGGCCCAUUUGAUAUUUGCUCUGAUUUUCUAGUAUUUUCUCUCGGCUUCAAGGAGGUUAUUGGUAUGAUCAAUAUGUAUCUUCCUGAAGUUCUUUUUGGGCUUGGACAAUGGUGUUUGAUCUUCCGGCCCAUCAAGUAACUUGACAUGGAAACAACAUUUCGGCAUGGUCAGGUUCAGCUGUCAUAGCUUUUUACUCCAAUUUUUUAAGCCUUUUUUGAUUGACUUAAAUUUCGAGACAAUGUUUUUUGCUGAGUCACCAAAGUGAGCAUUGUUCAACCAAUGGUUUCCUACUGUUUCAAUAAAGCCCUCGAGUUCAAUCUAGAAUUCCUCAAGUCUGAAGAUAUGACAUUUAGGGAUAUGGCUAUCAAUUUGUACCUUAAUAGGAACAUGAUCAGAUGAAAUCUUGGCGAGAGGAAUUGCUAGAGAAUUCAGAAAUUUGCUAGUCCAAUUAGAGCCUGUGAAGAUCCAGUCUAGUUUCUCAAAUAGAGACUCGUCCUGCAUGUUUCUCCAAGUGUAUUUUCUACCUUUGAGAGGGAUCUCCAUAAGGUCUUGAUUAAUGAUAAUGUUGUUGAAUAUCAUCAUACUAUUUGGAUAUCCACCCUACCUGAUUUGUUUCUAUCUUGUGGGCUCCUAAUGAAGUUGAAAUCUCCCACUAUCAUCAAGUGCUCCAAUGUACUAGAGUCAAAACUUCUGACGAAAUUCAUUACAUAGAGCAGAAGACAAUGGCCUUUGAUAAAGGUUCUGCUAAACAUAUAGCAGGGCAUGUGCCAUUUACAGAAAUUUUGACUAUUCGUUGGAACUGUCAUACUGAAGUUAAGUGGAUGACACUUCAUGAAGUUCCAUCUUGCAAGACCCGGUACCAGUAGCCUGCAAUGUGUCAAUGGGGAGCACUUGAGAGGUGUUGCCUGCUUAUGCACAACAAAGGCAUCAAAUUUGGGGCCCAAAUUCAAAGCAACUUCGGUUUUCUUAUUAUUGAUAGUUUUUGCUUCAGACUGUGGGGCCUGCAUUUUCUCCUUGCCCUUUUCUUUAGCAACCAGUACAAAUAGUUUAUCUUUAAACCCCAUGUUGAUCUGAGCAAUCCUUCCACUUCUCCUACAGAGAGACUCAUCCACAAGGACCUAUUUCUUCCUCUUGUUGGGGCCAUUCACAGGCUUGCUAGUUUCAGCAAAAUAUUCCUCAGUAAUCUCAACAAUGCUAGCAGAGCUCUCAAAUGUAGGUUGUUGCAUUAAAAAGGUUAAAUUUGGCAUGUACAGUCUUGGCUCCUCUAAGUUUGGGAAUGAUAUCAUGGGCAUUGGAGACCAGAUUGUCAAUGAGGCCUUGGAGUGCAACAAUACUACCCGACAAUUCAUCAUCUCCAUAGAUAUUUAGGUAGUAUUCAGAGCUACCAGCAGCAGUAUUGGUCUCAUAAUUCAUAGCAGUGUUGCUUGGGACAAAUACUGGGCUGUUGGCCAUGGUAGGAGCAGAGUUGUCCAGCAUAGGGGACUGUGGAACAGGUAUGAAGUCAUCAUUUGCUUGGGCAAGAUUAUCCUGUAUAGUUGCAUUAGGAUGGUUCUGACCUACAACCACUACAAGAAUCAGCUGAUUUUCCGUCUGCCAUGGCAGACGACAAAUGACCAAAGCGGAUGGCGAAGGUCUUUAUCGUCUACCACUGACGAAAUACUCUUCUGGCACGGACAGUUACGGUAAAGAGCCUCUUUGCCAUGUGUUUUAGCAUGGUGGACAACAAAGACCUUUGCCGUCAGCUUUCCUACCCACGCAGAUGACACAGAAAGUGGACGGCAAAGAAUAGACGUUAGCCACGUUAGGUGGCAAACAGGAGACUUUCUGUCUGCCAGCUGAUGGCAAACAUGUCCUCCCCUUUGUUGUUUGCUUCCUGACGUCAGUAGACCCGUGGUUGAUGUCACUCCUCCCCGCUCUUUGACGUGUUCCACUCUUUUUCUUUGUCGUCUGCCGCUCAUUUUCUUUGUCGUCUGCCACAGACGGCAAACGACACCAUCCUUUACCGUCUGCACAGACGGACAAGUGACCAAAUGGGUCAGCCCCAGUGCUCCGAGGUAGCACAGGUUGCUGCCAUGUGGCCACUUUGCCAUCUGUGGCAGACGGUAAAUACCCCUUUGUCGUUCGUGGUAAAUGGCAAAGUGCCUGUAUUGCCCCAUUUCAUUCUGUUUUUUGCUAUAUUCAAGCAUUUUCACAAUAAAAUAUAUGAUAUAUAUAUAUAUAUAUUUCACAGGGGAAGUUUCAUACCAAAUAUAUGAGAUAUCCAACACUUAAGUUUCAUCCAUACAUACAUAGUUCCAUCCAUACAUACAAAGUUUGUAAUGCCCUCGAUGCGGCUAUAUCUCCCACAUGUCGAAGCAUGACUUAGAGGCAUAACUGCAUUGAAAGCAAUGUCGCAAGUGAGGUAAUCUUCGCAAACAACCCAUGUAAUACAAUAAGGGAAAAAAGGAUACAUAGUUUGCUUACACUCGCCAUGUCACACAAAUGCAUAAAUAACAUUACAUUCAUCCAAGUACACUCAAGGUCCGACUACGGAACCAAAAUAAAGAUAAACCCCAAAUGCAACAUAGUCCCCGAUCGCCCUAACUGGGCACCACUACUGAUCAUCUGGGAAAGACACGUAGUAACAGCGAGAGUCUUCAUCGAACUCCCACUUGAGCUCGGUCAUAUCAUCUGGAAUGGUAUCAUCGGUCCCUGCAUCUGGUUUUGGAAGUAAUAUGUGAGUCACGGGGACGGGUGUACUUCUUCACACACGCUCUUGGCACUUACCACCAUGUACAUGUCGUGUAUCUCGGCAACCUUCAAGCGGAAGCCUGGUGAGGGAGUCGACCAUGACCUGACUAACCACAGAAGUCUCUAGUCCAGUUUUAUCGCCUAUUCGGGUUCCAUCUGCAACGAGAUCCGGCCAGAAUGUCGCUCACGGCCCCAAACAAUGUGAGCAGGGUUCCCAAGCCCACCAUCCGGGUGCCACUUGGUACACCGUGCCACUGUGCCUAGUCUGUCCGAAGCCCACCUGUACCGGGUGCCACUUGGUAGACUACUAACACAACCUACAAACACCAGAAACUAGUUGCAACUCCUGGAUAGAGAUCGGGUUGAUUAAUAAGUCGAGAGAGCUUGGAGCGACCGGAGCCCAAUGUGUGGUAGUAACUGUUCAUGGAUCACAAACACAGAACUCGGUUCCUGAGGACGGCUGCAAUGAGACAACCCACCAUGUACUCCUACAUGGCCUCUCACCAUUACCUUUACCAAAUCGUGUUCACACACUUAGCUCUCAACGGUAGGACAUGUUCACCACAUUCCAGUUCAUCCCCGAUGAAUCAGACCUGACUCAACUCUAAGCAGUAGCAGGCAUGAAAAACAAGCAUGAAUGAGUAGGCACAUCAGGGCUCAAACAAUUCCUACUCAUGCUAGUGGGUUUCAUCUUUUUACUAUGGCAAUGACAGGUCAUGCAGAGGAAAGGGGUUCAACCACCACAACAUGUAACAGUUGAAUCACUAUUGUCCUAAUGCAGUAAAAGAGAGCAGGAGCGAGAUAGUGGGAUUGUAUCGGAAUGAACAAGGGGGUUUUGCUUGCCUGGAGCGAGAUAGCUCUUCAACGAUGUCAUUGAUCACAUCGUCGAAACAUACGUCUACCAAGGGGGAACAAUCACCGACAAACACAGAAAGAAUACAAUCAGUGCAAUGCACAAUAUGAUGCAUGAUCAUGACAUGUCAAUAUGCUGUGAUUGAGCUAAUGCAGCUAAGAACAGAAAGGUUUGAGUUGAUUUGAACUCAAGGUUCAAAUUCAGAUUCAAGCUAUGAAUUCAAAUAGUGCAUGAUCAUGUUUUGAACUAAACAGUGAGGUUAAGUUGUUUAAACAUGCAUGAAACCAGUAUAGAUGGAUAGAUUGGAUUUUUUGCUCAUUUUUCAUAUUAAAUUAUAUCAUUUGGAGUUAGAGGUUAUUUUCUAUGAAUUUUUUGAAGUUUAUACAAUUUUCUGGAAUUUCCUGAAUUAUUUUAAAUCCAGAAAAUGUUUAACUGCGUUAGUGUUGUGCAAGCAUGACGUCAGUGAGUCAACUAUGGCUGUCCAGGUCAAGCCUGACUAGUGGGUCCCACUGGUUAGUGAUAGAGUGCUGGUCAAGAUCAAUGACAGGUGGGUCCAGUCAACGCUGACUGGGCCAAGGUCAAACUGACACGUGGGCCUUCUGUGGUUACCUAAAACUAAACAGGAACUAAACUUCGAUUAAAUAAGGGCGCGGGGCCCAACUGUCUGUGUCAAAGUGGUUAAUUAACUAGGUGAUUAAACCCUAAUUAAGCAGCCACGUCAUCAUCACCGGAUCUACACCGACGAUGACCAAACUGACGGCGAGAGCUCGCCGGACUCGCGUUAGGGACGGCAGUUCGUCGCGCUACUAGCACCAGGGAGGUCCUCUCGCUCGCCCGCAUCCAAAGGACCGGACGGGAGACCGCGGGGUGGUGGGAAAUGAUGCCGGCGAUGAGGUUUAGCGGCGGCCGAGGUCGGGCUCGAGCGGGUGCGGGGUUUCAGCGCGAGCUAGAGCAAACGGCGCGGCGCGUUCGCUUCCCGGGGACGUAGUGAGCAUGUUGGUGGUGCUGGGGCGAGCGGGAGAGCGCAGGAGCAUCGAGCUCGUCGGCCAUGCCAACGACCGAAGUUCGGGAGAUGGUGGGAGCGACACUACAAGGCAUGGCAGGAUGAGAGGCUGGGUGUUCCGGGCUUCUGGAAGCGUUCUAAGCGCGAUGACACAACCGGGCGCGAGCCUCAGUGGCUAAAACGACAGCGGCAACAUAGCCGACAGCGAGGAGCUAUCGGCUCCCGUGAGAACGAGACUACAUGGCGCAAACUAGGUGGGGAAAACAGGGGUUCGGAGCGGGAUCUCACACCGGUCACGUAGAGAAGCUCAGUGGGCUCGGGGAAGGCCGAACGACGACGUAUUUGACGGCGGCGAUCGUCGGGGCAGAGGUUGAUGAUGACGGCGAUGGCAACAUUUUAGGGCGUCCGUCAUUGUAUAGCUCGGUGGAGAGGACGAGGGGAACGCGACAGUGCUUCUGGGAUCAGCGGCAGGGCGAGGGGGGGUGCUAUAGCCAUGGCGGCAGCGAACGACGGCGACGGCUCCGCUCGGCUUUGGGAAAGAGAGCGAGAGAGGUGAGGCAGGGAGAGAGGGGAGCGGUCGAGGGGGUUCAGAGUGCUGCGUGGCGGCUUCAGGAGCCUCUCCUGCGUCGGCAGAAGCAGGAGGUGGCCGCGCGUGUGCCAACACACGGCGAGCACGCGCCCUCCUGCCCACUGGCAGGAGGUGGAGGAUGACAGGCAGUGGGACCUGGUGGGUUGGGCCUCUCUGGUGGGCUGCCAGGUAAGUUUCCUUUCUCUUUUCCUAUUUUUCUUUCUGUUUUCUAUUUAUUUUGCUCUUUUUUGAUUUAGUAAUAAUACUAAACCAUUUUUGUUUCUUCUGAAAUUAUUUGUGGAUGCAAUAUGGACUAGCCCAAAGCCCCACAAUAUUGUUUAGAAUGAUUGGAGUUAUAAAAGUAUUUAUAGGAAUUUAUAACCCCAAGUCAAAUACAAUAUGAAUUAAUUCAAAAAUCCAAAAAUGUCCUAGAAAUAUAUUCAUCAUUUUUGGCAGAGGUUUCUACCCUAACCAAAAAUCAUGAACUUUUCUUGAAGCAUUUUGGGUUCAUUGAAAAUGUUUUUAAGUUGAACCUAGUUGAGUUCUUUUAGUGCUAGGGAUUGAUCACCCCUAUUUCAAACUUAGAUAAAAUUUAAACAUGAUGCAACACUAGAUGCUAGCACUAGGCAUUACCAAAACUAGGGAUGUGACAACUCACCCCCACUAAACAAGAAUCUCGCCCCCGAGAUUCAAGACGUGAGGUAAGAAGACAGGGAGGCACAAAGCUAACACAAACUUCACGAUCCAGGUUGCACUUCAUAAGAACAUUGAUUCGAUCAUCAUCCUUGUCUUGACAUCUUGUUCUAAGAACUCCAUCCAGCAUGACAACGAGAAGAAAGGGAAAACUCUAGAAGAAUCAAUCUUCAUGAAGAUCGAGCAACUGACGAUCAACUCACGGAAUGAGAUGUUCAACAUCUCUCGAGCUAAGACACGAAACAUACAUCCAAAGGGAUGGAGUGAAAUAGAGAAUGAAGAUUCAAGUUGAGAAGCACAAUUCCACGCUGAAUAACAUGGUGCGUGGUUUCAAGAUAACGAGAAGUUAUCUGCCAUGAUUCCAUAACGAGACAUCUUAAGGAAGGUGACUCGUAGAAAUAUCCCUUAAGUGGCAAAAAGAAUUACUUUUGAUUCAUAGAUCAUUGAGACUCUUUAUACCAACCUAAGGCAAUCACAACUGAUCAUUUGAAGGAGUUCAAAAGAAUGACAUACUCGGACUAGAAUGGAUGAUGUGGACUACCUUGUUGAACACAACACAAUGGAUGAUUUUGCUUAUCAUCGAAAAUGGAUGGGACCCAUGGUAAGUCCACUUUGGAAGAUUAUCUUGGACAACACCUGCUGAGAAGGGCAGCCCAUGGGGGAUUGGCACAAUGGCGGUGUAUGCUGGGAACAAAAUGCAAAUGCUAGGAAUGAUCCAACCAUCAUAUCUUCCUGAGAUUCAGAUCUGGUUGGUAACGGAAUAUUUCAAAUUGAUGAGAUGACGCUGCGAGAUUCUCAAGAGAUGAACUACGAUAGCAAGCUCCAAAACACGAGCUGGUUAUGCUACAUACAUGUGAACAUGAUGUCCCAGACAAGCAUGAACACAUAGUAGUCUUACCACGAAACACUACCGAGUUCUGGUGGGAACCAUCAAUGAGGAUACCGAAGUCCUUUCAUAAGUCCGGAUUAGCUCUUAUGAAGGAACUCUUUCUCCUUGAACAAACCAGUCAGUGGCUUGGUGUACUAGGAGAUGCACAUGGAAUGCAGGUAGCGAGCCUGUCAAACCAUAGCAUACUUCGCACGUGUAUGACUGACUUGGGAUGAUUUCUAGAGGAAGCAACAUUGACUUUCUUGAAUUCACGGUGGCAACUUGCAUCAAAUGCAAAUGUAUUCGAGGAAGUCACUUCUGUCAUCCGAACAUAUGCUUCAUGAACGGGACAUGAGGGCAAUGCUUAUAAAGUUUCCAACACUACUUAGAUGUUCGACCUGAAUCAUGGACAAGAUAAGAAUGUUGUCGAUGGGAUCAACAACAAUUCAUCCAGGUUCCCAUGAAGAUGGAAUUCCACGACUAUGUGAACAAGGUGAUAGCAUUGGUCAGCCCAAAGGAUGUAAUGGUGUAUGCCCGAGGAAUCAACCUCGAGUAAGACAACAUUACGAACAUCGUUGGUUCUGAUUUGAUUUGAGGAUAGCCCACACUCAAAUCAAAGUUUGGACAAGACAAUAGAUCCAACAACUGAUCACGAGGACCAAUCGAUGAAGAUAUCAUCUUUCUUCGACACACACACGGAGAAGAUAUCCCUUAGAGAUGAACUAAGUUAAGCAAAGCUUCUUCCAUCCAACUCUCCAAGAUGUUGUCUAGCUCAACCAACUAGCUCAGGGAUAUCCCACACAAAUUCUUGGAGAAAAGGCUGGCUACAACAAACCAACUUGAUCACGAACUCAACAUAGCGGUCAGGUGAUAACCUGGUGAUCUCUCUGAGAAGAUAUUCGGAAAAUCACGAACCACCGAUAAGUUACUAAGAUCGAGAACAAUAUUGCUUUUCAGGGAAAGACAAUAUGAUCAAUAGAGCAAGGGUUUGACAAAAUCCUAACGCAUUGAUCGAAGAGUGCACCAGAAAUAAGGAUUAGGUAGCACGAUCAAUCUUAGGAUGAUGAUUCAAUAACCAGCACGCUAAGAGUGAGAGUAAUGUCCAUCAACUACCAAGCAACGAGGUUGCUAAGAGUAUUGAUUUCACACAUCACAGUUCACUUGUUGGUAUAUAUAAUCCUAUAAGACUCAAAACAUUUUUCUAGACUCAACAACGUCAGCGAUUCAAUCAAGCAGGGGGCUCCUGAGUCGGGGAACGCUCUGAUACCAACUUGUAACACCCAUGAUGCGGCUAUAUCUCCCACGUGUCGGACCAUGACUUAGAGGCAUAACCGCAUAGUAGGCAUGUCGCAAGAGGGCUAAUGUUUACACAUCCCAUGUACUGAAUAGGAAAGGGAUAAAGAGUUGGCUUACAAUCGCCACUUCACACAAUACAUAAAUAUAUCAUUACAUCAACCAGAAUACAAUCAAGGUCCGACUACGGAAUAAAAAUAAAGAAAGAAAACCCCAAAUGCUAGAUCCUCGAUCGCCCCAACUGGGCUCUUCUACGGAUCGACUGGAAACGGAACAACACAACGAACACGAUCUUCAUCGAGCUCCCACUUGAUCUCAGUUGUGUCAUUUGCAAUGGUAUCAUCGGCACCUGCAACUGUUUGGAAGUAUAUGUGAGUCACGAGGACUCAGCAAUCUCACACCUGCGAGAUCAAGACUAUUUAAGCUUAUGGGUAGGAAAGGGUAGUGUGGUGGAGUUGCAGCAAGCACUAAGCAUAUAUGGUGGCUAACAUACGCAAAUAAGAGCGAGAGGAGAAGCAACGCAGCGGUCGAGAAGCUAGAAGUGAUCAAGAAGUGAUCCUGAAUCUACUUAUGUUCAAACAUAACACAAGAACCGUGUUCACUUCCCGGACUCCGUCGGAAAGAGACCAUCACGGCUACACACGCGGUUGAUGCAUUUUAAUUAAGUCAAGUGUCAAGUUCUCUACAACCGGACAUUAACAAAUUCCCAUCUGCCCAUAACCGCGGGCACGUCUUUGGGAAGUUCAAAAACCUGCAGGGGUGUCCCAACUUAGCCCAUCACAAGCUCUCACGGUCAAUGGAGGAUAUUCCUUCUCCCAGGAAGACCCGGUCAGACUAGGAAUCCUGGUUGCGAGACAUUUCGACAAUGGUAGAACAAGACCAGCAAGACCGCCCGAUGCGCUGACAUCCCGAUAGAAGAUGCACAUAUCUCGUUCUCAGGGCAACACCAGAUUGUCCAAGAUUCCGGUAGGCCAGCCCAGAGUUGCCCCUGGUGGCCACCGGCGGCUGACAGGUUCGAACCAACACUUAGACAAGCACUGGCCUGGGGGUUAAAAUAAAGAUGACCCUUGAGUCUGCAGAACCCAAGGGAAAAAGGCUAGGUGGCAAAUGGUAAAACCAAGGUUGGGCCUUGCUGGAGGAGUUUUAUUCAAAGCGAACUGUCAAGGGGUUCCCACAACACCCAACCGUGUAAGGAAUGCAAAAUCAAGGAACAUAACACGGGCAUGACGGAAACUAGGGCGGCAAGAGUGGAACAAAGCACUAGGCAUAAGGCCGAGCCUUCCACUCUUUACCAAGUAUAUAGAUGCAUUAAUUAAAAUAAGAGAUAUUGUGAUAUCCCAACAUCUCCAUGUUCCAACAUGGAACAAAGUUCAACUUCACCUGCAACUAGCAACGCUAUAAGAGGGUUAGAGGCUUGACAUGGCAAUAUGGGAAGCAUGAUAUGGCAGGUGGUAGGUACCGUGGCAUAGUAAUAGAGCGAACAACUAGCAAGCAAAGAUAGAAGUGAUUUGGAGGGUAAGGCAUCUUGCCUGCAAAGUUCUCAGAGUUGACGAAAGCUUGAUCCUCGUUAGCAUACUCAACAGGUUCCUUGAUCACAUACUCGUCUCCCGGCUCUACCCUAAGCAAGAACAAAAGCAAAGGACCAACAAUCAAUCUCGGCGCAAUGCACAAGCAACAUGAUGCAAAACAAGGCAUGACAUGUGGGACGUGAUAUGUAAUGCAUAUGCGUGCUCCGGAAGGAAAAGGAUUAACAAGGCAUCAACUUGGAAAACCAAGUGUGCCUCUGGAAUGAUGAGAUGAUUUCGGUCGAAAUUGAUAUAAAGAUCACCGGAAUCGGAUGCACGGUCUACAAAUGGCAAGCAAAACAAGAAUGGCACAAUUCUGCAAUUAACAACACGAUGCCAUCUAGAAUGCAACAAGAAACUAAGCUACUACACUCCAACAUAGCAAAAAAACACAUGGAAGUGAUCUACGGCUAAAUCACACAAGAGGAGGUUCAAACAAGGAUGGCAAAAGUGCAAAAGAUAUCAGCUUCACAGACUUAGUGAAAAUAUCAACAUGCAAGGAAUUAACAUCAGGAACCAAUGUUUAGAGCAAGCAAACAACAUGCUACAGGAACAGAUAAUAGCAAAACAAGGCAUGGCAUGAAUAUACCCAAAGCAUAGAACAAAAGUCCCUUAGUGAGCAUAAGCCAAAAAGGAUCAUAAGAUAUGAUGGCACCCAUGUAAACAUAGCACGUCUCGUUAACAGAUUCAGACUUAGCAGAAAACAGAGCAUGGCAUAAACAAAAUUAUGAAGGCAUCUUUGUGAGCUCGAUUUACUCAUCACAAAGCCUUGCAUGACAAACUAAGCAUACUACCAGUAAGAAGACAUGAUAAAGAAGCAAGAUUAAGUCAUGCCAUGUCACUCCAUAAUUGAAAACAGGGGCAUGGAUGGAUAGAGCACAACCAUAUGUCCAAAUCAUCCUUACUGAAGAUACUCAAAACAGACAUGGAUCACUCUGUAGCAUCAUGGAUACAUGGCAUAAAAAUAACGGCAGGGAAAUGACAGUGAAAUUCUAAGUCCCUGAAAUGAGCAAUAUCACAAGAACUACUCUGCAUGCUUGUGCUAGUCACCACAUUGAUCACAAAAAUACAUGGAACACACCCCUGUAAAGAUGGCAUGGCAUAGAACAAAAACAUGUAGAGCUCAUCUUCAUAUGGAGCACACAACAAAUGUAGCAAAAAUGACAAAUCCUCAUACUCUGCUAAAAAUCAGCACCUAACAAUUUAUAGCACUCUUGCAUCAAUGAUUUGGGCAUCAAGAUGGACUCAAACAAGCAUGCCACAAUGGAACAAGAUGAACAGAACAUCGUGAUGAACAUUUUGAUAUAUCGUGCAUGUAUAAUGGAGACAAAUACACAUAGAUAUGCUAUGAUGAACAUGCACUCAUGAGAUGGAUUUUUCCAGACUUAGACAAAAAUUACAUGGGCGCAGGAUAUCUAAAGUGCGCACUGGCGGGGACUUAGGUGGGCUCGCUCACAUUGGGCCACUUGGGCCAGAGAGGAGGGAGAGGCGGAUCAAGCCACCACGGGGCAGGCCGGCGGGGACGGGCCGCGGGGCCCAUGUGGCGAGGACGAGCGGGACGAGCGCUCCUGCUCGAUCCCGAGCAGGAACGUGGCGGCGGCGGAUCCACGGCGACGGCGGCGGAGCAGGAAGACGAAGAGGAGCGGGGACCGUCCGGAUCCGGUGGAGGAGAUGCAAGGCGGCACCGGCGACAGAGCUUUGACGCGUCGUCGGCGGAACAUGACCACGGGGAUGACAGGACGGCGUCGGUUGGGUCGGCAGGGCACGAACUCCGGUGGGGAAGCGAGGCGGCGCGAUGAAUGAGGUGGCAGGGCGCGAUGGCCGGCGGCGGCGCACGCGGUCGUUGGCGGCGGAGUGGCGCGGGUGCCCCAGCGGGUGCGGUGAAGGAGGCGCGGGCCGGGGAGGGCACGACCUGGGCCCGGCGGGCUUCGGCGGGAGGUGCGGCGAUGUGGGGCACGACCCGCUCUGAUUUUAGAGCGGGUCUCCUUGGCUGCUACCAUGGAUUUCUCCAGGUCCGCCAAUUUCGCUUGGCUUUCCUUUUCAAGAAGCUCAUACCGGUCGGUGGCAUCCUUCGGCUCAACGGCCAUCUUGGCUAUUUUAUUUCGCUCUGGCGAUGAGGAGCCCGUUCGGCUCUUAACUCUUCGGCCGCCUUUAGGGCGGCCGCAUCACUUCUCCUGGCUUGUUCCUUGGCUCGGGCAAGCACAGCUCAAAGGGUCUCCACGGCGGCAGCUCCACCUGCAGUCACAGCAUGUUAUAGACACUAGCAUCAUGCUCCUCUUAAUAUCUAUUGACCACCGGAGAAUACAUACCCUGUGCCUCGUCAAGCCGCUUGUUCACAAGCACGAUGUCGGCAUCUGCCGUAUCAAGCUGCCGCCUCAGUUCGACAAACUCAGCAGUCCGGCCAGCCACCGGACCGUCAGCCGCCUUCACAUGAAAGCAGCGCGAUUAUUACCUGGGACUACGAUCCUCUGUUUGCCGCCUCUAGACAGCAGCCAGAGUCUCAGGGGCUGCUAUCUGUAUAGAGUACACCAAGCAUGUAGGGUACCAUCAAAAAAUUUAUAUAUUACUUUGCGUACCUCAAAGCCUCUUAGGAGACUCAUAAAAGCUUCAUGCAACCCACUUUUGGCGGAUGAAAUCCUCUCAACCACCGCAACCAUUAAAGUAUGAUGCGCCUCUGAGAUAGCCGCUUGCUCCAAAAGAACCAUCAGUGUGUCCGGUUGUGCACCGGACAAUCCCAGACUCUUUCUGUUGCUCUCCUUAGGAGCCGAAUACUCCUGACUUCGGUUGGCCGAAGGGUUACUUUCUGGCCUUGGCAGAUCAGGAGAAAUCCUCCGUGAUGACACCUCGGGGUCGUCUUCCCCAGGAGACUACGCGACAGGGUGAGGCGUUUCACUCUCCAUCAUCUCCGGAAGAAGAUCCCCCGAAGACAAACUCCGUCGAGAAGGGCUACGAUCCGGACUGCAAGACAUUUGUGUCGGUUAUUGUCCUUGGAGAUAGAGCAGGAUAUAUUUACCAGAAGUACUCUUGAUUCACUUAUAGCUCGGUGGAGGGCUGGCCCCCUUGCAGGCACUGUGCGGUAAGGACGCCCUCCGGGGCAGGACCCCCUGGCGAAGGUUUCUUCCCUCGUUUGGAAACCUUCGUUUCCAAGUCUUCAGAGGCAUUCAUUUGCUUCCUUGGGGAGAGGGGAUUCUAGAUUCUUCUCCCCGAUUAUCCUCCUUCACAGAGACACUAAUUCCCCUGGUUUGGAUGAGCAAUGUGUGAGGCCCGCUUUCGGCUUCGUUAUUCCUCCCUUUAUCUUCCCCUCAUGGCACUUGAUAAGGUGAGAGCUCAAGCAUCCUAGCUAGUACAGGAUCCAGUGAGCCUUCAGGAAGGGGGGCCGUACACCUGAUCAUCUUCGCCUUUCUUAUCCAGUCCUGGCCAAGAUCGAUUUUUCCAGAAUUAUGUUUUGAUAAAUAAAAAGACAACAUGUUCGGCCGCAUAAUUACAUACAUGGGUAUCUGGACGAGUGCAGUUUAGACCCGCAUCCUUAGUGGUGUCCGGACACUUUAUUCAUGGUCCGAAGAACAAUCCAUACAUCCCUUCGAGCGUCAUGCCGAAGAAUUGCUGAAUAGUUCGCUGUCCUUCCGCGUUGAACUCCCACAUACGGAGAGAUCGAUGUUGGCAUGGCAGGACCCGAUGAACUAGCAUAACCUGCAUUACCUUGACAAGACUGACAUCCCUCUCGAGGAGAUCGCGGAUGCGACUUUGCAGUGUCGGCACAUCAUUAACUGGCCCCCAGUCCAGCCCCUUGUUGACCCAUGACGCCAGUUGUGGCGGGGGGGGGCAAAGGGAAGGCGGGGGCAGCUACCCAAUUAGUACUUCGGGGAGCUGUGAUGUAAAACCACUCUCGUUGCCAUAAGUUGGACACCUCCAGGAAGGAACCCUUUGGCCAUGGAGCAUCGGCGCAUUUGCUUAUUAUGGCACCUCCGCAUUCUGCGUGUCGCCCAUUGAUCAUCUUCGGCUUCACAUUGAAGGUCUUGAGCCAUAAAAUCUAUGUCAUGUUGGUCGGCAUAAUUUUCAUAAACAAUAAAUGAACCAAUAGUUAUAAAGAUAAUAUAUAUACCACAUCCGAAUCAUAGAUAGGACAAGGGCCAACGGGGGCGGAUACCAAAACCAUCGCACUAUAUAAGAUGCAAUAAUAAAAGUAAGAAAAUAAUACAAGUAUCUAUGUAAACAUCCAAGUAAGAAUAUUUUUCCUUUCAGAUAGAAGAUAAGAACAAGAGGCUGACCACGGUGGUGCCCGCGAUGAGCUCGGCACGGGUGAUCGACGAUGGUGAAGACGGGGACGGGGCGUGACGGACCGCUAAACCUAGACAAAUAUUAUGGAAAAUGGAGCUUGGAGGUCGAGCUUGGAUAGGAGAAAGCUUAAGUAGUGUGGCUCGGGCGUUCCAUCGAACACCUUGUGUGCAUAGGAGGUGAGCUAGAGCACCACCAAGCCCACUCCCCCUCGGCCAGAAAAAACAGAGCAGUGUGCUCUGCUCUCACGCGAGGGGGUAUAUAUAGGCACUUCAUUGGUCCCGGUUGGUGGCAUGAACCGGGACUAUAGGUGAGCCUUUGGUCCCGAAUCAAGCUACCAACCGGGACCAAUGGUGGUGGGCCAGGAGCGAGGCCCAUUGGUCCCGGUUCAUCCCACCAACCGGGACCAAAAGGUCCAGAUGAACCGGGGCCAAUGGCCCACAUGGCCCGGCCGGCCCCCUGGGCUCACGAACCGGGACCAAUGCCCCCAUUGGUCCCGGUUCUGCACUGAACCGGGACUAAUGGGCUGACCCGGCCUGGACCAAAGCCCUGUUUUCUACUAGUGACACGACGAUAAACGACGAGAUGUGAAGGCUGGAAUCUUGGGCUAGAUCAUGGAAAUCGAGCCCGUAAUAGAACAUAAGCCCUCUAACAAAGGGAUCAAGACUAAAGCCUAGCCCUCGGAGGAAGUGGGAAACAAAUACAACACUCUCGUUGGGUUCGGGAGUGGGGAUGACCUACCCUUGAGCAGGCAGCCUAUGCGAGAUUUCCACGGUCAGAUACCUGGCUUCCCUUAGCUUCGUGAUGUCCUCCUCUAUGACAGAGGAAGCCAUCCACCGGCCUUGAAGGUUGGAUCCGGACAUGGUUGAAGGAACGAAUUUCUUAGCCUGAGCCUUGGGUGUUGGAACUCGGGGUGGGGGAAGGGAAGGAUUGAGCACGAGAAGAAAAGGACAAGCCUUGGCCCCUUUAUAAAGAGGAUGAAUAUCGAGCGUCCUCCGCGUGGCCGUUCAGAACUAGCCUAAAAUCGAGGAGUCAUACUAGUAGGCGUGGUUGGGUUACCCACACCCGUAUUGAUGAGAAUCCCGUGAUAAGGGGACACGAUCUCUGCUUCGACAAGACGUGCCAAGAAAACCGCCUCAUAAUAUGUGCAGUAGCUGGUUGAGGAAAACAGUUCGAAUAAUGACCAGGCCAUAGCAUGAUGUCACAUUAUAAAAAGUUGUCAGCAGAUUAGAUUUGUGGAAUAAUAUACUCUCUACGGUGAUAUGUGGAAUUUGUUUUGCAGAGCCGGACACGACCCUUGUGUUCAAAAUCUUCUAUGGAGUAUUCAGAGACGGAACCCGCCUUGCAAUGCCAAAGACAAUCUGUGUGCCGGACUCAUCGUCAUUGAAGCCUGGUUCAGGGGCUACUGAGGGAGUCCUAGAUUAGGGGGUCCUCGGACAGCCGAACUAUGUACUUUGGCCGGACUGUUGGACUAUGAAGAUACAAGAUUGAAGACUCUGUCCCGUGUCCGGGUGGGACUCUCCUUUGCGUGGAAGGCAAGCUUGGCAAUUCGGAUAUGUAGAUCUCCUCCCUUGUAACCGACUAUGUGUAACCCUAGCCCCCUCCGGUGUCUAUAUAAACCGGAGGGUUUAGUCCAUAGGACAACAACAAUCAUAAUCACAGGCCAGCUUCUAGGGUUUAGCCUCUACGAUCUCGUGGUAGAUCAACUCUUGUAAUACUCAUAUCAUCAAGAUCAAUCAAGCAGGACGUAGGGUAUUACCUCCAUCGAGAGGGCCCGAACAUGGGUAAACGUUGUGCCCCUCGCCUCCUGUUACCAUCGGCCUUAGACGCAUAGUUCGGGACCCCCUACCCGAGAUCCACCGGUUUUGACACCGACAGCGAGGGCGACGACGACAACGAUAGAGUGGGGGGAGAGGGUGUGGGGAGAGUGACCGCGGAGAAUUGGGACUUGGCGGUUGGCCAAAUUUGAUUUUAACUCAAAACAGCACUAGCGCUACUUUAAACCCAGCGCUAUAGCUAACUGCUAAUGGCACAUAGUAGUAGCGCUUUUCUAGAACAAAGUGUUAUUGCUAUAGUAGCUAUAGCACUAGUUCUCAAUCAAGCGCUACUGCUAACUGUUCCAAAUUUUAUUAUUUUCUUUUUAUUAUUUUCCUUUUCUAGUUUUUAAUUUCCUUUUCUUUUAUUAUUUUCCUUUUCUUUUCUGUUAACUUUCCUUUUUCUUUUGUUCUGCUUUCUCCCUUUUGUUUUUGUUUUUUUGCUUUGCUCCCGACAACGGCGUCUCCGGCCCUCUCCCCCUACGCGCAUAUCACCGGAACCAUGCAUGUGGUGGUAACAUAUCAGUUGACCGAUAACGGUUACUUAAGUGCGUACACAAAAUAGAUACAUAUAUAUAUAUAUAUAUAGAUGUAGGUUUUUGAUCAGCUGCGUCGACGACGUUUCACAUUGAUCUUCUUCCCUUUCUUGUUCGUUCCCGAGUAACUGAGCCCCUCCAUGUGACUUUUCCGGAGCCAUGGAUUACGAUCUUUCUUAGGUAAUGUAGUCUUGAUUCUUCUUUUCACGUAUGCUUCAUCUUCAUUGUCAUCUUCCCUCAUCGGGUUGCCGUAUUGGUCGUAGUCUUCCUUGUUGGCUACUCCAUCCAUUUCGAUGAUGCUCCUUUUGGAUCUCCUCAUGACAACACGGCUGGGAUUGGACAGGUCGGUUAUGAAGAAGCAUUGUGUCACGUGCUUAGCAUGUACCCAUGGCUCAUUUAUGGCGAUGACGUUAAAGUUCACGGGAGUGCUCUUCACGUUGGGUAUAGACAUGGUGGUGAAAUACUUGUUUUCUCUUACGACGUCCUUGGCCCAUCUGACACGGAACAUCGUUGCAUCGUGCAUUCCAGCAUAGUCAAGCUCCCACAUCUCUUCGACCCUUCCAUAGAAUCUCUCAGUUGUGCCGUUGGCGUCAGUCACACAUUGAAAUGUCACCCCAGAGUUCUAGUAAUCAUUGUCCAUGUCUUUGGCCUCCGUGUAGAACGUGUACCCAUUGAUAUCGUAGGACUGAUAGGUCGCGAGCUUGGGCGCGGGACCAUGUGCUAAGGCGUGUAGAGCAAUCCAUCCGAACUCCCCCCUUCUGGGGGAUUUUCAAGAACUUUCUAUUUAAACCGGCGCAAGAAAGUGGCGUUGUGCUCUAUAGUAACUUCGUCAUCCGUCUUGAGCAUCCCCUUACUUCUUUGUGAUGGUUUAUUUGUGUUGUGCCACAUAAUCAUCUACCACAUCUAGGUGUUGUAGCACUACUAAGUUAGCCCUGUCAAAGUCGUUCCGUCUAUUCGAGUAGUCCACGUGCAAUUCACUCCAGCCGUUGUAGUGACCAUCUCCUUCGAGCUUCCCAUUGUGAUUCUUGACGGGCAAACCAACAACAGGGUCUCCGAUGCUUAUAUAAUUCUCACAAAAGGAGACGCACUCAUGCAUCAGAUACCCCUGGACGAUGCUCCCAUCUGGACGGGACAUGUUACGAACGAAUCCUUUGAUGACCCCAUUCAUCCUCUCGAACGACAUCAUGCUGUGAAGAAAUGUCGGCCCGAGGUUGAUGAUGUCAUCCAUGAUGUGGACACAUAGAUGCACCAUGACGUCAAAGAAUGCACACGGGAAGUACAUCUCAAGCUCACAUAGUAUGACAACAAUCUCUUCUUGUAGCCUUCGGAGCUGCUUCACACUUAUGGACUUUCGAGAUAUAACGUCGAAGAAGUUGUAGAGACCAGUAAGCAUGUCAUGGACGUGCUUCUCCAUUAUCCCUCUAAUGGAAACUGGGAGUAUCUGCGUCAUCAUCACGUGACAGUCAUGAGACUUCAUCCUGCUGAACCUUUUCUUCUUGGUGUCUAGAAAUCUGCUUAUCUUCCCAUAGUAACCAGAACUGACUUUAAUUCCCAUAAGGCACUUGAUGAAUUGAUCGAUCUCCUUCACACUUAAGGUGAAGCAAGAAGGGGGGCAAUAAUUCUCCUCCUUCUUGUUGACUUUUCUGCCCCUUUCCCCUCCUCCAUCUCCGUCUCCGUCUCCUCCAUCAACUUUUUAUGGUGGACAUCUUUCCUGAUCAUCAAAUCUUCCAAGUCUUUCCUUGCCUUCGGCCCAUCCUUGGUCUUCUCCGGCAUGUUCAUCAGUGUGCCAAGGAAGCUCUCGAGGACAUUCUUUGUGAUAUGCAUUGGAUCAAGGCAAUGAGGUGUGUCAUGAUUGGUCCAGUACUCCAAGUCCGAGAAAACAGCCCUCGUUUUCCAUACCUUCAGCAGCGGCUCUGGUGCCUUUUUGAUCUUUCCCGGCGCAGGGCAUUGUUCCUAGUUUCUCAACAGCUCAUCGAUUUCGGUGCUGCUCCUCUUACGUGGAGGUACUCGAAGCUCAGCCAACCCAUUGAAUAUAUCUCCAUGCUUUCUCCAUGGGUGAUCCUUCUCGAGCCAUCUACGAUGCCCCAUGUACACGAUUUUCCUGGACCCACCAUCUUUCAUUGACGUAAGAUGCUGAGACGUUGUAUCAUCCAUGCACCUCGUGCAUCCGCAGUAUCCUUGGCACACCUGGCCUGAGGUGUACCCGUAACCGAGAUAGUUGUGCAUUGUCGUCAUCAGCGUGGCUCUCACAUGGAAAUAUUCUGCUUUGCUGGCGUCCCAUGUCCAUGCCGGUGUUUUACAUAACGUGUCUAGCUCCUCUUGCAGAAGCCCCAUAUAUAGGUUAAUACUAUUUCCCAGUUGUUUCAGCCCUCGAAUCAGCAUGCUCAUGUGUAUGUACUUUGUCUUCAUGCACUUCCAUGGGGGGAGGUUGUACAUCCAUACAAACACGGGCCAUGUGCUGUGGUUGGUGUUCUGGUUUCCAAACGGAUUCAUGCCAUCAGUACUCGCACCAAGCACGAUGUUCCUUGGAUCUUCUGUAGCAAAUUCAUAUACGGCGUUGAAUGCUCUCCACUGGCUACCAUCUACGAGGUGUCUCAGCCUUGGAUCACCUUCAUCGUCGGGCUUCUUCCUCUCCGCGUGCCAGCGCAUGAGCUUUGCUUCCUUAGGAUCUAUGAAAUACCGCUGCAUACGGGGAGGGAUCGGAAAGUACUAUCCAACUUUCUGAGGAGCUUUCUUUCCAGCCUUAUUGUAUCGAGAAGCAUUGCACACUGGACAACUAGUUUUUCCCGUGUGCUCCCCUCAAUAAAUGAUGCAAUCGUUGAUGCAUGCGUGGUACCUAAUGUGCGGAAAAUCAAAAGGGCAAACGAUUUUCUUGGCCUCCUCGACACUAGUAGGACACAUGUUCCCCGUGGGUAGAACUUUAUUAUGUAGAAACUUCAAAUGCUCAUCGAGGCUUUUGUCUAUCCAUUUGUUUUUGGCCUUCAUCUUUAGAAGUUCAAGCAUGAAACUCAAGCAGGUCACCUCGGUAUCGCAACCGUCAUACAAUGGAGUACUCGAGUCUACUUCAAGUUGUGCCAGCUUGGCCUCCUCUCUAGAGGUAGCUCUCUCGCUAGUUGUACUCUUGCGAAGGAGGUCUCGAACAUGAGGGUCCUACACGACUGCACUUAGUAGCGUCUAAAACUGCGGCGUGACUGCCGCCUCUUCUCCGCCAUGUCCGGACUCUUCUUCUCCAUGUCCGGAAUCUUCUCCGCCGCCAUCAUCAUUUCCGGACUCUUCCCCGCCGACAAGUCUGGCGCCAUCGUCUUCUUGUCGAUCGGUCAUCUCUUCGUCUAGCCUCAUGUCGUUAUUCCCUGCCAUGUGGACGUCCUCAUCAUCAUCAUCUUCACUUAUCCACUGAGUAUAGCAUCCAUGAAACCAUUCAUCAGCAGGUGCGCCUUCAAAGUGCCACGACCAAAAGGGUCCAAAAGGACUCCUUCCUUGCAUCUUGCACACGGACAUCUAAUCGUGGUCCGAUUGUUUGCAUACAUGUCCAUCACCGUGGAUUGCAUGUACUGCUCCACCUUCCAUCCACUCACCUUCAUGACCGACUGCAUGGUAUAACAAGAAAAAGGGUUAUGAAAUAAAUAAUGCAUGCUUCAAAGUCAUAUAUAUAAAAUUUUGGCAUGACCUUACCUAAAAAUAGGACAUAUGAGUUUGCUCGCAAUUCACCGAAACGGAAAUAAAUCGACAUUUCGGCAAAACAUAAGCAACUCGAGGGCAUGUCACUAGCACAAAUGUCUCCCGAGCAACUUGAAAUGAACAACUUUUUACUCACAUAUAUAUAUAUAUAUAUCUCCCGAGAGGGACCGAGAGCACGCGAUUAACUAGAUGAUGAAAGAGAACGAUCGAUGGAGCACGUGGGGUUGUCUAAAUAGCUUGAUAGAUCUAGUUGUUGGGAGAAGAGGUGAGUCUAGCUAGCUAACUGAUGGAGAGGGGUUAUGGUGGAUGGGGGCAUUAAUGGGGGAGAGAAGAGAGGUGUAGGAGAAAGAGAGAGGCCAUUUAUGGAGGAGGGUGCCAUUAAUGAGGAGAGAAGAGAGGUAGGAGGAAGAGAGAAGAAGAGAAACAAUGGUGGAGCUAGAGUGGAGAGGGGAGAGGGGACAGGAGGGGGAGAGAGGGCAAAGUGGUGACAGGAGGGGAAGGGGGUGGAAAAGGUGGCACCAGCCGCAACUAGCAGUAGCACUGCUUUGAAAAAAGCGCUGCUGCUAUUGGACUUAGUAGUAGCGCUUUCCAGGAAAAGCGCUACUAUUAAGUGUGGCCCACUAGCAGUAGCGGCGCAUAAAAAAAGAGCACUGCUACUAAACUCCUAGUAGUAGCACUUUUUCUGUACACCGCUACAACUACGAAAACAGUCGGUGGCCUCAUCUGGUCCCACAUAGUAGUAGCAUGUUUCUACUUCACAUCGCUACUACAAUGGAGUUACUAGUAGCGCUUUCCUGGAAAAGCGCUACUGCUAAAUAGCAAUAGUGUUUACUUCUUUCUAGCGCUACUACUAUGCUAAUGUGUAUAAGCGUUUUCCUAGUAGUGAAAAGAGGCAUUGUUUAAUUAAUAACAAGAUGACAACAUGGCAUCAUGAAGUUAAGAGAAAACUGGAACAUUAUUUAGGCAUGUUUAUGGCAAAAAAACAUAUGCUACAUUACAUGUAUGAGGCAUCAAAUGGCAUGGCAUGAUAGAGCAUAACAUGAACAUCAAAAAAUCUCAACUAGGAAUCUCUAGAUUAUGCAUGGAAUAGAUGGUAGCAUCAAACUAGAAUGGCAUCACAAUGUAACAGUUACAGACUUAGAAAAAAUCACGAAGUCUCAGAAAUCAGCAACAUCAAGUAGCACACUUGACAAGCUUGUGCUAGUCACCACAAGGCACAUAAAAAUACAUGGAUUGACCCUCUGUAAAGAUGGCAUGAAGAUGCUCCUAUACCAUGUUGACAUGAUGCCCAAAAGAUGAACACACAAAAUACUAUGAAAAAGACAAAUCAGCAAGUUAUAACAAUUUUCAGCAGUUAACAGCACAUGGCACUCUUGCAACAAUGAUUAAGGAAUCAAGAUUAACAUUAACAUGCAUGCAAAUGACACUAGCAUGUAGAGCAUUCAUAGACGAACAAUUAAACAUAACAUGCACGCAAAACGAAGCAAUAUGCAUGAAGUUACAACAUGAUGAACAUGCACACGUGAUGUUGGAAUCUGUGGACUUAGCAGAAAUUACACCCUCCUAAAAAGUCGACGCGGGACAAGGAGAAGCGGGACGGAGGGAUCUGGGUGCGGAGGCGACGUUCGGUUUGGUGAAACGGUGGAUCUGGUCCACCUCCAGAUUCGGCGACGGAGGAGGACGCCGGCGAGGCUCUCCGGCGAGGGGUGAGGUCGGCGCGGGCAAGCUUCGGGAAGGGUGGCGGUGGCGUGGCUAGGCUCCGGAGGUGAGGCGUGGUGAUUGCGCGCGGCGGCAGCUGCGGCAGCUCGAGCGGGCGCCAGUGGCGGCGGCGCGGGCUGGCGGUGAGCUGCGUGGCGUCGACGACGCGGUGGCGAUGCGGGCGGCUCGGGCGCCGGCGCGAGGCGCAGCUCAGUUCGGCCUGGGUGCGGGCCGGCGAUGGGCCCCGUGGGCCCACGCGGUGGAUACGGCGGCGGGGUGACAUGGCGCCUUCCGAUUCGUUGACGGUGGCGGCACGGACGGACAUGUCCAGCAGCAUGGAGGGAAUAUGGAGGCUAGGGUUUCGACUCCAAAUUCGGACGGGGAGGACCUUAUAUAGGUAGAGGGAGCUAGGAGAGGCCAAAUGAGGUGCGUUUUUCGCGCACACGAUCAUGAUCCAACGACGGAGAGCAUGGAGGGGGUUUAUAUGGGCUAGUGGCUGUUAUGAAGGGGUGCUGGGCUGCAAAGAGAAGGAGGGGUUUCGGUUAAUGCAGUUAACCGUUGGGGCAUCAAACGACCUCCAAAUGGAACGAAAUUUGAUAGGCGUUGUACUGGUGAUAUACCAAGGCCACUAGACAAAUCUCGGACCAUGCCGACAACGUUUUUCUCCCGCUCAUGAAACGAGAACCGGAAGGUGCAACGGUUGCAUGUGAGAGUGUCGGAUGUCAAAACGGACAAUGGAGAAAGUGAUCGGAUGCAAGUUUUGAAAAAUAUGAUGAUGUAGUGCACAUGAUGACAUGGAAAAAUGCACCACGCAAGCAAAUGUCAUGGCAACAAUGACGAAUAACUGGAAGACACAUGGCGCAUCGAACUCGGGGCGUUAGAGAGAGAUACAUAAAAUCAUGAGAUAGAUACUUUCCUUUUCUCUAGAGGGCUAAAAAUAAAUUACAAGGAAUUAUAAGAAAUGCUACCGAGGAAGCAUUCACCAACUGUCAAGUAGCUCAAAGAACACCAGAAGUAAAAUUUACAUCCAGGUCCAUAGACCACUUAGCAACGACUACAAGCACUGGAGCUAGCCAAAAGGUGUGCCAUCAUCAUCACCCAUGCUUCGUCAGAGAAGGGCAAACAUUGUUGUGGUAGAUAGCCAGGAACAAAAAUAUGUUGCAGCUUGUUAGUUUCCAGCUGAAUAUGUUUGAUGGACCAUUGGUAUGCGCUUAUUUUGUGUGCAAGAACAAUGAAUCUAUUUGGUCCCGAUAGCCAAUAAGCCAUAAUAUGUUUUCCAGCUGUCCUAAUUCUUGGUAUCAAAGAAGAUUGUUUGCUAUAGAAUUAUUCAAGUCCAUACAUCAAGGUCUGCAGAAGGUAUGGUUAAGUUUAAAAGAUUUGACACUAUCUCAUGUGUAGUUCCAGAUUUAGAUGAAAAAACAUUCUGUUUCAAAUCAUAAUAUUAAUUAUACUUCAGUGGUAGAUUCAAUUUUAAUUUUGCCCAAAAAUCUUCCCAGUAUAGUGAGUCUAAUGCACAUGUAUGUGAGCAUCUAUGUUAAAAAAUGCCAUGAUAGGGGUUCAAGUACAAAGAGUAGGAAAAUAAAAAAGUUGGAUUUAAAUUAUUCCAGCUAGAAAAACAAUUCAUAAUGCUCCCAAGUGAAAUUUUAUUUCCAAACAUUAUUCUUCGUCAUUUUCUCGCUACAAUUAUCUGAUGCAUUCGCAGUGACCAUCACGGCAGGUCCCACCUCCGUAACCAUCUCUGUUGCAGAUAUCAUUACAAGAUGAAGUUCACGGUGCCCCUCGACACCAAUGUUAGCUUCCUUUCCUACAACAAUAAAAAAUAAAAGGUGCCAUCAGAACCUUUUGUUGUUCAUAUGUAAACUAGGAUUCUGUGAAAUCAAUGUACUAUGCAAAUAGUAGGACAGCAGUGGAGUGCUAAUACAAACACAGGAAGAAGAACUACUGGCUGGUAUAUAAUUAUUAUGUACUAUGGAAACCAUACGUACCACGACAAAAUUGUAAUGGUGAUCAGAACAUCACAGGGAAAACACCUCUAUCAUUUCCAUGCCAUUGUUAAAUAACACUAGGUUUAAACUACUAUGAGGCAUGAUAACUUUCAAAUAAGGGGACGAGCGCGACGCACAAGUUUGCACUACAAGGAAAAAUAGUUAUAUAUAUAUAUAUUGGGAGUAUGAGGAAAAAGAUACUUGCCUAUCUUAACUAAACACCUCACUCUAUUAGGCAUGGUUGAAACACUUUUCUCUUGCAAAAAUACUGGCAUAUAUUAACUUGAACGAUCAAACUCCAUAAGAAACAUUCAUCUCAUUGGCAACAGAGAAUGAUGUAAUAGGAUCAAUUUUUUAUCUAGCUCUAGGAAACCACAAAUUCAUAUAUACUACAGUUGAUAAGCUCUGGUAAAUAGAAAUGUACAUAUCUUCCUCCCUGACGCUUCACUCGACAAUAAAGUGGUUGAAACCAUCAAAAGUGCCAUCAAGCAUAGAACACGAGUGUUGAUCCGGAUUAGAGCCUUAAUGAAAUUGUUUAGCGUUCUCUUCUUCUAUGUCCUUUUGGUUGUAGACUUGUACUACAUUGCUGGUUCCUUCUGCUAUUCAAAUAGAGGCAUGGCCAAUUCUUGGAGUAUCAAUGUUUGCCACUUUAUUCAUUCCUUCUUUGGUGUGUUUCCUUUUUACAAUUCGUCGUAAUUAAUAAGUAUCCUCGGAAAAUUCUUUGACUACUGCUCCAUCCUUGAAAAUUUUAAACAUAUGGUCAGACAAAUGGAGACACUAUUGCCUUAUGGUCAGACAAAUGGGCUGAUGAUAUCCUAGAGAACACUAUGCCUCACCUUCACUCUUAUGUUAAGAACAAGCAUAUUACUCUUGCUCAAGCAACAAAUUUGGAUGUUGAUAGCUUCUAUGAUAUGUUCUAUCUCCCUUUGUCUUCUAUAGCUGUCCAGCAGAGUAAUGUUGUAAGAGAGUUGAUUAACAAUAAAGCUGGAAUUCAAUAUGCUGACAUAUGGCAGUUCUAUUGGGGUGGCACAAAGUAUUCAAAUAAAAGGAUUUAUAUGGAAUAUAUUGGUAAUCCACCUGAUGCUCCCAAGCAUUUUCAUUGUACAUGGAAAUCUUGCUCCCUCCCUAAACAAAAAUUCUUCUUCUGGUUGCUUCUACAAGAGGGACUUCAUACCAGGGAUCUCCUUAUGAGGAAGAGUUUCCAUAUUGAAAGCAGCAUAUGUGUCCUAUGUGAUGAUGAUCCCAAUGAGCAUUUCACCCACUUAUUUUUCAGCUGUGAUUUUAGUCACAACUUCUGGUUAUUUAUUGGAUUCCAAUGGAACACUGACCUAAAUAUGAUGGAGAUGCUUGUGCAAGGGAAGAAGCAUAACAACAUUUGUUGCUUUAAUGAAUGCCUAGUUGCAGGUUGCGGGAGCAUUUGGAAGCACAGAAAUGGCAUCAUAUUUGACCAUCAGGCCAGAAAUAUCAAUCAAUGUAUUGCUAUUUUCAAGGAGCACUCUGUCAUGAUCAUCAAAAAAGCUAGGCCUAGUUUGAAAGAAGGAAUGCAAUCCAGGCUAGACUAUUUGUGAAUCAUCCUUGUUUAUAACUCUUUGUAAAUCCUUGUAACUGUCCUUCAUAUUAAUAGAAAAUGAGUUACAGUGGGGGCCUUCCCCACUAUGUGUUGCUCAAAAAAAUAAGGAUCCUCGGAUGAUACGCACAUUAUCGGUGUUCUGGGAACGGGGGUCCCCAGACAUGCCUGCCUGCGGCCCACGGCGUGGCUCUGCGAGUGGGCCUGUACGGCCCAUCUUCACUAGCAAGGACUCAAGACUCUCGCGAGGGGCCAAGCCUCUCGAGGCGAGCGACAAAAGACCUCCUCAGGAGCGGCCUCACCAGGCUGGCUCGCGAGGGGCGGAGAGUUCAAGGCGAGGAGAACCUCGCGAGGUUCUAGUGACGUGAGCCAUGACGACCAAGGCCAGGCGGGCACCAGGCGGGCACCAGCGCACAAUGUCCUUGUUUCCCCUUCGGUCAUAAGGAAGCAGGGGCAGGCGCGGAGUACCGAGGCAUCAAGCAAAGGUUCCCAUAUUAGUGCAACAAGACCAAGACCAGAAGGAUGACAAGACAGAGGUCACCGUGGAGCGCAAGACAGCGUCACCACCAGAGCCUUUGGCAGGCGAAUACUGCUUUUGUCAGGGUAAGCUGUACUAGUUGUCCCCUUUCAAAUUGGCUGAGGUUGGCUCCCUUCUCUCUCAAUAUUUGGGAGGAGGAUUAGGGCCUCUAUAAAUAUGAAUAGUCACCGCCAUAGCUAGGGGGAGGAUCGAUCAAUCGGUCCGGCCAAGAGAGACCAGGACAUCCACAAGUUCACCGAGCACAAGAACACCUCUCCUCGGGACGCUGUUCUUCCCCUUGUACUAUUCAUCCUCAUCCCAAGAGGCAAUCCACCACACCACACUAGAGUAGGGUAUUACACCACAAUGGCGGCCCGAACCAGUAUAAAUCUUGUGUCCUUUGUGUUGCGAGUUCGUCGAGUUAGUUCGUAAGAUCUUAGGUGAGGUAGGACGUGGAUCAGUAGGGGGGAGAUCUUCGCGCGCACCCCAGUGCUCGAACCUUGACGGUUUUGCCGGAACCCGUGAUCUGACAUUUGGCGCGCCAGGUAAGGGUGCCCCAAAGCUUCUCUCCCACCGGUCGACUCACCAAUGCUUUGCGGUUCCGAUGUCCGGCGACUCAAGGACCAACGCCAACCGCGGGGCAGCCUGGCCGGCCCGGGCGGCGCCGCCUGCCCAGGAAGACCUCAACCCUGCAAUCCAAGCGGCAUGAGCGCCACCAGACUCUGCGGGGCGCGGGCGGCGUGGCCAGGCGCCGUCCACCCUCACCCCACGAUAGGUGCGGGCUGCUGCAAGGGCCGCAAGCCAUGCCGCAGCAAUGACACCGCACACCCGGAGGGAGCAGAUAAACAUGCAAGCUGCACUCAUGGUGGCACGGGAGCUACUACGAUGCCGUCUUAUGGAGAGUAGCCGGGAUGCAUUGCUGGAGUGCGUCACCGAGCUACUGGACGCCGCAGAUUCAGGAGUGCCGCCCUUCUGUUCUCUGCUCACGCCACGAGCUGCGGCCGGGUCGCAUUGCGGGCCACGCCGCGCCCGCGUGCCUACACGUGCACCACCAAGCUUCAUCGGCACUGGCGCGACCAAUGGGGCUGCACGCCCCCUCGCGCCCGCGCCACAUCUGUUGGGUGCGGGCACGAGCGCUGCCACCUAUGGUCCGAGCGGGAUGCAGCCCUAUCAUCCUCAAGGUGGCAUGCUGGGUCGGGCGACGUGGAGUGUGGGGCACUAGGCGAGGUCUUUGAGGCGGCAGCCUCGGAGGCCUACGUACCCCGCAUGGUGGACCAGGAGUACGUGCUGGAAGACGACCCUGGCUCGCUCCUCGAGCCUGGCUGGGAGGAGGAGGCGCUCGAAGCUGGCGCCUUUCAGGACCCCUCCGGGAGCCUCGCCAACAGCACUGACAACAACUGCUACAGGGCACCACUAAUUCCUCAGGAGCAGGCUUACGCUAACCAUGGUGCGCAGGCGGGUCAGGUCGCACCAGCAGAUGGCCGUCCCGGCUCGUCGGCCUCCCUCCCGCUAGGGGGGCAUGCUGGGGGUUGCAGGAGGGAAGCCGGGGCGAAGCCCCUCAUCAGCGCCGCAUGGAAGAAGGCGUCCCUCGGAGGUAGGCCCUCUGUCGGCGAGGUGCUCCAGAGCCUACCCCCGGCAGAGGACCCGUGGUCGCCGAGGGCGCCGCUGGCGUCCCCUCUGCCCUCGUUGGUGCCGUCCUGGUCUCCGGUCGUCCCGACGGUGGUAGGGGGCGGUGCAAGACGGGGCCCUUGUCUGGUGAUAUGAAGUAAGGCUCACGCCUGUGAAGAUCGCCGCCCGUGACACUCUCACAUAAUAACGAGUGGGGCUGUACACACCCCGGAGUCUCAGGAGUGCCACCCUCGGGCCUCGGGGCUCCCUCCCACGUCCUAGUGAUAGCACUUAGCUCCGCGCUGGUGAGAAGACUUGAAGACCAGAAGACUAGACUAGGUGCUGGACGCGGCCAUUUGCUUUGGAUCCCCUUUUCUAUAGCGUUGCCUUCUCGAUUUGGAUUUAAGUUGGAGUUGAGUUUUCAUUUGAUGCGUGCGCGGGGUGCCUUUUCUCGUUCGAGCGAUUUCUUGCUGUCUGGUUCUUGCCUUAUUCCGGAGUUCGCACCUGCUGCUUCCCCCUCACGGGCCCCUCGCGAGCGGGGCUGAGCAAGACGUACACGCGCCACGCGCGUGCCGCGCCUUGGCUAGCACUCGCUUACCACACGCCCGCCUCGGGUGUCUCGAUGAGUUCCUCCAGAGCGUCCAACCUCACGAGCCGGUUUAGGUUCGCCCAGGCUAAGUUAAACUGCAACGAAAACUUCGCCCCAGGGCACGUGGGUCCACAAAGAUACAUAUUCAACUCGACCUAACAAGAUAAAGGAAGUAGCACAUUUACAAGAGGGGCUUCCCCCGGAUCGCCUUCAGACGCGUAGCUGGCAUCGCUGCCAGCACCGAUGGCAUCACCAUCACCUCCACCAGCGCCGCCAUCCCCGUCGUCGACCACGUCACCCACGUCCACCACGACCACCACACCAUAGUCGUCGGAAGUGAAGGACCUGACCUGCGCAUCCAUAUUAUCUUCCACCCAUCGCGACAGGUUGCCCCGGAUGGCCUCGGGUACAGGAGCAAUGGAGGCAUCAAAGUCAAAGUUGGGGUCGGCGUUCUGGAGGUGGCUGACGACUCGGCAGAACGCACGUCCUAGCAGGCCACGGCUCCUCUCUUCGACAAAUUGGCGAGCCCUCUCGGAACGGCUCUCCAGGCGCAUCACCACGUCGGCAAAGAAGCGGAUGUGGCUGGCGUAGUCAUUCGCAUGGGGAUGAGGAGCAUUCUCAUCACAGAUAUGGCGCAGGACGGUGUUGGCCCUGUUACCGAGGUCCUGGAGCAUGGAGGCAUGCACGCGCUCCAACGUCCGCCGCUGAAGCACUUCUUCCUUGUUCUGCCACGCGACGUACUCGGCGUCGGCGACCCGCUGCCGGAGAGGGAGCAGCUCGGCGCAGGCGGCAGCCAGCUCAACCUGCGCCGAGGCCAAGGCGGUCACCGUGGCCUCCUCGCACCGCUCCACCGCGACCAACCUGAACUUGAGGGCAGCUGUCCUACCAGCGGCCCCAGCCUCCACGAGCUGCAGCUUCAGGUCAUACCUGCUCUCGAGAUCCGCGCGAGCCUCGGCCAGCCGGCGAUCGACCUCCUCCUGGGCCCUGGCCUCGCGCGCACCGACAUCAUCCUCCGCCUGAGCAACCUCGCGCUCCCUCGUCUCCAGCCAUUCGAGCUCAAGGCUGCGCUCCACGGCUUCCAGUGCCAGCGCCUCCUCACGCUUCCGGAUCUCUUCCUCCUCGGCGGGCGUCCCCCUCAAUGAUGCAAGGGCAUCCCUGUGUGCCUCCACUUGCUGAUCCAAUACGGCACUCGAAGCUUGGAGCACCCACACACGCUUCUCCGCGGCCUCGCGAUGACGGUUAGCUUCUCAAGCCUCUUCCAGAGCUCGGGAGCAGGGCUCACGGGAGGCUGCAAGGGAAGCCUCAGCCUUCGCAUUACCAAACUCGUGUUGGUGGCGCCCGAGGUUGAUGGCCACCUUCAACUUAUGCCGCUCCUCCACCAGCCGAAGACCCUCGGCCACGAGGCGCGCGUCCACAUCCACGAGCUUAUCACCAAGCCGGUUCAUCGCGCCCAUCGCCUCCUGAAAGAGCUCGUGGACAACGACGCUCCUUUCUCGCGCCGACCCGAGCAUGCUGCUGACUUCAUCCUCCACCGCAGGGACCGCGGAUGUGGCCUAGAGAGGCUCGCCCCUCUCAGCAGUGGGCUGGGGGCUGGCAUCCACCCAUUUGUGGGGCGGGCCUCGCACGGGGCCCGAACGAGUGAAGGCUCGCUGCUUAAAAAAGACCCCAGGAUCAAAGCCAACUAGUCGCCUCCCACGACCAGGAGAGGAACCCUUGGCACACUUGCUACGCUCCGAGCAAGGCCGCGAAGAAAAUACGGCAAAGGCGCGAACUCGAGACACCAUGUCGACAUGCUGGCUUCCCCGUUGACUCGACACCAUGAGUAGAGCACGGGAUUGAAGCGCUCGAUCCUGGCACGAGAAGCGAGGCGAGAGGAGGCUGCUCCUCAGGAGAUCUUGCGACCUUGGCGGAAGGAAUCCAGAGGAAAUAUCGUCAGGAAGGGGAACAACAUGCGGAGAAUCACCAGGAUAAGGUACUUACUUGUCGACGGCGAUGUACUUCCUCCGCUUUAACGGCCCGAAGGUGCCGCUGCUUAGGGACCCUUUCCUCUUGCGGAGCUCUUCGAAGUCCACGCAGAACCGACUGAAGCGCUGGAUGUGGCGGCCAACACGAGGCGCAACAGGAGAAGCACUCAAAGGGGCAGUCUCAGGAGCGCCUAGCCGAGGGGAGCCAUCAUGCCCUGCCUCGUAGCGACCUGUCAAGGUCUCAGGAGCCCCGGCCUCCGGAGAUGUGGGCUGCAUCGCCUCCUCAACCACCGCCCCGGGGCAAGAGUCGUGAGUUCCUAAGGACCAUGCCUCAGGAGCCCUAGGCGGCAUUAGCAUCUCGGCACCUUCGCCAUCAGCCCUCAGCGGUGCUCGCCCCCUGCAUCCCCACUUGGGGAGAGAUCGGUGCCAGCAGCAGGAAGAGGAACCAUGACGAUGGGGUUCUCACAAGGCCCCACGAGGCCGACUAGAUGCAGCCCCCACUCAUCAAAGGCAGGCAUCUGCUCCGCGAAUGUUGCCUUGUUCAAGCAGCGGUACAGAAGGCAACUCUUCCUUGGCAUGUCAUCAAGUAGUGGGACACCCGUCGGGACCUCGAGCACCGUUCCCCGCGCCUCGAGAGUUAGCCCGGAUUCCUAAAGUCUCAUAUGGUCCUUGCUGCUGAGUAAGCCCACAUCGGUUGAGAGUGGCGCUGAAGCGGGGCGAUCCGGCGCCGGAUGAACUCCUUCAGCACCAUAGGCGCAGUCACAUCAAGGUCCUUGAGCCACCUCAGCCUGAGCCAGACAGGGGCAAGGCGCGGAUCGAUAAGCCUUUGAUGGCUCCAACCUGAGCUGGGAAUGGCGGGCGCUGACGGAGAAGAGAGCAGGGGGCUGAGGACUCCGACAUCAACAAAUACCCAGCAUGUCCGAAACCCGCUCGUGGAUGGUGGGAGCUCAUAGUCAAUCCCCGUGCCGGCUGUCGCCGCCACGGCCUGAAAGCUCGGGCAUCCUAAGCUCUAUUGGGGAUCAACCAGGUGCAGUGAAAAGAAGUGGCAAAGAAAGGCCACUGAAGGGGUAAUGCCUAUCGUGGCCUCGCAAACAAAAGCGAAGAUGGCAAGAAGGGUCACUGAUUGAGGGUCAAGGUGCAGCAUAUGGAUCUGAUAAUGCGCAAGCACAACACUGAAGAAGGCAGAGAAAGGAGGGACCAAGCCGGCCCAAAGGGCGUCGAUAAAGAAGGGGACCUUAGUGGCCGCCCGGUCAAUGCAAGCGCGAGACGCAGGCCAAGCCACCGUCUUUCCCCACUCAUUGAAGCUGGAGGCGAGCACGGGAUGCACCAUACCCAUAGCCUCAUCAUUGAGCACCAGCGAUCGGCCGACUACGGUCUCGGUGGCCGGGGGCGCACUAGACGAAGACAGAGGCUUCUUCCCCUUAUCUUCUUGCAUCGGCGCCAUGGCGAUGGAGUGUGUAGAGCUAAGGAAUUGGAGGGGAAUGGCGCUAGAGAUGGAAAAAUAACCGUGUAGAACACGGUGGCCGUCUAGCCAGGCGGGUAUCAAGGCAGCGUGUGGAAGCGAAGGCGCCCACGUCCAAUCAACCGCCAUGCGUCGACCAAGGCCGCAUGCUAUUGGGGUCCAUGACUCUCCACACUUGGCCUUUGGUUAGCCUCGAAGCCAAGCCCGAGCGCUCCUUGGGCCCGGGGGCUACUGUCGGUGUUCUGGGAACGGGGGUCCCCAGACUUGCCUGCUUGUGGACCAUGGCGUGGCUCUGCGAGCGGGCCCAUACGGCCCAUCUUCACCAGCAAGGACUCAAGAACCUCGCGAGGGGCCAUGCCUCACAAGGCGAGCGACACAAGACCUCCUCAGGAGCGGCCUCACCAGGCUGGCUUGCGAGGGGUGGAGAGUUCAAGGCUAAACGAACCUCGCGAGGUUCUAGUGACGUGAGACAUGACGACCAAGGCCAGGUGGGCGCCAACACGCACAAUGUCCUUGUUUCCUCUUUAGUGCUAAGGAAGCAGGCGUAGGCACGGAUUACUGAGGCGUCACGCAAAGGUUUCCAUAUUAGUGCAACAAGACCAAGACCAGAAGGACGGCAAGACGGAGGUCACCAUGAAGCCCAAGACAGCGUCACCACCAGAGCCUUUGGCAGGCGAAGACUACUUUUGUCAGGAUAAGCUGUACUAGCUGUCCCCUUUCAAAUUGGCCACUCCCUUCCCGCUCAAUAUUUGGGAGGAGGACCAGGGCCUCUAUAAAUAGGACUAGCCACCGCCGUAUCUAGGGGGAGGAUCGAUUGGUCUGGCCAAGAGAGACCAGGACAACCACAAGUUCACCGAGCACAAGAGCACCUCUCCUUAGCCCGAGAGGCAAUCCACCACACCACACUGCAGUAGGGUAUUACACCACAACGGUGGCCCGAACCAGUAUAAAUGUUGUGUCCUUUGUGUUGCGAGUUCGUCAACUUAGUUUACAACAUCUUAGCUGAGUUAGGACGUGGAUCGGUAGGGGGGAGAUCUUCGUGCGCACCCCGGUGUUCGAACCUUGAGGGUUUUGCCGGAACCCAUGAACUGACACACAUCAUGGAAUAUCCUGUAGGUAUCGAUUUACAAUAUACAAAUAUAUCCAUAAGGAGUUUAUUAGUAUUCCAUAUACACAAUUAGGGCAUUUAUUGCCUCCUAAAAAUAACCAUAUGAAAUUAAUUAGUUUUUCAUAUUAACAUUGUGACAUUUUAUUGGCUCCCAAAAUUAUUUACAAACUGAAUUAAUUAGUAAUACUCCAUACCAAGAUUAUGGCAUUUAUUUGCUCCAAAAUUACAAGAGAAAUUAAUUAGUAGUAUUUCGUAACAAGAUACAUAGUGUAUAAGAAAAUAUGUCAUCUUGAUAGUUUGGUAUUAGUUUAUGUAUUUGGCACCUAUGAUUUCUAAACAAGACACAGUGCGUUGCACGUACGUUCUAGCUAGUGCAUAGUUACCUGAUAUUUGACUGAAUUUGUUAUUUUGAUUUUUUUAGUCAACUAUGCAGGUUUCAUUUGGGGAGGUGGCACACUUUUUUCUCGUUGGUGGGGGGCAGGGGGGAGCGCUUUUCAUUACUCAAGCUAUAUUAGUUUUACAAUCAUCGGUAAUCAUAAUGCUAAUCUCCUGGGGAGCGAGCAUGUUUAAGCUAAGAAAUUGUGUGCUACUGUCCGCGACCAACUGCCGCCAUUACAUGCCCAGCUUUAUUCUGCCCAUGACUAAUAAUCUUAUGGAUUUCAGUGUUGCAUUCGUUGAGCAGAUGUACUAUCUCUGCAACUUGAUGCAUAUUUUUGGAUCGAUCACCCGGCCCAACUUUUAGAAAGGUGAUGAUCUUGGCACAGUCCGUCCCAACCUGAAACAGGGCUUGAGACCAAUGCAAAGUUAGACGGAGACCUAGAGUGAGGCAACCUGAAUUACUUGAAAACCACCUCUUGGAAAAUGACGAUAGUAUCUCGGAGCAAGCUUUCACUCCAUUUUCGCUCAAGAGCGAUUGGACAGGGCAUUGCGGCCCAUUAUUCACAAGUAUGUACACUCAGAUCACCGGCCAAUUGUCCUUCACUGGAACUUGCCCGUGCAUUUCAACAGACGAUAGUGUAUUAUUUAAAUAUCAAAAACUGGUACACAUAUGCAAUUUCGAAAAUCGAAACACAUAUAUGUAAUUUUUUGAAGGAAUAGUUACACAUGUAUAUAGUUAUGUUAUACUAGGACAAUGCCCACGCGCUGCUACCGUAGAUCUCAAAAUAUUCCUCAAGCACAUUAUAGCAAGGACUAAAGUUUCACUUCCCAUAUCCCACCUAUUUAUCAACCACUGUGAUUCCCAAUCAUACUUAAAUUUGUAAGAUCAAAUGGGAAGGUAAAAUUUAAGCACCUAACAAUGAGAAGAGAAUGAUAUGGUGCAAUAUGACCAAAAUAUAUCUGCUAUUAAAGAUCCACAUGCAUAUUGUAUUAUUGAUUUCUCUUUGUACAAUUUUCUUCUUCACCAACAAUACUUUCAUCUCUGCUUUCACUACUGGGUAAAGUCUUAUAUAUAACUUUUGAGAAAAAAAUAGUAGGGUAAACCCCUACUGUAACACUUUUUUUAUUAAUAUAAGAGUGGUGUUACAAGUCGAUGUACAAUGUGAAUAUGGCUAUGUGUAUGCCUAUGCUAGAUUUACAAAUAAUCUAGCUAAGUGUGCGUCCCUUUCUUCAGGCUUGGUUUUGCUUUCCUCAUGACUGUGACAAAGUGUUCCUUGAAACAGGCAUUGCAAUAUUCUAUGCUCUUUGUCUUGUGGUAAAAUAUAAUGAUGUUUUUGUGCUUCUAGAUGGACCAGCAUCCAACAAUCAAGCAUGCUUUGAAUGAUUGUAUGUUUGUUCUGGUUUUUUGCUUUAUCUAGCAUUUCAUUGAUGCUAUGGUCAGUGUUCCAUUCAAUCCCAAUAGACAUCUAGAAAUUGUGGCUGAAGUCACAUGGGAAAAAUAGAUGCUUCAGGUGUUCAUUUGGCUCAUCAUCAGAUAGGACACAUUUGCUUGAUUCAAUAUAGAAGUGUUUCCUCACUAGCAAGUCUCUGGUAUUUAGCCUAUCAAGUAGAAGUAACCAGAAGAAUUUUUUCGCUAAGCAUCUAGAUUUCCAAAUCCAUUGGAAUGGUUAAGGGGUAUCUGGUGGGUUUCCAAUCAAUUCUAGAUAAAUCCUUUUGGUGGAAUACCUUGUAGAUGUCCAGUAGAAGUGCCAAUUAUCUCUGCUAUUGUUGCUUGCAAUACUAAUCAUGUUCCUCAAAGAUAUGCUUUGUUGUACGGCAACAGUUGACAUGGGUAGAUGAAACAUUUCAUAUAGACCUUCCGUAGCUAUAUCAUGUGUAGCAGCAAAUGUUAUAUCCUUGUUUUUCUCAUAUGAAAAUAGUUGCGGGAAUUUAUUCUCAAGAUUACCAUCCUCCCAUUUAUCGUACCACUACUAGGGAAAAGCCUAGCAGUAGCGCGGGUUUUAGGUAUAUCAGUGGCGUGGGUGCCCGCGCUACUAAUACGGAGCUAUGGCUAACAGGUAGUAGUAGCGAGGGUGCUACCCGCGCUACUACUACAUCUGUUAGUAGUAGCGUGGAUACCACCCAUGCUACUACUAACUAGUAAUAGCGUGGUUUUGGACCCUCACUACUGCUAACUAAUUAGGAAAUAAAAAAAUCCAGCUGUAAAAAAAUAAAUUUCAGCCAUGGCUGUUGCUGCUAGGCGUUAUCGUCCUCUUCAUCCAUGGUCGAUGCUGAUCCUGUAGGGGAUGAAGUCGUCCAUGGAGAUGGUGCUUCCCCAUCCAACUUUUCUCCACACCUCUCCUUUACUACUGCUACAAAAAAGAAACAAGGAUUAGAAGAGGAAGAGAGAGAUAGAGAGUAGUAGGUGCAGCAACUCAGCAUUGGCCGCCGGAGUUUGAGACGAAACCCUAGAUGACGCCAUGGGUUGAGUUCAUAAAAUAAUUGGCCAUCGUCAUCGGCGGCGCUCUGCUGGAUCUUCCUCUCCUUCCAGCAGCGGAGGAGGAGGAAGGAGGGGCGGCAGAGGAGGAGUAGGAGGAAGGAGGGGCUACAGUGGAAGAGGAGGUCACCUGAUUUGAGGGAGAUGUCGCGGUGCGAGGCCGACAAUUGCUGUGGAGGAGGAGAAGCGCAUGUGCAAGAGCGCCAUGGAUAAAGAGAGAGGAGGAGAGGGAUGGGGGAGGAGUGAUUUGGACGAGGAGAUGGGGAUUUCAGGGCUGUUAAAUAAACCCAGUACUUAGUAGUAGCGCGGGGUUUUACCCCUCGCUAGUACUAUGGCAUGUCCGGGGGAGCACGGUAGAGACAGCUUAAUAUUAGCGAGGGGUAAAAACCCACGCUACAACUAUCAACUCAGUAGUAGCGCGGGUUUAUAACCCUCUCUACUACUAUGGCAUGUCCCAGGGGCACGGUAGAGUCCGCUUAGUAGUAGCGAGGGUUGAAAACCCGCGCUAUAGUAGUAGCGAGGGGUAAAAACCCGAGCCACGGCCGGCGGGGCCCUCGGGCCGGCACUCCAUCGAGCCACUGCAUGCCGGCGGCGGAGGGGCCGGAGGCGUCGCGGCCACGGUGCACUCUCCCCCUCCAUGCCAGCCACUACGGAUGUCGGUCCGUCGUGAUGACGCUUGUGAUGACAUUUCCAUAGCGGCGUUCGACCCACGGACCCGCCGCGACCAACGCCAGGUUCUUCGGGAGAGAUCCCAUGAAGACGCUCGAACCACCAUCGAGUCCCGGUGCGAUACGCGCCACCAGUAAGACAGGCGGGCGAGGCCCGCCAUGGACCACCUAGCACCGGGAUGCUCCGGUGGCCUACCUUACGAGGUGGGUUGCCCAGCCUUUACCCAUGGGUUGCGACAGUUCCAGUGGUCGUCCCACCGCACGUUCAAGCCCGACGUCAGCGAGAAGUACGAUGACAAGGCUCACCCGUCAGACUUCCUCAGCAUGUGGACCAUCGCGAUGCAAGCCGCUGGAGCUCGUGACGACAAGGUGCUUGCCAAUUACUUCCCGUUGGCCCAGAAACCCAAUGUCAUGUCUUGGUUGAUGCACUUGCGGGCGGAUUCCAUUUCUUCUUGGUCAGAUAUGUGCCAAGAGUUCAUUGCUGCCUUCACUGGAGGCCACCAAGCUCAUGGCCAGGCGAGUGAUUUGCAUAUCAUUCCCCAGAAGGAAUGUGAAAACAUGUGCAAGUACGUACAUAGGUUCAACCGACUGCAAUACAACAUCCCAAAUGUUCAUCAUGUCGCCGUGAUCAGCGCAUUCCAUCAGAAUGUGCGUAACCGCAAGAUGCGUGAAGAGAUGGCGAUGAACAAGGCAAGGACAUGGCCGAACUUUACGUUCUGGCCGAUAGAUGCGCCCGGGCUGAAGAGGGAAGGAAGUACCCCGGCGAAGACGCCGGUGCGUAAACCGACUCUACCGACGAAGACGCCGCCGCCCCGACGAAGAAGGGCCGGCUUCGCAACCGGAAACGCAAGGACUAGACCGUGCUUGCCAUCGAGGGAUCCGGCGACACUAGCGCCGCUAAGAAGGCCAAGGCAGACGACCCCUGCAAGGAGAUUGCCGGGUGCGCCACUUGCCAGGCCUUGGUGGGUGCCGACAAGCCAGGGGCUCUGACAAGCAGUACUGCGAGAUCCACCGCACCAAGGGCCAAGACCUCCAGAAAUGCCGACAAGUUGAGCUACUUGCUGAAAAGCAAAAAUGCGAAUAUGAGAGGCGGGACAAGGAGAAGGGUCGGGAUGGUGCCAAAGGAUCCGGCAAAAAGCGUGGCGGCCAAGGAGGUCACCGCGUCAAGGACAACCAGCAAGAGAGGCCCGCUCGGGGCCGUGACAAGAAGCAGGAAGACGAUGAUCGUGACGAGGAUGACGAGUCCGGUGAGCAUGAGUUCCAGAAGGCUACAAAGGCCAUGUGCGUCGAUGGUGGCGCCUCGAUGCACACUUCUCACCGCCAACUCAAGCAGUAGGCGCGCGAGAUUACAGCAACAGAGCCAUCGUUCGACGCUCAGAAGCCACCGAAGUGGUCCAGCACGCCCCUCAUCUUUGACACCGAGGCCCACCCUGACCGCACAACUACGAUUGGGUGUUGCCGUUGUUGGUCUCACCAACGAUACGCAACGUCAAGGUGAAUAAGAUGCUGGUUGACGGCGGGUCCGGCCUGAACUUGAUCUUGCCCGUCGUGAACAAAAGGCUGCAAAUUCCUUAUGGAGCCCUUGAGGAAACGGGUACAUUUCAAGGGGUCGGUCCUGGGAGAAGCCAGCCGAAGGGGAAGGUCACAUUGCCCGUGAUGUUUGGAGGUGAGUUGAACUACAAGACGGAGAUGAUAGCCUUCGAUGUGGCUAAGAUCCCCUUGCCCUACAACGAGAUCCUCGGCCGCCCGGCACUAGCCAAGUUCAUGGCGGCGUCGCACUAUGCCUACAAUAUGCUGAAGAUGCCUGGGCCGAUGACCAUCAUCACCGUCCCCUCCGACAAGAAGGAUGCGUUGAUCUGUGCUGACCAACUCUAUCGAGAAGCAGUUGCAGCAGUUGCCGCCAAGGCACUUGCUCCUUCCGUUGAGGCCCCGGGAGGGAAGAAGAAGACCGGCAAGAUCUCUCGCACCCACUCCGGCAAGCUCACCUCUUCGGAGUGAUGUGCUACCGUCGAGGACCUGCCCAAGAGGUCUACCGGCAAGAGCAAGAAAUCCAUAUCUGCACCACCAGAGACCAAGAGGGUGUCCGUCAAGGAGGAUGGCAUGGGAGGGGCUUUCACCAUAGGCUCCACCCUCGAUGGCAAAUAGGAAAGCGCGCUCGUCACUUUCCUGUGGGCGAAUGUCGAUUUGUUUGCGUGGCAAGUAUCCGACAUCCCCGGCGUUCCCAGGGAAGUGACUGAGCACCACCUUGCUGUCUGUCCCCAUGCGCGACCCGUCAAGAAGAAGGUCAGGAAGCAAGUUUUGGAACGACAGGAGUUCAUCACAGAGGAGACAAGGAAAUUGGAAGCGGCAGGUUUGGUGAGUGGAGUGCUCCAUCCGACGUGGUUGGCCAAUCCGAUGGUGGUGCGCAAGGCAAGUGGGAAGUGGAGGCUGUGUAUUGACUACACAGAUGUCAAUAAGGCUUGUCCUAAGGACCCCUUCCCGUUGCCGCACAUCGACCAGAUUGUUGACUCCACAACUAGGUGUGAUCUAUUGUCAUUCCUUGACGCCUACUCAGGCUACCACCAGAUCUUCAUGGCAAGAGAAGUUGAAGAGAAGACAACCUUUAUCACCCCAUGUGGUACGUGUUGCUUUUUACGGAUGCCUUUCGGGUUGAAGAGUGCUGGAAGCAUAUAUGGAUGACAUAGUGGUCAAAACCAAGGACAAGGCGACCCUUGUACAAGACCUAGGAGAGACGUUUGCCAACCUACGCAAGAUCAACCUCAAGCUGAACCCUGAGAAGUGUGUCUUUGGCGUCCCAUCAGGAAAACUUCUCUUGUUCUUUGUGUCGCAGUGUGGGAUCGAGGCAAACCCAAACAAGAUCAAGGCUAUUGAGCUGAUUGAGGCACCCAAGCGGAUCAAGGAUGUGCACCGGCUCACUGGCUGUGUUGCCGCCAUGAGCAGGUUCAUCUCUAAGUCCGGUGAACGUGCCCUUCCCUUUUUCAAAAUCUUGAAGAAGGCAGGCCCAAUGGAGUGGACCCCAGAGGCCGAGGUGGCGUUGCAGGAUUUGAAGAAAUACCUGUCCUUUACGCCAAUACUGGUUGCGCCUAAACCACAAGAGUCGUUGCUACUGUAUUUGGCAGCAACGAAUCAAGUGGUUAGCGCCACACUAGUGGCGCAGAGGGAGGUCGAAGAAGAGGCAGAUGCAAUGGGAGGACCGGUGGAUGGCAAGUCAGAGAUUCCCCCGACAGGGCCUGGUGCUGGCAAGGCAAGGCCCCAGACAGAGUUCGACGCCAUCGGGGCAGGGCCCGCAUAGCCAAGUGAAGUGGUGCAGAAGAAGAAGAUGAUGAGACACCCGGUUUACCUUGUCAGCUCCCUCUUGCAUGGAGCCAGGUCAAGGUACUCUGGUGUGCAGAAAUUGCUCUUCGGCCUCCUUAUGGCCUCGAGAAAGCUGCAUCAUUACUUCCAAGCUCACGAGAUUGCUUUCGUCACCCGCCUCCCGUUGCAACGGAUACUGCACAACCCAGAUGCAACCGGAAGGAUUCUGGAGUGGGCCCUGGAGUUGUCAAGCUUUGGUUUGAAGUUUGAAAGUACUUCGUCAAUCCAGAGCAGGGUCUUGGCGGAGUUCAUUGCAGAAUAGACCUCAACGCCCGACGAGGAAAUCCAGGAGACCGCUCUCCCCGGUAAGGAAGCAAGUCGUGAAUGGAUCAUGUACUUUGAUGGGGCUUUCUAGCUGCAAGGCGCCGGUGCCGGCAUGCUACUUGUCGCACCCACUGGAGAGCACCUCAAGUAUGUGAUCCAAAUGCACUUUCUGAUGGAGAUGUCCACAAACAACACUGCUGAGUACAAGGGGCUGCUCGCCGGACUCGAGAUCGUGGUAGACCUCGAGGUGAAGAAGCUCAUUGUCAGGGGUGAUACGCAGCUUUUCAUCAGAAAGGUCAACAAAGAUUACCAGAGUCCGUUGAUGGAGGCCUAUGUAUAUGAGGUGAGGAAGCUGGAGGAGCGCUUCGACGGUAUUCAAGAAGAGCACGUUCCCCGAGCGAAGAACGACAUCGCGGACUACCUGUCAAAGCACGCUGCAUUCAAGCUACCUAUGGAACUAUGUACCUUUUUGCUUCGGUUAACUCAACCAUUCGUCGAACCAUCAACGGAGCAGAACAAGCUUAGGAAAUCGGGCCCCGGCAAGUACUUUCCCGCCGAGCCUGCCAAGGGGCACCUGGCUCCGGCAGGGCGCCAAGCCCUGGCCGUAGAGACGGCUGCCCCCGUGGUGGAAGAGAUGCCUUUGGUCCUUGCCAUCAAGGCCCAGGCUCCGGCAUGGGCACAACAUACCGUCCGUUUCGUCCAGACAGGGGAACUUCCUGAGGAGCAGAAAUAAGCGGAAAAAUUAGCCCGUCGGUCUGCCUUGUACCACUUCGUCGAUGACGUCCUGUACAGAAAAAGACCGAACGGUGUGAAAUUGAAGUGCAUUCCCCAGGAGGAAGGACUAGAGCUAUUGGCAGAGAUACAUGGAGGCAUAUGUGGCUCCCACAUAGGGUCGAGGGACCUUGACGGCAAGGCAUUCCGGCAAGGCUUCUUCUGGCCCACCGCCCUCUAGGAUGCGACAGCACUAGUAACCAAGUGUGAAGCAUGUCAGUUCCAUUCAAAGAAGCUUCAUCAACUAGCUCAAGCCCUUCAAACAAUUCCUCUCACCUGGCCGUUUUCGGUCUGGGGGAUCGACAUACUGGGCCCCUUCACCCGUGUUGUCGGGGGCUUUGAAUACUUGUACAUUGCAAUCGACAAGUUCACAAAGUGGCCAGAGGUGGAAGCAGUGAGGAAGGUGACAGCACAAUCAGCCGUCAAGUUCUUCAAGGGACUAGUCUGCCAUUUUGGUGUGCCAAACAGAGUCAUCACCGACAACGGCACGUGGUUCACAAGCCACACCUUCAUGCAGUACAUCCGAGACCUCAGCAGCAAGGUCCGUUUUGCUUCCAUGGCACACCCACAGUGCAACGGCCAAGCGGAGAGGGCAAAUGGUGAAGUAAUGCACACAAGCAAAAGGCGCUAGAUUGAUGAGUUGUCGGUGGUUCUUUGGUCGAUCAGAACGAUGCCAAAUCGAGCCACCGGCCAAACACCCUUUGCCCUGGUAUACGGGGCAGAAGCAGUUCUCCCCAUGGAACUCAUAUACGGGUCACCUCGAGUGCUCGCUUAUGACGAGCUUGAGAAAGUGCGAUUGCGGCAAGAUGACGCAACGCUCCUUUAGGAAGAUCGUCUUUGGGCGGCUGUGAGAGAAGCACGCUACCAGCAAGCCUUGCGCCACUACCAUAGCCGCAAGGUUCAUGCCCGAAGCUUUGAGGAAGGCAACCUUGUUCUUCAGCGCGUUCAGUCGGCCAAGAAUUCCAACAUGUUGACACCAAAGUGGGAAGGCCCUUAUCGGGUAAUACGAGUCACCAGGAUUGGCGCAGUCCACCUGGAGACCGAAGAUGUUGUCCCAGUAAGAAAUUCCUGGAACAUCGAGCAUCUUCGCAAGUUUUACCCAUAAGGCGCGGUUGUCGGGCCUCUCAGAGAACCACCUUUUGUACGAGCCUUGCCGGCAAGGCAUGUAACCCCUAUACAAAGCCAGGCGCAGACCCUGAGCAUAAAUAAACGAAGCGCUGGCGCCCUAAGUUAUUGCAUGCAUGCUAGGUCAAGUCUCUCCCUCGUUUAGGGUUGAUAGUGGUUAGCAUCGAGUGUGCGUCCUUCUGUUCCCUUUGGUUCCCCUAUUCUUUCAUCCCCAUGUUCUGCAUUUCCAUAUGGAACUCGGACAUGUGAAACCUCGUUUAUGUUCUUAAAACCACCGUGCUCCCCCUUUCUUGUACCCAAGGGCUACCUCCUGGGUCAGAAUUUGGUAGUACUCGCGGUGGCGAGGAGAUGAACGAGGGGCCUAACUGUACUUCGCCCCUGCCUCUGCCAAGAGAGCAAGAAUGGUCGACCGAAGUGGGGAGAUGGCAAGUCAUGUUGCUGGGCGACAAUGUUUAUCUUAAAAAUAACAAGGAUUCAUCCUUGGCACGGGCCUCGCUCACGCACAAAGAACCCGGCAAGAACUCUUUUUCAUUAAAAACAUCCCAUACAUGUAUAGUUCAUACGGAAUUAAAAACAUGGGAAAAGGGGAUUACAAGUCUAAAAAUUAACAAGUGCCCGCAGGCUUACAAACUAAAAAAAGAUAAGAUGCCCGUGAUCCCUUUCUUGUCCCUCUCCUUAGAAGGUGGAGUAAGAGGGCAGGAGAGCGAAAAGAGCGCCUGGCCAAGGUGCGAGGAGCAGAAGGCACCAAGAGAAUGUCCCGGUGCCGGGAGGGGAGCUGGAAGAUGAGGCAGUGGGCCGGCAAUACGCGACGAAGGCGCCGGUGCCCGCGUACUCUGAUUUGACGGCCGCCACCCGCAUUUUUCGCCUUCUCCGACCCUCCUACGCUAGCCACCCAAGAAGAUGACGGGGAGCGCUCCGAUGGAGAGCUUGGCGAGGAUGGCCCUUGACAAGGCGCGUGGCCGAGGGAACGACAGCACGGUUAGUCGGAGUCAGCAUCCUGCCGCUCGACUCCCUCGUUGUCGCUAUCGCUGUCCUCCUGGUCACUCCCACUUGAGGAGGAAUCUUCAUCGUCAGAGGCUGCCCUCCGUUAACUUGAAGUAGAGGACAAGCCCCGCCGUCAAGCUGUGGUUGCAUGUGAACGUCUUUUCAUCCACGGCGAAGGUACAUGAUGUGAGAAGUAGGGAAGUCAACGUCGACCCGCGUGCCGCUGUUCCCACAACCCUUCAUGUGCAAACAGAGGGUCUGGGGUGGAUCGAGCUCCAUCGCCCGAGCAAAUGUAGUAGGGAGACGGAGGCGGCGACACGGUGGCCGGUGCAGCCUGAUGAAGAACUCGCGGGGCUGGUCCCCGACGUGGUGCUCCGUCGGGGGAGGCAUUGCUGGCGGAGGCGAGGCCGAUGCGCCGCCCCGUCCUCCUCUCCCCCGAGCGCCACGAUGACCUCGGGCUCGUCCCCUCCCCCUAUCCCUCGUGGCCGGUUCCGCCAGCACGAGCUCUUGGGGAGGAGGAACGCGCUGACGAGCAGCAACCCUCGCCGCCACCGUCGAAGGCCAGCGCUUCCUCUCGCCAUGGCGGAUAGAAGAAAGAAGCGGAGGUGGAAGGAGAUGGAUGAUGGGAGAAUGUGGAAUGCCGCCCCCCCUCCCCUCCUUAUAAAGGGGCGGAGUCGGGGCUCGGUCGCCCCACUCGACCAAUCCGGUCAUCGGGCACACAGGGAAUCAGGACCGGCCUGGUGCCCCAAUCAGCGACUGCCCGGUUUCCCGCUUCCUCCUCCUGCCACCUGCAUGAAGGACACAUGGCGAGCGAGCAGCAUUAAAGGGACAGGCGAAGCGGCCACUCCCCACCCCGUGAUCGUGGGGUGCGGGCGCCUUGAAGACCAUGACCUGAGUCCACCCAAGUAAAUGGGUCGUGCCUCUGCGCCUUCCUCCUUUUACGGGGAAGGCGCAGGCCGCCUCUUUACCACGAUGUGAUGCAUGCAUGCAGAAACCGCCCCAUGCAUGACCCCCACAUCACGCACGACCCUCCAUGUCGCGCGUUCAACUUGGGUCAUGGGGAAGCGCAGCGGACGAGAAAUUACUAUGGUGAAAUCCGCCCCACCUGCCCGCGCACCGUUCUAGGCCUAGGCCAACAACGUGUCGCACUUAUGUAUGGCCCAGGCCCGGGGGCUCCUGUCGGUGUACAAAACUAGGGGCUCUCCUUUUGACCCCUUUACUUGUGCCCGGGCAGUCAGAGCCACGCGCCGUGGCCAAACUUAGCAGGGCAGAGGAGGGAAGCCGGAGAGAAGCCGAAGCAUGAGGAAACCAAGGCAACGCCAAGACCAGAAGCGCAGGAGGGCGAGAGGGCGAGGUGGACUCCCUCGGCAAGGUCCUUGCCGAGGCGGCCCCCCGAGCCCCGGCAAGAGCCUCGCUGAGGCAACUUUCCCGAUGCUAGCGGAGUGAGCCACGCUUAAGCCCACCGGCUCCAACCUAACCAACUACGUUGGAACUGGCUCGGGAGGCGCCUCUGUGGUGGCAUGCAAAUCUUCGUCAAGCUCAUAAACAUCUGAGUUCACAUGAGGACCAGAAGACGGCGACCCUCGGCAGGAUCCUAGUCGAGGAAAUCCAGAAGACCCCCGGCAAGACCCUUGUCGGGGAUGGCAGCAAUGCCACGGCAAGACCCUUGCGGGGCCCCCGGCAAGACCCUUGCCGAGGUCGUCAGCAGGGCCACUGCUAAGCCCAUGCCAACCAAGACUCCGCCACCAGCCAAGACUCCGACGCCGUUCGCAUGUAGCUGCCAGCGCAACCAGCUGGGCAGACACCUGCGUGGCAACAUGCAGCUGCCAGGCCAAAUCAGCAAGCACCUAUGUGGCGUCAUGCAGAUCUUCAUGAAGGCCCUACCACCCCACCACCUCAGCUGCCUGCCUACCUACAUGGCACCGCAUGCAUCGCUAGCAUGGGCGCGUGUCGAGGCGAAGCGAAGCGGCGACCGACGAGACGUGCCUCAUUCUCAUCCCGAUAAAGCUAAUGGACACCUACGUAGCACAUUUAAUGCGCUUUGUCCCGUAAUGUCGUGCGAUAAGCUCGCGCACUGUAGGCCUUUCCACCUCCCGUGUGCCACUGUGGCAGCCCCUUUUUCUAUAAAAGGAGGCCCGAGAUGACCAAGAGGGGGGUUCGGCUUUUUGGAACGGCGCAACCACCGUAGCUAGUUCAGAAAGCUCAAGAACACUCAAUCAAUCCACCAAAGCAGUACUAGGGUUUUACGCAUCCUUGCGGCCCGAACCUGGGUAAAUGACCCGUGUGUUAGCUUCUAAACCUGCUCUUCUCACGACCUCGCGCCCGCCGACCGUAGAAGGGAUCCCAGUGAUCCCAUAGGUGUCGUUCUCACCGACAGUAUGUCAUUUUGGAGCUAAGUAAGCUUAUUAUGUCAUUUUGGAUGAAAAUAAGCUAAGUAUAUGAUAUGUAUGAGAUUAUGGAGGUUAUAAUGCCAUUUUUAACCUAAGUAAGCUUAUUAUUCCAUUUUUGACAUAAGUAAGCUAAGUAUUGGUCAUUAUUGAGCUAACCUAGGUAACUAAGCAUAUUAGAGCUAACUUAGCAUAUUUGAGCUAACUUAGAGCUAAAUUAGGUCAAUUUGGAGCCAACUUAGGUAAAAUGUGUCAUUUUGGAGCUAACUUAGGUCAUUUUGGAGGAAACGAAGCUAAGUAUAGGUCAUUUUAGAGCUAACUUAAGUAAAAUGGACCAUUUUUAGCUAAGUAAUCUUAUUAUGUCAUUUUGGAGGAAAAUAAGCUAAGUAUAUGAUAUUUAUGAGGUUACAAAGGUUAUUAUGCCAUUUUUUUACCUAAGUAAGCUAAUUUUGCCAUUUUUUACACAAGUAAGCUAAGUAUAUGUCAUUAUUGAGAUAACCUAGGUAACUAAGCAUAUUAGAGCUAACUUAGCAUAUUAGAGCUAACUUAUGUCAUUAUGGUAAGCAUAUCGGAGGUAAUAAAGCUAAGUAUAUGUCAUUAUUGGAGGAAAUUCCGCCACAAAGACGAUUUCACUUUCAGAGCUGAAGAUCAGACCUCUAGGGUUCCCCGAAAGUUGGAUGGUGAGCCUUUUAAAUUGUGUGGAUAUGGAACGUAUGUCGAUGGAGAAUUUUCCAUGCCAAUGACCACUUCGUCGGUUCACCCUCGUCGACGUCAUCUAUCACCAGUGGUGUAGCUUUCUCUUCCUUCAGACCUAACUUGCCCAUCGCCUCCUCCAGUCAUGCCCUCACCGCACGUGGCAAGAGAGUGCCUUCCUUCCCUUUGACAUUGCCAAAUGGAUCCAUCCCGACACCACCCCCGUAUGCGCCCCACCGAUCAAGAUCAAUCAUGCGUCCCCUCGAAACUAUAAUCGCCUAACAUGUGGCUCCUAUGUUUUCGGGGCAGUAGACCAAUGGCUGCGAUCACAGUGGUGCUCCCGUCAACCAGAGUUCGACUCCUAUGUGGAGCGAAUAUAUCUGGGGUUCUCACUAAGGAGGGGUCGAUAAGGCACCUAUCCCAUUUGAAUGUGUAGAGAAAAUGAUUCCCCGUGAUAGCCUACGUAGACGUUGCUUGAGGAUGAGGAUGAGGAUUAUACGUGUAAUUCUCUCCAACGUUUUAUGGUACACAAUAUUCAUCUAAGAAGCCUACAGGCCACCAACAGUCAUGCCUAGAACUCCACUAACACCGAUGACUCCAUGGAGGGGACCUUCAAGGAGAAGAACCUCGCAGGUGUGUCGGUGCGGUGGGCGGGAGGAGCGGGCUAUGGAACAAUGCAGUGUAUGGGGGAUAGCGAUAGGUUACAAAGAAAGAUCUAAUUUGUUCGUCUAGAUGAAAAUAGUUUUAAAGAGAAAAGCUUAGACAUUAGUAAAUAGAAAACUAAUAUAAGUACAAGGGAUAGCAUACAUCCGAGGACAGAUGAAAAGGUUCAUCAAAAGUUAUCACAAAAUUCUAAACAUUUAUCAAUCCAUCGAUAAGUAGACCAUUUAGGACGGCGACCACUCCUCGGAUCCGUAAGUAAGGAAUAAAAAUAGAUGAAGGAAACCUUAACUUUUUUAGAUAUUUUUAGACAAUACGUAUUUUUUGGGCAAAACUUUUUUUGAUAGUAAAUAUUUGGUUAAUAAGUGGAGGCGUUCGGCAUAGUUUAUAAUAGCUCAACUAGCCUAGCACUAAAAUCCAUUUUGCAACGGCUGAUCAUUUUUUUGCGAGAAAACUUUCGAUCUACUCCUCCAUUCUUUUGACGUAAGAUGUAUUAUCCUAGCACAAGAAAGAAAGAGAUACACGCAAUCAAGAAAGAUGCUUUCCUUCCUUUCCUACAAGGAGAGUGUCACGCCCAAUAUGCGACUCUAUCCUAAAGGAACUCGAAGGUCCCACCAAGGAUAGCACCGCAUCUUGACACGCUUUUGAAAGGUGGAUAUCAUUACAUCGUACCAUUACAUAAUAGUUGGGGAUACAUACAAGACAUACAAAUGCCAUAAGAAUACAUUAACAUCAUACAUGAGAACAACAUCCGACUACAGAUGUAGCACAAACAAAAGCUCAAACGACAUCCACCCUGCUAGCCCAGGCUGCCGACCAGGAACCUAACCCAAGAUCGAUGAAGAAGAAGAACUCCAAAACAAGUAAACAUCGCUCUCACGUCAUGAUCAUCACAUUACAUGUACCUGCAACUGUUGUUGUAGUAAACUGUGAGCCACGAGGACUCAAUAAUCCCAUUACCAUCGGUAUCAAGACUAGCAAAGCUUAAUGGGUAGGGAAAGAAUAAGUGGUGAGGUUGCAGCAGGGACUAAGCAAUGUAUGGUGGCUAACUCACGAGUACAAGAGGAAGAUGAGAAUCUACGCAAACGGUCGCAAACUAGUAAUGAUGAAGAAGUGAUCCUGAACUACUUACGUUCAAACAUAACCCAACCGUGUUCUCCUCUCGAACUUCCUCGAAAAGAGAUAGUCACGGUUAAGCACUUGGUUGGUGUAUUUUGAAUGAGUUUACUUCAAGUCCUCUACAACCAGAUAUUAACAAAUUCCCAUCUGCCACAUAACUGCGGGCAUGGCUCUCGAAAGUUUAAACCCUGCAGGGGUGUCCCAACUUAGCCCAUGACAAGCUCACGAUCUGCGGAGACAAUCCUCCAUCGUGGGACCCUCCGAUCAGACUCGGAAUCCCGGUGCACAAUACAUUUUGACAACAGUAAAACUAAUCCAACAAAACCUCCCAGCGUUCCGACACCCUAAUAGUAGCCGCACGUAUCUCGUCUGAGGCCACGACCGGAUAUCCGAAGCGUACAUGAUCCAAAUACCCCAAGUUGCCUAGGGGUGGUCCCGCACGGUGCUCUAGUUUGGGACCAACAUGGCCCCCCUGCUAUGUAGAAAGAAUCCGCGGGUUCAUGACGCCCUAUGCCAAUUAAUUAUUUAGUUCAAGUAUUAUUAUGGCAAAUGUUAAAACCACUGUUGAGCCUUGCUGGAAGAGUUUUAUUCAAAGCGAACUGUCAAGAGGGGCCCAUAAACCCUCACCAUGUUAGGGACGCAAAAUUAAGGAACAUAACACUAGUAUGACGGAAACUAGGGUGGCAAGAGUGGAACAAAACACGAGGCAUAAGGCCUAGCCUUCCACCCUUUACCAAGUAUAUGUGUGCAUUAGUUAAAAUAAGAGAUAUUGUGAUAUCCCAAAAUAUCCAUGCCCUAGCAUGGAACAACCUGCACCUGCAACUAGCAAGGCUAUAAGAGCGGCUGAGCAAAGUGGUAACAUAGCCAAACAACGGUUUGCUAGGAAGGGUGAAAAGGUUAGAGGCUAAUCAUGGCAAUUUGGGAGGCUUGAUAAACAAGUGGUACGUAGCGCGACACAUCGAUAGCAUCGAGAUAACUAGCAUAGCAAAGAUAGUAGUGAGAUCCAAGGUGACGGUCAUCUUGCCUGAAAUCCCGCUAGGAAGAAGAACGAGUCCAUGAAGAAGACGAUCCCACGUAGUCAAACGAAUCCUCACAAUCGCAACGAAACAGGAACUAUCGAGAAGGAGCACAACUGGAAAGAAGCAAGCAACAUGGUAAACACACAACACAUAAACAUGACAUGAUUCUCAACCAAGUAUGAUUCAUGGCAAGGCUAUAUGAUGCUACUCAUGGCAAGAGAUGAUGCAUACAAGAACAACACAUCAAAGCAAGUUUAAAUGAGGCCGAAAACAACAUAUAACAAUUUUGGUAAGUCCUCAUAUAUAAAUUUCGAAAUUGGUACUGAUCUGAACAAAACUUUAUGUUAAAGUUGUUAAACAUCAAGAUAAAGUGCAUCAAGAUGAUCUACACGGUUUUCUAGUCAAGUUACAUAUAAAGUUCGUUUAAUUCGGAGCUACGACCUAGAAGAUAUGAGCAAAACAAGUUAAACAUGGCACUGAUUGCAAAAUGCAAGCAAAACAACAUCACAAACACUCCAAAAUAAUGAUUCAACAAGGCAACAUGAAACUACAUGCACAACUAAGCAAGUUUCAUAUAGAGCAUGCUCAAAACGGAGCCACGGUUCAACACAUACACCCAAUUCACGUUUCAAACACAAUCUGCCGAAAAGAGCAACUAAGCACUUUGCAAUCAAGGAAACAACAAGCUAGAGGAAAUAUAUGGACACAAACUUGAUAUGCACUCAAAGUACAGAUUGCAUGCUCCAAAUUACACUAAGUUUCAAGUUCAUAGGCAUCAGGAUUAAUCCAAGAUGAUCAAUGCGAAAAGCAACUUGAUAACACAGAUUAUGACUUAGUGAAAAACAGAUCAUAUGCUUGAGGAGAAAUAACAUGUUGACAUGUUGGAGGCAUGAAACAAUGAUGCUAUAGUGCAAGAACAUAACAAGCAAAAGCAUGGCAUUCUAGUACAAGUUGAACAUGGAAAAAUAUGAUUACUAAGCAUCUCCAUAAGAGCCCUAGAUCAAUGGCAAUCAAUAAGACAAGAUGCAACAGGAUAUAAGAUGAUUCUCAGACUAGAGGAAAUCUGGGAAUGCAAAACAAUAACAUUAUGAUGCUGACUUCGGAGGCACAUAACAGCAAGCAUAGAAAAUUAAGUAAUCAUGCAAAAUACAUGGGCAUAUAGUAGACAUUAUAUACUUUAACUUAGUCCAUGGGCACAAUUUCAUAUGAGGAAUGGAGUAAUUACUAUGAUUCAUGCAAAAAGGAACAUGUUGUUAACAGGAUAACAUAUUUAGCAUGAUGGCAACUUGAGAGCAAGAAAGAGACAAGCUACAGCAAGUUAUAUGGCAACCAAGGGCAUGGCAUAAAAUUACACAUAACAAAGGGCAAAAACAUCAAGGCAUCAUAACCAUAUGACUCAUGGACUAGUGGGAACCAUCAAGACAAGUUUGAAUUUUAUAACAGUUUCAACAAGUGUAAAACAACAACUUUAGCAUAGCAUAUUAGCAAGCUUGGAACAGAGGUCAUAUGAAGUCUAAAAUUAUCAAACUUGGCAUCUGGACAAAAUACGCAUAGCAUACUUCAUAUCAUGUAAUGGGAGCACCUCUAAAAGAGACAUAGUUUAAUUAAUAACAAGCUCAAAACAUGGCAUCAUGAAGUUAACAGAAAACUCGAACAUCAUUUAGGCAUAUUCAUGGCAAUGAAAACAUAAGCUACAUGACAUAUAUGAGGCAUCAAAUGGCAUGGCAUGAUAGAGCAUAACAUGAACAUCAAAACAUGUCAACAGGCGGUGCACGCGACGAGCUGUGGGGCGGAGGCGGCGCGAGCUGGCGGCGACGCAGCGGCGGCACAAGGCGACGAUGCGGGCGGCUCAAGCGCCGGCAUGAGGCGCGGCCCGGUUCGGCCCGGUGGCAGGCCGGCAAUGGGCCCUGCGGGCCUGCGUGGAGGAGACGGCAGCGGGUGACAUGGCGCCUUCCGAUUCGUCGAGGGCAGUGGCGUUGGAUCCGUCUGGCGGCGUGGAGGGAAGAUGGCAGGUAGGGUUUGGACUGCGAAUUCGGACGACCUAUAUAUAGGUAUAGGGAGCUAGGAGAGGGCAAAUCAGGUGCGAUUUUCUCCCACACGAUCGUGAUCCAACGACGGAGAGGAUGGAGGGGGUUUAGAUGGGUUAUUGGGCUAUUAUGAAGGGGUGCUGGGCUGCAAAGAGAAGGAGGGGUUUCGGUUAACGCGGUUAACCGUUGGGGCAUCAAACAACCUCCAAAUGGAACGAAAUUUUACAGGCGGUCUACCGGUGAUAUACCAAGGCCACUCGACAAAUCUCGGCCCUUGAUGAGAACAUUUUUGUCCCGCUCACGAAACAAGAACUGGAAGGUGCAAUGGGUGCAUGUGAGAGUGUCGGAUGUCGAAACGGACAAUGGAGAAAGUGACCGGACGCAAGUUUUGAAAAAUAUGAUGAUCUAAUGCACAUGAUGACAUGGCAAAAUGUAGCACACAAGAAAAUGUAAUGGCAACAAUGACAAAUAACUGGAAGACACCUGGCGCAUCGGACUUGGGGAGUUAAAGAGAGAUACAUAAAAUCAUGAGAGAGAUACUUUCCAUUUCUCUAGAGGAAUAAAAAUGAAAUUACGAGGAAUUAUAACAAAUGCAACUGAGGCAGUAUUCACACCCUAUCAGGUAGUUCAAAGAACACUAGAAGUAAAAUUUACAUCCAGGUCCAUAGACCACUUAGCGACGACUACAAGCACUGGAGCUAGCCAAAAGGCGCACCUUCGUCAUCACCCAUCCUUUGUCGGAGAAGGGCAAACAUUGUUGUGGUAGAUAGCCAGGAACAAAAAUACGCUGUAGCUCGUUAGUUUCCAGCUGAAUAUGUUUGAUGGACCAUUGGUAUGCGCUAAUUUUGUGUGCAAUAACAAUGAAUCUAUUUGGUCCCAAUAGCCAAUAAGCCAUAAUAUGUUUUCCAGCUGUCCUAGCUCUUGGUAUCAAAGAUGAUUUUUUGCUACAGAAUUAUUCAAGUCGAUACAUCAAGGUCUGCACAAAGGUAUGGAUAAGUUUAAAAGAUUUGACACUAUCUAGUGUAUAGUUCCAGAUUCAGAUGAAAAAACAUUCUGAUUGAAAUCAUAGUAUUAAUUAUACUUUGGUGGUAGAUUUAAUUUUAAUUUUUCCCAACAAUUGUCCCAAUACCGUGAGUGUAAUGCACGUGUAUGUGAGCAUCUAUGUUAAAAAAGGCCAUGAUACGGGUUCAAAUACAAAGAGUAGGAAAAUAAAAAUGUUCAAUUAAAUUAUUCAAGCUAGAAAAACAAUUCAUAAUGCUCCCAAGUGAAUCUUUAUUUCCAAACAUUAUUCUUGGUCAUUUUCUUGCUACAAUUAUCUGAUGCAUUCGCAGUGACCAUCACGGCAGGUCCCACCUCCGUAACCAUCUCUGUUGCAGAUAUCAUUACAAAAUGAAGGAUCCGUACAUGGAGUGUAGGGUUCACGGUGCCCCUCGACGCCAAUGUUAGCUUCCUUGCCUACAACAAUAAAAAAUAAAAGGUUCCAUCAGAACCUCUUGUUGUUCGUAUUUAAACUAGGAUUCUGUGAAAUCAAUGUACUAUGCAAAUAGUAGGACAACAGUGGAGUGCUAAUACAAACAUAGGAAGAACAUCUACUGGCUGGUAUAUAAUUAUUAUGUACUAUGGAAACCAUAUGUACCACGACAGAAUUGUAAUGGUGAUCAUAAAAUCACAAGGAAAACACCUCUUUCUUUCCAUGCCAUUGUUAAAUAACACUAGGUUUAAAUUACAAUGAGGCAUGAUAACUUUUAAAUAAGGGGACGAACGCGACGCACAAGUUUGCACUACAAGGAAAAAUAGUUUUAUAUCUAUUUUUUGCAAGUAUGAGGAAAAAGAUACUUGCCUAUCUUAACUAAACACCUCACUCUAUUAGGCACGGUUGAAACACUUUUCUCUUGCAAAAAUACUUGCAUAUAUUAACUUGAACGAUCAAACUUCAUAAGAAACAUUCAUAUCAUUGGCAACAGAGAAUGAUGCAAUAGGAUCAAUUUUUUAUCUAGCUCUAGGAAACCACAAAUUCAUAUAUACUGCAGUUGAUAAGCUCUGGUAAAUAGAAAUGUACCUAUCUUCCUCCCUGAUGCUUCACUCGACAAUAAAGUGGUUGAAACCAUCAAAAGUGCCAUCAAGCACAGAACACCAGUGUUGAUCCGGAUUAGAGCCAUAAUGAAAUUGUUUAGUGUUCUCUUCUCCUAUGUCCGUUUGGUUUAGACUUGUACUACUUUGCUGGUUCCUUCUGCUGUUUAUAUAGAGGCAUGGCCGAUUCUUGGAGUAUCAGUGUUUGCCAUUUUAUUCAUUCCUGCUUUGGCGAGUUUCCUUUUUACAAUUCGCCGUGAUUAAUAAGGAUCCUCGGAUUAUACGCACAUCAUGGAAUAUCCUAUAGGUAUCGAUUGACAGACUACAAAUACAUCCAUAAGGAGUUUCUUAGUAUUCCAUAUACACAAUUAGCGCAUUUAUUGGCUCCUAAAAAUAACCAUAUGAAAUUAAUUAGUUUUCCAUUAUAACAUUGUGACAUUUUAUUGGCUCCCAAUAUUAUUUACAGACGGAAUUAAUUAGUAAUACUCCAUACCAAGAUUAUGGUAUUUAUUCGCUCCAAAAUUACAAGGGAAAUUAAUUAGUAGUAUUCCAUAACAAGAUACAUAGUGUAUAAGAAAAUGUGUCAUCUUGAUAGUUUGGUAUUAGUUUAUGUAUUUGGCACCUAUGAUUUUUGAACAAGACACAGUGUGUUGCACAUACGGUCUAGCUAGUGCAUAGUCACCUGAUAUUUGAUUGAAUUUGUUAUUUUGAUUUUUUUAGUCAAUUAUGCAGGUUUCAUUUGGGGCGGUGGCGCGUUUUUUUCCACUGGUGGGGGGGCAUUUCAUUACUCAAGCUAUAACAGUUUUACAAUCAUCGGUAAUCAUAAUGAUAAUCUCCUGGGGAGCGAGCAUGUGUAAGCCAAGAAGCUGUGUGCUGCUCUUCAUGACCAAUUGCCACCAUUACAUACCCAGCUUUAUUCUACCCAUGACUAAUAAUCUUAUGAAUUUCAGUGUUGCGUUCGUUGAGCAGAUGCACUAUCUCUGCAACUUGGUGCAUAUUUUUGGAUCGAUCACCCAGCCCAACUUUUACAAAAGUGAUGAUCUUGGCAUGGUUCGUCCCAACCUGAAACAGGGCUUGAGACCAAUGCAGAGUUAGACGGAGGCCUAUCCCUUGGUGACUGAGGCAACCUGAAUUACUUCAAAACCACCUCUUGGAAAAUGACGAUAGUAUCUCGGAGCAAGCUUUCACUCCAUUUUCACUCAAGAGCGGCUGGACAUGGUGCUGCGGCCCAUUAUUCACAAGUACCAUGUACACAUAGAUCACCGGCCAAUUGUCCUUCACUGGAAAUUGCACGUGCAUUGCAAUAAAUGAUAGUGUAUUAUUUAAAUAUCAAAAAUUGGGACACAUAUGCAAUUUCAAAAUUCGAAACACAUACAUGUAAUUUUUUGAAGGAACAUUUACACCUGUAUAUAGUUAUGUUAUACCAGUACAAUGCCCACGCACUGCUACCGUAGAUCUCAAACAAUGCCUCAAGCACGUUAUAGCAAGCACUAAAGUUUCACUUCCCACAUCCCACCUAUUUUAUCAACCACUGUGAUUCCCAAUCAGACUUAAAUUUUUAAGAUCAAAUGGGAAGGUCAAAUUUAAGCACCUAACGAUGAGAAGCGAAUGAUAUGGUGCAAUAUGACCAAAAUAUAUCUCCUAUUAAAGAUCCACAUGCAUAUUGCAUUGUCGACUUCUCUUGUACCAUUUUCAACUUCACCAACAAAGCUUGCAUCUCCCUUUCACUACUGGGAAAAGUCUUAUAUAUUUUUUUGAGCAAAAAUAGUAGGGUAAACCCCUACUGUAACACUUUUUUGAUUAAUAUAAGAGUGGUGUUACAAGUUGAUGUACAAUGUGAAUAUGGCUAUGUGUAUGCCUAUGAUAGAUUUACAAAUAAUCUAGCUAAGUUUGCAUCCCUUCCUUCCCGCUUGGUUUUGCUUUCCUCAUGAAUGUAAUUGUUCCUUGGAACAGGCAUUGCAAUAUUCUAAGCUAUUUGUCUUGUGGUAAAAAAUAAUGAUGUUUCUGUUCUUCCAGAUGGACCAGCAUCUAGCAAUCAAGCAUGCUCUGAAUGAUUGAAUGUUUGUUCUAGUUUUUUGCUUUAUCUAGCAUUUGGUUGAUGCUAUGGUCAGUGUUCCAUUCAAUCCCAAUAGAUAUCCAAAAAUUGUGGCUGAAGUCACACGGGAAAAAUAGAUGCUUCAGGUGUUCAUUAGGCUCAUCAUCACAUAGGACACAUUUGCUUGAUUGAAUACAGAAGUGUUUCCUUGCUAGCAAGUCUCUAGUAUUUAGCCUAUCAAGUAGCCGUAACCAGAAGUAUUUUUUCGCUAAGCAUCCAAAUUUCCAAAUCCAUUGGAAUGGUUAAGGGGUAUAUGGUGGGUUUCCAAUCAAUUAUAGAUAAAUCCUUUUGGUGGAAUACCUUGUAGAUGACCAAUAGAAGUCCCAAUUGUCUCUGCUAUUGUUGCUUGCAAUAUUGAUCAUGUUCCUCAAUGAUAUGAUUUGUUGUACGGCAACAGUUGACAUGCGUAGAUGAAACAUUUCAUAUAGACCUUCCGUAGCUAUAUCAUGUGUAGCAGCAAAAGUUAUAUCCUUGUUUUUAGCAUAUGAAAUUAGUUGGGGAAUUUAUUCUCAAGAUUAUCAUCCUCCCAUUUAUCGUACCAUAACCUGAAAGUAGAUCCAUCACCAACUUUGCAAAGUUACAUGCUUUUGAAAUCAUUUAGAACAUAGCAGCAAUCUCUCCACCCAUGAUCCAACCUUUGUUGGAUAAGUUGGUAGCUCACCAUUGUUUUAGUAUGAGUUCCAUAAUAUUUUCACCCAUGUUAUGUCAUACUUAUUAAAGAAAUUGUGUAUGAACUUUGUCAGACAUGCUCUGUUCUGAGUUCUGAGCUCUAGUACUCUAGGCCACUAUCUUUUUCAUUAAACAUACCUUCUCCCAUUUGGCUAGACAUUUGCCAUGUUCGUUGAUAUUCUUCCAAUACCAUAAGAAGCACCUGCCAGAUUUUUCAAAAUGAUCUAGGAUGGUAAAGGCAACUCUGAUGUUGCACAUUGCAAAAAUGGGCAAUGCAUUGACCACGACUUUAAGAUGGACCAAUCUUCCUGCAUAUGAGAUCAUAGGUGCGAUACCAGAUAGCCUGACAUCUAAUCUUGACACCAUGGGCAUCAAAUCAUCAAUUUUUGGUCUUGUGGAGCCCAUUGGUAAACCAAGAUAUGUGAAAUGCAUGCUUUAUUUUUUACAUCCAAGUAUGUUGGCAAGUUGCAGAGCUCUUUCAUCUGUUAUGUUCACUAGUUGACCCGUUGCGCCAAAUGGCCCAGAGACCCGCUGAAGACAUGUUGUCGAUGAAAAUAGUUUCAUGCUGCAAGAACCUUCAACUAAACCACCCGUUGCACCAAAUGGCGCAGAGACCUGCUAAUUCCAUGUUAGCGAUGAAAAGAAAUUCAUGGUUUAGUUGAUAUAGUUACGGGUAUGCACAUAUGACAACAAAUUUAAUCUUUCUUAUAUGAAAAAAAACAGGGCUUGUUAUCAAAAAUAAGAUGUAUAUACACAAUUAAAUUUGGUAACAUAGAGUUCUGUUUGAAACAAAAUGCAUGUAACAAAUCUAAUCCUCUUUAGUAGGAAAAACAUGGUAUAUUCUGUUGUCUAUAAUGAGAUGUAUAUACAAAUUCUAAUUUCGUAGCAUAGAGUUAUAUAAUCUAUAAGAUGUGAAUGACGGACAUCACAUCCAGAGAUAUUCACAUCAGCAACAAAGUUGUCUACAAUUCAUGUGAACGAUGUGGUUCGCCGAGGCGGCCAUUUCGGGGGCGUUGAUUUCUGAGGGAGUCCAGGUGGUGACGAUGAUAGACACUCGGUGAUCAUUUGCGAAGGGCAUGAUCAGCGCAAAUCCUGCAUAUUUCCCUUGUGAAGCCCGUCUUGAAAGUCGGAGUUGUCAAUUGUUCGCGUGUGUAGCCAUCUGUUAGCAUGUGGCCAGGUUGGCUGGUGGUACCCAUGUUGUGUGGGUUGAGUUGUAUUGGUUUUAGCCCGGUUUUCCUCAAUUAACCAGGCAAUUCCCACUAUCUUGUAAGCUAAUGAAAAUGGAAGUCUUUUGUCUCGUUUCAAAAUAAUUAAAUAAAACAUCAGCAAGAAAUAACAUCCUUGGGCCAACACCUGACUAAGUUGAAACGAUAUUGUUCCGCGCCUUCCAAAUAUGCGAAGGAUAUUACCGAUGUUAUCUUGGGCUUGCAGCCCUUCGGGUGGCAUCACAACAACAAAAUUACGGUCAUUUUUUCAUAUAUAUAUAUAUAUAAAUGAAGUGUCAUGUCAUAGCAUUGCUGAAGCGGACUAAAAUUUAGGAGAAUGGAUGAGAAUAGAAAUGAUGUAAAGUCGGGUCUCGGUUUAAAAUGGGCAUAAGAAAGUAGUAUUUUAGUAGAGCUGUAUCAGAAUGCACAAAGGCUUAGUAACUGCAAUACUAAUUUACUCAAGGAAGAGCUGCACAAUUUACUCAAGUAAGAGCUGCUCAAUAUUGUCGUCAGAACAAACUGUAAUAGGAUCGUGGGAAUUAUAUGUUGAUGUGUACACACCUUCACAAUUAUAUAACUCUAUGUAACAAUGCACAAAGGAGUAGCAGCCACAAUAUUAAUUUACUCAAGGAAGAACUAGUCAAUUAUGUCAUCAGAACAAACUGUAAUAGGAUGGUGCAAAUUAUGUAAACCUUGAACGGGGCGCAUAGUACCUUCCAAAGCCUGUUAACAGCAAGAUCUAAUAAGGCAAGAUAAAAAUGAUUGUAACUAUCUUGUAAUUGUUCAAACAUUUGAGAAAGCUUAGAGAAUACGUCCUGCUGCCUUUUUCUCUAAUGUUCUCUUCCUUCUUUUACCUGCAAAAAUGAAGCAUGCUCCACAAACAGGCAAAAUCAGUGUUGUUACCAACAGACUUUCAUAUUAUAAGAGGUAUUCUGGAAGUAUUUAUGCUAACUAAAUUCAGAAAAGAUCAAAAUCAUAAUAAUUUAGCAUCCCUAUAUAAGACUUGUUUCAAUCCUCAUGGUGCAUAUCAAAGCCCUGCAAUCGAAACUGAAAAAUUACUCGCACUGAAAUCUCUAAACACCAGUUGAUCUAACUAAUCAAGCAAGUAGCAGUCUUGCACUGAAACCCCUAAACACCAGUUCAGUUAUCCGUAUUAUACACAUCCCGGCUACUACAAAUUCUGAAAAAUGAGAAACUGCACCCUCAGCAACAACUGACAUAAAGGCUAAACCAGAGCAAUCAACCGUUAUUUCUGCCAUGGCACAAAAUUUCUAAUAGAAUCACAUCUAAGAAUGUCAAUUAGAAGGAGAGAAAGGAACUCUAGGAAUUCAUGGUGGAAGACAAAGCAAAUAAAAUAAUAUUAUUCAGGAAAAGAGAUAAUAUCAGGGACACGAAAGGUAAAGGUUGUUCCGAGAUGUUCCAGACAAUCUAAUAGUUAGACAUCACACAAAAAAAGGGUUGAAUCAACGAAAAACUAAAAACCAGAUUACAAUAUAAACUGGUUACCUUUUUUUGCUUAGGCAAAGGCUGACAUGAACAUUAGAAACCAAGAACUUAUCUUUUUCUAUGUAGUAAAAAACUGAGCAAGUGUUUGUGUUUUUCAUCGAAAGAAAAAAAAAUGCUAGGAGAGUAAUAUGCUUAUGGCAGAAUUAACAUUGAUAGCAGAAGAAGAUAUAUAUUGGAAAUGUUGGACUAAAUUUAGCCAUGGGAGAUAUUAAAAAAUUGGAGAGCAUUGACAGCCAACCAAGCAAAUGAAGGAAUAUCCCCGCCAAAAUUAAGAAUGGUAAAUUAGCAUCUAGAGGUAUAUAAAAACAAACAUUCCGCUUGGAAGAGUGUUAUCUCAGUAUGAUAUAAAUAUCUAUGAAAAUGUACGCACUAGCUACUAUUCAUGGGGUGUCACCAGUAGCAAAACCCACACCCCAAAUUGUAAAAUCUGAUGUCAGCAGCAAGAUUGCUGCACAAACAAACUGCUUGAAUCUAAUGAAUAAAGAAGGGGCAUCCUAAUCGCAUACAACAUGAUCUAUGAACAUAGUUUUUUUCCAAAGGAUAUGAAUCAAAUUAGCAAACUAAUUUGACCAACGGCUCUCGCCAUCUUCUGAAGCUAAUCACAAGAAAUGGUUGCGUAGAGCAAAAAUCCAAAUCACAUCAGCAAAGAAAAGCUAUUUCCAUGAAGUACAGUAGAAGCAGUUAGGAGAGGAUGCUGCAAUUUCCAAACAAAGUAUAAAUAGAUAUGAGAUAGACAUGAAAUAAUUCAUUAUAUCUCAGACCACACUAAAGUAUAAAGAAUCAAAGAUAUGGACAUAAUCAAACUAAACUUCAAUUAUAUGAAUAUAUGCAUCAACACAAUAGCCAUUCAGUUCAUAGUUUACAUGGGAAUGGACCAAACAACUGCAUCGCUUGCCGGUUCGCUCGUGUUGUACAACUACAAAUGCCAAUACCUUGUUCCCCAGGACCAGCAACAUGGUGGCGUCGGAUGCACUCGUCGUCUCUUGAUGCGUGUGGAGGUCCCCAAGCCACACCCAUGGACACCUCUCCUGCCGCCUAUCCAGCUCGCUGCACCAAGCACCACGCUCACCGGUGCUAUCCGUCGACCCACAUUGGUUGAGGCACCACCAGGAUGGUCGAUUUCACAUGGGUCUCCUUUUCCUUGUCUAAAUCCCAUCCGGAAGUUCCCUACAGAGAGAGAAACAAAGAGCACCACUGCUGCAGCUACCCAGGGUACUAUAAAUACAUGGAUGGAAUCAAGACUAAUAGAUAAAAAUAAUAGAGCAGAUAGUUUAUUUAGUAUAGCACUUUUUUUCUUUUUGAAGGAUUUAGAACAGCAGUUAGGACCAGUAGAACUCCAUUUUACCAAUCAGGUGUUUGAUUUGAUAUACCAUGUUUAACUAUCCAUGUUUAGGGUCGUCCCAUCAGGGCAUUUGAAAAACUUUUAUGAAGAAGAGUUAACUUCUUUAAUCAACCCCGUAGAGCGAUGUAUUUAUCAAGGAACGGAACAACAUUCAGACCUGCAUGAACAGACUUUCAUAUUAUAAGAGGUAUUCUAGAAGUAUUUAUGCUAACUAAAUUCAGAAAAGACCAAAAGCAUAACAAUUUAGCAGCCAUAUAUACAUGAUUUAGUAGCAGGGGCGAAUUCUCUCAACUAUAUAUUGCAAAAAGGGUUGUAGUAGUCUCCGGCUUGGCUGGUUUUACCUUGAACAAAAUUGCGAUUUAGAAAAGCAACAUGGGUUUUCUGAAGAAGCUCUUGUACCCGAUCAACGGUCCCAUUGCCUGAUCGGAGUGAGGGAGAAAUGCAGGUAAGGAGAAUGAACAAGCAUCUUGAAGUGAGAGUAGUAAAUAACCAAGAAAUGAACCAAUAAAAAAACACAAAGAACAAUCACUAUCAGACCCAUUAAUUUGUCCAUAUACAUGAUUUAGAGUAUAACUUGGAAACGAAAAAUAUCUAGGCAGAUUAGAGAUAGAGCUCACCUUGUUUUUUCCUCUUCCUCAAGAUCAUUCCUCUUCUCUUCUUCGUUCGAUCUACACACAUCUUGUUUACAAAAACAAAAAACAAUCUUCUCUACUUUGUUGUUGCAAGUUUUACGUGGCUGCUACGGGCUUAAGCAACAACCAAUCUCACCUACGCAUCAAAACCACAACGAUAGUUUGUCAAGUUGAUGCCGUUUUAACCUUCGCAAGGACCGGGCGUAGCCACACUUGGUUCAACUAAAGUUGGAGAGACUGUCGCCCGCAAGCCACCUAUGUGCAAAGCACGUCGGGAGAACCGGUCUCGCGUAAGCGUACGCGUAAUGUUGGUCCGGGUCGUCUCGUCCAACAAUACCGCCGAACCAAAGUAUGACAUGGUGGUAGGCAGUAUGACUUAUAUCGCCCACAACUCACUUGUGUUCUACUCGUGGAUAUAACAUCAAACCAUAAAACCUAGGCUCGGAUGCCACUAUUGGGGAACGCAGUAAUUUCAAAAAAAUUCCUGCGCACACGCAAGAUCAUGGUGAUGCAUAGCAACGAGAGGGGAGAGUAUGAUCUACGUACCCUUGUAGAUCGCAACGGAAGCGUUGACACAACGUAGAGGAAGUAGUCGUAGUCUUCUUCCCGAUUCGACCGAUCCAAGCACCGUUACUCCGGCACCUCCGAGUUCUUAGCACACGUACAGCUCGAUGACGCUGCCCGGGCUCCGAUCCAGCAAACCUUCAGGGAUGAGUUCCGUCAGCAUAACGGCGUGGUGAUGAUGAUGAUGUUCCACUGACGCAGGGCUUCGCCUAAGCACUACAACGAUAUGACCGAGGUGGAAUAUGGUGGCAAGGGGGCACCGCACAUGGCUAAGGAACGAUCACGAGGAUCAACUUGUGUCCUAGGGUGCCCCCUGCCUCCGUAUAUAAAGGAUCCAAGGGGGGGUGGUGCGCCGGACUAGAGGAGGGCGCAGGAGGAGUCCUACUCCUACCGGGAGUAGGACUCCCCUCCCCGUUCCUUGUCCAACUAGGAGAGGUGGAGGGAGAAUAGGAAAGGGGGGCGCCGCCCCUCCCUCCUUGUCCAAUUCGGACUAGGGGGAGAGGGGGUGCGCGGCCUGCCCUGGCAGCCCCUUCCUCUUCUCCACAUUAGGCCCAUAAGGCCCAUUAACCCCCCGGGGGUUCCGGUAACCCCUCCGGCACUCCGGUUUUAUCCGAAACUUCUCCGGAACCCUUCCGGUGUCCGAAUAUAGUCAUCCAAUAUAUCAAUCUUUAUGUCUCGACCAUUCCGAGACUCCUCGUCAUGUCCGUGAUCACAUCCGGGACUCCGAACUAACUUCAGUACAUCAAAAUGCAUAAACUCAUAAUAACUGUCAUCGUAACUUUAAGCGUGCGGACCCUACGGUUCGAGAACAAUGUAGACAUGACCGAGACACGUCUCCGGUCAAUAACCAAUAGCGGGAUCUGGAUGCCCAUAUUGGCUCCUACAUAUUCUACGAAGAUCUUUAUCGGUCAGACCACAUAACAACAUACGUUGUUCCUUUUGUCAUCGGUAUGUUACUUGCCCGAGAUUCGAUCGUCGGUAUCCAAUACCUAGUUCAAUCUCGUUACCGGCAAGUCUCUUUACUCGUUCCGUAAUACAUCAUCUCACAACUAACAUAUUAGUUGUAAUGCUUGCAAGGCUUAUGUGAUGUGCAUUACCGAGAGGGCCCGGAGAUACCUCUCCGACAAUCGGAGUGACAAAUCCUAAUCUCGAAAUACGCCAACCCAACAUGUACCUUUGGAGACACCUGUAAUGCUCCUUUAUAAUCACCCAGUUACGUUGUGACGUUUGGUAGCACUCAAAGUGUUUCUCCGGCAAACGGGAGUUGCAUAAUCUCAUAGUCAUAGGAACAUGUAUAAGUCAUGAAGAAAGCAAUAGCAACAUACUAAACGAUCGGGUGCUAAGCUAAUGGAAUGGGUCAUGUCAAUCAGAUCAUUUGAACUAAUGAUGUGACCUCAUUAAUCAAAUAACAACUCUUUGUUCAUGGUUAGGAAACAUAACCAUCUUUGAUUAACGAGCUAGUCAAGUAGAGGCAUACUAGUGACACUCUGUUUGUCUAUGUAUUCACACAUGUAUUAUGUUUCUGGUUAAUACAAUUCUAGCAUGAAUAAUAAACAUUUAUCAUGAUAUAAGGAAAUAAAUAAUAACUUUAUUAUUGCCUCUAGGGCAUAUUUCCUUCAGUCUCCCACUUGCACUAGAGUCAAUAAUCUAGAUUGCACAGUAAUGAUUCUAACACCCAUGGAGUCUUGGUGCUGAUCAUGUUUUGCUCGUGGAAGAGGCUUAGUCAACGGGUCUGCCACAUUCAGAUCCAUAUGUAUCUUGCAAAUCUCUAUGUCUCCCACCUGGACUAGAUCCCGGAUGGAAUUGAAGCGUCUCUUGAUGUGCUUGGUUCUCUUGUGAAAUCUGGAUUCCUUUGCCAAGGCAAUUGCACCAAUAUUGUCACAAAAGAUUUUCAUUGGACCCGAUGCACUAGGUAUGACACCUAGAUCGGAUAUGAAGUCCUUCAUCCAGACUCCUUCAUUUGCUGCUUCCGAAGCAGCUAUGUACUCCGCUUCACAUGUAGAUCCCGCUACGACACUUUGUUUAGAACUGCACCAACUGACAGCUCCACCGUUUAAUGUAAACACGUAUCCGGUUUACGAUUUAGAAUCGUCCGGAUCAGUGUCAAAGCUUGCAUCAACAUAACCGUUUAUGAUGAGCUCUUUGUCACCUCCAUAUACGAGAAACAUAUCCUUAGUCCUUUUCAGGUAUUUCAGGAUGUUCUUGACCGCCGUCCAGUGAGCCAUUCCUGGAUUACUUUGGUACCUCCCUGCUAAACUUAUAGCAAGGCACACAUCAGGUCUGGUACACAGCAUUGCAUACAUGAUAGAGCCUAUGGCUGAAGCAUAGGGAACAUCUUUCAUUUUCUCUCUAUCUUCUGCAGUGGUCGGGCAUUGAGUCUUACUCAACUUCACACCUUGUAACACAGGCAAGAACCCUUUCUUUGCUUGAUCCAUUUUGAAUUUUUUCAAAAUCUUUUCAAGGUAUUUGCUUUGUGAAAGUCCAAUUAGGCGUCUUGAUCUAUCUCUAUAAAUCUUUAUGCCUAACAUGUAAGCAGCUUCACCGAGGUCUUUCAUUGAAAAACUCUUAUUCAAGUAUCCCUUUAUGCUAUCCAGAAAUUCUAUAUCAUUUCCAAUCGGUAAUAUGUCAUCCACAUAUAAUAUCAAAAAUGCUACAGAGCUCCCACUCACUUUCUUGUAAAUACAGGCUUCUCCAAAAGUCUGUAUAAAACCAAAUGCUUUGAUCACACUAUCAAAGCGUUUAUUCCAACUCCGAGAGGCUUGCACCAGUCCAUAAAUGGAUCGCUGGAGCUUGCGCACUUUGUUAGCUCCCUCUGGAUCAACAAAACCUUCUGGUUGCAUCAUAUACAACUCUUCUUCCAGAAAUCCAUUCAGUAAUGCAGUUUUGACAUCCAUCUGCCAAAUUUCAUAAUCAUAAAAUGCGGCAAUUGCUAACAUGAUUCGGACAGACUUAAGCAUCGCUACGGGUGAGAAGGUCUCAUCGUAGUCAGUCCCUUGAACUUGCCGAAAACCUUUUGCGACAAGUCGAGCUUUGUAGACAGUAAUAUUACCGUUAGCGUCAGUCUUCUUCUUGAAGAUCCAUUUAUUCUCAAUUGCUUGCCGAUCAGCGGGCAAGUCAACCAAAGUCCAUACUUUGUUCUCAUACAUGGAUCCCAUCUCAGAUUUCAUGGCUUCAAGCCAUUUUGCGGAAUCUGGGCUCACCAUCGCUUCUUCAUAGUUCGUAGGUUCAUCAUGAUCUAGUAGCAUGACUUCCAGAACAGGAUUACCGUACCACACUGGUGCGGAUCUCACUCUGGUUGAUCUACGAGGUUCAGUAGUAUCUUGAUCUAAAGUUUCAUGAUCAUCAUCAUUAGCUUCCUCACUAACUGGUGUAGGUGUCACUGAAACAGUUUUCUGUGAUGUACUACUUUCCAAUAAGGGAGCAGGUACAGUUACCUCGUCAAGUUCUACUUUCCUCCCACUCACUUCUUUCGAGAGAAACUCCUUCUCUAGAAAGGAUCCAUUCUUAGCAACGAAUGUCUUGCCUUCGGAUCUGUGAUAGAAGGUGUACCCAACUGUCUCCUUUGGGUAUCCUAUGAAGACACAUUUCUACGAUUUGGGUACGAGCUUAUCAGGUUGAAGUUUUUUCACAUAAGCAUCGCAGCCCCAAACUUUAAGAAACGACAACUUCGGUUUCUUGCCAAACCAUAGUUCAUAAGGCGUCGUCUCAACGGAUUUUGAUGGUGCCCUAUUUAACGUGAAUGCGGCCGUCUCUAAAGCAUAACCCCAAAACGAUAGCGGUAAAUCUGUAAGAGACAUCAUAGAUCGCACCAUAUCUAAUAAAGUACGAUUACGACGUUCGGACACACCAUUACGCUGUGGUGUUCUGGGUGGCGUGAGUUGCGAAACGUUUCCACAAUUUUUCAAAUGUACACCAAACUCGUAACUCAAAUAUUCUCCUCCACGAUCAGAUCGUAGAAACUUUAUUUUCUUGUUACGAUGAUUUUCAGCUUCACUCUGAAAUUCUUUGAACUUUUCAAAUGUUUUAGACUUUUCUUUCAUUAAGUAGAUAUACCCAUAUCUGCUUAAAUCAUCUGUCAAGGUGAGAAAAUAACGAUAUUCGCCACGAGCCUCAAUAUUCAUCGGACCACAUACAUCUGUAUGUAUGAUUUCCAACAAAUCUGUUGCUCUCUCCAUAGUACCGGAGAACGGUGUUUUAGUCAUCUUGCCCAUGAGGCACGGUUCGCAAGUACCAAGUGAUUCAUAAUCAAGUGGUUCCAAAAGCCCAUCAGUAUGGAGUUUCUUCAUGCGCUUUACACCGAUAUGACCUAAACGGCAGUGCCACAAAUAAGUUGCACUAUCAUUAUCAACUCUGCAUCUUUUGGCUUCAACAUUAUGAAUAUGUGUAUCACUACUAUCGAGAUUUAUCAAAAAUAGACUACUCUCCAAAGGUGCAUGACCAUAAAAGAUAUUACUCAUAUAAAUAGAACAACCAUUAUUCUCUGAUUUAAAUGAAUAACCGUCUCGCAUUAAACAAGAUCCAGAUAUAAUGUUCAUGCUCAAUGCUGGCACCAAAUAACAAUUAUUUAGGUCUAAUACUAAUCCCGAAGGUAGAUGUAGAGGUAGCGUGCCGACCGCGAUCACAUCGACUUUGGAACCAUUUCCCACGCGCAUCGUCACCUCGUCCUUUGCCAGUGUUCGCUUAAUCCGUAGUCCCUGUUUUGAGUUGCAAAUAUUAGCAACAGAACCAGUAUCAAAUACCCAGGUGCUACUGCGAGCUCUAGCAAGGUACACAUCAAUAACAUGUAUAUCACAUAUACCUUUGUUCACGUUGCCAUCCUUCUUAUCCGCCAAAUACUUGGGGCAGUUCUGCUUCCAGUGACCAGUCUGCUUGCAGUAGAAGCACUCAGUUUCAGGCUUAGGUCCAGACUUGGGUUUCUGCUCUUGAGCAGCAACUUGUUUGCCAUUCUUCUUGAAGUUCCCCUUCUUCUUCCCUUUCCCCUUUUUCUUGAAACCAGUGGUCUUGUUGACCAUCAACACUUGAUGCUCCUUCUUGAUUUCUACCUCCGCAGCUUUCAGCAUUGCGAAGAGCUCGGGAAUAGUCUUGUUCAUCCCUUGCAUAUUAUAGUUCAUAACGAAGCUCUUGUAGCUUGGUGGUAGUGAUUGGAGAAUUCUGUCAAUGACGCAAUCAUCUGGAAGAUUAACUCCCAAUUGAAUCAAGUGAUUAUUAUACCCAAACAUUUUGAGUAUAUGCUCACUGACAGAACUGUUCUCCUCCAUCUUGCAGCUGUAGAACUUAUUGGAGACUUCAUAUCUCUCAAUUUGGGCAUUUGCUUGAAAUAUUAACUUCAACUCCUGAAACAUCUCAUAUGCUCCAUGACGUUCAAAACGUCGUUGAAGUCCCGAUUCUAAGCCGUAAAGCAUGGCACACUGAACUAUCGAGUAGUCAUCAGCUUUGCUCUCCCAGAUGUUCAUAACAUCUGGUGUUGCUCCAGCAGCAGGCCUGGCACCCAGCGGUGCUUCCAGGACGUAAUUCUUCUGUGCAGCAAUGAGGAUAAUCCUCAAGUUACGGACCCAGUCCGUGUAAUUGCUACCAUCAUCUUUCAACUUCGCUUUCUCAAGGAACGCAUUAAAAUUCAACGGAACAACAGCACGAGCCAUCUAUCUACAAUCAACAUAAACAAGCAGAUACUAUCAGGGACCAAGUUCAUGAUAAAUUUAAGUUCAAUUAAUCAUAUUACUUAAGAACUCCCACUUAGAUAGACAUCCCUCUAAUCUUCUAAGUGAUCACGUGAUCCAAAUCAACUAAACUAUAACCGAUCAUCAUGUGAAAUGGAUUAGUCUUCAAUGGUGAACAUCAUUAUGUUGAUCAUAUCUACUAUAUGAUUCACGCUUGACCUUUCAGUCUCCGUGUUCCGAGGCCAUAUCUGCAUAUGCUAGGCUCGUCAAGUAUAACCCGAGUAUUCUGUGUGUGCAAACCUGGCUUGCACCCAUUGUAGAUGGACGUAGAGCUUAUCACACCCGAUCAUCACGUGGUGUCUGGGCACGACGAACUUUGGCAACGGUGGAUACUCAGGGAGAACACUUCUUGAUAAUUUAGUGAGAGAUCAUCUUAUAAUGCUACCGUCAAUCAAAGCAAGAUAAGAUGCAUAAAAGAUAAACAUCACAUGCAAUCAAUAUAAGUGAUAUGAUAUGGCCAUCAUCAUCUUGUGCCUGUGAUCUCCAUCUCCGAAGCACCGUCAUGAUGACCAUCGUCACCGGCGCGACACCUUGAUCUCCAUCGUAGCAUCGUUGUUGUCUCGCCAAUCUUAUGCUUCCACGACUUUUGCUACCGUUUAGUGAUAAAGUAAAGCACUACAUCGUGAUUGCAUUGCAUACAAUAAAGCGACAACCAUAUGGCUCCUGCCAGUUGCCGAUAACUCGGUUACAAAACAUGAUCAUCUCAUAGAAUAAAAUUUAGCAUCGUGUCUUGACCAUAUCACAUCACAACAUGCCCUGCAAAAACAAGUUAGACGUCCUCUACUUUGUUGUUGCAAGUUUUACGUGGCUGCUACGGGCUUAAGCAAGAACCAAUCUCACCAACGCAUCAAAACCACAACGAUAGUUUGUCAAGUUGAUGCCAUUUUAACCUUCGCAAGGACCGAGCGUAGCCACACUUGGUUCAACUAAAGUUGGAGAGACUGUCGCCCGCAAGCCACCUAUGUGCAAAGCACGUCGGGAGAACCGGUCUCGCGUAAGCGUACGCGUAAUGUUGGUCCGGGUCGUCUCGUCCAACAAUACCGCCGAACCAAAGUAUGACAUGCUGGUAGGCAGUAUGACUUAUAUCGCCCACAACUCACUUGUGUUCUACUCGUGCAUAUAACAUCAACCAUAAAACCUAGGAUCGGAUGCCACUGUUGGGGAACGUAGUAAUUUCAAAAAAUUUCCUACGCACACGCAAGAUCAUGGUGAUGCAUAGCAACGAGAGGGGAGAGUAUGAUCUACGUACCCUUGUAGAUCGCAACGGAAGCGUUGACACAACGUAGAGGAAGUAGUCGUACGUCUUCUUCCCGAUCCGACCGAUCCAAGCACCGUUACUCCGGCACCUCCGAGUUCUUAGCACAUGUACAGCUCGAUGACGCUCCCCGGGCACCGAUCCAGCAAAGCUUCGCGGAUGAGUUCCGUCAGCACAACGGCGUGGUGAUUAUGAUGAUGUUCCACCGACGCAGGGCUUCGCCUAAGCACUACAACGAUAUGACCGAGGUGGAAUAUGGUGGCAAGGGGGCACCACACACGGCUAAGGAACGAUCACGAGGAUCAACUUGUGUCCUAGGGUGCCCCCUUGCCUCCGUAUAUAAAGGAUCCAAGGGGGGGUGGUGCGCCGGCCUAGAGGAGGGCGCAGGAGGAGUCCUACUCCUACCGGGAGUAGGACUCCCCUCCCCGUUCCUUGUCCAACUAGGAGAGGUGGAGGGAGAAUAGGAAAGGGGGGGCGCCGCCCCUCCCUCCUUGUCCAAUUCGGACUAGGGGGAGAGGGGGCGCGCGGCCUGCCCUGGCAGCCCCUUCCUCUUUUCCACAUUAGGCCCAUAAGGCCCAUUAACCCCCCGGGGGGUUCCGGUAACCCCUCCGGCACUCCGGUUUUAUCCGAAACUCCUCCGGAACCCUUCCGGUGUCCGAAUAUAGUCAUCCAAUAGAUCAAUCUUUAUGUCUCGACCAUUCUGAGACUCCUCGUCAUGUCCGUGAUCACAUCCGGGACUCCGAACUAACUUCGGUACAUCAAAAUGCAUAAACUCAUAAUAACUGUCAUCGUAACUUUAAGCGUGCGGACCCUACUGUUCGAGAACAAUGUAGACAUGACCGAGACACGUCUUCGGUUAAUAACCAAUAGUGGGACCUGGAUGCCCUUAUUGGCUCCUACAUAUUCUACGAAGAUCUUUAUCGGUCAGACCGCAUAACAACAUACGUUGUUCCUUUUGUCAUCGGUAUGUUACUUGCCCGAGAUUCGAUCGUCGGUAUCCAAUACCUAGUUCAAUCUCGUUACCGGCAAGUCUCUUUACUCGUUCCGUAAUACAUCAUCUCACAAGUAACAUAUUAGAUGUAAUGCUUGCAAGGCUUAUGUGAUGUGCAUUACCGAGAGGGCCCAGAGAUACCUCUCCGACAAUCGGAGUGACAAAUCCUAAUCUCGAAAUACGCCAACCCAACAUGUACCUUUGGAGACACCUGUAAUGCUCCUUUAUAAUCAACCAGUUACGUUGUGACGUUUGGUAGCACCCAAAGUGUUCCUCUGGCAAACGGGAGUUGCAUAAUCUCAUAGUCAUAGGAACAUGUAAAAGUCAUGAAAAAAGCAAUAGCAACAUACUAAACGAUCGGGUGCUAAGCUAAUGGAAUGGGUCAUGUCAAUCAGAUCAUUUCAACUAAUGAUGUGACCUCGUUAAUCAAAUAACAACUCUUUGUUCAUGGUUAGGAAACAUAACCAUCUUUUAUUAACGAGCUAGUCAAGUAGAGGCAUACUAGUGACACUCUGUUGUCUAUGUAUUCACACAUGUAUUAUGUUUCCGGUUAAUACAAUUCUAGCAUGAAUAAUAAACAUUUAUCAUUAUAUAAGGAAAUAAAUAAUAACUUUAUUAUUGCCUCUAGGGCAUAUUUCCUUCAAAACAUACGUCUACCAAGGGGGAACAAUCACCGACAAACACAGAAAGAAUACAAUCAGUGCAAUGCACAAUAUGAUGCAUGAUCAUGACAUGUCAAUAUGCUGUGAUUGAGCUAAUGCAGCUAAGAACAGAAAGGUUUGAGUUGAUUUGAACUCAAGGUUCAAAUUCAGAUUCAAGCUAUGAAUUCAAAUAGUGCAUGAUCAUGUUUUGAACUAAACAGUGAGGUUAAGUUGUUUAAACAUGCAUGAAACCAGUACAGAUGGAUAGAUUGGAUUUUUUGCUCAUUUUUCAUAUAUAAAUUAUAUCAUUUGGAGUUAGAGGUUAUUUUCUAUGAAUUUUUUGAAGUUUAUACAAUUUUCUAGAAUUUCCUGAAUUAUUUUAAAUCCAGAAAAUGUUUAACUGCGUCAGUGUUGUGCAAGCAUGACGUCAGUGAGUCAACUACGGCUGUCCAGGUCAAGCCUGACUAGUGGGUCCCACUGGUCAGUGAUAGAGUGCUGGUCAGGAUCAAUGGUAGGUGGGUCCAGUCAACGCUGACUGGGCCAAGGUCAAACUGACACGUGGGCCUUCUGUGGUUAGCUAAAACUAAACAUGAACUAAACUUCGAUUAAAUAAGGGCGCGGGGCCCAACUGUCUAUGUCAAAGUGGUUAAUUAACUAGGUGAUUAAACCCUAAUUAAGCAGCCACAUCAUCAUCACCGGAUCUACACCGACGAUGACCAAUCUGACGGCGAGAGCUCGCCGGACUCGCGUUAGGGACGGCAGUUCGUUGCGCCAGUAGCACCAGGGAGGUCCUCUCGCUCGUCCGCAUCCAAAGGACAGGACGGGAGGCCGCGGGGUGGUGGGAAAUGAUGCCAGCGAUGAGGUUUAGCGGCGGCCGAGGUCGGGCUCGAGCGGGUGCGGGGUUUCAGCGCGAGCUAGAGCAAACGGCGUGGUGCGUUCGCUUCCCGGGGACGUAGUGAGCAUGUUGGUGGUGCUGGGGCGAGCGGGAGAGCGCAGGAGCAUCGAGCUCGUCGGCCAUGCCGCCGACCGAAGUUCGGGAGAUGAUGGGAGCGACACUACAAGGCAUGGCAGGACGAAAGGCUGGGUGUUCCGGGCUUCUGGAAGCGUUCUAAGCGCGAUGACACAACCGGGCGCGAGCCUCAGUGGCUAAAACGACGGUAGCAACAUAGCCGACAACGAGGAGCUAUCGGCUCCCGUGAGAACGAGGCUACAUGGCGCGAACUAGGUGGGGAAAAGAGGGGUUCGGAGCGGGAGCUCACACCGGUCACGUAGAGAAGCUCAGUGGGCUCGGGGAAGGCCGAACGACGACGUAUUUGACGACGGCGAUCGUCGAGGCAGAGGUUGAUGAUGACGGCGAUGGCAACAUUCUAGGCCGUCCGCCGUUGUACAGCUCGAUGGAGAGGACGAGGGGAACGCGGCGGUGCGUCUGGGAUCAGCGGCUGGGCGAGGGGGGGGGUGCGGUAGCCAUGGCGGCAGCGAACGGCAGCGAUGGCUCCGCUCGGCUUCGGGAAAGAGAGCGAGAGAGGUGAGGCAGGGAGAGAGGGGAGCAGUCGAGGGGGUUCAGGGUGCUGCGUGGCGGCUUUAGGAGCAUCUCCUGCGUCGGCAGAAGCAGGAGGUGGCCGCGCGUGUGCCAGCGCACGGCGAGCACGCGCCCUCCUGCCCACUGGCAGGAGGUGGAGGAUGACAAGCAGUGGGACCUGGUGGGUUGGGCCUCUCUGGUGGGCUGCCAGGUAAGUUUCCUUUCUCUUUUCCUAUUUUUCUUUCUGUUUUCUAUUUAUUUUGCUCUGUUUUGAUUUAGUAAUAAUACUAAACCAUUUUUGUUUCUUCUGAAAUUAUUUGUGGAUGCAAUAUGGACUAGCCCAAAGCCCCACAAUAUUGUUCAGAAUGAUUGGAGUUAUAAAAGUAUUUAUAGGAAUUUAUAACCCCAAGUCAAAUACAAUAUGAAUUAAUUCAAAAAUCCAAAAAUGUCCUAGAAAUAUAUUCAUCAUUUUUGGCAGAGGUUUCUACCUUAACCAAGAAUCAUGAACUUUUCUUGAGGCACUUUGGGUUCAUUGAAAAUGUUUUUAAGUUGAACUUAGUUGAGUUCUUUUAGUGCUAGGGAUUGAUCACCCCUAUUUCAAAUUCAGAUAAAAUUUAAACAUGAUGCAACACCAGAUGCUAGCACUAGGCAUUACCAAAACUAGGGAUGUGACAACUCACCCCCACUAAACAAGAAUCUCGCCCCCGAGAUUCAAGACGUGAGGUAAGAAGACAGGGAGGCACAAAGCUAACACAAACUUCACGAUCCAGGUUGCACUUCAUAAGAACGUUGAUUCGAUCAUCAUCCUUGUCUUGACAUCUUGUUCUGAGAACUCCAUCGAGCAUGACAACGAGAAGAAAGGGAAAACUCUAGAAGAAUCAAUCUUCAUGAAGAUCGAGCAACUGAUGAUCAACUCACGGAAUGAGAUGUUCAACAUCUCUCGAGCUAAGACACGAAACAUACAUCCAAAGGGAUGGAGUGUAACAAAGAAUGAAGAUUCAAGUUGAGAAGCACAAUUCCACGCUGAAUAACAUGGUGCAUGGUUUUAAGAUAACGAGAAGUUAUCUGCCAUGAUUCCAUAAUGAGACAUCUUAAGGAAGGUGACUCGCAGAAAUAUCCCUUAAGUGGCAAAAAGAAUUACUUUUGAUUCAUAGAUCAUUGAGACUCUUUAUACCAACCUAAGGCAAUCACAAAUGAUCAUUUGAAGGAGUUCAAAAGAAUGACAUACUCGGACUAGAAUGGAUGAUGUGGACUACCUUGUUGAAGAAAACACAAUGGAUGAUUUUGCUUAUCAUCGAAAAUGGAUGGGACCCAUGGUAAGUCCACUUUGGAAGAUGAUCUUGGACAACAACUGCUGAGAAGGGCAGCCCAUGGGGGAUUGGCACAAUGGCGGUGUAAGCUGGGAACAAAAUGCAAAUGCUAGGAAUGAUCCAACCAUCAUAUUUGCCUGAGAUUCAGAUCUGGUUGGUAACGGAAUAUUUCAAACAACAUGUCUGGAAAAGGAAAGGUAGCAACACAAAUCGACGAGAUGACGCUGCGAGAUUCUCAAGAGAUGAACUACGAUAGCAAGCUCCAAAACAUGAGCUGGUUAUGCUACAUACAUGUGAACAUGAUGUCCCAGACAAGCAUGAACACAUAGUAGUCUUACCACGAAACACUACCGAGUUCUGGUGGGAACCAUCAAUGAGGAUACCGAAGUCCUUUCAUAAGUCCGGAUUAGCUCUUAUGACGGAACUCUUUCUCCUUGAACAAACCAGUUAGUGGCUUGGUGUACUAGGAGGUGCACAUGGAAUGGAGGUAGCGAGCCUGUCAAACCAUAGCAUACUUCGCACGUGUAUGACUGACUUGGGAUGAUUUCCAGAGGAAGCAACAUUGACUUUCUUGAAUUCAUAGUAGCAACUUGCAUCAAAUGCACAUGUAUUCGAGGAAGUCACUUCUGUCAUCCGAACAUAUGCUUCAUGAACGGGACAUGAGGGCAAUGCUUAUAAAGUUUCCAACACUACUUAGAUGUUCGACCUGAAUCAUGGACAAGAUAAGAAUGUUGUCGAUGGGCUCAACAACAAUUCAUCCAGGUUCCCAUGAAGAUGGAAUUCCACGACUAUGUGAACAAGGUGAUAGCAUUGGUCAGCCCAAAGGAUGUAAUGGUGUAUGCCCGAGGAAUCAACCUCGAGUAAGACAACAUUACGAACAUCGUUGGUUCUGAUUUGAUUUGAGGAUAGCCCACACUCAAAUCAAAGUUAGGACAAGACAAUAGAUCCAACAACUGAUCACAAGGACCAAUCGAUGAAGAUAUCAUCUUUCUUCAACACACACACAGAGAAGAUAUCCCUUAGAGAUGAACUAAGUUAAGCAAAGCUUCUACCUUCCAACUCUCCAAGUUGUUGUCUAGCUCAACCAACUAGCUCAGGGCUAUCCCACACAGAUUCUUGGAGAAAAGGCUAGUUACAACAAACCAACUUGAUCACGAACUCAACAUAGCGGUCAGGUGAUAACCUGGUGAUCUCUCCGAGAAGAUAUUCGGAAAAUCAUGAACCACCGAUAAGUUACUAAGACCGAGAACAAUCUUGCUUUUCAGGGAAAGACGAUAUGAUCAAUAGAGCAAGGGUUUGACAAAAUCCUAACUCAUUGAUCGAAGAGUGCACCAGGAAUAAGGAUUAGGUAGCACGAUCAAUCUUAGGAUGAUGAUUCAACAACCAGCACGCUAAGAGUGAGAGUAAUGUCCAUCAACUACCAAGCAACGAGGUUGCUAGGAGUAUUGAUUUCACACAUCACAGUUCACUUGUCGGUAUUCCGGUUACAAAAACACAGAGACUGAAGAAUGAACGAUGAUGGUGAGAGGUAUCACUGCACCAAGAAUUCAUAGGAUGGUGUGCAAUUCCUAUGACUUUCCUGACAUAAAGGUGGUAAUACUCCAGGGUAGAAGAUAAUAAAAGCUAGAUUGGCAUUUUGAUCUGCGGAAUACAACUGCUUUGACCCAAUCCUAGAUAUGGAUGAGGUACUGGAGUUUGUUUCUCCUAGUCAUUCUGAAAUAGAACGGCUCGACGGACCAUAAGAAUAAUAGGCACCGAUGAACGAAUGCUCACAUACUCUUGACUAUCAAUUGAUAGAUGAAGGUCGGAGUAUAACUGAAGGGGGACAACUCAAAGGAACAUAUAACUUUCUGAGUUGCAGAUGCAUAGCUUAGUUUGUUGAAUGAGUUCAACAUAUUUCUUCCGGAUAACCCAUGCAGGAAGGUAGAACUGGCAGAAUCACAACUAUGAAUGGAGAACUCCUCAGGAGUACUCUAAUGGUGAUCUUUUGGUUCAAAGAACUUCUGCCUUAAUGGUUCAUGGCAUUUGUAAGAAGGAAAUACCACGGACCUCGAGGACUAUUGCAAAGGUUACUAAUAUCCUAAAGGAACUAGCAACAAUAUCAACACGAAGUGAACAUAGUGAUUCUUGGGUCAAGAACAGAGGAGUAGAAUACCUACUACUAAAUGGCAUCAUGGGAUGCUUUCAAGAAUGAUGGCCAGAAUCAUCACACUGGGGAUACGAAAGCAUUGCUAAAUUCUCGAGGACACCUAAGGUCAUAAUACUAACUCUAACAUACAUGUCAAGGCAAUGAAGUACCUCAACACACCGAUUAGUGUGCUUAAUCUGGCCCAAAAAUACAACGGAACAUGGAGGAAAGAUUUGCAAGUGCAUCAGACUAUUUGGAAACCUGGGAUGACUCGGACAGCAUAACGGCUGUAAUUGCUCAAAAAGAUUUGAGACAACCUGAAAAAAUGGUGGCAUAGCCACUCAACAUCACAAACUCAAGGUUCUGAGGCCAGCUAUGAACAUAUGGAAGUAGUAGGAACUGAACUGAGGCUUGAACUCAACAAUCCUAGGCAACUAUGGUUUAGUAACACGCCAUCCUGACAGAUAGAAGAGAAGCCUAGUUCUUAACCCCGUAGAAAAGAUAAGAUGACUCAGAUCAGAAGGUCAUGAGGAUAAGGAGUAAAAAUAGCCUUAUGUUCCCAUGCAUAAUCAAUUCCCUUAUAUAACUAAAGCAUUUCUAGACACGACUUCGACCAGCUUGGCUUGGUAAUCCUACAGGCAGUCGGGCUCUGAUACCAAAGCUGUCAGGACCCCGAUUCUAAGUCACACUGAUCUAGCCUGUAACACCUCAUAUCACUUUGCGGCCUCACGCACGGUAUCCCCACGGGUAUCGCCUUACCUUGGCCCGGGACCGUUUGCGCCUUUUGGCUCACGUAUAUGAUAGUGUCGCUAGCAUCCAUAUGACAGAGAACCCAGGCCAACAUCACUAGUCGUGAACCCAAAGUGCCACUAACUUACGGGGACAGGCAUACAUGAAUCAACAUCGAGCAUGUCGGUCAGCAGCAUGUGAACCCGGGCUGUAGCAACUGGGCUAACAGGACUCCGAGAACCCGGGCUGUAGCAGGCUACCAGGACUCCGGAUGCCACCGCGUGACAUUUCCCCAAAGGGACAAACACAGGGACGAAGUGAAUCACAUGCCGACCAGUCUAAGUGUUCCGGAGCAGUAGUGUUGGGCUAGCAGGACUCCGGUGAACCGGGCUGUAGCGGACUACUAUGGCUCAUGGAAGCACAAGCCUACAUUUCCCCAUAAGUGAGGCUACCAAGGAUAAACAACUAGGUUGUCGGAUCCCACACAUACCAAGCAUUUCAAUCAUACACACAAUAUGCUCAAUAUGUGCAAUACAACAUGGCAUCACAAUAAGACUCUACGACUCAGAGUAUUUAUUCAUUAGGCUCCAAGGAGCGAGAUAUUACAAACAUGGGUCUCAUGACCCAACAUAUAGAGCAUACAAGCAACAAGCACAUGCGGAAGCUUAACUUGUCUGAGUACAGACAACUACAAAUGAAGAAGGCUGAGAAGCCUGCCUAUCUACAAGACCCUCCCAAGGGUACAAGAUCGUAGCUGAGGUAACGAGCUAAACAUCAAAGUCCAUGCGGAACUACUAGUGAGACUGAAGUUUCUACGCAAAAACAUAAAUUACGCAAACAUGAGUACAUAUGUACCCAGCAAGACUUAAAUCAGAACUAACUACAUAUGCAUCGGUAUCAACAAAGGGGGUGGUGGAGUUUAACUGCAGCAAGCCAGCUUUGACUUAGUGGCUAACCUAAACUAUGACUGCAAGUAACUCUUUUGAGGUGGCGCACAUGAGUCCACAAAUUCACCAUACCAAUACACCACUAUGGAUCUGCUCAUGUCUCCCUGCGAGAACGCCAUCCAUAGCACUCACACUUAUCUUGCGCAUUUUGGAGCAUCCACUUUCACUUGUCUAUGAACUAUGCAAGGGGUCCAAGUUUCCAUAUCCGAGGAAUCCGGCUAUUCGAAUAGAUAAUUAUAACCCUGAAGGGGGGGGUACUUCUUCACACACGCUCUCGCCACUUACCACCAUGUACACGUCGUGUAUCUCGGCAACCUUCAAGAGGAAGCCUGGUGAGGGAGUCGACCAUGACCUGACUAACCACACAAGUCUCUAGUCUAGGUUUAUCGCCUAUUCGGGUUCCAUCCGCAAGGAGAUCCUGCCGGGGUGUCGCUCACGGCCCCAAACAAUGUGAGCAGGGUUCCCAAGCCCACCAUCCAGGUGCCACUUGGUACACCGUGCCACUGUGCCUAGUCUGUCCCAAGCCCACAUGCACCGGGUGCCACUUGGUAGACUACUAACACAACCUACAAACACCAGAAACUAGUUGCAACUCCUAGACAGAGAUCAGGUUGAUUAAUAAGUUGAGAGAGCUUGGAGCGCCCGGAGCCCAAUGUGUGGUAGUAACAGUUCAUGGAUCACAAACACAAAACUCAGUUCCUGAGGAUGGCUGCAAUGAGACAACCCACCAUGUACUCCUACAUCGCCUCUCACCACUACCUUUACCAAAUCGUCUUCACACACUUAGCUCUCAACAGCAGGACAUGUUCACCACAUUCCAAUUCAUCCCCGAUGAAUCAGACCUCAACUCUAAGCAGUAGCAGGCACAUCAGGGCUCAAACAAUUCCUACUCAUGCUAGUGGGUUUCAUCUAUUUACUGUGGCAAUGACAGGUAAUGCAGAGGAAAGGGGUUCAACUACUGCAGCAUGUAACAGUUGAAUCGCUGUUGUCCUAAUGCAGUAAAAGACAGCAGGAGCGAGAUAGUGGGAUUGUAUCAGAAUGAACAAGGGGGUUUUGCUUGCCUGGCACUUCUGAAGAUGAUAUAGCUCUUCAUCGGUGCAAUUGGUCACAUCGUCGAAACAUAUGUCUACCGAGGGGGAACAAUCACCGGCAAACACAGAAAGAAUACAAUCAAUGCAAUGCACAAUAUGGUGCAUGAUCAUGACAUGUCAAUAUGCUAUGAUUGAGCUAAUGCAGCUAAGAACAGAAGGGUUUGAGUUGAUUUGAACUCAAGGUUCAAAUUCAGAUUCAAGCUAUGAAUUCAAAUAGUGCAUAAUCAUGUUUUGAACUAAACAGUGAGGUCAAGUUGUUUAAACAUGCAUGAAACCAGUACAGAUGGAUAGAUUGGAUUUUCUGAUCAUUUUUCAUUUAUAAAUUAUUUCAUUUGGAGUUAUAGAUUAUUUUCUAUGAAUUUUUGAAGUUUAUACAAUUUUCUGGAAUUUCCUGAAUUAUUUUAAAUCCAGAAAAUGUUUAACUGCGUCAGCAUUGUGCAAGCAUGAUGUCAGCGAGUCAACUACGACUGUCCAGGUCAAGCCUGACCAAUGGGUCCCACUGGUCAGUGACAGAGUGCUGGUUAGGGUCAAUGACAGGUGGGUCCAGUCAACGCUGACUAGGCCAAGGUCAAACUGACACGUGGGCCUUAAGUGGUUAGCUAAAACUAAACAUGAACUAAACUUUGAUUAAAUAAGGGCGUGGGGCCCAACUGUCUGUGUCAAUGUGGUUAAUUAACUAGGUGAUUAAACCCUAAUUAAGCAGCCACGUCAUCAUCACCAGAUCUACGCCGGUGAUGACCAAACCGACGGUGAGAGCUCACCGGACUCGCGUUAGGGAUGGCAUUUUGUCGCGCUGCUGGCACCAGGGAGGUCCUCUCGCUCGUUCCCAUCCAAAGGACCGGACGGGAGGCCGCGGGGUGGCCAGAAACGAUGCCGGCGACAAGGUUUAGCGGCGGCGAAGCUCAGGUUCGAGCGGGUGCGGGGUUUCAGCACGAGCUAGAGCAAAUGGCGCGGCGCGUUCGCUUCCCGGGGACGCAGUGAGCAUGUUGUUGGUGCUAGGGUGAGCGAGAGAGCGCAGGAGCAUCGAGCUCCUCGGCCAUGAUGGUGGCCGGAGUUCGGGAGACAACGGGAGCGACACUACAAGGCACGGCAGGACGAGAGGCUGGGUGUUCCGGGCUUCUGGAAGCGUUCUAAGCGCGAUGACAUAACCAGGAGCGAGCCUCAAUGGCUAAAACAAUGGCGGCAACAUGGCCGGCGGCGAGGAGCUAUCGGCUUCGGUGAGAACGAGGCUACAUGGUGAAAACUAGGUGGGGAAGAGAGGGGUUCGGAGCGGGAGCUCUUAGCGGUCACGUAGAGAAGCUCAGUGGGCUUGGGGAAGGCCGGACGACGACGAAUUUGACGACGGCGAUCGUUGGGGCAGAUGUUGAUGACGACGGCGAUGGAGAUAUUCUAGGGAGUCCGUCGUUGUACAGCUCGGUGGAGAGGACGAGGGGAACACGGCGGUGCUUCUGGGAUCAGCGGCAGGGCGAGGGGGGUGCGGUAGCCAUGGCGGCAGUGAACGGCGGCGACGGCUCCGCUCGGCUUCGGGAGAGAGCGCGAGAGAGGCGAGGCAGGGAGAGAGGGGAGCGGUCGAGGGGGUUCAGAGUGCUGCGUGGCGGCUUCAGUAGCCUCUCCUGCGUCGGCAGAAGUAGGAGGUGGCCGCGCGUGUGCCAGCGCGCGGCGAGCACGCGCCCUCCUGCCCACUGGCAGGAGGUGGAGGAUGACUGGCAGAGGGACCUGGUGGGUUGGGCCUCUCUGGUGGGCUUCCAGGUAAGUUUCCUUUCUCUUUUCCUUUUUUUUCUCUCUGUUUUCUAUUUAUUUUGCUCUGUUUUGAUUUAGUAAUAAUACUAUACCAUUUUGUUGCUUCUGAAAUUAUUUGUGGAUGCAAUAUGGACUAGCCCAAAGCCCCACAAUAAUUUUCAGAAUGAUUGGAGUUAUAAAAGUAUUUAUAGGAAUUUAUAACCCCAAGUCAAAUACAAUAUGAAUUAAUUAAAAAAUCCAAAAAUGUCCUAAAAAUAUAUUCAUCAUUUUUGGCAGAGGUUUCUACCUUAACCAAAAAUCAUGAACUUUUCUUGAGGCACUUUGGGUUCAUAGAAAAUGUUUUUAAGUUGAACCUAGUUGAGUUCUUUUGGUGCUAGGGAUUGAUCACCGCUAUUUCAAAUUUAGAUAAAAUUUAAACAUGAUGCAACACCAGAUGCUAGCACUAGGCAGUACCAGAACUAGGGAUGUGACAAUGCCAAAGGCACCACAAGUAAGUAUUUCAAGUAUACUCAAGCAUCUAAGCUUGGGGAUGGUUCGGUUGGCAUCCCAUCUUUCUUCUUCAACAAUUAUCGGUAUACCUCGGUUUUUGUUUUGUUCACAUAAUUUGCGCCCUUUGUGUUUUUGUUUUUCCUUUAAGAAAUAUGCUAGUAUGAGAUAGCCCUUUAUUUAUUUGUAGAAUACUUCAUGUGCUUCACUUAUACCUUUUAAGUAUGAUCUUAUAGAAUUGCUCUUUGUGCUUCACUUAAAUCUUUUGAGUAUGGUUUAUAGAAUGCUUCGUGUGCUUCACUUAUAUUUUUUGAGCUUGGAUAUUGGUUAGUCUAUAUUAAUUGUAGGAUGCUCCAUGAACUUCACUUAUAUCUUUUGGAGUAUGAAUAAUACUAUCAUCUAAAGUGGAUUUAGAAGAAGGUUGCUCCCACUCUUCCGAAUGAGAGAAAUUUUGCUUAUGAGAAGACUACUAAAAUUUGUAUGCUUAUAGAUCAUGAACAGAAUGCUUUAUGUGCUGGUUAUAUCAUUGAACUCAUUCAUGAUGCUACUGAAAAUUAUUAUGAGGGAGGAAUACAUGCUUGUAGGAGUUGCAAUAAUAUUAAGUUUCCUCUCUAUGUGCUUAAAGUUUUGAAGUUAUACUUGUUUUGCCUUCCUAUGCUAGUUGAUUCUUGUUCCCAUAAAUUGUGUGCUCACAAAAUCCCUAGGCAUAGAAAGUGGGUUAGAUUUAAAUGUUCUAGUCAUAUCCUUCAUGAUGCUCUUUUUAUGUUUCAAUUCUUAUCUUUUAUGUGAGCAUCAUUGAAAUCAUUAUGCCUAGCUAAAAGGCAUUAAAGAAAAGCGCUUGUUGGGAGACAACCCAAUAUUACACUUACUGUUUUUGUGUGUUCUCAUGAUUAAUCUACUGUAUUAAUCAUGUAUUAUAUCUUUUGUUUCAAUAAAGUGUCAAGCAAGACCUUUGGGAAGACUUGGGUGAAAGUUAAUGUGAUCUUGAUGUUAAAAACAGAAACUUUGCGCUCAUGAGAUUAGCUGUAAUUUUUUACAGAAGAGUGUGAUUGAGUUGAUUCUUUUUAAGAAGAAUAAUAGACAAAUUCCUCACGUCCACCAAAUUAUUUCAGAAUUUUUGGAGUAGAAGAAGUAUGGUUUUUGUUCAGAUCAUUACAGACUGUUCUGAUUCUGACAGAUUCUGUUUUCAUUGCUUAGUCUGCUUGUUUUCUAGUUUCUGUGGCUCAUAUUUCUCAAUAUAAAUUGUAGAAAUGAUUUGGUACAGUAGGAAUUGUGUGAGAACAAUUAUGAACCUUGUCUUCUAUAGUACCAUAGGGAUGGUUUACUCUUUAUCAUACUAACCUAUCUCACGAAGUUCUGUUAAGUUUUGUGUGAUUGAAGUUUUCAAGCUUUGGGUGAGAUAUCGAUAUGAGGAGAAUAAGGAGUUGAAAGACCCUAAGCUUGGGGAUGCCCAAGGCACCCCAAGGUAGAAUUCAAGGAAGACUUAAGUGCCUAAGCUUUGGGAUGCCCCGGAAGGCAUCCCCUCUUUCGUCUUCAAAACUAUCAGUAUACCUUACUCGAAGCUAUAUUUUUAUUCAUCACAUGAUAUGUGUUUUGCUUGAAUCGUAUUUUCAAUUUUACUUGCUGUCUGAAUAAAAUCAUUGGAUCUGAAAUCUUGAAUGAAAAAGAAUCCUCCCAUGGCUAUUUAAUUAUUUGACUACUCAGUAUUCUUCACUUAUACCUUUUUGGAGUAGUUUGUCACUUACUCACGUGCUUCACAUAUAUCCUAUGAGUAAAUGGUUGAAUGAAUUGAAUAUCAUAAAUUUGAAUUUUGUCACACCCUAGCUGGUUCAUGCAUUAGAGUGUUGCAUCAUGUCUACUUUUACAGAAACUUGAAAUGGGGAUGACAGAACCCCCAGCACCCCCUGGAAACAACCAGGGUUUACUAAAAUUAUUUUCAAUGAACCCAAAAUGCCCUUCACAAAAUGUUCAUCAUUUCUGGAUUGGGUUAAAACCCCUGGAAAAAUGAUGCACUCCUUUCUAGGAAAUUCUGGAUUGUUUGAAUUAAAUCAUAAGUAUUUGAAUUUGGGCAUUUAAAUGCUAUAAAAUAUUUUAAAUGCCCAAAUAAUUCUGGAUUUAAGUGAGGGCUGUUAGGAAUAAUCCCAACAGAGCCCACAAUUAUUUUCAGGAUUUUAGUAAGUGCCUAAGUAUUUUUAAUAAAGCCCUAAAGUUAUAGAAAAAUAGAAAAAGAAAACAAAACAGGAAAAGAGAGAAAGAGAAAGGCUUACCUGGCGCCCACCCAGCAGGCCCACCUGCCGGCCCAACCCAGCCACCGCUCUAGUGAGCUACUUGGCUUGGCCAGGCAGGCAAGCAGCUGCUCGACGGUGAGCACAUCAUGCGUGCCAUGCCGCUGCCCGCUGCCUCGCCGCUCCCCUCAUCGAGCUGUCGACGUGGGACGAACCCCCUCUCUCUCCCCGACUCCGCAGACACUCGCUCUCCCCUCUGGCUCCUCUCUCUCGCCCUCCCUGACGACGCCCGAGCCGUCACCGUCAUCGCCGCUCACCGCAGCCACGUCCAACACCAUCCCCGCGCCCUCUCACCUUGUUCGGAUGGUUCACCAUCGUCGACUACGUCGACUAGCCAAGCCGCAUGACGCCGGAGCCCCUGCAUCAUCCCCACCGCCGUUGUCUUCAACCUCGGGCUGCCGAGAUCGCCGUCACCGUUCCGACCGCACCGAGCAUUCCCCGAGCACGCUGACUGUCUCUGUGGCUUCCCAGUGAGCUACGGCUCCUCCCCCCUCUCUUCGCUUCAUCGCUAGAGCUCUGUAGCCGUCGUGCCUUUUCCGUCCGAACGCACCGCCGCCUGAGCUCGUCACCGACGUAGCUCCGGCCGCUUAGCAGUCCCGCUAGCACGUCCAGCGUGCUCACCACAUCGUGUACAUGCUAUAGGUGCAAGUGCCACGCCGCCUAGGCCACUGCAGCCAUGUGCACGAGCUGACCCGAGCUUCGGCCUCCGCCAAGCUCGUCGCCGGUGAUGCUCCGGCCACUCCCCGGCCAAGCCAUCACCACGGCUGGAUGCGGCGAGCACCAGCUGCCCGUAGCUGCUCUUCGCGCAGCAAAUGGUGCCCUGUGGGCAAAUCCUGUAGCACACCGCCACGUCUGGCCUCGCCGGCGGCUAAACGCCGGUAGGCUUUGACCCGCUGACCGGCGAGUUGACCACGUCUGACCCAUGUGGGCCCAAGUUGACUUCCCCCCUGAGCCAGUGACAGGUGGGGCCGACCUGUUAAUUAGUUUAGGAUUAGUGCUAACUAAUUUUAGUUAGUUUAGGUCACUGACAUGUGGGCCCAGGCCCCACUGACACUUAGUUAGUACUAACUUAAUUCUGUUAGUUAGCUGAGACACUGACAGACAGGGCCCACCAGUCAGGUUUGACUGGCCCUGGCGCCUUUGACUCGCUGACGUCACAAUGACGCAGUGCUGACGCAAUUAUUCAUUUUCUGGAUUUAUUUUUUAUAUAGGAAAUUCCAGAAAAUAGCCAAAACUUCUAAAAAUCAUAGAAAAUCAACCAUAGCUCCAAAUCAAACAAAUUAUAUAUGAAAAAUGAUCAGAAAAAUACAAUCUAUCCAUAUGUAAUGGUUUCAUGCAUGAAAAACCACUUUAACUUUGUUGGUUAUGUGAAACAAGCUAACACACUCAUUAUGCAUAAGAACUUUAACCUUCAUUUCAAUCUUUGAUUCAAAUGGGCCCAUUUCAACUUGUUUCACAUUGCAUUAGGCAAGACACGUCAUUUUGCCAUGUCAUAGCAUGCAUCAUAUUGUUGCAUAUUUUCAUGUGUUGAUUAUGUUAUGUGUGUCCUUCGUGGUAGGUCCUGCCUCCGAGGUUAUCUCCGAGUAUCCAACUGAAGGGCAGUACCCUACUACCACUCCAUCAGGCAAGCAGCCCCAUUGAUCAUAUCGAUACAAUCCCAUGUUCUUGCAUCUGCUCUGAUUUACUGCAUUAAGACAACAUCGUUUCAAACUACUGUGUGCUACGGUAGUUGAACCCUUAUCCUCUGCAUGACCUGUCAUUGCCACAGUAACUAGAUGAAACCCACUAAGGGCAGUACCCUACUACCACUCCAUCAGGCAAGAAGCCCCAUUGAUCAUAUCGAUACAAUCCCAUGUUCUCGCAUCUGCUCUGAUUUACUGCAUUAAGACAACAUCGUUUCAAACUGCUGUGUGCUACGGUAGUUGAACCCUUAUCCUCUGCAUGACCUAUCAUUGCCACAGUAACUAGAUUAAACCCACUAGCAUGUGUAGGAGUUGAUUGAGCCAUGUUUGUGUUUCCUACCUUGCUAUGCCUGCUAUGCUUAGAGUUGUGUCAGGUCUGGUUCACCUGGGUGAUGGGCUAGAGUGAAAUAAUUAUGUUGGUAAUGUGAGGGAUGUGUUGAACAUGUUUUGGUAAAGGUAUCGAUGAUAGGGCAUGUAGGAGUACAUGGUGGGUUGUUUCAUUGAGGCCGUCCCUAAGAACAGAGAUCUCUAUGUGUGAUUUAAGAUUUAGUUACUACCAUACAUUGGGCCCGAAACCAAUGGACCCUCUCGGCUUCUUAAUCACCGUAGUACUCUAUCUAGGAGUUGCAAUUAGUUUCUGGUGUUUGUAGGUUAUGUGUUGGCGGCCGUGCGUAGCGCUGACCCUAGGGGUGGGCUAUGUUGCGGUAGAUACACCAUGGCACGGUGUACCGAGUCACCCGUUUGGUGUCUCGGGAACCCUGUUCACAUCGUUCGGGUCCGUAUGUGGAAACCUCGGCCAGACUCCCUACGGAUGGAACCUGGAUGGUGAUAAACCUGGACUAUAGACUUGAGUGUUUCGGUAGGCCGUGGCCGACACCCUCGUUGGGCUUCCGCUUGAAGGUUGCCGAGUACAUGUCGUGUAAACAACGGUAAGUGGUGAGAGCGUGUAUGAAGAAGUACACCCCUGCGGGGUUAACAUCAUCUAUUCAAAUAGCCGCGUCCGUGGUAAAGGACCACUUGGUUGCCUAUACAGUUCAUAGACAAGUUAAUGGAUACUACUAAAAGACUCAAGAUAAGUGUGAGUACCGAGGAUGGCUCUCUCGUAGGAUGACGAGGGAGGAUCUCCAGUGGAUUAUUGUGUUGGUGAUUAGUGGACUCGUGCGCAAAAACUAUUUGACUAGUGGUGUCCCGUAGGAUAGCUUAGCCAAGAGUCAAAGCUGGCUUGCUGCAAUAACUCCACCACCUUCUUGAGAAUGAGCAUGUAUAGUAGGUUCUGAUGUAAGACUUGCUGAGUACCUUUGCACUCAUGUUUGCUUAAUUACUGUUUUCGGACGACAACACCGCCCCCUCCGAUGGGUUUUAUGUAGAUCUCGACGUGGAUGAGUGACUUGCCACCCAGGUGGUGAUCCUGACCAUGGAGGGCCCUAUGUAGAUAGACAGGCUUCGAGAAGCCUUCUUGCUUUCUAGUGUCUGUACUCAGACUAUUUGCUUCCGCAUGUGCUUGUAUGCUUGUAUGACUUGAGUGUCGGGUCAUGUGACCCCUACCUAUAUGAACAUGUUAUGUAUGGCUCUCUGGAGCCUUUAAAUAAAGUACUUGAAUUGUAGAGUUUUGUUGUGAUGCCAUGUUGUAUUUGCACAUAUCAAGCAUAUUGUGUGUAUGAUUGAAAUGCUUGGUAUGUGUGGGUUCCGACAAUCUAGUUGCUUAUGCUUGGUAGCCUCUCUUAUGGGGAAAUGUAGUCUAGUGCUCCUUGAGCCAUAGUAGUCCGCUACAGCCCGGUUCACCGGAGUCCUGCUAGCCCAGCACUACUGCUCAGGACACUUGACUGGCCGGCAUGUGUUUCACUUUGUUCCUAUGUCUGUCCCUUCAGGGAAAUGUCACGCGGUGACUUCCAGAGUCCUGUCUAGCCUGCUACAGCCCGGGUUCCCCGAAGUCCUAUUAGCCCAGUGCUACAGCCCGGAUUCACACGUUGAUGACCGGCAUGCUCAAUGUGAUUCAUGUAUGCCUGUCUCCAUAGGUCUGUGCCUCUUUGGGUUCACGACUAGCCAUGCCGGCCCGGGUUCUCUAUCAUAUGGAUGCUAGCGACACUAUCAUAUAUGUGAGCCAAAAGGCGCAAAUGGUCCCGGGCCAUGGUAAGGCAACACCCGUGGGGAUACCGUGCGUGAGGCCGCAAUGUGAUAUGAGGUGUUACCGGUUAGAUCGAUGUGACUUGGAAUCGGGGUCCUGACAGCGUUGGCAUCAGAGUCGGACUGCCUGUAGGUUCGUUGAGCCAAACUGGUCGAUGUCGAGUCUAGAAAUUCUUUAGUUAUAUGUAGGGAAAUUGAUUGUGGGAGGGAACGUGAGGCUCUUUUACUCCUUUACCUUAUGCCCUCUGAUCUGAGUCAUUCUAUUCUCAUUCAACGUGGGUUAAGGACUAGGCUCUCUUCUUCUAUUAGGUUCACGUGUUACUAAUCCGUAGUAGCUUAUAGGAUUGUUGUUACAAGCCUCAGUACAGUUUCUACUACUUUUAGUAUGUUGCCAGUUGAAUCAGAAACUUGAUAUGAUGUUGUUGAGUGGUAUUGCAAAUUGUUGUGGAUGUCUCAAAUCUUUUUCUGAGCAUUUACAGCCGUUAUGCUGUCCGAUUUCCCCUAGAAAAUUCUAAUGCCUUUGCAUUAUUCUGUUCUUUCAGAUGGCCACCCUUUCGCAGAAUCAAGUGGUUCGUCUGACCCGGUGCCUUGAUGUGCCCGGCCACACGGCCAUGUUGGUUCGAGUGAUGGUUGAGUCAGGCUAUCGGUGGUAUCCGGAAUAUACCAUCGAGGAGCAGUUCAGAGACUUCAAGCAGAGCCAGUACCUCUAUACCGUCAGGAUAUAUCCCUCUUAUCCUGGAGCCACUGAGCCCCUUCACUGUUCCUAUGGACUUGGUGUCACUAUUGAGAUGUCUGUCCAGGAUGCAGCCUAUUCAAUGAUCACUAUCAUUCGAGCCAGGACUGCCUUACUACAGAACACUGAUUUCCGAUACAUGCCAGCCUCACUUCGCGGAGCACAGGGGUACUAUCAGGCCUUGUACUAUGACUCUACACAUGAGGAGUCACUACUCCGCACCACUGCCGAGAUGCUCGAGGAUAAGGACCGCGAAAAUCGGGCCUUGCGUAUGGAGCUUUUCCACACUCGUUCUGAUCAUUGGGCCACUUUGACUCGAUUUGCACCUGCGAUGCAGGCAGGAUACAUGGAGAUGAGGGAUCUGUCCCCUGUACAGUCUGGAUUGCCAGAUUGUAUGGAGUGGCGUGAUGUAGGAGGCAUCACCCCUCCUCGUGGUCCCCGUCUGCCACCACCUGUGGGACCAAGGCCACAUCCGAGUCCCUAUGGUCCGUAGGCUCCGCAGGACCGUCUGUUCCCAGAUGAUCAUGUUCCACUUCCAGGCCUUGGUGGCGACUUCUAUGAGACUACGGAGCCAUCUGAGCUAGUAGUAGUAUCACUAGUAGUGUAAUAGUUGUAUUCUCCACAGUCCCGCGUGACCGUGGGAUACAACUUGGUAUGUAUCAUGCUCCGGAGGUGUAGAAAAAUAAUGUAUAGGAGCUUGGAAUCUCUUCGAUGAGAUGUAAUGUCUUUCACCAUAGUUGUACUCUAGCUUGGGCUUGUACUAAACUAUGUACGGUGUGUAUGACCAAUGGUAUAUAUAUGGCAGUUUCUAUAUUACCAUGUCGUGCAAUGAACAUCUUAGCAUUCCAUGUUAUCCAUUACAUUCUGCACUUCCUUGCUAAGUUUGUGCCAUCUUUAUCUAAACCAUUGCCUUGUUUUCUCCUAGGAUGGUCAACACCCGCAGCAACCCUGCUGCCCUAGAGCAGGGGGAAGCCAGUGCAGUUAGGCGUGAAAAUCCGCCUCACCCGCCUUCUCUGGCCGAAGUUAUGCUGGAGGCAGAAAGAAACAAGCGUGAGACUAACCGCUUGCUGGAGCGGAUUGAGCAGAACACUGCAUGCCAUCAGCAAAAUGACUUGGUGUCAAUCAAUGACUUCAUCAAGUUGUACCCACCAAAGUUCAAUCAUUCCAUCGAGCCCCUUGACGUGGAUGACUGGCUCCGCAGCAUCACACACAAGCUACGUUCUACUAACGUAGCCGAAGCUGAUAAGGUUACCUAUGCUGCCUAUCACCUCGAAGGCCUUGCUAGCCUUUGGUGGGAAAACUUUGAAGCUAUGCACCCGGUCGGCCAAAUCACUACUUGGGCUGAAUUCAGUGAGGCUUUCCAUGAGCAUCACAUCCCGGAAGGUCUCAUAGAUCGCAAGAGGGAAGAGUUCUGCAAUUUCACCCAACGAAGACUGACUGUGGAUGCAUAUAGUCGUGAAUUUGGGAAUCUGGCAUGAUAUGCUCCUGAAGUGGUAUCCACCGACGCUAAGAUGCAGGCAAGGUUCCGUAAGGGACUUAACCCUAAGCUUCGCCGCGAUCUUCAUCUGCACGAGUCUACCUCCUUUCAGAAGUUGGUCAAUAAAGCCAUCAGUGCUGAGACAGGCCAGUCUGACUAUGACGCUUCACGCAAGCACUCUCGUGAUUUUGGCUCUUCAUCCAGCUCUGGAUCUCAGAAGCGCCGGGUGUGGAUUCCAAGCAUGGCACUGCCACCCAGGUUCAUUCCGAGGCCAUCCUUUGAGGUGCCUCGCCCCAACCAGCAGUUUGCACCGUCUAAGCCCUAUGGUGGCCCCGCUGCUAAUGCUGCUCCACGCCCCAAUGUUGUGACAUGUUUCAAGUGUGGACAGCCGGGUCACUAUAGUCGAGAGUGUCCCCAGAACAACAACCCCAAUCAGUCUGGGAACUCCGUUGGCCGUGGUAAGCCAGCGGGAAGCUCAGUCUAUGCCAAGCCGGUCACCACUUCAUGUGGCCAUGUCAACUAUGUCUCAGCCGAGGAGGCUCAUGAGGAUCCUAACGUCGUCCUUGGUACGCUCCUUGUUAAUUGCCAUCCGGCAUCUAUUCUUUUUGAUACUGGAGCAUCUCAUUCAUUCAUAUCUGAGAACUAUGCUCGAUUGCAUAACACGACAUUCUGUGACAUGCCCACUUCCAUGGUAAUUCAAACUCCGGGUUCCAAAUGGCAAACUUCUAGAGUAAGCCAUGGGAACGUAAUUCUUGUCGAUAGACUUGUCUUCCUUGCAUCCUUAAUAGCUCUGAAGUCCUUGGACAUAAACAUCAUCUUGGGUAUGGACUGGAUGUCAGCUCAUUAUGCUAAGAUUGAUUGUGCCACUAGAACUGUUCAACUUACUCACCCAUCGGGCAAGACAGUCAAUGUCUUUACUCGAGUGGCCAAGCGCCAGCUUUAUUCCCUAAAUGCCAACCCCCUUCCAGACCAUGAAGAUAUUCCGGUAGUCCGGGACUUUCCGGAUGUCUUUCUAGAAGAACUACCAGGGGUUCCACCUGACAGGGAUGUCGAGUUUGUGAUAGACCUUGCUCCAGGAACCGUUCCAAUUUCUAGAAGACCCUAUAAGAUGGCACCCUUAGAACUAGUCGAGAUUAAGAAGCAACUCGAUGAGUCCUUGAAAAAGGGUUUCAUCCGUCAUAGUUCCUCCCCUUGGGCUUGCCCCGUCCUCUUCGUUAAGAAGAAGUAUGGAACGGAUCGGAUGGUUGUAGAUUACCGACCUGUCAACUUGGUCACUAUCAAGAACAAGUAUCCACUUCCCAGGAUCAACGAUCUAUAUGACCAGCUCGCUGGAUCCUCAGUAUUUUCCAAGAUGGAUUUGAGAUUGGGCUACCAUCAAAUCAAAAUCAGAAAUAGGGACAUUCCCAAAACAGCCUUUGUUACUCGUUAUGGCCAAUACGAGUACACCGUUAUGUCCUUCGGUUUAACCAAUGCCCCAUCCACCUUCUCUCGGUUAAUGAACUCCGUCUUCAUGGAGUAUUUGGAUAAAUUCGUCGUAGUAUACCUCGAUGACAUACUCAUCUACUCCAAGAAUGAAGAGGAACAUGCCGAACAUCUAAGGCUGGUAUUGAUGAAACUUCGAGAGCAUCGCCUUUAUGCCAAAUUCUCCAAGUGUGAAUUUUGGUUGCCAAAAGUGACCUAUCUAGGCCAUGUAAUUUCUGGUAAGGGUAUUGCUAUCAAUCCCGAGCGAGUUCAAGCCGUCCUUGAUUGGACUCCACCUGAGACGGUCAAGCAAGUUUGGAGCUUCCUUGGCUUAGCGAGCUACUGCCGCCGCUUCGUCGAGAAUUUCUCCAAGGUUGCUAAACCUCUAACUGAACUCCUCAAGAAAGAUAAAAAGUUCGAGUGGACCCCACAGUGUGAGUUUAGCUUUCAGGAACUGAAAAGACGCUUGACAUCUGCUCCCGUACUGGUACCACCAGAUUUCUCCAAGGACUUUAUUAUCUAUUGCGACGCCUCGCGACAAGGACUAGGUUGCAUACUCAUGCAAGAUCGUCAGGUAAUUGCCUAUGCUUCACGGCAACUACACCCACAUGAGGAAAAUUAUCCCACACAUGAUCUAGAGCUUGCAGCUGUAGUCCAUGCACUUAAAACUUGGCGACAUUACCUCCUCGGUAAUCGCUGCGAGAUCUUCACCGAUCACCAAAGUUUGAAAUAUAUCUUCACCCAACCGGAUUUGAAUCUCAGGCAAAGACCUUGGGUCGAGUUGAUCUUGGAUUACGACUUAGGAAUAACUUACACCCCGGGCAAAGCCAAUGACAUGGCGGAUGCACUAAGUCGUAAAUCCUAUUGUAACAACCUGAUGUUACAACAAAGUCAACCACUUCUCCAUGAGGAAUUUCGUAAGCUUAAUCUUCACAUUGUUCCUCGAGGAUUCCUAUCCACCCUAGUGGCGGAACCUACCCUUACGGAUCAUAUCAUCAAGGCACAGAAGGUAGAUCCGGGAAUCUCCCGUAUUAAGAGAAACAUUAAGAAAGGAGUCGUGAAUUGUUUCUCCGUUGAUGAUCAAGGUGUUGUAUACUUUGGAAACCGCUUAGUGGUUUCCAAGGCACGAAACCUGAGGCGGCUGAUCCUUAGGGAACCUCAUGAAUCCCCUCUCACCAUUCAUCCCGGUAGUACUAAGAUGUAUCAAGACCUAAGCCAGAGGUUUUGGUGGACUAGGAUGAAGAGAGAAAUUUCUCAAUACAUUGCUAGUUGUGAUGGUUGUCGUCGUGUUAAAGUAGAGCAUCAAUGGCCUGCUGGCACCCUUCAACCUUUGGCUAUUCCUGAGUGGAAAUGGGAUAAAAUCAGUAUGGAUUUCAUUACUGGGUUUCCCAGGACAAAGAGAGGGAAUAAUGCUAUCUUCGGUGUGAUCAACCGUCUUUCCAAAGUAGCCCAUUUCCUACCUGUUCGUGAGAGUAUCACCGCUAGCCAGCUAGCUGAUUUAUACAUCUCCCGAAUAGUGCCUCUUCAUGGUGUCCCAUUGGAAAUUAACUCACACCGUGGGAGUCUCUUCACCUCUCGAUUUUGGGAAAGUUUCCAAAAUGCUAUGGGAACUCGUCUCUCUUUUAGCACCGCCUUCCAUCCUCAAUCAAGUGGUCAAGUAGAGCAAGUCAAUCAAAUUCUAGAAGAUAUGCUCCGACCUUCUGUCAUCUCAUUCGGAAUGGGUUGGGAGAAAUGACUUCCAUUCACAGAGUUUGCUUAUAACAAUAGUUAUCAAGCUAGCUUGGGCAAAGCUCCUUUCGGAGUUCUCUAUGGACAAAAAUGUUGAACGCCUCUUAACUGGUCAAAAACCGGGGAAAGACAACUCUUUGGCCCGGAUAUGAUUCAGGAAGUAGAAGAGCAGGUUCGUGUUAUUCAUGAGAAAUUGAAAACAGCCCAAUCUCGUCAAAAGAGCCAAUAUGAUCAUAAACAUAAGCUCAUGACUUAUGAAAUUGGCGAGAAGGCUUACAUUCGGGUUACUCCGUUAAAGGGAACCCAUCGUUUCGGUAUCAAAGGCAAAUUGUCUCCUCGUUACAUUGGACCCUUUCACAUUCUUGCCAAACGAGGAGAAGUUGCCUACCAAUUGGAACUACCUUCGCAUCUUUCCAGAGUUCACGAUGUGUUCCACGUUUCUCAACUCAGGCGUUGCUUCGCGGAUCCUAUCCCUGGAGUGGACCACGAAACGCUUGAUCUACAAGAUAACCUCUCAUAUCGGGAAUAUCCCGUUCGUAUCCUUGAUCAAGCCGAGCGUAUCACUCGACGCCAUAACAUCAACUUUCUCAAGGUUGAAUGGUCACACCAUUCCGAAAAGGAAGCCACUUGGGAAAGGGAGGAUCGUCUUCGACUCAAGUACCCCACCUUCUUCCCGGAGGAUCCUAAAUCUCGGGACGAGAUUCUUUUGAGUGGGGGUGAGUUGUCACACCCUAGCUGGUUCAUGCAUUAGAGUGUUGCAUCAUGUCUACUUUUAUAGAAACUUGAAAUGGGGAUGACUUGAAAUGGGGUUUACUAAAAUUAUUUUCAAUGAACCCAAAAUGCCCUUCACAAAAUGUUCAUCAUUUCAGGAUUGGGUUAAAACCCCUGGCAAAAAUGGUGCACUCUUUUCUAGGACAUUCUGGAUUCUUUGAAUUAAACCAUAAGUAUUUGAAUUUGGGCAUUUAAAUGCUAUAAAAUAUUUUAAAUGCCCAAAUAAUUCUGGAUUUAAGUGAGGGCUGUUAGGAAUAAUCCCAACAGAGCCCACAAUUAUUUUCAGGAUUUUAGUAAGUGCCUAAGUAUUUUUAAUAAAGCCCUAAAGUUACAGAAAAAUAGAAAAAGAAAACAAAACAGGAAAAGAGAGAAAGACUAAGGCUUACCUGGCGCCCACCCAGCAGGCCCACCUGCCGGCCCAGCCCAACCACCGCUCCAGUGAGCUGCUUGGCUUGGCCAGGUAGGCAAGCAGCUGCUCGACGGUGAGCACAGCAUGUGUGCCACGCAGCUUCCCGCCGCCUCGCCGCUCCCCUCGUCGAGCUGUCGACAUGGGAAGAACCCCCUCUCUCUCCCCGACUCCGCAGACACUCGCUCUCCCCUCUGGCUCCUCUCUCUCGCCCUCCCCGACGACGCCCAAGCCGUCACCGUCGCCGCCGCUCGCCGCAGCCAUGUCCAACGUCGUCCCCGUGCCCUCUCACCGUGUCCGGACGGUUCGCUGUCGUUGACUACGUCGACUGGCCAAGCGGCAUGAUGCCGGAGCCCUGCAUCGUCCCCGCCGCCGUCGUCUUCAACCUCAGACCGUCGAGAUCGCCGUCGCCGUUCCAACCGCACCGAGCCUUCCCCGAGCACGCUGACCAUCUCUGCGUCUUCCCAGUGAGCUACUGCUCCUCCCCCUUCUCUCCGCUUCGUCGCUAGAGCUCUGUAGCCGCCGUGCCUUUUCCGUCCGAACACACAGCCGCCUGAGCUCGUCGCCGACAUAGCUUCGGCCGCUUAGCGGUCCCGCUGGAACGUCCAGCGUGCUCACCGCAUCGCGUAGAUGAUGUAGAUGCAAGCGCCACGCCGCCUAGGCCACUGCAGCCACGCGCACGAGCUGACCCCGAGCUUCGGCCUCCGCCAAGCUUGGUGCUGGCGAUGCUUCGGCCACUCCCCGGCCAAGCCAUCACCACGGAUGGAUGCGGGCGAGCACCAGCUGCCUGUAGCUGCUCUCUGCGCAGCAAAUGGUGCCCUGUGGGAAAAUCCCGCAGCACGCCGCCACGUCUGGCCUCGCCAGCGGCUAAACGCCAGCAUGCUUUGACCCGCUGACCGGCGAGUUGACCACGUCUGACCCGUGUGGGCCCAAGUUGACUUCCCCCCUGUGCCUAUGACAGGUGGGGCCGACCUGUUAAUUAGUUUAGGAUUAGUGUUAACUAAUUUUAGUUAGUUUAGGUCACUGACAUGUGGGCCCAGGCCCCACUGACAGUUAGUUAGUACUAACUUAAUUCUGUUAGUUAGCUGAGACACUGACAGACAGGGCCCACCAGUCAGGUUUGACUGGCCCUGGCGCCUUUGACUCACUGACGUCACAGUGACGCAGUGCUAACGCAAUUAUUCAUUUUCUGGAUUUAUUUUUUAUAUAGGAAAUUCCAGAAAAUAGCCAAAACUUCUAAAAAUCAUAGAAAAUCAACCAUAGCUCCAAAUCAAACAAAUUAUAUAUGAAAAAUGACCAGAAAAAUUCAAUCUAUCCAUCCGUAAUGGUUUCAUGCAUGACAAACCACUUUAACUUUGCUGGUCAUGUGAAACAUGCUAACACACUCAUUAUGCAUAAGAACUUUAACCUUCAUUUGAAUCUUUGAUUCAAAUGGACCCAUUUCAACUUGUUUCACAUUGCAUUAGGCAGGACAUGUCAUUUUGCCAUGUCAUAGCAUGCAUCAUAUUGUUGCAUAUUGUCAUGUGUUGAUUAUGUUCUGUGUGUCCUUCGUGAUAGGUCCUGCCUCCGAGGAUAUCUCCGAGUAUCCAACUGAAGGGCAGUACCCUACUACCACUCCAUCAGGCAAGCAGCCCCAUUGAUCAUAUCGAUACAAUCCCAUGUUCUCGCCUCUGCUCUCAUUUACUGCAUUAAGACAACAACGUUUCAAACUGCUGUGUGCUACGGUAGUUGAACCCUUAUCCUCUGCAUGACCUAUCAUUGCCAAAGUAACUAGAUGAAACCCACUAGCAUGUGUAGGAGUUGAUUGACACUUGUAUGUGUUUCCUACCUUGCUAUGCCUGUUAUGCUUAGAGUUGUGUCAGGUCUGUUUCAUCUGGGUGAUGGGCUAGAGUGAAAUGAUUAUGUCGGUAAUGUGAGGGAUGUGUUGAACAUGUUUUGGUAAAGGUAUCGAUGAGAGGCCAUGUAGGAGUACAUGGUGGGUUGUUUCAUUGAGGUCGUCCCUAAGAACUGAGAUCUGUAUGUGUGAUUUUAAGAAUCAGCUACUACCAUGCAUUGGGAUCCUUAAUUGACCCUCUUGGCUUCUUAAUCACCCUAGUACUCUGUCCAGGAGUUGCAAUUAGUUUCUGGUGUUUGUACAUUAUGUGUUGGCGGCCAUGCGUAGUGUUAACCCUAGGGGUGGGCUAUGUUGCAGUAGAUACACCGUGGCACGGUGUACCGAGUCACCCGUUUGGUGUCUCGGGAACCCUGUUCACAUCGUUCGGGGCCGUAUGUGGAAACCUCGACCGGACUCCUUGCGGAUGGAACCUGGAUAGGCGAUAAACCUGGACUAGAGACUUGAGUGUUUAGGUAGGCCGUGGCUGACACCCUCGUUGGGCUUCUGCUUGAAGGUUGCCGAGUACAUGUUGUGUAAACGACGAUAAGUGGUGAGAGCGUGUAUGAAGAAGUACACCCCUGCAGGGUUAACAUCAUCUAUUCGAAUAGCCGCGUCCGCGGUAAAGGACUACUUGGUUGCCUAUACAGUUCAUAGAUAAGUUAAUGGAUACUACUAAAAGACUCAAGAUAAGUGUGAGUACUGAGGAUGGCUCUCUCGUAGGAUGACGAGGGAGGAUCUCCGGUGGAGUAUUGUGUUGGUGAUUAGUGGACUCGUGUGCGAAAACUAUUUGACUAGUGGUGUCCCAUAGGAUAGCUUAGCCAAGAGUCAAAGCUGGCUUGCUGCAAUAACUCCACCACCUUCUUGAGAAUGAGCUUGUAUAGUAGGUUCUGAUGUAAGAUUUGUUGAGUACCUUUGUACUCAUGUUUGCUUAAUUACUGUUUUCAGACGACAACACCGCCCCCUCCGAUGGGUUUUAUGUAGAUCUCGACGUCGAUGAGUGACUUGCCACCCAGGUGGUGAUCCUGGCCAUGGAGGGCCCUAUGUAGAUAGACAGGCUUUGAGAAGCCUUCUUGCUUUCUAGUGUCUGUACUCAGACUAUUUGCUUCCGCAUGUGCUUGUAUGCUUGUAUGACUUGAGUGUCGGGUCAUGUGACCCCUACCUGUAUGAACAUGUUAUGUAUGGCUCUCUGGAGCCUUUAAAUAAAGUACUUGAAUUGUAGAGUUUUGUUGUGAUGCCAUGUUGUAUUUGCACAUAUCAAGCAUAUUGUGUGUAUGAUUGAAAUGCUUGGUAUGUGUGGGAUCCGACAAUCUAGUUGUUUAUCCUUGGCAGCCUCUCUUAUGGGGAAAUUUAGUCUAGUGCUUCUUUGAGCCAUAGUAGUCCGCUACAGCCCGGUUCACCGGAGUCCUGCUAGCCCAGCACUACUGCUCAGGACACUUGACUGGCCGGCAUGUGUUUCACUUCGUUCCUAUGUCUGUCCCUUCGGGGAAAUGUCACGCGGUGACUUCCGGAGUCCUGUCUAGCUUGCUACAGCCCGGGUUCCUCGGAGUCCUGUUAGGCCAGUGCUACAGCCCGAAUUCACACGUUGAUGACCAACAUGCUCGAUGUGAUUUAUGUAUGCCUCUCUCCAUAGGUCUGUGUCGCUUUGGGUUCACGACUAGCCAUGUCGGCCCGGGUUCUCUGUCAUAUGGAUGCUAGCGACACUAUCAUAUACGUGAGCCAAAAGGUGCAAACGGUCCCGGGCCAUGGUAAGGCGACACCCGUGGGGAUACCGUGGGUGAGGCCACAAUGUGAUAUGAGGUGUUACCGGCUAGAUCGAUGUGACUUGGAAUCAGGAUCCUGACAAAUUUAUAUACGUUUCAUAUGCUUACAACAUGGGGAGUAAUGACUUCACACAUAAUAAGUAUAGGUAGUAAACUUAUUGGAAGUUAGCGAAUGCAGAAUUGGUCACUUUAACAAUUCAUGAAAGAAUAUUGAAGGAAGAGAGAUUUCACAUAUAAAUAUACUAUCUUGGACAUCUUUUGUAAUUGUGAUCUCUCUUUAAAAUAUGACAUGCUGAAAAGUUGAUGUUUGACAAGGAAAACAACUUAAUGGGUUAUGUUACCUAUAUUCGAAACAUUAUAUUGUCUUGGAUCAUCCAACAUGUUUAGCUUGCUUUUCCCCCUCAUGCUAGCUAAAUUCUUUGCACCAAGUAGAGAUACUACUUGUGCUUCCAAACAUUCCUUAAACCAGUUUUGCCAUGAGAGUCCACCAUACCUACCUAUGGAUUGAGUAAGAUCCUUCAAGUAAGUUUUCAUCGGUGCAUGCAAUAAAAAUUGCUCUCUAAAUAUGUAUGAUCUAUUAAUGUGGAGAAAAUAAGCUUUAUACGAUCUUAUGAUGUGGAAGAAAUAAAAGCGACGGAUUGCAUAAGAAAGGUCCAUAUCACAAGUGGCAGUAUAAAGUGGCGUUCUUUUGCAUUAAGAAUUUGUGCAUCCAACCAUAAAAGCGCAUGACAACCUCUUCUUCCCUCUAUGAAGGGCCUAUCUUUUACUUUUAUAUUCUACCCUUAUACAAGAGUCAUGGUGGUCAUCACCUUUCCUUUUUACACUUUUCCUUUGGCAAGCACUUUGUGUUGGAUCGAUCCGGAUAUAUAUAUAUCCACUUGGAUGUAGGUUCUCAUAAAUUAUUAUUGUUGACAUUACCCUUGAGGUAAAAGGUUGGGAGGCGAAACUAUAGGCCCCUAUCUUUCUCUAUGUCUUAUUAAAACUUUGAACCCAUAAAUAUCACAUGAGUGUUAGCAAUUGUGAAAGAUUAAAUGAUAGUUGAGCAUGUGGAGUUUGCUGAAUCAAAGAUCUUACAUAGACCCUUCCCGAAAAUAAGAUGAAUUGCAAUUGUUUGAUGACUAAGAGCAUGGUUUGUUAGUUUUCAAGAAAGUUUAUGAUCUAUACUUUAACAUGUGAAUAGCUUGUUACUUGAUAAUGAGAAGUUUCAUGAGUUAGGCUACUGUUAUGACAUAUAAUGAUGCUAGAAAAAGUGAUUGGAACUAUCAUUGAUGAAACUUAUGCACUUGCUAGCAUUCACAGUUCACAAAUUAUUUCUUUUAUCAUUUACCUACUCGAAGACGAGCAUGGAUUAAGCUUGGGGAUGUUGAUACGUCUCCAAUGUAUCUAUAAUUUAGGAAGUAUUCAUGCUAUUAUAUUAUCCAUCUUAGAUGUUUUAUAUGCAUUUAUAUGCUAUUUUAUAUGAUUUUUGGGACUAACCUAUUUACCUAGAGCCCAGUGCCAGUUUCUGUUUUUCCCUUGGUUUUGAGUAGUGUAGAAAAGGAAUACCAAACGGAGUCCAAUUGACGUGCCAAUUUUUGAUGAUUUUUCAUGGACCAAAAGAAGCCCUCGGAGUAAAAGAGUUUGGCUAGAUGAGUCCCGAGCUGCCCACAAGGGUGGGGGGCACGCCCCACCCCCUGGGCAUGGGCUCCUAUCUCGUGGACGACUCGGAGACCCCCUGACGUGAAACCGAUGCCAAAAAUUCCUAUAAAUACCGAAACCCCCUAGAAAAUAACCUAGAUUGGAAGUUCCGCCGCCGCAAGCCUCUCUAGCCACGAGAAAUCAAUCUAGGCCCUCUCUGGCACCCUGCCGGAGGGGGCCAUCAUCACCGGAGGCUAUGGAGGAGGAUCCCGGAGGGGCCAUCAUCACCAUGAAGGCCAAGGACCAGAGGGAGAACUUCUCCCCAUCCAGGGGGAGGCCAUGGAGGAGGAAGCACAAGGGGGAGAACCUCUCCUCCUCUCCGUCGGUGGCAUCGGAGUGCCAUCAAGAGGGGAAUCAUCGCCGCGGUGAUCGUCUUCAUCAACAUCACCAUCAUCAUCACUAUCCUCAUCUCUUUUACGCGGUCCACUCUCCCUCACCCAGCUGUAAUCCCUACUUGAACAUGGUGAUUUAUGCCACAUAUUAUGAUCCAAUGAUGUGUUGCCUUCCUAUGAUGUUUUGAGUAGAUAUCCUUUGUCUUUGGGUUGAUUGAUGAUUUAGAUUGGUAUGAGUUGUAUGCUUUAUUUUGGUGCUGUCCUAUUGUACCCUCCGUGUUGCGCAAGCGUGAGGGAUUCCCACUGUAGGGUGUUGCAAUACGUUCAUGAUUCGCUUAUAGUGGGUUUAUUGAGUGACAGAAGCAUAAACCCGAGUAAUGGGGUUGUUGCGUAUGGGAUAAAGGGGACUUGAUGCUUCAAUGCUAUGGUUGGGUUUUACCUUAAUGAUCUGUAGUAGUUGCGGAUGCUUGCUAGAGUUCCAAUCAUAAGUCCAUAUGAUCCAAGAAGAGAAAGUAUGUUAGCUUAUGCCUCUCUCUCAUAUGAAAUUGCAAUGAUGACUAUCGUUUUUGUUAACAAUUGCCUAGGACAAUUCUGCACACCGACCCAUCAUUAUUCCAUACUCGCUAUUUAUUAUAUUUAGUAAUAUAUUCUAACUUUAUGAUAACAACAUAUACUUUCAUAUUUUAGCUCUCCCAUAUCAUGCAAAGUUAUCCUCUUCAUACCCACAACAUAGUUUUAUUUCUCGUUUCUAGUUGGAAGCAAACAUUAGGUGUACGUAGAGUCGUAUGAGUUACAGAUAGGGCUUGAGAGAAUAUUGAUCUUACCUUCAGCUCCUUGUGGGUUCGACACUCCAUACUUAUCACUUCCACCAUUGGGAAUUGCUACGAUGAUUCCCUCCACUUGGGGAUUAUCAUCGGUUCACCCUCAUCGAUGUCAUCUAUCACCAAUGUAGCUUCCUCUUCCUUUAGACCUAACUUGCUCAUCACCUCCUCCAGCCGUGCCCUCAUCGCGCGUUGAAAGAGAGCAUCUUCCUUCCCUUUGCUAGCGCCGAAUGGAUCCAUCCCGACACCACCCCUGUAUGCGCCCGACCGAUCAACAUCAGUAGAGCGUUCCCUCGAAACUCUAAUCGCCUAAUAGGAGGCUCCUAUGUUUUUGGGGCAGUAGACCAAUGGUUGCGAUCACAGUGGUGCUCCCGUCAAUCAGAGUUCGACUCCUGUGUGGAGCGAAUAUAUCUGGUAUUCUCACUCAGGAGGCAUGGAUAAGGCACCUAUCCCGUUUAAAUGUGUAGAGAAAAUGAUUCCCCGUGAUAGCCUGCAUAGACGUUGCUUGAGGAUGAGGAUUGUACAUGCAAUUCUCUCCAUGAUUUUAUGGUACACAAUAUUCAUCGAAGAAGUCUAUAGGACACCAACAGUCAUGCCUAGAACUCCACUGACACUGAUGACUCCAGGAAUGGGACCCUCAAAGAGAAGAACCUUGCAAGUACGUCGGUGCGGUGGGGGGAGCGGGCUACGAAACAAGGCAGCGUAUGGGGGAUAACGAUAGGUUACCAAAGAAAUAUCUAAUUUGUCCGCCUAUAUGAAAACCAUUUUAAAGAGAAAAUAUUGGAGAUUAGUAAAUAGAAAACGGAUAUAAGUACAAGAGUUAGCAUACAUCCAAGGACAGAUGAAAAGGUUUAUAAAAAGUUAUCACAAAAGUCUAAACAUUUAUCAAUCCACCAAUAAUUAGACCAUUUAGGAUGGCGGCCACUCCUCGGAUGUGUAAGUAAGGAACAAAAAUAAACAAAGGAAACCUUAACUUUCUAAGAUAUUUUUUAGACCGUACGUAUUUUUUGGCAAAACUGUUUUUUGAUAUUAAAGAUUUGGUUAAUAAGUGGAGGCGUUUUGCACAGUUUAUAACAGCUCCACUAGUCUAGCACUAAAAUCCAUUUUGCAACGACUAAUCUUUUUUCGCGAGAAAACUUCCGAUCUACUCCUCCAUUCUUGUAUGCAUGAUGAAUUAUCCUAGCACGAGAAAGAAAGAGAUACACGCAAUCAAGAAAGAUACUUUCCUUCCUUUCUGUCGGGGUGAACGACACCUAUGGGAUCACAGGGAAUCCUUUCUACGGUCGGCGGGCGCGGGGCUAUGGAAAGAGUGGGUUUAGAAGAACAACGCGUGGGAGUUUAUCCAGGUUCGGGCCGCAAGUGAUGCCUAAUACCCUACUCCUGCUGGUUUCUGUUUAUCUGGUGUUCUUGGACUAGCUACAAAGCAGGCAGGGUCCAAAGAGUCUAAAUCCUCUCAUUGUAUGCCGCGGGUCUCCUUUUAUAGUCAAAGGGGCUGCCACAGUGGCACACAGGAGGUGGAAAGUUGUAUAGUAGUAAAUUUUAUCACCUGGCAUCACGGGACAAAACACAUUAAAUGCGCUACUUAGGUGUCCCCUUGCUUUAUCGGGGAUGGCAGCGAAUCCCGUCCCGUCUGUGGUCGCUUCGCCUUUCUCCGAUACGCGUCUAGGUCAACAAGGCAUGCAACACCAUGUAGGCUGGCAGGCUGCUAAGCUGGUGUGGUGGCGGGGUCUUCACGAAUAUCUGCAUGCCACCACGUAGGUGCUUGACUAGUUGGCUUAGGAGCCACAUACUGCUAUGUGGGGACCUGCUUAGUUGGUGGGUCGGCCAUUGAGCUGGGGUGGAUACGGGGCGGCAAGGCCUUGCCGUGGUCUUGUUGAUCUUCCCGGCAAGGGUCUUGUUGGGGCCUUGUGAGCGCCCUCGGCAAGAGUCUUGCCGGGGCCUCAUGGGUAUCUUUGGCAGGAGCCUUGUUGGGGCCUCAUGGGCAUACUCGGCAAGGAGCGAGCCUUCCUGUUGUCUUGUUUCUUGGUUCCUCUCUAGGCCUCGUAGGCCCUUUGUCUUCACAAAGGUCUACAUGCCACCUUGGAGGCGCCUCCCGAGCCUUGGUUCCAAUGUGGUUGAUGGCAUCGGGACUCUUAGACUCGAGGGUGGCGGCUGUAACGCCCUCGAUGCAGCUAUAUCUCCUACGUGUCGAGUCACGACUUAGAGGCAUAACCGCAUUGAAAGCAAUGUCGCAAGUUAGGCAAUCAUCACAACAUCCAUGUAAUACAUAAUAAGGGGAUAAGUAACAUAGUUGGCUUACACUCGCCACGUCACACAAAGUACAUAAAUAGCAUUACAUCAACCAAUCACUCAUGGCCCGACUAAGGCGCCAAAAUAGAAGAUAAAACCAACAUGCGACACGGUCCCGAUCACCCCGACUGGGCACCACUACUGAUCAUCAGGGAAAGAAACAUAGUAACGGCGUGAGUCCUCGUCGAACUCCCACUUGAGCUCUAACGCGUCAUCUGGAACGGAGUCGUCUGGCCCUGCAUCUAGUUUGGAAGUAAACUGUGAGCCACAGGGACUCAGCAAUCUUGCACCCUCGCGAUCAAGACUAUUUAAGCUUAUAGGAAAAGGCAAGGUAAUAUAUGUGGAGCUGCAGCAAGCGACUAACAUAUAUGGUGGCUACCCUGUUCGCAAAAGAGAGCGAGAAGAGAAGGCAAAGCGCGAAUGAAUAACUAGAGAACAACCUGCGACAAGCAUUACUCCAACACCGUGUUCACUUCCCGAACUCCGCCGAGAAGAGACCAUCACGGUAACUCACACCGUGUUCAUUUUAAUUAAGUUAAGGUUCAAGUUAUCUACAACUGGAUAUUAACAAAUUCCCAUCUGCCGGUAACUGCGGGAACGGCUUUCGAAAGUUCAAUCCCUGCAGGGGGUCCCAACUUAGCCCAUGACAAGCUCUCACGGUCAACGAAGGAAUAGACCUUCUCCCGAGACAUUCCGAUCAGGCUCGGUACCCCGGUUCUACAAGACACUUCGACAAGUUAAAACCAAUCCAGCAACACCGCCCGAAUGUGCCGACAAAUCCCGAUAGGAGCUGCACAUAUCUCGUUCUCAGGACACACUCAGAUUGUCCAAACUUCCGGCAGGCCAGCCCAGAGUUGCCCUGGUAGCCACCGGCGGCUGACGAGGUGGACCAACACUCAGAGGAGCACUGGCCCGGGGGGGUUUAAAUAAGAUGACCCUCGGGCUCCGGAAACCCAAGGGAAAAAGAGGCUAGGUGGAAAAUGGUAAAACCAAGGUUGGGCAUUGCUGGAAAAGCUUUAUUCAAGACGAACUAUCAUGGGUUCCCAUUAUCACCCAACCACGUAAGGAACGCAAAAUCCGGGAACAUAACACCGAUAUGACGGAAACUAGGGCGGCAAGAGUGGAACAAAACACUAGGUGAGAGGCCGAGCCUUCCACCCUUUACCAAGUAUAUUGGUGCAUUAAGAUAACAUGGCAAUAUAAUGAUAUCCCAACAAGUAAAGUAGUGUUCCAACAAGGAACGGUCUCCAAUCUUCACCUGCAACUAGCAACGCUAUAAGAGGGGCUGAGCAAAGUGGUAACAUAGCCAAUCAACGGUUUGCUAGGACAUGGUGGGUUAGAAGUUUGACAUGGAAAUUUGGGAGGCAUGGUAAGAAAGUGGUAGGCAUCGUAGCAUAGGCAUAGCAAAAGAGCAAGCAUCUAGCAAAGCAAAGAUAGAAGUGAUUUCGAGGGUAUGAUCAUCUUGCCUGCUCGUUGUCAGAGUUGACUGGAUCCUCGAAAGAAAACUCAACGGGCUCCUCGUUAGUGAACUCGUCUCCCGGCUCUACCCAAACAAGACAAACAAGCAAGAGGAACGCAAUCAACCAUGUGCACAACUCAAACAACAUGAUGCAAAGAUGGUAUGCUAUGCGGGAUGCGAUGCGGGAUGCAUAUGCAAGAUUUGACAAGAGAUGCAUGAACCUGGCCUCAACUUGGAAAACCAGGUGUGCCAGUGGAAAGGUGAGAUGAAAUCGCUUGAAAACGAUAUAAAGAUCACCGGAAUCGGAGUUACGGUUUGGAAAUGGCAAGCAAUUCAAAUAUGGCCACGUUCUGCGAUUUACAGCAAGUAGCCAACUAAAUGCAACAAGAUGAACAUGCUACAGCACCCAAACAUGGCAUCAAAAUGCAUGGCAGGGAUCCAUUCAUGAUGCUUAACAAAAGACUAGCACUGAGCUACGGCCAAUUCAUCCAUUAACAGGUUCAAACAAGCAUGGCAAAAAUGCAUUUGGCAAACAGAUUUCAGACUUAGUGAAAUUAACACUUGUCUGGAAUUUCAGAUCAGAUAGCACACUUUGGAGCAACAAAACUAUAUGCUACAGGACCUGAACAUGGCAAAGUAAAGCAUGGCAUGGAGCUACUCAAAGAGAUUAACAAAAGUCCCUUAGUGACCUUGAGCCAAAAGGGAUCAGAAAAUACAUUUGCAAGCAUGUGAAUAUGGCAAAAACACAAUCACUUCUCAGACUUAAUGAAAACUGGGACAUGCAAAACAGAUAUCAAGUAGGCAUGUUUACGAGCUCGAUGCACUCACUACAGAGCAUAUCACGAUAAUCUAAGCAUACACACAUCAAGAAAACACAAAAUACAAGCUAGACAUGGCAGGAACAAUAACAUAGCAUGCACGGAUCAACUACAACAUCCUCGACAAAAUCGCUAACAAGUAGACAAUCUGCCCAGAUUCAUGAAAUGGCAAAAGUAGAGCUUGAUUGACUCAAGCUAGGGUGCUCCAUAAUUGCAAACAAAGACAUGGAUGGAUAGAGCACUACAAGAUUAACAAAUCAUCCUUACUGAUCAUCCUCAAAAGAGGCACGGAUCACUAGGAAACAACAUGAACAUAUGGCAUAAUGAGAUAAACAGACCAAGGACUUUGUGGAAAUGCUAAGUCCCUGAAAUCAGCAUUAACAAGUGCACCACUUUGCAAGCUUGUGCUAGUCACCACACACAUCAUAAAAAUACAUGGAUGGCACCACUGCAAAGAUGGCAAAACCUAUAACAAAACAUAUGUAGAGCUCAUGGGCAUAACAUGCACACAAUAAUCAUGGCAAAAAUGACAAAUAUCUAAAUGGAGCAGCAUAUCUGACAAUUAUCUCAACUAGCAUACUUCUAACAGCAUUUCGGGCAUCAAGAUGAACUCAAAUGAAAAUGAUGCAGUGAUAUGAAAUGAUGUGCUCUCUGAGACGAACAUUUUGAUAUGCUAUAUGCCCAAAACGAAGCUACGGAUGAAGAGUUAGAAUGCGAUGAACAUAGCCAAAAUAAUUAGGGACUUGGGGAAAAAGAGAGAGGUCAACCCCUAGGGUUUCAGAUCUGGAUCCAGAUCUGGUCGCAUGGGUUACGAGGUUCGCCGGAGAGGGACUUGAAGCUCGCCGGAGUUCAUCGGGGAAGAAGGCCGGGGCGAGGGUGGCCGGAGCGGGGCGCUGCUCGCCGGGGCCUUGGCUGGCGUGGAGGAGGCGCAUCGUCGGUGGCGAGGCCUCAGGGAGGCGGCGGCAGGCGGCGUCGGGCGGUGAGGCGAGGAGGCGCGGCGGCCGGCGACGAGGUGAAGCAAGGCGGCAGUCGGCGGACUUGGGCGGCGGAGUCGGGAAGACGAGGCGGCGCGUGCGGGAGGCCGGUCGGGCCGGUCGGGCGACGGGGAGGGCCGGCGCUGGGCCUUCGGGCCCGCGUCGGUGGCGGCGGUGAACUGGGGCACCCGCUGCCACGUGGCGUGCCCUGGUUGGUGGCAGUGGUUUUGUCUGGUGGGGGUCGGACGUGUCCGGCGGCGGCGGUGGAUGGAUCUAGGGUUAGGAGGAGAAUGGAACCGUGAAUUUCGGAGGGUGGUUUUUAAAUAGGCAUAGGAGGAGCUAGGAGAGUCCAAAUGAGGUGCGGUUUUCGGCCACGCGAUCAUGAUCGAAUGCUCUAGAUGAUGGAGAAGGUUUUGGUGGGUUUUGGGCCAAAUUGGAGGGGUGUUAGGCUGCGACACACACGAGGCCUUUUCGGUCCCUCGGUUAACCGUUGGAGUAUCAAACGGAGUCCAAAUGGUACGGAACUUGACAGGCGGUCUACCGAUAGUAAACCAAGGCCGCUGGGCAAGUCUCGGUCCAAUAUGGAAAUGUUUAAUCCCCACACACGAAAGAAAGGUAGAAAUGACCACCGAAGGAGAACGAAGCACCGGGAUGCAAAACGGACAACGGGGAAAAUGCUCGGAUGCAUGAGAUGAACACGCAUGCAAAUGCAAUGCACGUGAUGACAUGAUAUGAGAUGCAUGACAACAACAACAACAACACACGGAGACAAAAAACCUGAACCCGAGAAAAUAAAAUAACUUAACGCCAGAAACGGCAAGAGUUGGAAUACAUAAUGGGUAAAUCAUAUCCGGGGUGUUACAACACUCCACCACUACAAAAGGAUCUCGCCCCGAGAUCUAGGACUGCAAGAACGCCAGGUACACAGAACGGAGGUGAUCCUCGCGUUCCCAGGUGGCUUCACGGUCGGAAUGGUGUGACCACUUGACUUUGAGGAAGUCUUGCGUUCAGUCUCUUCAAGAAUAGCAACGGGGUGCUCACGAUAAGAGAGAUCUUCUUGGAGCUCAAUGUCCUCAGAGUUGACGGUGCGGUCAGGAGUCUUGAAGCACUUGCGGAGCUGAGAGACAUGGAACACGUCAUGAACAUUUGCAAAGUUUGAAGGAAGCUCGAGUUGAUAAGCGAGAUCGCCUCUCUUGCUGACAAUCUUGAAAGGUCCCACGUAUCUGGGGGCAAGCUUCCCUUUGAUACCGAAGCGACGAGUACCUUUCAUAGGAGAGACGCGGAGGUAAACAUGAUCUCUGAUCUCGAAAGCCAAAUCACGGUGCUUACUAUCAUAGUAGCUCUUCUGGCGCGAUUGGGCUGCUUUGAGGUUAUCUCGAAUGACUUUGCACAUUUCCUCUGCCUCUGUGAUUAAGUCAUUUCCCAAAAGCUGACACUCACCGGUUUCAGACCAGUUGAGAGGGGUAUGGCACUUCCUGCCAUACAGAAUUUCAAAUGGGGCCUUGCCCGAACUUGCUUGAAAACUGUUGUUGUAGGAGAAUUCAGCAUAUGGAAGACAAUCCUCCCACUUCAUGCCGAAGGAGAUCACACAAGCCCUGAGCAUAUCUUCAAGAAUCUGGUUGACACGCUCGACUUGACCGCUAGUCUGACGGUGGAAAGCUGUGCUGAAGCGGAUGUUGGUACCCAUGGCCUUCUGAAAAGAAUCCCAAAACUUGGAGGUAAAGAUGCUACCACGGUCUGAAGAGAUCACUUGUGGAAUACCGUGUAGAGAGACAAUCCGAGAGGUAUAGAGUUCCGCCAAUUGAGCUGCCGUGAUAGACUCUUUGAUAGGAAGAAAGUGAGCCACUUUGGUGAGUUUGUCGAUGACAACAAAUAUAGAAUCAUUGCCAUGCUUUGACUUUGGAAACCUAGUCAUGAAGUCCAUCUCAAUGUGGUCAAACUUCCAUUCUGGAAUGGCAAGAGGUUGGAGGAGACCAGCUGGCCUUUGGUGUUCUGCCUUCACUCUUCUGCAGACAUCACAUUCAUUCACGAAUCGAGCAAUCUCGCGCUUCAUUCGAGUCCACCAAUAAGCCUGCUUGAGGUCCUGAUACAUCUUCGUGCUCCCAGGGUGGAUGGAGAGGAGAGAACUGUGAGCCUCGUUCAUGAUCACUUUACGAAGGUCACCUUUGGGCACAACAAUACGAUCCUCAAAGAAGAGAGUGUCCUUUUCAUCAAGGCGGUAGCACUUGUACUUGGGUUGACUCUUGGCAAUCCCAAUCUUCACCUUCUUCACCAUAGCAUCAAGAAGUUGGGCUUGGCGAAUCUGAUCUUCCAAGGUAGGAGAGACUUGAAGGUUGGCGAGGAAACCUUGAGGAACAACUUGCAGAUUAAGUUUGCGGAAAGCUUCACAAAGCUCGGGUUGAUAAGGCUUGAGAAUCAGACUAUUGUAGUAAGCCUUCCUUCUCAAAGCGUCAGCAAUCACAUUAGCCUUGCUUGGAGUAUACUCGAUACUCGGAUUAUACUCUUGAAUCAUUUCGACCCAUCGAGUCUGCCUGAGGUUGAGAUUAGGCUGAGUCAAGAUGUACUUGAGACUCUCGUGGUCAGUGAAAAUGUCCACUUUUCUUCCCAAUAAGAGAUGUCUCCAAGUCAAAAGAGCAUGCACAACUGCCGCCAACUCGAGGUCAUGAGUGGGGUAGUUAUUCUCAUUGGGCUUCAACUGGCGAGAGGUAUAAGCAACAACUUUAUUCUCUUGUAUCAAAACUGCACCAAGACCUUGGAGAGAUGCAUCACAAAAGACCUCAUACGGUUUGGAUUCAUCAGGGGGAGUCAGAACCGGAGGAGUGACCAAUUUCUCUUUCAAAGUGUUGAAAGAAAUGUCACACUCCAGAGACCAAACGUACUUGACGUACUUCUGGAGAAGAUUAGAGAGAGGCUUCGCGAUCUUAGAAAAGUUCUCCACGAACCUUGUACAAUAGCUUGUGAGACCGAGGAAGCUACGGAGUUGCUUCACGUUCUGAGGAGGUUCCCAAUUUACAAUUGCAGACACCUUCUCAGGAUUCACCACAAUGCCCUUGGCAGAGAUGAUAUGACCAAGAUAAAGAACUUGGCGUGGAACUGGUGUUCCCUGAGCUUAUCGAGCACCAAACGCAAAUGCUUGGCAUGAUCUUCCUUGUUCUUCGAGAAAACCAGAAUGUCGUUGAGAUAGACCAAAACGAAGUCAUUGGUGUAGGCGUUGAAGAUGAAGUUCAUCAUGCGAGAGAAAGUGGGAGGAGCGUUGAAGAGGCCAAAAGACAUGACAGUGUAUUCAUAUGAACCGUAGCUUGUCCCGAAAGCCGUCUUGGGAAUAUCUUGUUCACGGAUUCGAAUCUGGUGAUAACCCAUACGGAGAUCAAGCUUGGAGAAUACUUGGGCACCUUUGAGUUGUUCGAACAGCUCGUUGAUGUUGGGAAGUGGGUACUUGUUCUUAAUAGUCUUCUUGUUCAAUGGAUGGUAAUCAACACAAAGUCGGUCCGUUCCAUCCUUCUUCUUCACAAAAAGAACACCACAACCCCACGGAGAAGAACUAGGUCGGAUGAGACCCAUUCUCUCUUGAAUAUCGAGUUGCUUCUUCAGCUCCUUCAACUCUUCAGGUCCGAGCUUGUAAGGACGUUUGCAAACAGGUUCCAUGCCAGGCUCAAGAUUGAUGACAAAUUCCACUGGCCGGUGUGGAGGCAUUCCUGGAAGCUCUUCUAGAAAGACGUCUUGAUAUUCGCAAAUGACUGGAAUUUGCGAGAUGGCAUCCAGUUCACCCUUCUCAUUGAGAGAAAAUAGACGGAUGGUAUUAUCACGAGCGGCAAAGACAAUCACAUCCUCAAACGAAUGAGUUAAUUGAAUCUGCCUGGCUGCACAAUCAAGCUGAGCCUUGUGCUUAGAAAGCCAAUCCAUCCCGAGAAUAAGAUCAAUAUCCGAGUUACCAAGGACCAUUGGAGAAGCUAGAAACUUGAAAUCACUCAUCAUGAUAGAAAUAUCCGGAAACUCAUGGUUAGCGAGCAAACAUUUACCCGGAGAGACAACUGCUAACGGUUUAUGCAUAACUUGGGAAGUCAACUCAUGCUUAGAUGCAAAAGGUUUCGAGAUGAAGCAAUGCGAUGCACCAGUGUUAAAAAGAACUUUUGCGGGAACAUUGUUAACAGGAAGGUUACCCAUGAUGACAUCUGACGAGUCCUCUGCCUUACCUGCAUUCAUCAAGUUGACCUUGGCGUGCUUGGGGUUAUGCUUGACCACAGCUGUACUUGCCGAUCUCACAGGAGGAGGAGGAGGAGGAAGACGCCUCUGAUUGAAGCAUUUGUUGGCAUAGUGACCCUUCUGUUGGCACUUGUUGCAUGUGACCUCUGAAAGCGGACGGUGGUACGGAGCACUCGAUCUUGGAGCUUGAGACGAAGUCUUGUUCUGAAAGCCAGGGUUGGGUGGGUGGGAAGAUCCACUGCCACCUUUGCUCUUCUGAUACGACUGACGAAACGGAGGAGGAGGAAGCCAAUACUUCUACUGCUUGGCUACUUGAGUAGAGGAAGAUGGAGUAUCAUCUCGGACUCGCUUCUUGUAUGCAUCACACCUCAGUUAAGCAGCUCUUGCUUCAAUGCCAUGUUGUAGAAUUCGUCGUACCUCAAGGGCUCAAAGAGAACAAGAGCUAGCUGGAUUUCUUCUCUGAGACCACCCCUGAACUGGUAUAUCAUGGUCUUCUCAUCAGGGACGUCCUACUUAGCAAAGUGGGCGAGCUUCUGGAACAACUUGUUGUAGUCAUAGAUAGACAAAGAGCCUUGCUUCAGGUUGCAGAAUUCCUCACACUUGCUUUCAACCACGCUCUGAGGGAUAUGAUGAGCUUUGAAAUCUUGACGGAAUUCAUCCCAGGUAAUCACACGUCCACCUCUGGAAUCCUUGUACUGCUGGAACCACUCUGCAGCUUGGUCUUUGAGUUGGAAGGAAGCAAACUUGACAAAGUCCUCAGGCCUGACGUUACUACACUUGAAAUGCUUGCACAGAUCCACGAGCCAAUCGUCAGCAUCAGUUGCCUCAACACAAUUGCUGAAAGUCUUUGGCCCGUUAGCAAGGAACUGCUUGAGUGUAGCAAAGUGAUUCUGAUUGUUGCCUUGGUCGCCUUGGUUCGAUUGAUUGUGCUCUUGAAGAAUUUGCAUGAUCAACUGCGUGUUUGCAUUGGUUGCGGCCAUCACAGCUUGCCAUGCCUCCGGAGGAGGUGGAGGUGGUGGCGGAUCAGGAUUCGGAGUCGUGCGCGUUGGAGGAGCCAUCCUAAAGAGGUUGACAUCCAUUAGCACAUUGAUAGACAAAUAUUGAAGCUGAAUCCAACGGAAUGAAAAUUGCAACGUAUAGUCUUCAUAUCCGAACAAAAUGAACGAAUGCAUUCCACUUGAAAUGGUCACAUAUCCAUAAAUUGAGAAGCCACUAGGAAUUUAGGUAGAGAAAUAAAUCAACAAGUUACGGAUCAAGAACGAAUACUCAAUAUGAAAUCCCAAUCUCAAACCAAAUAUCCGUGGAAGAAGAACUAGAGCUACAAGAAUUCCCACCUAUGAAACUCCCGAACCUUUCCGGUUAUGCAAUCAGGUGUUGGGGAUACAGGGGAAGCAUAAUAUCUCACCCAAAUCUAGCAAUUCCUACAUCCAGCUGUAUCCAUCCUUCAACACAUAACCGAGAAAAACUUUGGAAACCAUCUACCUCAACCUUCGAAAAGCAUCCGUUAUACAAGUUAUGGCAAUACUCCCGAACUCCCGCCCCAGUACUGGGUGGCGUCGAGGUUAUCUCACCAACGAACUGCAUAAAAGAGAUUUUCUAUGUCGGCGUACUAAACUCAGGUAUUCCAGAACUGCAACGACAAAAUUGUGAUGACAACACCUCGGAGCUCAACUCCCAGGAACAGGAGGCACCAAGAACAAUGUUCUCGACACAAAACCAUCGAAAAGAUUCCAAGAUACCCGCGUGAUCCUAAUUUUUUUAGUGAAAUUUGAGAAGAGAAUAGUCAAAACUCUACGUCAGGAAGCCUUACCAGAGCGAUGAGGAGACUGGGAAGUAAAAAGAAUUCCUAAACUCUCCGAUAUAUAAUUCCUAAAUGACUCAAAACAUUUUUCUAGACUCAACUCGGUCGCUAGUAAGGAUCAAGCAAUGGGGCUCCUAAGGUCGGGAAGGCUCUGAUUACCAACUUGUAACGCCCUCGAUGCGGCUAUAUCUCCUACGUGUCGAGGCACGACUUAGAGGCAUAACCGCAUUGAAAGCAAUGUCGCAAGUUAGGCAAUCAUCACAACAUCCAUGUAAUACAUAAUAAGGGGAUAAGUAACAUAGUUGGCUUACACUCGCCACGUCACACAAAGUACAUAAAUAGCAUUACAUCAACCAAUCACUCAUGGCCCGACUACGGCGCCAAAAUAGAAGAUAAACCCAACAUACGACACGGUCCCGAUCACCCCGACUGGGCACCACUACUGAUCAUCAGGGAAAGAAACAUAGUAACGGCGUGAGUCCUCGUCGAACUCCCACUUGAGCUCUAAUGCGUCAUCUGGAACGGAGUCGUCUGGCCCUGCAUCUGGUUUGGAAGUAAACUGUGAGCCAUAGGGACUCAGCAAUCUCGCACCCUCGCGAUCAAGACUAUUUAAGCUUAUAGGAAAAGGCAAGGUAAUAUAUGUGGAUCUGCAGCAAGCGACUAGCAUAUAUGGUGGCUACCCUGUUCGCAAAAGAGAGCGAGAAGAGAAGGCAAAGCGCGAACGAAUAACUAGAGAACAACCUGCGACAAGUAUUAGUCCAACACCGUGUUCACUUCCCGGACUCCACCGAGAAGAGACCAUCAUGGUAACUCACACAGUUGAUUCAUUUUAAUUAAGUUAAGGUUCAAGUUAUCUACAACCGGACAUUAACAAAUUCCCAUCUGCCCAUAACUGCGGGCACAGCUUUCAAAAGUUCAAUCCCUGCAGGGGGUCCCAACUUAGCCCAUGACAAGCUCUCACGGUCAACGAAGGAAUAGACCUUCUCCCGAGACAUUCCGAUCAGGCUCGGUAUCCCGGUUCUACAAGACACUUCUACAAGUUAAAACCAAUCCAGCAACACCGCCCGAAUGUGCCGACAAAUCCCGAUAGGAGCUGCACAUAUCUCGUUCUCAGGGCACACUCAGAUUGUCCAAAUUUUCGGUAGGCCAGCCCAGAGUUGCCCCUGGUAGCCACCGACGGCUGACGAGGUGGAUCAACACUCAGAGGAGCACUGGCCCGGGGGGGUUUAAAUAAGAUGACCCUCGGGCUCCGGAAACCCAAGGGAAAAAGAGGCUAGGUGGAAAAUGGUAAAACCAAGGUUGGGCAUUGCUGGAAAAGCUUUAUUCAAGGCGAACUAUCAAGGGUUCUCAUUAUCACCCAACCACGUAAGUAACGCAAAAUCCGGGAACAUAACACCGAUAUGACGGAAACUAGGGCGGCAAGAGUGGAACAAAACACUAGGUGAGAGGCCGAGCCUUCCACCCUUUACCAAGUAUAUUGGUGCAUUAAGAUAACAUGGCAAUAUAAUGAUAUCCCAACAAGUAAAGUAGUGUUCCAACAAGGAACGGUCUCCAAUCUUCACCUGCAACUAGCAACGCUAUAAGAGGGGCUGAGCAAAGUGGUAACAUAGCCAAUCAACGGUUUGCUAGGACAUGGUGGGUUAGAAGUUUGACAUGGAAAUUUGGGAGGCAUGGUAAGAAAGUGGUAGGCAUCGUAGCAUAGGCAUAGCAAAAGAGCAAGCAUCUAGCAAAGCAAAGAUAGAAGUGAUUUCGAGGGUUUGAUCAUCGUGCCUGCUCGUUGUCAGAGUUGACUGGAUCCUCGAAAGAAAACUCAACGAGCUCCUCGUUAGUGAACUCGUCUCCCGGCUCUACCCAAACAAGACAAACAAGCAAGAGGAAUGCAAUCAACCAUGUGCACAACUCAAACAACAUGAUGCAAAGAUGGUAUGCUAUGCGGGAUGCGAUGCGGGAUGCAUAUGCAAGAUUUGACAAGAGAUGCAUGAACCUGGCCUCAACUUGGAAAACCAAGUGUGCCAGUCGAAAGGUGAGAUGAAAUCGCUUGAAAAAGAUAUAAAGAUCACCGGAAUCAGAGUUACGGUUUGGAAAUGGCAAGCAAUUCAAAUAUGGCCACGUUCUGCGAUUUACAGCAAGUAGCCAACUAAAUGCAACAAGAUGAACAUGCUACAACACCCAAACAUGGCAUCAAAAUGCAUGGCAGGGAUCCAUUCAUGAUGCUUAACAAAAGACUAGCACUGAGCUACGGCCAAUUCAUCCAUUAACAGGUUCAAACAAGCAUGGCAAAAAUGCAUUUGGCAAACAGAUUUCAGACUUAGUGAAAUUAACACUUGUCUGGAAUUUCAGAUCAGAUAGCACACUUUGGAGCAACAAAACUAUAUGCUACAGGACCUGAACAUGGCAAAGUAAAGCAUGGCAUGGAGCUACUCAAAGAGAUUAACAAAAGUCCCUUAGUGACCUUGAGCCAAAAGGGAUCAGAAAAUACAUUUGCAAGCAUGUGAAUAUGGCAAAAACAUAAUCAGUUCUCAGACUUAAUGAAAACUGGGACAUGCAAAACAGAUAUCAAGUAGGCAUGUUUACGAGCUCGAUGCACUCACUACACAGCAUAUCAUGACAAUCUAAUCAUACACCCAUCAAGAAAACACAAAAUACAAGCUAGACAUGGCAGGAACAAUAACAUAGCAUGCACGGAUCAACUACAACAUCCUCGGCAAAAUCGCUAACAAGUAGACAAUCUGCCCAGAUUCAUGAAAUGGCAAAAGUAGAGCUUGAUUGACUCAAGCUAGGGUGCUCCAUAAUUGCAAACAAAGACAUGGAUGGAUAGAGCACUACAAGAUUAACAAAUCAUCCUUACUGAUCAUCCUCAAAAGAGGCACGGAUCACUAGGAAACAACAUGAACAUAUGGCAUAAUGAGAUAAACAGACCAAGGACUUUGUGGAAAUGCUAAGUCCCUGAAAUCAGCAUUAACAAGUGCACCACUUUGGAAGCUUGUGCUAGUCACCACACACAUCAUAAAAAUACAUGGAUGGCACCACUUCAAAGAUGGCAAAACCUAUAACAAAACAUAUGUAGAGCUCAUGGGCAUAACAUGCACACAAUAAUCAUGGCAAAAAUGACAAAUAUCUAAAUGGAGCAGCAUAUCUGACAAUUAUCUCAACCAGCAUACUUCUAACAGCAUUUCGGGCAUCAAGAUGAACUCAAAUGAAAAUGAUGCAGUGAUAUGAAAUGAUGUGCUCUCUGAGACAAACAUUUUGAUAUGCUAUAUGCCCAAAACGAAGCUACGGAUGAGGAGUUACAAUGCGAUGAACAUAGCCAAAAUAAUUAGGGACUUGGGGAAAAAGAGAGAGGUCAACCCCUAGGGUUUCAGAUCUGGAUCCAUAUCUGGUCGCACGGGUUACGAGGUUUGCCGGAGAGGGACUUGAAGCUCGUCGGAGUUCGUCGGGGAAGAAGGCCGGGGCGAGGGUGGCCGGAGCGGGGCGCUGCUCGCCGGGGCCUUGGCUGGCGUGGAGGAGGUGCGUUGUCGGUGGCGAGGCCUCAGGGAGGCGGCGGCAGGCGGCGUCGGGUGGUGAGGCGAGGAGGCGCGGCGGCCGGCGACGAGGUGAAGCAGGGCGGCGGUCGGCGGACUUGGGCGGCGGAGUCGGGAAGACGAGGCGGCGCGUGCGGGAAGCCGGUCGGGUCGGUCGGGCGACGGGGAGGGCCGGCGCUGGGCCUUCAGGCCCGCGUCGGUGGCGGCGGUGAAGUGGGGCACCCGCUGCCACGUGGCACGCCCCGGUUGGCGGCGGCGGUUUUGUCCGGUGGGGGUCGGACGUGUCCGGCGGUGGCGGUGGAUGGAUCUAGGGUUAGGGGGAGAAUGGAACCGUGAAUUUUGGAGGGUGGUCUUUAAAUAGGCAUAGGAGGAGCUAGGUGAGUCCAAAUGAGGUGCGGUUUUCGGCCACGCGAUCGUGAUCGAACGCUCUAGAUGAUGGAGAAGGUUUUGGUGGGUUUUGGGCCAAAUUGGAGGGGUGUUGGGCUGCAACACACACGAGGCCUUUUCGAUCCCUCGGUUAACCGUUGGAGUAUCAAACGGAGUCCAAAUGGUACGAAACUUGACAGGCGGUCUACCGGUAGUAAACCAAGCCCGCUAGGCAAGUCUCGAUCCAAUCCGGAAAUGUUUAAUCCCCACACACGAAAGAAAGGUAGAAAUGACCACCGAAGGAGAACGAAGCACCGGGAUGCAAAACGGACAACGGGGAAAAUGCUCGGAUGCAUGAGAUGAACACGCAUGCAAAUGCAAUGCACAUGAUGACAUGAUAUGAGAUGCAUGACAACAACAACAACAACACAUGGAGACAAAAAACCUGAACCCGAGAAAAUAAAAUAACUUAACGCCGGAAACGGCAAGAGUUGGAAUACAUAAUGGGUAAAUCAUAUCCGGGGUGUUACAACACUCCACCACUACGAAAGGAUCUCGUCCUGAGAUCUAGGACUGAAAGAACGCCGGGUACUCAGAACGGAGGUGAUCCUCGCGUUCCCAGGUGGCUUCACGGUCGGAAUGGUGUGACCACUUGACUUUGAGGAAGUCUUGCAUUCAGUCUCUUCAAGAAUAGCAACGCGGUGCUCACGAUAAGAGAGAUCUUCUUGGAGCUCAAUGUCCUCGAAGUUGACGGUGCGGUCAGGAGUCUUGAAGCACUUGCGGAGCUGAGAGACAUGGAACACGUCAUGAACAUUUGCAAAGUUUGAAGGAAGCUCGAGUUGAUAAGCGAGAUCGCCUCUCUUGCUGACAAUCUUGAAAGGUCCCACGUAUCUGGGGGCAAGCUUCCCUUUGAUAGCAAAGCGACGAGUACCUUUCAUAGGAGAGACGUGGAGGUAAACAUGAUCUCUGAUCUCGAAAGCCAAAUCACGGUGCUUACUAUCAUAGUAGCUCUUCUGGCGCGAUUGGGCUACUUUGAGGUUAUCUCGAAUGACUUUGCACAUUUCCUCUACCUCUGUGAUUAAGUCAUUUCCCAAAAGCUGACACUCACCGGUUUCAGACCAGUUGAGAGGGGUACGGCACUUCCUACCAUAUAGAAUUUCAAAUGGGGCCUUGCCCGAACUUGCUUGAAAACUGUUGUUGUAUGAGAACUCAGCAUAUGGAAGACAAUCCUCACACUUCAUGCCGAAGGAGAUCACACAAGCCCUGAGCAUAUCGUCAAGAAUCUGGUUGACACGCUCGACUUGACCGCUAGUCUGACGGUGGAAAGUUGUGCUGAAGCGGAUGUUGGUACCCAUGGCCUUCUGAAAAGAAUCCCAAAACUUGGAGGUAAAGAUGCUGCCACGGUCUGAAGAGAUCACUUGUGGAAUACCGUGUAGAUAGACAAUCCGAGAGGUAUAGAGCUCCGCCAAUUGAGCUGCCGUGAUAGACUCUUUGAUAGGAAGAAAGUGAGCCACUUUGGUGAGUUUGUCGAUGACAACGAAUAUAGCAUCAUUGCCAUGCUUGGACUUUGGAAACCCAGUCACGAAGUCCAUCUCAAUGUGGUCAAACUUCCAUUCUGGAAUGGCAAGAGGUUGGAGGAGACCAGCUGGCCUUUGGUGUUCUGCCUUCACUCUUCUGCAGACAUCACAUUCAUUCACGAAUCGAGCAAUCUCGCGCUUCAUUCGAGUCCACCAAUAAGCCUGCUUGUGGUCCUGAUACAUCUUCGUGCUCCCAGGGUGGAUGGAGAGGAGAGAACUGUGAGCCUCGUUCGUGAUCACUUUACGAAGGUCACCUUUGGGCACAACAAUACGAUCCUCGAAGAAGAGAGUGUCCUUUUCAUCAAGGCGGUAGCACUUGUACUUGGGUUGACUCUUGGCAAUCCCAAUCUUCACCUUCUUCACCAUAGCAUCAAGAAGUUGGGCUUGGCGAAUCUGAUCUUCCAAGGUAGGAGAGACUUGAAGGUUGGCGAGGAAACCUUGAGGAACAACUUGCAGAUUAAGUUUGCGGAAAGCUUCACAAAGCUCGGGUUGAUAAGGCUUGACAAUCAGACUGUUGCAGUAAGCCUUCCUUCUCAAAGCGUCAGCAAUCACAUUAGCCUUGCUUGGAGUAUACUCGAUACUCGGAUUAUACUCUUGAAUCAUUUUGACCCAUCGAGUCUGCCUGAGGUUGAGAUUAGGCUGAGUGAAGAUGUACUUGAGACUCUUGUGGUCAGUGAAAAUGUCCACUUUUCUUCCCAAUAACAGAUGUCUCCAAGUCAAAAGAGCAUGCACAACUGCCGCCAACUUGAGGUCAUGAGUGGGGUAGUUCUUCUCAUUGGGCUUCAACUGGCGAGAGGUAUAAGCAACAACUUUCUUCUCUUGUAUCAAAACUGCACCAAGACCUUGGAGAGAUGCAUCACAAAAGACCUCAUACGGUUUGGAUUCAUCAGGGGGAGUCAGAACUGGAGCAGUGACCAAUUUCUCUUUCAAAGUGUUGAAAGCAAUGUCACACUCCAGAGACCAAACGUACUUGAUGUACUUCUGGAGAAGAAUAGAGAGAGGCUUCGCGAUCUUAGAAAAGUUCUCCACGAACCUUCUACAAUAGCUUGCGAGACCGAGGAAGCUACGGAGUUGCUUCACGUUCUGAGGAGGUUCCCAAUUCACAAUUGCAGACACCUGCUCAGGAUUCACCACAAUGCCCUUGGCAGAGAUGAUAUGACCAAGAUAAAGAACUUGGCGUGGAACUGGUGUUCCCUGAGCUUAUCAAGCAUCAAACGCAAAUGCUUGGCAUGAUCUUCCUUGUUCUUCGAGAAAACCAGAAUGUCGUCGAGAUAGACCAAAACGAAGUCAUUGGUGUAGGCGUUGAAGAUGAAGUUCAUCAUGCGAGAGAAAGUCGGAGGAGCGUUGAAGAGGACAAAAGACAUGACAGUGUAUUCAUAUGAACCAUAGCUUGUCCUGAAAGCCGUCUUGGGAAUAUCUUGUUCACGGAUUCGAAUCUGGUGAUAACCCAUACGGAGAUCAAGCUUGGAGAAUACUUGGGCACCUUUGAGUUGUUCGAACAGCUCAUUGAUGUUGGGAAGUGGGUACUUGUUCUUGAUAGUCUUCUUGUUCAAUGGAUGGUAAUCAACACAAAGUCGGUCCAUUCCAUCCUUCUUCUUCACAAAAAGAACACCACAACCCCACGGAGAAGAACUAGGUCGGAUGAGACCCAUUCUCUCUUGAAUAUCGAGUUGCUUCUUCAGCUCCUUCAACUCUUCAGGUCCGAGCUUGUAAGGACGUUUGCAAACAGGUUCCGUGCCAGGCUCAAGAUCGAUGAUGAAUUCAACUGGCCGAUGCGAAGGCAUUCCUGGAAGAUCUUCUGGAAAGACGUUUGAUAUUCGCAAACGACUGGAAUUUGCGAGAUGGCAUCCAGUUCACCCUUCUCAUUGAGAGAAAACAAAUGGAUGGUAUUAUCACGAGCGGCAAAGACAAUCACAUCCUCAGACGAAUGAGUUAAUUGAAUCUGCCUGGCUGCACAAUCAAGCUGAGCCUUGUGCUUAGAAAGCCAAUCCAUCCUGAGAAUAAGAUCAAUAUCCGAGUUACCACGGACCAUUGGAGAAGCUAGAAACUUGAAAUCAGCCAUCAUGAUAGAAAUAUCUGGGAACUCGUGGUUAGCGAGCAAACAUUUACCCGGAGAGACAACUGCUAACGGUUUAUGCAUAACUUGGGAAGUCAACUCAUGCUUAGAUGCAAAAGGUUUCGAGAUGAAGCAAUGCGAUGCACCAGUGUCAAAAGGAACAAUUGCGGGAACAUCGUUAACAGGAAGGUUACCCAUGAUGACAUCUGACGAGUCCUCUGCCUGGGCUGCAUUCAUCAACUUGACCUUGGCGUGCUUGGGGUUAUGCUUGACCACAGCUGUACUUGCCGAUCUCACAGGAGGAGGAGGAGGAAGACGCCUCUGAUUGAAGCAUUUGUUGGCAUAGUGACCCUUCUGUUGGCACUUGUUGCACGUGACCUCUGAAAGCGGACGGUGGUACAGAGCACUCGAUCUUGGAGCUUGAGACAAAGUCUUGUUCAGAAAGCCAGGGUUGGGUGGGUGGGAAGAUCCACUGCCACCUUUGCUCUUCUGAUACGACUGACGAAACGGAGGUGGAGCAAGCCAAUACUUCUGCUGCUUGGCCACUUGAGUAGAGGAAGACGGAGUAUCAUCCCGGACUCGCUUCUUGUAUGCAUCACACCUCAGUUGAGCAGCUCUUGCUUCAAUGCCAUGUUGUAGAAUUCGUCGUACCUCAAGGGCUCAAAAAGAACAAGAGCUAGCUGGAUUUCUUCUCUGAGACCACCCCUGAACUGGUAUAUCAUGCUCUUCUCAUCAGGGACGUCCUGCUUAGCAAAGCGGGCGAGCUUUUGGAACAACUUGUUGUAGUCAUAGACAGACAAAGAGCCUUGCUUCAGGUUGCGGAAGUCCUGACACUUGCUUUCAACCACGCUCUGAGGGAUAUGAUGAGCUUCUAAAUCUUGAUGGAAUUCAUCCCAGGUAAUCACACGUCCACCUCUAGAAUCCUUGUACUGCUGGAAUCACUCUGCAGCUUGGUCUUUGAUUUGGAAGGAAGCGAACUUGACAAAGUCCUCAGGCCCGACGUUACUACACUUGAAAUGCUUGCACAGAUCCACGAGCCAAUCGUCAGCAUCAGUUGCCUCAACACAAUUGCUGAAAGUCUUUGGCCCGUUAGCAAGGAAUUGGUUGAGUGUAGCAAAGUGAUUUUGAUUGUUGCCUUGGUUGCCUUGGUUCGCUUGAUUGUGCUCUUGAAGAAUUUGCAUGAUCAACUGCGUGUUUGCAUUGGUUGCGGCCAUCACAGCUUGCCAUGCCUCCGGAGGAGGUGGAGGUGGUGGCGGAUCAGGAUUCGGAGUCGUGCGCGUUGGAGGAGCCAUCCUGAAGAGGUUGACAUCCAUUAGCACAUUGAUAGACAAAUAUUGAAGCUGAAUCCAACGAAAUGAAAAUUGCAACGUAUAGUCUUCAUAUCCCAACAAAAUGAACGAAUGCAUUCCACUUGAAAUGGUCACAUAUCCAUAAAUUGAGAAGCCACUAGGAAUUUAGGUAGAGAAAUAAAUUAACAAGGUACGGAUCAAGAACGAAUACUCGAUAUGAAAUCCCAAUCUCAAACCAAAUAUCCGUAGAGGAACUAGAGCUACAAGAAUUCCCACUAUGAAACUCCCGAACCUUUCCGGUUAUGCAAUCAGGUGUUGGGGAUACAGGGGAAGCAUAAUAUCUCACCCAAAUCUAGCAAUUCCUACAUCCAGCUGUAUCCAUCCUUCAACACAUAACCGAGAAAAACUUUGGAAACCAUCUACCUCAACCUUCGAAAAGCAUCCGUUAUACAAGUUAUGGCAACACUCCCGAACUCCCGCCCCAGUACUGGACCUUAACAUGGCAAAGUAAAGCAUGGCAUGGAGCUACUCAAAGAGCUUAACAAAAGUCCCUUAGUGACCUUGAGCCAAAAGGGAUCAGAAAAUACAUUUGCAAGCAUGUGAACAUGGCAAAAACAUAAUCAGUUCUCAGACUUAGUGAAAACUGGGACAUGCAAAACAGAUAUCAAGUAGGCAUGUUUACGAGCUUGAUGCACUCACUACAGAGAAUAUCAUGACAAUCUAAGCAUACACCCAUCAAUAAAACACAAAAUACAAGCUAGACAUGGCAGGAACAAUAACAUAGCAUGCACGGAUCAACUACAACAACCUCGGCAAAAUCGCUAACAAGUAGACAAUAUGCCCAAAUUCACGAAAUGGCAAAAGUAGAGCUCGAUUGACUCAAGCUAGGUUGCUCAAUAAUUGCAAACAAAGACAUGGAUGGAUAGAGCACUACAAGAUUAACAAAUCAUACUUACUAAUCAUCCUCAAAAGAGGCACCAAUCACUAGGAAACAACAUGAACAUAUGGCAUAAUGAGAUAAACAGACCAAGUACUGUGGAAAUGCUAAGUCCCUGAAAUCAGCAUUAACAAGUGCACCACUUUGCAAGCUUGUGCUAGUCACCACACACAUCACAAAAAUACAUGGAUGGCACAACUGCAAAGAUGGCAAAACCUAUAACAAGACAUAUGUAGAGCUCAUGGGCAUAACAUGCACACAAUAAUCAUGGCAAAAAUGACAAAUAUCUAAAUGGUGCAGCAGAUCUGACAAUUAUCUCAACUAGCAUACUUCUAACAACAUUUCGGGCAUCAAGAUGAACUCGAAUGAAAAUGAUGCAAUGAGAUGAAAUGAUGUGCUCUCUGAGGCGAACAUUUUGAUAUGCUAUAUGCCCAAAACGGAGCUACGGAUGAGGAGUUACGACGCGAUGAACAUAGCCAAACUAAUUAGGGACUUGGGGGAAAAGAGAGAGGUCAACCCCUAGGGUUUCAGAUCUCGAUCUAGAUCUGGUCGCACAGGUUACGAGGUUCGCCGGAGAGGGACUUGAAGCUCGCCGGAGUUCGUCAGGGAAGAAGGCCGGGGCGAGGGUGGCCGGAGCGGGGCGCUGCUCGCCGGGGCCUUGGCCGGCGUGGAGGAGGCGCGUCGUCGGCGGCAAGGCCUCGGGGAGGCGGCGGCAGGCGGUGUCGGGCGAGGAGGCGAGGAGGCGCGGCGGCCGGCGAUGAGGUGAAGCAGGGCGGCGGUCGGCGGACAUGGGCGACGGAGUCAGGAAGACGAGGCGGCGCGUGCGGGAGGCCUGCCGGGCCGGUCGGGUGACGGGGAGGGCCGGCGCUGGGCCUUCGGUCCCGCGUCGGUGGCGGCGGUGAAGUGGGGCACCUGCUGCCACGUGGCGCGCCCCGGUUGGCGGCAGCGGUUUUGUCCAGUGGGGGUCGGACGUGUCCGGCGGCGGCGGUGGAUGGAUCUAGGGUUAGGGGGAGAAUGGAACCACGAAUUUCGGAGGGUGGUCUUUAAAUAGGCAUAGGAGGAGCUAGGAGAGUCCAAAUGAGGUGCGGUUUUCGGCCACGCGAUCGUGAUCGAACGCUCUAGAUGAUGGAGAAGGUUUUGGUGGGUUUUGGGCCAAAUUGGAGGGGUGUUGGGCUGCAACACACACGAGGCCUUUUCGGUCCCUCGGUUAACCGUUGGAGUAUCAAACGGAGUCCAAAUGGUACGAAACUUGACAGGCGGUCUAACCAAGGCCGCUUGGCAAGUCUCGGUCCAAUCCGGAAAUGUUUAAUCCCCACACACGAAAGAAAGGUAGAAAUGACCACCGAAGGAGAAUGAAGCGCCGGAAUGCAAAACGGACAACGGGGAAAAUGCUCGGGUGCAUGAGAUGAACACGUAUGCAAAUGCAAUGCACAUGAUGACAUGAUAUGAGAUGCAUGACAACAACAACAACACAUGGAGACAAAAAACCCGAACCCGAGAAAAUAAAAUAACUUAACGCCGGAAACGGCAAGAGUUGGAAUACAUAAUGGGUAAAUCAUAUCCGGGGUGUUACAGCGGCCUUGUUGGUGUGGGGCAAGUUGCCCCGGCAAGAAUCUUGCCGGGGCCAUGAAGGCCACCCCGACAAGGGCCUUGCCGUGUGAGUUUCACCUUGGCCCUAUGCUUCUUGUGCCUCCGGCUUGGCGCUCCUCUGGUAGUCUUGUGUCUUUGCUUCCUCCGCUCCGCCAAGCCUGGCCAUAGGUGUGUGGCUGUGACUGCCCGCGCACAAGUAAAGAGGUACAAAAGGGACCCCUACUUUUGUACACCGACAAGAGCCCCCGGGCCUGGGCCACAUACAAGCAUGGAGCGUUAUUGGGCCAGGCCCAGAAUGGUGCGCGGGCAUGCAUGCGGUGGAGUUUUACCAUAGUAACUCCCUCACUAGUGGCGCUUCCCCACGACCCGCAUUGAAUGCAUGAUGUGGGGGUCGCGCGUGGGGCAGUUUGUACACGCCCGCGUCACAUCAUGGUAAAUGAUAAAGUGACAGCCCGCGCCUUCCCCAUAAAAAGAGGAAAACGCAGGGGUGUGGCUCAUUUACCCCCUGUGCCUUCUCCAAUCUCGGAACCGCCGCUCCCUUCUUCCUCUUCAAGCUUUCGCCUUUGCUCGCCGCCAUCGCGCCCUCACUUCCCUUAAUCCUCCAUGCCCUCUCAGUUUCCAUGGUACGCAAGACGGGCAGAGGCAAAGGGGUGGCCAAGGACAUCGGGGAGAAAAAGGCGUCGGAGAGCGAGUUGGCGGUGUUGCGGACGCAGCACGCCUAUUUCCCCCCCAACGGUCGAUGCGGUCCACCUCAGGGACUACUUCAAGCCCCUGUGGGGGAGGAAGAUGAUGGGGCACUCUUCUACGCACAUCAUCCCUGCCGAUUUCGCCAAGGCUGGCCCAGAGCGGUACCCCUUCGUCGAUUACUUUUCUUGCAGGCUCUGCCCCCCUUUCUCUGAUUUCAUCAACGAAAUCAUGCAUACCUUCGGCUUUCACCUCCUCGACUUUGCGCCGAAUGCCAUGGCAUGCAUGGCCCUCUUCGCCCAUCUCUGCGAGGGAUUUGUUAGAGUGCUCCCCAGCAGGGCGCUCUUUCGCCACUACUUCUAUCCUCGCAUCCAGCCAGGGGACGCCAUUUCUAGGUGCAUCACCUGGACCCCGAGGACCCAGGAGAAGGGCACGUACCCGGAGGGUGCCCAGAAGGAGAGGUGGGACGAGUGGCGGGCUUGAUGGCUCUUGAUCAAGGAGAAGGAUCCGCAGGAGUUCUGCCAAGUUCGUCAGAGCCCGCCAACCCGCCGCAAGGACUAGAGCAACCUCGAUGUGAACGACAAGAAGCUCACGGUCGCCACCACCAGCAUCCAUCGCCUCACCAUGGCCUGGCUCACCCUUGAGAUGAUUAGGGCCUAUUUCAUUCGUCACCGAAUCGUUCCGCUGCACAGCAAGGGGAGGCCGGCCUGGGACUUCAGGAAUGCGGCCGAUGUCAUGAGGCUCCGGCCUAGCCUGAAGCAUAACUCAUGGUGCUGGGGCAUGCCAAUUUUUGCCAGAGGCUCUUCUAGCUCAAUGUGGAUGACAACGGUAGGGCUGAGAGGACCAGCAAGGCCGUCAAGGGGCCCUUGUUUGGGAUGCUGGCGGGAGUGGUCCCACUGAGCAACAACUCUCGCCAGUCCGCCAUAAUCGCCAUGAUGCCGGACUUCAACACGCACGGUGUUGACCCGGCCUGGGCUAAGCCAUCAGCAGAGAAAGUGCAGAAGUUUUUCAACAACUUAUCGGAAGGCUAUGUCUGCGACGAGCCGCUACUCAUCCGCGACACCACCAAGGAGGAGCUAGACUACAUCGCUGCCAGGGCGGCGGAAGCGGCGCUUGCCAAGGAGGUAGGCAGCGCCGGCGCCGUGGAGGAUGAGGCUGAUACAUCUCCAAUGUAUCUAAUUUUUAUUGUUCCAUCCUAUUAUAUUAUAUGUUUUGGAUGUUUAUGGGCUUUAUUAUGCACUUUUAUAUUAUUUUUGGGACUAACCUAUUAACCGAAUGCUUAGUGCAAAUUACUGUUUUUUUGCCUAUUUCAGUGUUUCGCAGAAAAGGAAUAUCAAACGGAAUCCAAACAGAAUGAAACCUUUGCGAGGAUCUUUUUUGGAACAAACGCAAUCUAGGAGUCUUUGAGUGAACGCCAAGGAAGCAGCGAGGCGGCCAUGAGGUAGGGCAGCGCGCCCCCACCAUCGUAGUCCCCUCGCAGCUCCACCGACCUACUUCUUUCGCCUAUAUAUACUCUUAUACCUUGAAAACAUCCGGGGGAGCCACGAAACCACUUUUCCACCGCCGCAACCUUCUGUAUCCGUGAGAUCCUAUCUGGGAACCUUUUCUGGCGAUCUGCCAGAGGGGGAUUCGAUCACGGAUGGCUUCUACAUGACCUCCAUAGCCUAUCCGAUGAUGUGUGAGUAGUUUCACACAGACCUUCGGGUCCAUAGUUAUUAUCUAGAUGGCUUCUUCUCUCUCUUUGGAUCUCAAUACAAAGUUCUCCUCGAUAUUCUUGGAGAUCUAUUCGAUGUAAUUCUUUUUGUGGUGUGUUUGCCGAGAUCUGAUGAAUUGUGGGUUUAUGAAUAAGAUUAUCUAUGAGCAAUAUUUGAUUCUUCGCUGAAUUCUUAUAUGCAUGAUUUGAUAUCUUUGCAAGUCUCUUCGAAUUAUCAGUUUGGUUUGGCCUACUAGAUUGAUAUUUCUUGCAAUGGGAGAAGUGCUUAGCUUUGGGUUCAAUCUUGCGGUGUCCUUUCCUAGUUACAGCAGGGCAGCAAGGCAUGUAUUGUAUUGUUACCAUUGAGGAUAAAAAUAUGGGGUUUAUAUCAUAUUCCUUGAGUUUAUCCCUCUACAUCAUGUCAUCUUGCCUAAUGUGUUACUCUGUUCUUUUGAACUAAAUACUCUAGAUGCAUGCUGGAUAGCGGUCAAUGUAUGGAGUAAUAGUAUUAGAUGCAGAAUCAUUUCGGUCUACUUGACACGGACGUGAUGCCUAUGUUCAUGAUCAUGCCUAGAUAUCAUCAUAACUAUGCACUUUUCUAUCAAUUGCCCGGCAGUAAUUUGUUCACCCACCGUAAUAUAUGCUAUCUUGAGAGAAGCCACUAGUGAAACCUAUGGCCCCCGGGCCUACUUUACAUCAUAUUAUUUUCCCGUAAACUAGCUAUUUUUGUGGCUGCUUAUUUUGCAAUCUUUACUUUUCAAUAUAUACAACAAAAAUACCAAAAAUGUUUAUCUUAUUUUCUCUAUCAGAUCUCACUUUUGUAAGUGACCGUGAAGGGAUUGACAACCCCUUUAUCGCUUUGGUUGCGAGGUUCUUGUUUGUUUGUGCAGGUACUAGGUAACUUGCGCUACUUUGCUACAUCACCCUUUCCUCUUCAAGGGAAAACCAACGCAUGCUCAAGAGGUAGCAAGAAGGAUUUCUGGCGCCGUUGCCGGGGAGAUCUACGCUAAGUCAAGGCAUACCAAGUACCCAUCACAAACUCUUAUCCCUCGCAUUACAUUAUUUGCCAUUUGCCUCUCAUUUUCCUCUCCCCCAUUUCACCCUUGACGUUUUAUUUGCCUCUUUUCCGUUUGCCCUUUUUCCAUUUGUCUCUUUUUGCUUGCCUCUCGUGUGUUUGUGUGUUAGAUCGUUUGUUUCAUCUUGAUGGCGAGCCCUUCUUCUCUUCCUUUGUCUCCCGAUUUUGAAAUUCUUCACUUCAAACAAAGACAAGGAGAAAACUUAAAGGAUGCUUGCUACCGGAUGAUAGAAUCCUGUCGUAAUUGCACUAUAGGGGGAAUUUCAAGAUUUUGCUUAGCAAUUUUUAUGUUGGGCAAACCAUGUCCCAUAGACAACUCUUGGACUUUUCUGCCAAAGGGAGUUUUAUUGACGUUGAUCCCAAUACUGCGUAUGAGAUUAUAUAGGGAAUAGUAGGAAUACUACCCCCACAAAAGGGACUCCAUCAUACUCAAGAGGGAACCCAAGUUGUUGAGAAAAUAUGCGAAGUGACUAAAAUUUUGCAAAAAUCUCUCGAACCCGUUAAAAAUUUUAGUGGGAACCUUCAUCGCAUGAAUAUGUUGAUCACUCUUUGUAAUAAGCGGUUGGAUGCUCUAGAUAUAAAGAUCUCCGGGUAUGAAGGGAAACGUAAGGAACCUCCCAAAUCCGAGCAAAACCCUAUUAAAAAGACCAAAGAUGAUAAUACCUAGAUCUAUUCUUGCUUUUAUGCCUAGCUCGGGGCGUUAAACGAUAGCGCUUGUUGGGAGGCAACCCAAUUUUAUUUUUGUUCCUUGCUUUUUGUUCCUGUUUAGUAAUAAUUAAAUCAUCCAUCUUCUAUUAUGAUUGUGUCUUUAAUGUUUUAAUUAGUGUUUGUGCCAAGUAAAGCCUUUAGGAUCUUCUUGGAUGAUUGUUAUUUGAUCUUGUUGGAAAAAACAGAAAGUACGCGCCCACGAGAAUAAUUUUCAUUUUUAACAAGAGAGUGAUAAAAUACUGAUUCCAACUGCAUUCGAUCAAUAUACAAAUUAUUUAGGAUGUCCUAAUUUAUCAUGAUUUUUGGAGUUACAGAAGUAUUCGAAACCUACAGAUUGCUACAGACUAUUCUGUUUUUGACAGAUUCUGUUUUUUGUGUGUUGUUUGCUUAUUUUGAUGAAUCUAUGACUAGUAUCGGGGGGUAUGAUCCAUAUAGAAGUUGGAAUACAGUGGGUUUAACACCAAUAUAAAUAAAGAAUGAGUUUAUUACAGUACCUUAAAGUGGUGGUUUGUUUUCUUAUACUAACGGAGCUCAUGAGAUUUUCUGUUCAGUUUUGUGUUGUGAAGUUUUCAAGUUUAUGGGUAAAUAUUUGAUGGAUUUCGGAACAAGGAGUGGCAAGAGCCUAAUCUUGGGGAUGCCCAAGGCACCCCAAUGUAAAAUUCAAGGACAACCAAAAGCCUAAUCUUGGAGAUGCCUGAGGGAGUCCUGGACCAAGGGGUCCUCGGGCGUCCGGUCUGUUAUUUAUGGGCCAGACUGAUGGGCCGUGAGGACAUGAAGGCCGUAGACUGCACCGUGUCCGGAUUGGACUCUACUUGGCGUGAAAGGCAAGCUUGGCGACUGAAGAUCCCUCCUUAUGUAACUGACUCCAUGUAAACCCUAGAUCCCCUUGGUGUCUAUAUAAACCGAAGGGGAUAGUCCGGAAAGGACCCCACAUAUAUUCAUUACCAUACCCACAUAGGCUAGACUUCUAGGGUUUUAGCCAUUACGAUCUCGUGCUAGAUCCACUCUUGUACCACUCAUAUUCAUCAAUAUCAAUCAAGCAGGAUGUAGGGUUUUACCUCCAUAGAGAGGGCCCAAACCUGGGUAAACAUUGUGUCCCACAUCUCCUGUUACCAUCGAUCCUAGACGCACAGUUCGGGACCCCCUACCCGAGAUCCGCCGGUUUUGACAACGACAUUGGUGCUUUCAUUGAGAGUUCCACUAUGCCGUCGACAAAAGGUCCGAUGGCCCCUUCAAUCGUCAAUAAUGAUACUGUCUAGGGAGGAAUCUUCCUCCCCGGACAGAUCUUCGUAUUCGGCGGCUUCGUACUGCAGGCCAACUCGCUUGGCCAUCUAGAGCAGAUCGACAGCUACGCCCCUGGCCAUCAAGUCGGAUUCGAUAGCUUGAAAUACGCCACAGACAUCCUCAGAGACCUGACCUUCUAGGGAUCAGAGCCCGCGGCGAUCGCUCCCCCUCAUCCCGAUGAACGUGACUUAAAUCUGUCAUCGGAUCACACCCAGGAGAUGUUUCCUGCGGCUGCAAUGACCUUAGGGCCGAAGCAUAUUGAGCCAUCCGAGGCCUUAGAGUCCGCGGCAUUGGAGCCGCACAUGGACUUGACGCCCUGCAAUAUUCGCUUCAACGGAACUUCGGACUCGUCUCCGGCUAUAAGUUCCGGACUGUGUACGCCCGCGGACACCGAGCUAGAUCGGUUAUCGAUCUUCAAGUUUAGCGCGGUUGACGUUUUCCAGCACUCUCCUUUGGGUGAUGUGAUAAAAUCUUUAAAGAAUUUGUCCUUGGAGAAGGACUCCUGGUCGAAGUAUGUACGGUUCGAGCUAGAGACGGAUGAUGAGGAAUUUUGUUUCCCACCCGCCACCCACUUCAUAGCCACGGUUGAUGACUUAACCGACGUGCUUGACUAUGACUCCGAAGACAUCAACGGCAUGGACGACGAUGCCGACAAGCAGCAAGUCCAAGACCCACCAUUCAUUGGAUGUUGGACGGCUACCUCUUCGUAUGGUGUGUACAUGGUUGAUACACCUAAUGGAUUUGGCGAUGUCAAAUAAGAGUCGGGUGCGAACAAAACCUCUGAGACACAGUCCAAGCGCCGGUGGCCCAAGCGCCGCCCUAAGCCCCAUCGCUCAAAGGACGACAACAUUGGCACCGGAGAAAAUAGUACUCCGGGCGACGCCCAAAACAGUAAAAACCCCGUUGGGGCUACAUCCGAACAGGAACACGACAGCAGGCAAGACAACACCGACGAACAUGCCAUAGAAGAUGACCCGGAGGAUGACAGUUACCAUCCAUCCUCCGAGGAGGAGACAAGCCUUUGCAACAAAGACUUCAUCAUGCCUGAGGAUCCUCUCACUACUAGAAAAACCCCUACUAAUGGCGCACCUAAUAUGGCCAUUAAUGGCGCAUCUGUGGUGCGCCAUUAAUAGCACGCCAUUAGUAAUUUUUACUAAUGGCGCACCACCUGGUGCGCCAUUAGUAUCUGGUAUACUAAUGGCGCACCGCGGGUGCGCCAUUAGUAUAGGCCAGCGUGCGCCAUUAGUAUGCCUCCCAGGGGCCAUGUAUACCCAGGUGCUUUGGCAUACUAAUGGCGCACCACCACUGGAUGCGCCAUUAGUAACUGCGGCAUACUAAUGGCGCACUACCCAGUGAUGCUCCAUUAGUAUGCACUGUCAUACUAAUGGCGCACUGUCAUGUGAUGCGCCAUUAGUAUGAAUAUUAGGUUUUUUAUUUUUUCAUUUUCUGUUUUUUGCACAGGUUACAAAAUGUAUAAUUUGACAAAAUAUAGACAGCACACAUCAACAACAGAUUCAUCGAAUACAAUAGAAGAUUAGUCUUUGAAUACAAUUCAUCAUAUUAGUCUCCGAAUACAAUUCAUCAUAUUAGUCUCCGAAUUAAAAAGACCGAACAAAGAUAGAACAUUAUAUUACAAGUCUCGAGACCGCGAGUAGCGAGUUUGUCUUCACAUUACAAGUCGAUAUCGAUCAUCUAAACUACCAUCACAUAGAAGAGAGCUACGGUCAUCACGAUGAGCAUCAUCACGAUGAAACUCGUCUUCAUCCGGUUCCUCCAACGCUCCCUCCCCUCUCCCGCUAGAUAGCGGGCGUAUCUAGAUUCGGCGUCGGCCCUAGUGGUGUACCCUUUGUAACUGUUACCGCUGAAUCGGUGAACCUGUCUCCGACACUCCUCCCAGUCAUCGUAGACUCCGGGAACCUUACCCUUGUACACGACAUACGUCGGCAUCGCUAUGCACUAGCCAAACGAAACGUUAGUACCAAUUCACAGACAAUACAUAAGCAAUAUAUAAUUAUGCAACAGAACAAUCGGAAGAGAAAAGCAAGACAUUAAUAGCAUCGAUUACAUCUAAGUUGAACGACUCUCGAAACCAAAGAGACAUACUACAAGUUCAUUAAAGUUUAAUUACAACAUGAGCCAAUCGAUGUUUCAGAACUAGACAACUCGACUCAAGGGACCGGAGCGUGGAUGAAGCCGCCGUCUAUCGUGGGAGUCAUGAAAGAACGGGCGUUGUCAUCCUGCAUUUGUAGCAUUGUGUCGACGUCACUGUUGGACGGUUGAUUUCUGAGGUAGAACUGCCCCGAGGUACGAAGGACAUCUUGAUGGAUGAUUUCCGCAAACUCCGACUGGAUGCGAAAGAAUUCUUGUCGGAGGUCCGUGUCCUGGAUUGCCGACACGCUCGUGGCCCAAUCUUUGAGUUUACUCGGUAGCAGAAGUUGAUGAUGGUCCCGUACGAUCGCCCGCAUGUGAUGGAUGGCGUAGUAGGCACCCUUCUGACCGCCAGGCGGCUGCUUGAUGCAGCAGAACGUCGUAUUGUGGGAGAACACGUGCUUGCCGUACUUACGAAUAGGCCUGGUGAAGGUGCCUCCAGAUUGGGCGUAGCCGGGGAGAACAUCAUCAAGAACCUUGUUGACAUUUGUGUAGUCUACGUUCGACUGACGGUCCGGGUCGAAAUACGUGGCCAUGGAAUAUUUGGGGCUUAGGAGGAUGAGCGUGCAACGUGUGUCACUGCAGAAAACACGGAAUGUUAAAAGAAAAACGAUCGAAAUGUAAGAAUUCAUAUGUUACGGGCCGGUUGAGGGGAGGACUUACUCGGGAAAGUAAGGCACGAGGAAGUUAUCCUUAUCUUGGUUUGCCAGAAUGACGCCUUUGAGGUAAGAACUCGCGACUUGCCGGUCCCCAGCGCUGCCCAAGAUCUUGGCACGCAUGUAGAAGGGGUCGACUAUCACGAUGUCCGGGGUCUUGUCGCGAAUGAUCCGCAUCUCCAUACUCAGCGAAAAUAGCCGAACGAAGGUGUAGUGCAGCGGAUGAAGGUUCAACAUAGCGUGGAUGUCAUCAAAACGCAGGACGAUCGUACGCCCGAUGGAGUUAUCCACAAAGCCCUUGCCCUCUGGCACCUUGGCCGCGAAAACCGGGUAUGCCACAUCCUUCUCCCUGAGACGCCGCUUCUCCAAAGCAAGAACACUGUCAUGUAGACUCCGCAUAGCACCGGUUGCAGCAUUGAGCAUAUUUGUCGGUAGCAUCGCCCUACCCGCCACAUGCACCCUCCUCGAGAUAUCCUGCGGUGAAGGUGGCCCGUCCUGAGCACGGAUCGUACUCGGUGCCGGCUGGCUCGCACCCGUCUUAGUCUUUCUUUUGCGUGCCUUCUUCUUCUCCUGUAAUGGGACCGAGUUCUGCUCACAGACCGCCUUCUUGAGUGUGUUGGGGCUGAUAAUAUUUCGCACCUCGCCUAUCUGAGGCUCGGUGAAGUCGGCAGCUGGAGGCGUCUCCUGAGAGCUGAACGCCAGACGGCGCCUGUUGCAACUUGGCUUCUCCGCGGUACGAGCUAGAUCACACACGUCUUUUGUUGGGUUUGGUUCUUGAGAAGGAGGCCCCAUGAAGUCGCCAUCGUACCCAUGCUCGGCAAAGUACUGAUCGACGUUGCCAAAUGUAUCAUCGUCGUCGUCGUCGUCGUUCUGAUCCUGUGCCAUAUGCAUGUUUGGAUCCAGUGGCAUAGGGAUGUCCGGCACCGUUACGGCGGUCUUGCCAUGGGGCCGACUUGGCGCCGGCACGACUGGCGGUGUUGUCUUUGGGGUGGUGUCCCCCGCCCCCAAAUGAAUCUGGCUCUUCGGCCAAAGCAGGGGCCAGCUCAGGCAGGCGCUGAGGGUCAUCAUGUCUUCAUCGUCGGCCCCGACGGGUCGAAUCGGAGGUAACAAGUCGUCGCAGCCUGGCAGCACCCGAACCAGUUGAACCCUAAACAAGUUGGGUGGCAUCUGGGUACCGUGGAACAAGGGGUUGCCCGGUUGAACGAUUUUGCCCUUGGCGACAUCGACCAACUCGUUGUUCACGAAGUGGAGGAGAGUGCACGGAACGUCGGCGGCGCCCUGCGAAAACAUGUAGGGCGUCAGGGAUGCCCAGUCAAAGGCAAGGAGAUGAAGUCCUCGGCCGAGAGAGGCUUAAUUAGUUACCGUGAUGAUGGCGUCGAGCUCGGCUAAUGUCGAGGCACCGCCAACGGCGGGCGUGUAGUUGACGGAGGGGCCGCUUGCUGAAGAGGUGCCGGCCGGCGUACACCCGGGUGCAUUAAGCUCCCGUGCCGGCGUCGGAGACACCAAUGCCGCCUCCGCCUGAGGCACCAAUGGCCCCGCCAUCGCAUUAUGCGAGUUGCUGGCCGUGAAGCUAGGAAUCGGGGGAGGCCCCUGUUGGCCGCCCGCAAUCCACGCACUCAACCCCGAGAUCAAGGUAGGCACAAGGGCAGUGAUCGUCGCUCCGAGUCGUUGUUCCACUUGCUCUUGGACAAUCUCCGGAAUCCGCGCCACCUGUGCCUUGAGUUCUUGAACCUCUCGCGCCUGGCUUUCCGAGCUGGUCUUUUUCUCCUUUCGCACACCAGCGGUAUAGUAUGACCCCCAUUUUGUCGACAAGCCUUUGCCGGCCACACGACCAGCUGACGUCGGCUUACUGAGCUUAUCCUUGUUCUUCAUUACAUUCAACCCCCUAUUUAGAGUGGUGUCCCAAGGGUUGCUCUUAGUCGACUCCGCGCUACUGCUUUCAGUCGCCUACGGAAGGAAUGUGAACCAUUUAGAAAUUUGGCUUCAUUAAUUAGAAUGCAACCAUAUGGAGCUAAUUACGCGGGGGUGUAUUCCUUACCAGAACAAGCUCAAGCGCCCUGGUCUUCGGAUCCGUGGUAAGCUCCUUUGUUAUCGGGUCCUCCUUGUACCGGGCCCUGACAUAGUUCCCAGUCUGCUUGUUACCGCUGUAUUUCUCGAAGCGGGGCGGUAGGCCUUGCUCGGCACGGUCCGCGUCCUCCUUGUCCCAUAUAGGCUCCGCCACUCUGUAACCGCCGGGAACGAGUGUGUGUUCCCCUAUGUUCAGCUCCCGCAUUUGUUUCCCCCACUCACUUGAUUGGGAGCUUGCGGUGCUCGAGCAAUUCAUCUUGAAGUCGUUGUAGUCAUCUUCGGUGAUCGAAGGAUUUUUCUCCUUGAUCUUCUGAUAACUCUCACCUUUCUCGAUCAAUCUCUUCACAUUGCUUUUCCAAGUAGAUAGGGCCUUGCUCAUCUUCGUGAGGGCAGCAUUGUUCACUUUAUUCCCUUUGAGGCUUGUGUUUUCAAAUUCAGCGGGGAACUUGUAUCGUUCGUGCAGCUUCGUGAAGAGGAGGUGGCGCAAAUUCCCUGGGUCAGGAUGCCUCAGGUUCUUGGUGUUGAUCGAGACGGUGCUCCGGACAAUGCACCUGAGCUGAAGCGAGUACCCCUUGACUAUUCGUUCGGGCGCCGUUGGAUUCCCGUUGGAGUCCACUUCAGUAACUUCCUCCUUGAGGGUGCGGAGCACGAUCGGGCGCCGGUCCUUCCGUUGCCUCUUCGGUUGGCUGCCCUCUGUGCGUGCGCCGCCAUCAUCAGUGGUGGCAUCCUCGGCGACACCAUCAGUGGUGGCAUCAGUGUGGUCAUCCUCGGCGGCACCAUCUGUGGUCUCAGGAUCGGUGGGGAAGGCGGCGGCCUCAUACAAGUGAGGUUGUUCCUCCAUCUCCUGGGACAGCUCCCAGAAUGCCUUGCCGCCCGAACCCCCGGCCUCAUCGUUAUGGGCCAUGUUUCUCUCUAAAUAGAAACAAAGUUUGGUCAAAAAGUUGGUUAUUGUCAAGGAACAAGAUCUCUAAGUUGACCAAAUAACCUAAUUCUCGAGGAAUGUCGCCAAAAAGUUGGUUAUUGUCAAGGAACAAUUGAGAGAUGUUUGUGAUAUUGCCUAGGUGUUUUGGGAUAGAACCUGUUAGUGUGUUGUUUCUAAGGUCCAAGUCCACGUUCUCAGGGCAACCUAGUUCUUGAGGGGUGUGUCUAGAAAGUUGGUUGCUGCAAAGAUACAAGGUUGUGAGUUUGGUCAAAUUGCCUAUGAUGUUUGUGAUAUUGCCUUGGAUCUUGAAGGCACUGUUGCAUGAUGCAGUGGUACAGCCAGCAUGGGACCUCAUCUUUGCAGGCUAAUUUUCUAGAUUGUAACACUGGGAUUUGUGCACAAGCUAAGCUAGCUAAGACAGUAGCUUCCUUGCAACCCACAAAAGACAAAGGAAAAGGGGUGAAAAGGGGGAGAUGGUUAGCUUUGAUGAGCAGGCAACAUCUUCCUAACCCACUUCUUCUUGUCUCCUCUCACUAUCUCUCUCACACACAUGGCAAGCAAGGGUGUCUGAGUGUGUGAAAAAAAUACUAAACUAAUCCAACCACUAAAGCAAAUUAAUUUUUAUUUCGGUUGAGAAUCGGGCACCUUCUAGGUUAAGAAAAUUGGGCAUGACCUUUGCUAAUUUUCUUGACCUUGGAGUGCCCCAUUUCUCAACCGAAACGGAAAUUAAUCAACGUUUCACGAGAAAGGGGUCAUUUUAGAAGAUCACAAGUAGCAGCAGCAUCACUUGACAAAAUCACAACUAGCAGCAGCAGCUCGCAGAUAGCAGCAGCAGCAUCACUUGACAAGUAGUACAGCAGCAGCAGCAGCAUGCAUGCACUGGUCCAUGGCACAAAGUAGUACAGCAGCAGCAGCAGCAGUUGCAUAAAUUGAAAAAAAAUUGAUCUGUGUGAUCUGGGUUACAUUAUCAGCAACCUUGCAUUUCAUUUUAUACAAAGGAGCUCACAAAGGCCAUGUCAUGCUUCGCAAUAUUUGUUUACUGAAACUAAAUGAACAAGAGCAAAGAUGCACUAAAGGUUCUGCUGGACAUGCUUUAUGUCUAACACUCCUAUGUUUAAGAUAUGCAUAACAUUCAAUCUGGAUCAAUCUCACACUAUGAACAUAGGAAAAAUUAUCACACCCUUUUGAGUGAAUCGAACCACAACAACAAAUCAAAUCUGGGGCUCACAUGAGGAGUAAGACGACGCUUGGGCUUGUCGGAGUCUUUCUUGGCCUUGCUCUUCUUCACCACAAGUCUGCAUCACCACAGAAACAAUAGCAGAAAAGCGAAUCAGAACCCAACAUGAAACAACAUCAGGAAAACUAAAGCAGAACAACCACCGGAAAUGAGUCCAUCACCUAAAACCAAGCAGAUGAUAACAUUGAGUAAGAAAGACUGAUGAGAUGUGCUGGUUUACCUAAAACCAUUUCCUUGAUAACACUCAUUUCCGUCUAAGGUGAAAUAAACAUAUGCAUGCCAAGGUGAAAUAGUACAAAGAAAGCACUCAUCAGGUAGCAGUGCAUACAAAAUCCCUGUUUUACUAGUAGCAAAUACUUUGUGUGUUAGCAGUAGUAAAAACUAUACAAAAUCCUUGUUUUACUAGUAGCAAAUACUCUAUGUUAGCAGUAGUAAAAACUCAUGGAGUACCAAAUUCAAAUAAAAAAAUGUUGUAGCUAACAGAAGUAUGGAAAUGUUGUUAACAACUCGAGUCAGAAAAGGUAGGAGUCUCUUAAGAGAGACACAACUGAUACUGAUCAAAUAUAAUAACAUAGCAGAAAAAUAGGUAGGUACAUUGACUUCUUUAAAGACAAUAAGCAGGACCAACAGAUUCACAUGUUACAUCAGUAUGAAGUUACAAUGGCAGAUGCCAGGUGUGAAAAGGAUAUGGCAAAAAAAUUAUGCUCAGAACAGAUGAUAUGCAGAUUGGGCCGGGGGAAGCAGAGUUAGCCAUAUUCAAAAAUGAAAAAAUAGUAAAUGGUCUACCUACAGUAUUAUCCUUCCAGCAUGAAGAUGUGAGUACAUACUAAGUAGCAUCGGCACAAGAUAAACAGAAAUGAACAAUCCAAAAGAUGCAGUAUGAGUAUGUACAUUACAAGGAACAGUUUUUUGCAUUGACAACAGAAGCUAUGCUCACAAAUUUGUAUUGUAGGUACAGGAAAUGUGCCAGAAAUCAUAUAAGCAUACCCAAUUACACACAUGGUACUUAGAUCACACUGUCAAUUCAUACUACACGAGUCACUCUUAUGAGAUAAUGGCAUGCAGCUGUAUGCAGCUACUUGACCAUUACAAUUUAGGCCUAGUUUGGCAGCGCAGUUUUUAAAAUACUGUAGUAUUUCAAAACAUCAAUAUUGCAAUGCAUGUGCAAUGAAUACUACAGUUUUUAAAAAGCUGCAAUUUUCUCAGCUUUAGAAAAACUACCGAUAUGUUUGGUUGGUGUUGUUUUACUGUAGUUUUGACCAAUAGUUACACAACUUUAAUCUAGCUUCAUACACCUACCGAGCUACACGACCAGAUCACCAAUGACCACCCGGCUGCAUGCAACGUUGUAUGAUCUUUUCUAGGAAGUUGGAGACUUGAUCGGCCGUAGCUAAUUACAAAGAAUAUGAAUCAGUAUCCUGGUGGUGCAUGCCUUGGAGAGGAAUGAAUCAAUACUAUGAAACCAUACUGCAGUAUGGCUAGUUAUGGUUACAGACCAAGAUGUAUGGUAGUCAACGAGUGGAUGACACGAACGAGUUUUCCUCAGUUUGAGAAAAAAGAGGUCCGAACCUCUUUUUUUAAUACUCCAAAAAAACCACAGUAUCAAUAAUAUCUCUGUUUAUGAAGCUACAGUUUUUGGUAUAGCCAAACACCUCUAAGUAUUCUAAACUACAGUUUUUCAAAAAACUGUGGUAUUCUAGUAAUACUUUGAAAAUACUUUGCAUCCAAAUGGGGCCUUAUACUACACGAGUCACUCUUAUAUAAUAUAAUUGAACAAAACACUGCCAUGCAUUUACUGGACUAUGACCAGGUGCAAGUUGAUGAGAAUCAUCAUGCUGAAACUGAUACAACCACAUCAUAUCCUUCUAACAUUCCUAGUUCACACAGAAAACACUUCACCAACAACACAUAAUUGCAAUCUGGAUCAAUCUCACACUAUGAACAUAUGGAGAUGGGAUGGGAGGAGGGAAGGGGAUAGGGGUCGGGGCGGUAGCUUGCCUUGGAGGAGCGGGCCGGGGUGGAGGAGGCGGUCAGAGAGGAUAAGGAUGCUCCGGCGACGGGUGGUGGUGGUGGUGCUCCGGCGACGGUGGUGUGGACGGGGCGGCGUCCGGGCGGCGGGGUCGCGUCGAGGCGGCGGGGCAGCGUCGAGGUGGCGGGGCAGCGNNNNNNNNNNNNNNNNNNNNNNNNNNNNNNNNNNNNNNNNNNNNNNNNNNNNNNNNNNNNNNNNNNNNNNNNNNNNNNNNNNNNNNNNNNNNNNNNNNNNNNNNNNNNNNNNNNNNNNNNNNNNNNNNNNNNNNNNNNNNNNNNNNNNNNNNNNNNNNNNNNNNNNNNNNNNNNNNNNNNNNNNNNNNNNNNNNNNNNNNNNNNNNNNNNNNNNNNNNNNNNNNNNNNNNNNNNNNNNNNNNNNNNNNNNNNNNNNNNNNNNNNNNNNNNNNNNNNNNNNNNNNNNNNNNNNNNNNNNNNNNNNNNNNNNNNNNNNNNNNNNNNNNNNNNNNNNNNNNNNNNNNNNNNNNNNNNNNNNNNNNNNNNNNNNNNNNNNNNNNNNNNNNNNNNNNNNNNNNNNNNNNNNNNNNNNNNNNNNNNNNNNNNNNNNNNNNNNNNNNNNNNNNNNNNNNNNNNNNNNNNNNNNNNNNNNNNNNNNNNNNNNNNNNNNNNNNNNNNNNNNNNNNNNNNNNNNNNNNNNNNNNNNNNNNNNNNNNNNNNNNNNNNNNNNNNNNNNNNNNNNNNNNNNNNNNNNNNNNNNNNNNNNNNNNNNNNNNNNNNNNNNNNNNNNNNNNNNNNNNNNNNNNNNNNNNNNNNNNNNNNNNNNNNNNNNNNNNNNNNNNNNNNNNNNNNNNNNNNNNNNNNNNNNNNNNNNNNNNNNNNNNNNNNNNNNNNNNNNNNNNNNNNNNNNNNNNNNNNNNNNNNNNNNNNNNNNNNNNNNNNNNNNNNNNNNNNNNNNNNNNNNNNNNNNNNNNNNNNNNNNNNNNNNNNNNNNNNNNNNNNNNNNNNNNNNNNNNNNNNNNNNNNNNNNNNNNNNNNNNNNNNNNNNNNNNNNNNNNNNNNNNNNNNNNNNNNNNNNNNNNNNNNNNNNNNNNNNNNNNNNNNNNNNNNNNNNNNNNNNNNNNNNNNNNNNNNNNNNNNNNNNNNNNNNNNNNNNNNNNNNNNNNNNNNNNNNNNNNNNNNNNNNNNNNNNNNNNNNNNNNNNNNNNNNNNNNNNNNNNNNNNNNNNNNNNNNNNNNNNNNNNNNNNNNNNNNNNNNNNNNNNNNNNNNNNNNNNNNNNNNNNNNNNNNNNNNNNNNNNNNNNNNNNNNNNNNNNNNNNNNNNNNNNNNNNNNNNNNNNNNNNNNNNNNNNNNNNNNNNNNNNNNNNNNNNNNNNNNNNNNNNNNNNNNNNNNNNNNNNNNNNNNNNNNNNNNNNNNNNNNNNNNNNNNNNNNNNNNNNNNNNNNNNNNNNNNNNNNNNNNNNNNNNNNNNNNNNNNNNNNNNNNNNNNNNNNNNNNNNNNNNNNNNNNNNNNNNNNNNNNNNNUUUUAUAAGACAGUAGCAUUUAAAAAGCUGUUUGAUACUUAUUUUUUUAUAAGACGGUGCGCGGGGUGCGGGGGGGCGGCGGCGGCGUUUGAGUAGGGGAAUCGAGGGUGCGGGGGGUCGGCGGCGGCGGCCGGUGGACUGGGGGGGUGCUCGGCGGCGAGGGGGACCGGAUCUGGCGAGGUGGGAUAGCGAUUGAGAUGGAGGGGGUCGGGAUCGAGAUCGAGUGUCCAUGAAAUUUAAAAAUAUUCAUGAUAGUUCAAAAAGUACCCAUGAAAUACAAUCGAGAAAUGAAGGCUACGAUUUAAAUACAAUCGAUCUUAGCUAGCUAUCUGUUCACAAUCUUCUUGCCCUUCUUUUUCGCAAAUGGAGUUCUUCUGUGGAACGGACGUCCUUUAGGUAGGGUGGUCCUGCUUCUUCUUGUGGUGUAUGCUGCUACUUCAUCAUCGUCGUCAUGUUCGAUCCUCGGGUCGCCGUACUUGUCGAAGUCUUGCUCAUUGGCUACUCCAUCCAUUCCGAUGAUCUUCCUUUUGCCUCUCCUCACGACAACACGACUGGGCUUUGGCGGGUCGGUAAUGAAGAAGCAUUGGUCCACUUGGGAAGCCAGUACCCAUGGCUCAUUUUUCGCGGUGACGUUUGCGCCCGCGGUCUUGGAUUUGGCUUCGGGUAUAACCAUGGUGGUGAAAUACCGGUCUUCUUUGAUGACGUUCUUGGCCCAUCUAACACGGAACAUCGGGACCUUCUCUCCAGCGUAGCUCAGCUCCCAGAUCUCCUCGAUCCUUCCGUAGUAUCUGUCCUUCUCGUUACCGGUGUAGGAUUCCAUCGUUACCCCGGAGUUCUGAUAACCAUCGCUCUUCAUGUCCUUGGCCUCGGUGUAGAAUGUGUAGCCGUUGAUACCGUACGCCUCAUAGGUCAUCAGGUUGUGCUCGGCGCCCUGUGACAAGGCUAAUAUGAGUUGUUCUUCCGUGGAAGAAUCCUCAUGUAAAGGGUACGACAGAAGCUUCUGCUUGAACCAACGUGUGAAACAUGAGUUGUGCUCUUUGAGUAUAUCUCCGUCCGUCCUCUGUUGGCCUCGGUCAUUGUACGUCUUCUUAAUAAAGGUUUUGUGCUCUACCACCCAAGGAUCGACCAUGUCUAUGUGUUGUAGCGCGACUAGGUUUGCUCUUUCAAAGUCGGCGAGUCGACCCUCGAAGUCGACAUGCAUUUCGCGGCGACCCUCACGGUGACCCCAUCCAGCGAGCCUGCCGAGGUGCCUGUUGACGGGCAGACCAACGGGGUUCUCGCUGCCUAGAUAAUUCGUGCAGUAGGAGAUGCACUCUUCGGUCAGAAAGCCCCUGGCUAUGCUUCCUUCUGGACGUGACAUGUUGCGAACGUAUCCUUUGAUGACACCAUUCAUCCUUUCGAACGGCAUCAUGCUGUGCAGGAACGGCGGCCCGAGUUGGAUGAUAUCCUCCACUAUAUGGACCAGCAGAUGCACCAUAACGUCGAAGAAUGCGGGCGGGAAGUACAUCUCAAGCUCGCAUAGUAUCACCACGAUCUCUUCCUGUAGCCUUCUGAGUUGCCUCACGCCAAUCGACUUCUGAGAGAUGACGUCGAAGAAGUUGCAUAGGCCAAAUAGCGUUUCACGGACGUGCGCGUCCAUGAUCCCACGGAUUGCAACUGGAAGUAUCUGCGUCAUCAGCACGUGACAGUCGUGAGACUUCAUCCCGCUGAACUUCUGCUUCGCUGGGUCUAGGUAUCUGCUUAUCUUCCUCGCGUAACCGUAAGGAAGUUUUACUCCUAGGAGGCAGGUGAAAAACUGCUCGAUCUCCUCCUGACUUAGAGUGAAGCACGCGGGAGGGUAGUCAUUUCCGGUCUUCUUGGCCUUUUUGCCUUUGCGACGACUUUCUGUGUCCUGCUUCGCCUCAUCAUCAUCAUCAUCAUCAUCAUCAUCAUCAUCAUCAUCAUCAUCAUAUAUAGCGUGAAGCUCCUGCCUGAUGCCCAUUGAUUUCAAGUCUGCCCUUGCUUUCGGCCCAUCUUUGGUCCUCUCUGGCAUGUUGAGCAGGGUACCAAGCAGACUCUCGCACACGUUCUUCGUGAUAUGCAUGACAUCAAAGCUGUGAGGCACAUGGUGGAUCUUCCAGCACGGCAAGUCCCAGAAAACAGACCUCGUUUUCCAUACCUUCAGCAGCGGCUCUGGCGCCUUUCGCUUCUUUCCCGGCUCUGGCGCCUUUUGCUUCUUUCCCGGCAGUGGGCAGUCUUUCCAAUUUUUCAACAGCUUGUCUAUUUCCUCGCCGCUCCUCGUACACGGGCGUUUUCGGGGUUCGGUUUCACCAUCGAACAGAUCCUUGCGUUUCCUCCACGGGUCAUCGUCGCGAAGCCACCUUCGAUGUCCCAUAAACACGGUUUUCGAAGACCCGGGAUCUCUAUCUAGCUGGCGAUACGUUGUGUCAUCCAUGCACCUUACACAUCCAGAAAAUCCAUGGACUACCUGCCCCGCAAGAUAUCCGUAACCGAGAUAGUCGUGCACCUUCGUGAGCAGUGCGGCUCUCAUAGGGAAAUAUUAUUUCUCUGCGGCGUCCCGCGUAUUGGCUGGCAUUUUCCAUAGCGUGUCAAGCUCCUCUUUCAGCAGCCCGAGAUACAGAUUGAUGUCGUUCCCUGGUUGUUUCAGCCCUUCAAUUAGCAUACUCAUGUGAAUGUACUUCCUCUUCAUGCACAACCAGGGGGGAAGGUUGUACAUCCACACAAACACAGGCCAGGUGCUAUGUGUGCUUCUCUGGCUGCCAAACGGAUUGACUCCAUCGGUGCUCGCGCCCAGCACGAUGUUCCUUGGAUCGUUCCCAAAUUCUGGGUUUUCGAAGUUCAACACUUGCCACUGGCUCGCAUCCUAAGGGUGACUCAGCAUCUUGUCUUUUUUAUCUAUCUCCGGAUCAUUUGCGUCAUCUUCUCGCUUCUUCUCCUCCCUAUCCGCGUGCCAACGCAGGAGCUUUGCUACCUUAGGAUCCGCGAAAUACCGCUGCAGACGAGGAGUGAUCGGAAAGUACCACACCACUUUUCGAGGAGCUUUCUUCCUCUUCUUGUAUCGAGUGACACCGCACACCGGACAUAUGGUAGACUCCGCGUGCUCGUCCCGAUAAAUGAUGCAAUUGUUCAUGCACACAUGGUAUUUCACGUGCGGUAAAUCCAGAGGACACACGAUUUUCUUCGCCUCCUCCAAACUGGUCGGGCACUUGUUCCCCUUGGGAAGACGUUCGUGCCAGAAUGACAUGUUCUCGUCGAAGCAUGCGUCGGUCAUUUUGUGUUUUACCUUCAUCUCCAGAGCCAUGAGCGUUACUUUCAGGCGGGUAUCCUCGGCCUGCAUCCUUCAUACAAUGGAGUAACCGCGUCUAACUCAAGUUGAUCCAUCUUGGCUUUCUCUCGGGCGGCAGCUCUUGCGUUAUCCGUCUGCUUGAGAAGCAGCUCUUGAAUAUGAGGGUCCUGCACCCAGCCCAUCGAUGGUCCAGCGUCGUCUGCUCCGCCGGCAUCAUCAUCAUGUCCUGCAUCUUCUACAUGAUGACUGUGUACAGCAUCACCGUCGUGAUCAUCUCCUGGGGAUUCUUCGUCUUCUCGCCCCCCCGAGCCGCGGUGGUUGUCUUGCUGCCCUUCCUCAUUUCUUGCCCGGCCCCCAUGGACGACUUCGUAGUCAUCUUCAUCACCUUGCCACCGAUAGCCAUCCAUGAAACCACGCAAGAGCAGGUGGUCCCGCACCUGCCCGGAAUCCGGGUCCGCAAUAAGGCUAUUCAGCUUGCAUCUUCGACACAGACAUCUUAUCUCCGUCUCGUUCUUUUGAAGCAUCUCGGCCUUUGCGGACCUCAAAAACCUAUUCACGAUGCCUUCGGUCAUCGUGCGGACCAUGGUCGCCUGUGGGGUAGAGCAAAAUGAUAUUUUAGAACCAAGAAAAAAUUUGGCAUGACUUUCCCUAAAAAUAGGACCAAAAAGAAUGCUUAAUGCCAAAAUUCACGCCGAAACGGAAAUGAAUCAACAUUCUGGCAAAAUAUUGGCAACUAUCGCAUUUCAAAUACCGGUACACCUCCAAACACAAACACAUAUGCAACACCACAAACAUAUGCAACACCACGAACAUACAUAGAUCUAGCUAGGCCAUAAAAAGUGCAUGUGCACAUUGUUGUAGGGAGAACAACAUAAAUAUAGCUUCCCCCCUUACUUACCUAGCAAAACAAGGUAACUUAACCACUUAAUUUGAAUGAAUCUAUGGUGGAAAUGAGGUGAAAAAGAGGAGGCACCCGAGACAAGGAGGAGGCGGUGGAGAGAAUGAAGUGGGGAGAAAGUGAGUGUGGGAGGAGAGGCUGUCCAAAAUAUCUUGUUGCUGCCCACUUACUAAUGGCGCACCAACAACAAAUGCGCCAUUAGUAAUCCAGGUUACUAAUGGCGCACCCCCUGGUGGUGCGCCAUUAGAACUUUUGCAAAAAAAGGAAUAAAAGCAAUAAUAAAAAAAAUAACAUUAGUGGCGCACCUUCUGGCUGGUGCGCCAUUACUAGUUACAACUAGUAAUGGCGCACCACCAGGGGAUGCGCCAUUAGUAUGUUUGGACAGGCGCACUAGUUCAAAAAAAUUUGGUACUAAUGGCGCACCGUGGUCAGGGUGCGCCAUUAGUAGUUUCAACACUAAUGGCGCAUCAGAAGGUGGUGCGCCAUUAGUAUAUACUAAUGGCGCACCACUUGUCUGGUGCGCCAUUAGUGUCAUUUCCAUCUAUAGCCCUUUUCCUAGUAGUGUCUCGAGCAGGAGCACUUCAAGCUUCAACUCAUAGCCACUGCAAGGAGCCUGAAAAGGAAACAACAGAAGCUUCAAGCUGAACAAGACCUACUCAUCGACAGAUGGACUGACGUCCUGGCAGCCGAGGAAUACGGCCUCAAUUGCCCAGCCAAGAGCUACCCGAAACGUAGACUGCUACCUCAAUUCAAUGAGGAGGUGCCGGAGCAUAUAUCUCCCUCGCGCAAUGCGGAUCGACCACCACGCGGCCGGGAUAGGGCGGUGGAACAGCCAACCCGCGGUCGAGAUAAAGCGUCAACGCAGGCAGAACAGCAGACCGCCCCACCACCCCAUCAAAAUAGGGAGGGAAGAUUCCGGGGCCAUACAUACGACCUCCGACAGACCCUGGAUAGUAGAGCAGGACACACAAGAUCGAUCUACGGAUCACGAGGAUGUGCCUCUAGGCGCGACGACGGCUACGUAUUCGGACGUGACAAACCUAACCAAGCUCGAUCCGAAUGCCGCAGACGGACUCCUUCAGAGCUCCGCCACGAUGCGACCCAAUAUAGAGGCGCCGCACAACCACUCCGCUUCAUAGAUGAAGUACUGGAUCAUGAAUUCCCCGAGGGGUUCAAGCCCGUCAAUAUCGAAUCAUACGACGGCACAACCAAUCCUGCAGUAUGGAUCGAGGACAUCAUCCUCCACAUCCACAUGGCCCGAGGAGACGACCUCCACGCCAUCAAAUACCUCCCAUUAAAACUGAAAGGACCAGCUAGGCACUGGUUGAAUAGCCUGCCUGAGAACUCAGUCGGUAGCCUGGAAGAGGCUUUCCUCGAGAACUUUCAAGGAACUUAUGUCCGGCCACCAGAUGUCGAUGACCUAAGCCACAUAGUCCAACAACUCGGAGAAUCGGCCAGAAAAUUCUCGACUAGGUUCCUAUCCAAAAAGAACCAGAUUGUCGACUAUUUGGACGUCGAGGCCCUAGCAGCCUUCAAACAAAGCAUCUGGGAUGAAAGGCUAGCACGCCAUCUCGGACAAGAAAAGCCGAAGUCAAUGGCAGCCCUUACGAUACUCAUGACCCGCUUUUUCCCAGGCGAGGAUAGCUGGCUGGCUCGUAGCAAAGCUACAUCCAGCGAGGCAGGCCCUACAGAGGUCAAGAACAGCACCGGCAAGCUCCGGUGCAAUAGACACAAACAUAGAAGCAAUGGCGACAACACCGAAGACACCACAGUCAACGCCGGAUUCAGUGGCUCCACGUCCGGCCAACGGAAGAAACCCUAUAAAAGAAAUAAUGACGGACCUUCCAGCAUGGACCACAUACUCGACCGCCCGUGCCAAAUUCACGGCACCCUGGAUAAACAAGUCAAUCAUAACAACAAGGAUUGUUGGGUCUUCAAGGAGGCUGGUAAGUUAAAUGCCGAAAACAAAGAAAACGGGUCACAAAGCGAGGACAAGGAUGAAGAGGCCCGGCAACCGAACACCGGGGGAUAGAAGAAAUCCCCCCCCCCCCCAAGUUAAAAUGGUGAACAUGAUAUAAACCACGCACAUCCCCAGAAAGGAGCGCAAACAAGCACUCAGGGACGUCUAGGCGGUAGAACCAGUCGCCCCAAAGUUCAAUCCGUGGUCAUCAUUUCCGAUCACCUUCGAUCGACGAGAUCAUCCGACUAGUAUCCGCCAUGGCGGUUCGACCACACUAGUCCUAGACCCAAUCAUCGACGGAUUCCACCUAACACGAGUCCUGAUGGAUGGUGGAAGCAACCUCAACCUGUUGUAUCAGGAUACAGUAUGGAAGAUGGGCAUUAAUCCCUCGCGGAUCAAACCAACAAAGACUACCUUUAAAGGAGUCAUACCAGGUGUAGAGGCCCGCUGUACGGGCUCAAUCAUGCUGGAGGUGUUCUUCGGUUCCCCGGACAACUUCCGAAGCGAAGAGUUAAUCUUUGAUAUCGUCCCCUUCCACAGCGGCUACCAUGCACUACUUAGGCGAACCGCAUUUGCUAGAUUUAAUGCAGCGCCACACUAUGCUUACCUUAAGAUCGAGAAGUACAGUCCACAAGGUGUCAUACCAGUCAAUGGCAAUACAAAACGCUCCCUCCGAACAGAGGAGCAGACCACCGCCCUAGCAGCAGAAGCAUAGAGCAGCCUUCUCAAGCAGCAUUAUAACCCAACUGCCGAACCCCUGGACACCAUCAAGCGGGUCCGUACUACACUGCAGCAGGACAAUGCGGCUCAUCAAGAGUUCGACUAGCAAUUUAGCCUUCGUCCCAGCCCUAAUAAGGUAGUGGCAUUUGUACCACGCGUACACAAUUACGCACUCAAAAUUCCAUGGACAUCGACGGAGGCACGAGAUACCCGGGGUCCGCAAUCCGGCCAAACCAAUCCCGGACACGCAUACUUUUACUUCUUUUUCUUGUUUCAGGCACCCUUUUCUGCGGGUCUGAUGUCAAGUACUUUAGAAGGACUGAAAUACAACGGAGGCAAGCAACACAGGUGUGUAGGGUAACCUUUAUACGUUCUUCUUGACGGUAUUCACACUUACUUCUCAGGACCCGCACGCUGCGCCCUAUUGAUGCCGGCAUGUUAAAUGGUUAGAUACUUCUCACACCAUCUGGACAAGAUAAGCCUUGACGUAUCCGUCCAGUUAUAAUAAAAUGGUUCGUGGCCCAGUUCCUGUGGUUUUCGCUUCUUACUUCAUUUUCAUUUUCGAUCUGCUUAUUUGCUGCAUCGACACUCUUUUACAUUUAAUAUUCCCAGGGGCUACCUUUCGCCCCACAAUAUGGCAGCAUAGUCCGAACACUUUUUAUAUAUGUUCGGCACCCCGAAUUUAGCAUUAUAUGCAUUAGCUCUGAAUCAUGUCUUUGGUUAAUAGUUGGGUUACCCGGCUCCUGUGCUUGCUACCCUACGUUCCACUCCAUCGGCUAGGGUAGUAAAGGGAGAACUACUGCGAUUGUGCCCUUGCUUCGACCAGACGAGCACCUUAGUAGAGAAAGCCGAAAACUGACUGUCAUGAUGUGGCGAGAGCCGGUCAGCUACUCGAGGGUUACAAAUCGUUGGAUAUUUUUUCCGUGUUACGUGAGAGAUCGGAACUUCUCGAUCAUAUGCCGACAGUACUCUGGAUUAAACCAGGGGCUGCGCCCAUGCUUUAUUAUAAAACUCCUAUGGCUAAGUGAGGGCGUUAAAGCCAUAAAGUCUGAUUGCCUUGUUCGUUGCACUAACAACUCCUUCAAGGACCAUGUAACUGGAUCAAGAUUGUUUAGAUUCCAUCCCGAACACCUCUGUACUAUCUACGUGAGGGCAGAGGACGACGACUAGCCAACUGUCACAUCCUAGCUAGUCAUGCAUUAGAAUGUUGCAUCAUGUCUACCUUUCAUCAGAAACUUGAAUUGGGGAAGACAGAACCCCCAACACCCCCUCUGGAAUCAACUAAGGUUUACUAAAAAUAUUUUCAGUGAACCUGAAAUGCCCUUCUAAAAAGUUCACUCUCUUUGUCUUGGGUUAGAACCUCUGGCAAAAUUGGUGCACAAUUUUCUAGGUCAACAGAAGGUCAUUGAAUUAAAUCAUAUGUAAUUUGCAUUUGGGCAUUUGAAUGCUAGUAAAUAUUUUAAAUGCUCAAAUAAUUCUGAAGAUAAGUGUGGGCUAUUGGAAAUAUUCUAAACAGAUCCUCUGAUUAUUUUCAGGAUUUUUAGAAGUGCCUAGAUAUUUUUAAUAAAGCCACAAACCUACAGAAAAAAAUAGAAAACAGAAAUUAAAAAAGAGGGAGAGAACUUACCUGGCCGCAGCCCAUCAGCCAGCCCACCUGGCGGCCCAGCGCUGUGCUGGCCCAUGCCAGCCAGCUGCUUCGUCCCUGCCAGGCAGGCAGAGAGCUGACGCCGGCGAGCGCGAGCUCGCCACGGCGCCAGCAGCCUGCCGCGUCACACGCCUAGACACUGGAUAGGCUCCACGUCGCCGCCCCGACCCCGCGGACACCUCACUCGCCCCCUGCCUCUCUCCCUCGCACUCCCGCACCAUGGCCGCCGCACCGCCGCCGUAGUCGCGCCCUCUGUUGUCCCCGCGCCGAGCCACCGUGUCCAGAAGCUCCGCCGCCCUCCACUCCUUCGAGCAAGCCGAGCCCCGAGCGCUCGCUUGCCCCGCAGCCUCUGCAACAACCUCGCCCGACUCCGCCAUCGCCAGAGAUCCUCUUCACCGUCGCCACCGCAUCAGCUCGUCCCCGACUGCGCCAUCCAUUCCUACGUGACCCCCGUGAGCUCAGCUACCCCCCAUCCUCUCCGUUUGCUUUCUUGUGCACCGUAGCAACUGCACGAAGCUUCACCGCACGCGCCACCGCCGAGCUCGUCGCCGACGUGUCUCUGGCCAACCACUGGCCACACCACCAUAUUUAGGUACGCCGUGGCCGACACCCUCGUUGGGCUUCCGCUUGAAGGUUGCCGAGUACAUGUCGUGUAAACAGCGGUAAGUGGUGAGAGCGUGUAUGAAGAAGUAAACCCCUGCAGGGUUAACAUCAUCUAUUCGAAUAGCCGCGUCCGCGGUAAAGGACUACUUGGUUGCCUAUACAGUUGAUAGACAAGUUAAUGGAUACUACUAAAAGACUCAAGAUAAGUGUGAGUACCGAGGAUGGCCCUCUCGUAGGAUGACGAGGGAGGAUCGCCGGUGGUGUAUUGUGUUGGUGAUUAGUGGACUCGUGUGCGAAAACUAUUUUACUAAGUGGUGUCCCGUAGGAUAGCUUAGCCAAGAGUCAAAGCUGGCUUGCUACAAUAACUCCACCACCUUCUUGAGAAUGAGCAUGUAUAGUAGGUUUUGAUGUAAGACUUGCUGAGUACCUUUGUACUCAUGUUUGUUUAAUUACUGUUUUCAGACGACAACACCGCCCCCUCCGAUGGGUUUUAUGUAGAUCUUGACAUCGAUGAGUGACUUGCCACCCAGGUGGUGAUCCUGGCCAUGGAGGGCCCUAUGUAGAUAUACAGGCUUCGAGAAGCCUUCUUUCUUUCUAGUGUCUGUACUCAGACUAUUUGCUUCCGCAUGUGCUUGUAUGCUUGUAUGACUUGAGUGUUAGGUCAUGUGAUCCCUACCUGUAUGAACAUGUUAUGUAUGGCUCUCUGGAGCCUUUAAAUAAAGUACUUGAGUUGUAGAGUUUUGUUGUGAUGCCAUGUUGUAUUUGCACAUAUCGAUCAUAUUGUGUGUAUGAUUGAAAUGCUUGGUAUGUGUGGGAUCCGGCAAUCUAGUUGUUUAUCCUUGGCAUCCUUUCUUAUGGGGAAAUGUAGUCUAGUGUUCCUCGAGCCAUAGUAGUCCGCUACAGCCCGGUUCACCGGAGUCCUGCUAGCCUAGCACUACUGCUCAGGACACUUGACUGGUCGGCAUGUGUUUCACUUCGUUCCUAUGUCUGUCCCUUCGGGGAAAUGUCACGCAGUGACAUCCGGAGUCCUGUUAGCCCAGUGCUACAGCCCGGAUUCACUCGCUGAUGACCGACAUGCUCGAUGUGAUUCAUGUAUGCCUGUCUCCAUAGGUCCGUGCCGCUUUGGGAUCUCUACUAGCCAUGUCGGCCCGGGUUCUCUGUCAUAUGGAUGCUAGCGACACUAUCAUGUACGUGAGCAAAAGGAGCAAACGGUCCCGGGCCAUGGUAAGGCGACACCCGUGGGGAUACCGUGCGUGAGGUCGCAAUGUGAUAUGAGGUGUUACUGGCUAGAUCGAUGUGACUUGGAAUCGGGGUCCUGACAGCGUUGGCAUUAGAGCCGGACUGCCUGUAGGUUCGUUGAGCCAAACUGGUCAAUGUUGAGUCUAGAAAUGCUUUAGUUAUAUGUAGGGGAAUUGAUUGUGGGAGGGAACGUAAGGCUCUUUCUACUCCUUUAACUUAUGCUCUCUGAUCUGAGUCAUUCUCUUCUCAUUCAACGUGGGUUAAGGACUAGGCUAUCUUCUUCUGUCAGGUUCACGUGUUACUAAUCCGUAGUAACUUAUAGGAUUGUUGGUUACCAGCCUUAGUUCAGUUCUACCACUUUGAGUAUGUUGCCAGUUGAAUCAGAACCUUUAUAUGAUGUUGUUGAGUGGUGUUGCAAACUGUUGUGGAUGUCUCAAAUCUUUUUCUGAGCAUUUACAACUGUUAUGCUGUCCAAUUUUCCCUAGAAAUUCUAAUGUCUUUGCAUUGUGGUUGUGCUUUCAGAUGGCCACUCGUGCUCAAAACCAAGUGGUUCGCCUGACCCGGUGCCUUGAUGUGCCCGGUCAUACUGCUAUGUUAGUCCGGGUAAUGAUCGAGACGGGUUACCAUUUGUAUCCCGAAUACACUGUCGAAGAGCAAUUUCGAGACUUUAAUCAAAGCCAAUAUUUCUGCACUGUCAGGAUAUUUCCUUCUUAUCCUGGAUCUACCGAGCCCCUCCACUGUUCCUAUGGACUCCGGGUUACUGUUGAGAUGGCUGUGCAGGAUGCUGCCUAUUCCAUGAUGACCAUCAUGCGAGUCCGGACUGGCCUGCUUCGAAACACCGACUUCUGUUAUAUGCCAGCUUCACUCCCGGGAGCGCAAGGGUAUCUCCAGGCUAUCUAUGCUAACUCCACACGUGAGGACUCACUAACUCGCACCACUGCCGAAAUGCUUGAGGAUAAGGACCGAGAGAAUCGGGCCUUGAGACUGGAGCUUUUCAACACCCGUGCUGAUCAUUGGGCCACUUUGACUCGGUUUGCACCUGCUGUGCAAGAUGGAUGUAUGGAUACGAGGGAUCUGUAUCCUGUGAGAUCUGCUCUGCCAGACAUGGUGGAUUGGCGUGAUGUGGGAGGAAUCACCCCACCCCGUGGUCCCCGCAGGCCACCGUUUGUUGGUCCAAGACCUCAUCCUAGCCCCUUUGGUCCACACGCUCCUCAGGACCGUCUAUUCCCGGAUGAUCACGUUGAACUUCCAGGCUAUGGAGGUGACUUCUAUGAGGACUACUACAGAGCUGUCUGAGUUAGUACUAGUAUCACUAGUAUUGUAAUAGUUGUAUCUCCACUGUCCUGCGUGACUUGUGGAAUAUGACUUAGUGUGUAAUCAAUUCCAGAGGUGUAGACAAAUAAUGUAUAGGAGCUUGGAAUGCCUCCGAUGUGAUGUAACGUCUUUCAUCAUAGUUGUACUGUAGCCUGGGCUUGUACUAAACUAUGUAUAGUGUGUAUGACCGUUGGUAUAUAUAUGGCAGUUCUAUAUUACCAUGUCAUACAGAUGAACAUCUCUGCAUUCCGUGUUAUCCAUUACAUUCUGCACUUCCUUGCUAAGUUGUGCCAUCCUUAUCUAAACCGUUGUCUUGUUUUCUCCUAGGAUGGUCAACACCCGCAGCAACCCUGCUGCCCCGGAGUAGGGGGAAGCCAGUGCAAUUAGGGGUGAAAAUCUGCCUCACCCGCCUUCUCUGGCCGAAGUGAUGCUGUAGGCGGAAAGAAACAAGUGUGAGACUAACUGAUUGCUGGAGCGGAUUGAGCAGAACACUGCACACCGUCAGCGAAAUGACUUGGUGUCAAUCAAUGACUUCAUCAAGUUGUACCCACCAAAGUUUAACCAUUCCGUCGAGCCCCUCGACGCGAAUGACUAGCUUCAUAGCAUCACCCACAAGCUACAUUCUGCCAACGUAGCUGAAGCUGAUAAGGUUACUUAUGCUGCCUAUCACCUCGAAGGCCCUGCUAGUCUUUGGUGGGAAAAUUUUGAAGCUAUGCGCCCGGUCGGCCAAAUCACUACUUGGGCUGAAUUCAGUGAGGCUUUCCGUGAGCAUCACAUCCCGGAAGGUCUCAUAGAUUGCAAGAGGGAAGAGUUCUGCAAUUUCACCCAAGGAAGACUGACUAUGGAUGCAUAUAGUCAUGAAUUUGGGAAUCUGACACGAUAUGCUCCUGAAGAGGUAUCCACCGACGCUAAGAAGCAGGCAAGGUUCCGCAAGGGACUUAGCCCUGAACUUCGCCGUGAUCUUCGUCUGCACGAGUGCACCUCCUUUCAGAAGUUGGUCAAUAAAGCCAUCAGUUCUGAGACAUGCCAGUCUGACUAUGAUGCUUCACGCAAGCACUCUCGUGAUUUGUGCUCUUCAUCCGGCUCUGGAUCUCAGAAGUGCCGGGUGUGGAUUCCACGCAUGGCACUACCACCCAGGUUCAUUCCAAGGCCAUCCUUUGAGGCGCCUCGUCCCAACCAGCAGUUUGCACCGUCCAAGCCCUAUGGUGGCCCCGCUGCUAAUGCUGCUCCACACCCCAAUGUUGUGACAUGUUUCAUGUGUGGAGAGUCGGGUCACUACAGUCGAGAGUGUCCCUAGAACAACAACCCAGUCAGUCUGGAAAGUCCGUUGGUCGUGGUAAGCCAGCGGGAAAGACAUUCUGCGCCAAGCCGGUCACCACUGCACGUGGCCAUGUUAAAUAUGUCUCAGCCGAGGAGGCUCAUGAGGAUCAUAACGUCGUCCUUGGUAUGCUCCUUGUUAAUUGUCAUCCGGCAUCUGUUCUUUUCGAUACGGGAGCAUCUCAUUCAUUCAUAUCUGAGAGCUAUGCUCGAUUGCAUAACACAACAUUCGGUGACAUGCCCACUACCAUGGAAAUUCAAACCCCUGGCUCUAGAUGGCAAACUUCUAGAGUAAGCCAUGGGAAUGAAAUUCUUGUCGAUAGACUUGUCUUCCUUGCAUCUUUAAUAGCUCUCAAGUCCUCAGACAUAAACAUCAUCUUGGGUAUGGACUGGCUGUCAGCUCAUUAUGCUAAGAUUGAUUGUGCCACUAGAACCGUUCAACUUACUCACCCAUCGGGCAAGACAGUCAAUGUUUUAACUCGAGUGGCCAAGCACCAGCUUUACUCCCUAAAUGCCAACCCCCUUCUAGACCUUGAAGAUAUUCCGGUAGUCCGGGACUUUCCGGAUGUGUUUCCAGAAGAACUGCCAGGUGUUCCACCUGACAGGGAUGUCGAGUUUGUGAUAGACCUUGUUCCAGGAACCGUUCCAAUUUCUAGAAGACCCUAUAAGAUGGCACCCUUAGAACUAGCCGAGCUUAAGAACCAACUCGAUGAGUCCUUGAAAAAGAGUUUCAUCCAUCCUAGUUCCUCUCCUUGUGCUUGCCCCGUCCUCUUCGUCAAGAAGAAGGAUGGAACGGAUCAGAUGGUUGUAGAUUACCGACCUGUCAACUUGGUCACUAUCAAGAACAAGUAUCCGCUUCCUAGGAUCAACGAUCUAUAUGACCAGCUCGCUGGACCCUCAGUCUUUUCCAAGAUGGAUUUGAGGUUGGUCUACCAUCAAUUCAAAAUCAGAAACGGGGACAUUCCCAAAACGGCCUUUGUUACUCGUUAUGGCCAAUACGAGUACACCGUUAUGUCCUUCGGUUUAACCAAUGCCCCAGCCACCUUCUCUCGGUUAAUGAACUCGGUCUUCAUGGAGUAUUUGGAUAAAUUCGUCAUAGUAUACCUUGAUGACAUACUCAUCUACUCCAAGAAUGAAGAGGAACAUGCCGAACAUCUAAGGCUGGUCUUGACGAAACUUCGAGAGCAUCGCCUUUAUGCCAAAUUCUCCAAGUGUGAAUUUUGGUUGCCAGAAGUGACCUCUCUAGGCUAUGUAAUCUUUUGUAAGGGUAUUGCUGUCAAUCCCGAGCGAGUUCAAGCCGUCCUUGAUUGGACUCCACUUGAGACGGUCAAGCAAGUUCGGAGCUUCCUUGGCUUAGCGAGCUAUUGCCGCCGCUUCGUCGAGAAUUUCUCCAAGGUUGCCAAACCUCUAACUGAACUCCUCAAGAAAGAUAAAAGGUUCGAGUGGACCCCACAGUGCGAGUUCAGCUUUCAGGAACUGAAAAGACGCUUGACAUCUGCUCCCGUACUGGUACCACCAGAUUUCUCCAAGGACUUUAUUAUCUAUUGCGACGCCUCAGGACAAGGACUAGGUUGCAUAUUCAUGCAAGAUCGUCAGGUAAUUGCCUAUGCUUCACGGCAAUUACACCCCCAUGAGGAAAAUUAUCCCACACAUGAUCUAGAGCUUGCAGCUGUAGUCCAUGCACUUAAAACUUGGCGACAUUGCCUUCUCGGUAAUCGUUGCGAGAUCUUCACCGAUCACCAAAGUUUGAAAUAUAUCUUCACCCAAACGGAUUUGAAUCUCAGGCAAAGACGUUGGGUCGAUUUGAUCGUGGAUUACGACUUAGGAAUAACUUACAUCCCGGGCAAAGCCAAUGUCAUGGCUGAUGCGCUGAGUCGUAAAUCUUAUUGUAACAACCUGAUGUUACAACAAAGUCAACCACUUCUCCAUGAGGAAUUUCGUAAGCUUAAUCUUCACAUUGUUCCUCAAGGAUUCCUAUCAACCCUAGUGGCGAAACCAACCCUUACGGAUCAGAUCAUCGAGGCACAGAAGGUAGAUCCGGGAAUCUCCCUGUCGGGACCCCGAUCCUAAGUCACACAGAUCUAGCAUGUAACACUUCAUAUCACUUUGCGGCCUCACGCACGGUAUUUCCAUGGGUGCCACCUUACCUGGCCCGGGACUGUUUGCGCCUUUUGGCUCACGUAUAUGAUAGUGUCGCUAGCAUCCGUAUGACAAAGAACCCGGGCCGACAUGACUAGUCGUGAACCCAAAAUAGCACUAACUUACAGGGACAUGCAUACAUGAAUCAACCUCGAGCUUGUCGGUCAACAGCGUAUGAAUACGGGCUGUAGCACUAGGCUAACAGGACUCUGGGAUGUCACCGCGUGACAUUUCCCUGAAGGGACAGACACAGGAACGAAGUGAAUCACGUGCCGGCCAGUCAAGUGUUCCGGAGCAGUAGUGCUGGGCUAGCAGGACUCCGGUGAACCGGGCUGUAGCGGACUAUUAUGGCUCAUGGAAGCACAAGACUACAUUUCCCCAUAAGAGAGGCUACCAGAGGUGAACAACUAGGUUGUCGGAUCCCACACAUAGCAAUACACGUUACACGUACACAUGACAUGCAAGUAUGUGUUGUACAACAUGGCAUCACAACAUAACUCAAACUCAUAUAGAUAAAGGCCCAGAAGAGCCACAUAGCAUUCAAUACAAACAGGGGCUUCAUGACCCAUUAUUCAGAGCAUAGAAGCAACAGAAGCAUUACAUGUCUGAGUGCAGACAACUACAAAAGAAAAAGACUAGGAAGCCUGACUAAACAAGACCCUCCCAAGGGUACAAGAUCGUAGCUGGGAUACAAGCUACUCGUCAAAGUCACUAGUGUAACCAACUGCAAAACAUAAAUAAGCAAACGUGAGUACAAAGGUACUCAGCAAGACUUACAUCAGAACUAUCUACAUAUGCAACAUUAUCAACAAAAGGGUGGUGGUGGAGUUUUAACAGCAGCAAGCUAGCUUUGACUCAGUGGCUAACCUAUACUACGAGUAUUAGAAACUUCUUUGAGGUAAGAAGACGCACACGAGUCCACAUAUUCACCAUAUCAACACUCCAUUAUGGAUCCGUUCCCGUCUCCCUACGAGAAGGCCAUCCAUAGCACUCACGGUUAUCUUGCGGAUUUUAGAGUAUCCACUUCAAGUUGUCUAUGUACUACAUAACUUCUCCAAGUUUCCAUAUCCGAGGAAAACGACUAUUUGAAUAGAUAAUAUUGACCCUGCAGGGGUGUACUUCUUCACACACGCUCUCGCCACUUAUAGCCCUGUACACGUCAUGUACCUCGGCAACCUUCAAGCGGAAGCCGGGCGAGGGUGUCGGCCACGACCUGACUAAGCACACAAGUCUCUCAUCCAGGUUUAUCACCUAUUUGGGUUCCAUCCGCAAGGAAAUCCGGUCGGGGAGUCGCUCACGGCCCCAAACGAUGUGUGCAGGGUUCCCAAGCCCACCAUCUGGGUGCCACUUGGUACACCGUGCCAUGGUGCCUAGUCUGUCCCAAGCCCGUCCCGUCGGACGCCACCUGGUAGACAAGUAGCACUACCUACCAACGCCAGAAACUAGUUGCAACUCCUGGACAAAGAUCAAGUGGAUUAAUAAGCCGAGAGGGGCCGGAUGACCUGAACCCAAUGUGUGGUAGUAACUGGACUUGGAUAACAUACACAGAACUUAGUGCUUAGGGACGGUUCCAAUGAGAUAACCCACCAUGUACUCCUACAUGGCCUCUCAUCGCUACCUUUACCAAAACGUGUUCACACACUUAGCCUUUACUGGUAGGACAUGUUCACCACUCUGAUUCAUUCCCGAUGAAUCAGACCUGACACAACUCUAAGCAUAGCUGGCAUAAAGAAAACAAGCAUGGAUGAGCAGGCACAUCAAGGCUCAAGCAACUCCUACUCAUGCUAGUGGGUUUCAACUAUUUACUGUGGCAAUGACAGGUCAUGUAGAGGAAUGGGUUCAGCUACCGCAGCAGAAAGUAGCAGUUUGAAUCGUUGUUGUCCUAAUGCAGUAAAAGGAGCAGGAGCGAGAGAGUGGGAUUUAUCGAGAUGCUCAAGGGGGUUUGCUUGCCUGAUAGAUUCACGAAGAAGUACUUCUCCUAAGACAGGUACUCGGGACACCUUCCGGAGUAGAACCUAUCGAGAAUGGACGGUGCCGGCAAUCAAUAAACAACCAUAUGCAACAAUAUGAUGCAUGAAGAUGACAUUUCAAAGAUGCUAUGAUUUGCCCUAAUGCAUCUAGCAUCAAUUUGGUUGAAGUCCAUAUGAACCAAGGGUUCAUAUGCAAACCCCAAAUUAAAUACAUAACAUGCCAUUAUUACGUUUUCACUUAUACAGCAAGUAUAAGUUGGUUUUCCAUGCAUGAAACUGGCAUAAAUGGAUUCCUUGCAUUUUUAUGAUAAUUUUUCAUAUAUAAUUUAUUUGAUUUGGAGUUACAGUUGAAUUACUAUGAAUUCUAGAAGUUUUAACUAUUUUCUGAAAUUCUCUGAAUUAUUUAAAAUCCAAAAAAACAAUUACUGCGUCAGCGUGAUGUCACAGAGGCGUCAGCAGGGCUGACUAGGUCAAACCUGACGUGUGGGGGCCACACGUUAGUGACACGGGGUUAAGCCCGAGUCAAACCCGCACUGACCAGGGUUUGACUUGGCUCUGGGGCCCACUGUCAGUCUCAGGGGGAUUAGGCUGUGGGAUUAGCGCUAAUUAAGCCGCCACGUCAGCCUCGCCGGAGUUCGGCCGGCGACGACCAAACCACGCGGCGGUGCUUCGCCGGAACGGGCUACACACGGCGGCGGGGACUACCAAUCGGUAGCCCGCGCUCGACCGCAUCCACCUGGGCAUAGGGGAAGUCGCGGGGACGGCGGAGCUCGCCGGAGCAGGGCUCGCGGCGGCGGCUGGAGCUCGGCUAUGCGCGGGCGGGGUGCUGCAGCUCGAGGCGAGCGAAUGGGGGGUGCUAGGCGGCACCUAAGGCAACAGGAGCCCGCCGGAGCAACUAGCAGGAGCGGAGGGGCUCAGGGGCACGGAGCUCGCCGGCCAUGGAGGACGGCGGUUUCGGGUGCUCGCGGGGCAGCGGCUAGGAUGCAGGAUAGAGCACGAGGAAGGAGGGGGAAACGGAUUAGAGCUCACAGGGAUCACGUAGAGCAGGCCAGCGGGCUCGGUGAAGGCCUGGAGCGAGUGAGGCAACGAGGAAGAUCUCCGGCGGCCGGUGAUGGAAACGAAGACGGUGGUGUUGCUUCCGGCGUUCCGCGGGCGCGUGACUCGGUGGAGAGAGCGAGGGCGUUGAGGCGAAGCUCGUGGGCACGUCGGAGAGGCGAGGGAAAGGCAGUGGCCGCGGUGGUGUUUGCCAGCAGCGACGGCAGCACUCGGGUACGUGCGAGAGAGAGGACAAAGGAGGGGGAGGAGCGAGAGGGAGUGAGAGGGGGUCGGGGCUUGCGUGGCAUCUCCAUAGAAGGCCAGGGCGUCGACGGGGAGCGGCAAGUAGGAGCUGGCGAGGCGCGUGGCCAGCGUGUAGCGAGCACGCGCUCGUCCUUCUGUCCGGGGAGGAAGACGACAGCGAGGCUGCGGUGGUGGGUUGGGCCUAGCUGGGCCGGUCCUGUUGGGCCACCAGGUAAGCGCCAGGUAAGUGUUUUCUCUCUUUUUUUUAUUUCUGACAUUUGUUUAGUAUCUAAAAGAAAUGUUAAAACAUUUCCAUAAAUGCUGAAAAUAAUUGUGGCAUCUAGAUAUAAUAUUCUAGAGGCCCUCACCAAUUCCCAACAUUUUUGGAGCCAUUAAAAUAUUUAUAUAAUUUAAACAGCUCCAAAUCAAAUAUUUAUGCAUUGAUUCAAAAAUCCAAAAUGUGUAGCAAAAAUGUGCAUCACCUCUGGUUGUUGUUCCCAACAUUAUCCAAAGAGCAUGAACAUUUUUGGAGAGCAUUUUGGGUUCAUUGAAAUUCCAUUUUAAAGUUGAACCUAUUGGAAAAUACUUUGGUGCUAGGGUUUGCAACUGUCUCCAUUUCAAAUUCAUUUGAAAUUUAAACAUGAUGCACAAAGCAAGCCUAGGAUCAUACCAGAACUAGGGAUGUGACACUCCCGUAUUAAGAGAAACAUUAAGAAAGGAGUCGCGAAUUGUUUCUCCGUUGAUGAUCAAGGUGUCGUAUACUUUGGAAACCGCUUAGUGGUUCCCAAGGCACGAAACCUGAGGCGGCUGAUCAUUAAGGAAGCUCACGAAUCCCCUCUCACCAUUCAUCCCGGUAGUACUAAGAUGUAUCAAGACCUACGCCAGAGGUUUUGGUGGACUAGGAUGAAGAGAGAAAUCGCUCAAUACAUUGCUAAUUGCGAUGUCUGUCGUCGUGUUAAAGCAGAGCAUCAAAGGCCUACUGGCACCCUUCAACCUUUGGCAAUUCCUGAAUGGAAAUGGGAUAAAAUUGGUAUGGAUUUGAUUACCGGGUUUCCCAGGACCAAGAGAGGGAAUAAUGCCAUCUUCGUCAUGAUCGACCGUCUUUCCAAAGUAGCCCAUUUCCUACCUGUUCGUGAGAGUAUCACCGCUAGCCAGCUAGCUGAUUUAUACAUCUCCCGAAUAGUGUCUCUUCAUGGUGUCCCAUUGGAAAUUAACUCAGACCGUGGGAGUCUCUUCACCUCUCGAUUUUGGGAAAGUUUCAAAAAUGCUAUGGGAACUCGUCUCUCUUUUAGCACCCCUUCCAUCCUCAAUCAAGUGGUCAAGUAGAGCGAGUCAGUCAAAUUCUGGAAGAUAUGCUCCGAGCUUCUGUCAUCUCAUUCGGAAUGGGUUGGGAGAAAUGCCUUCCAUUCGUGGAGUUUGCUUAUAACAAUAGUUAUCAAGCUAGCUUGGUCAAAGCUCCUUUCGAAGUUCUUUAUGGACGAAAAUGUUGAACGCCUCUUAACUGGUCAGAAACCGGGGAAAGAUAACUCUUUGGCCCGGAUAUGAUCCAGGAAGCAGAAGAGCAGGUUCGCGUUAUUCGUGAGAAAUUGAAAACGGCCCAAUCUCGCCAAAAGAGUCAAUAUGACCGCAAGCAUAAUCCUAUGUCUUAUGAAGUUGGCGAGAAGGCUUACCUUCGGGUUACACCUUUAAAGGGAACCCAUCGAUUCGGUAUCAAGGGCAAGUUGGCUCCUCGUUACAUUGGACCCUUUUGCAUUCUUGCCCAACGAGGAGAAGUUGCCUACCAAUUGGAACUACCUUCGCAUCUUUCCAGAGUUCACGAUGUCUUCCACGUUUCUCAACUCAGGCGUUGCUUCGUGGAUCCUAUCCGUAGAGUGGACCACGAAACACUUGAUCUACAAGAUAACCUCUCAUAUCGGGAAUAUCUCGUUCGUAUCCUUGAUCAAGACGAGCGUACCACUCGACGCCAUAAUAUCAAGUUUCUCAAGGUUCAAUGGUCACACCAUUCCGAGCAAGAAGCUACUUGGGAAAGGGAGGAUCGUCUUCGACUCAAGUACCCCACCUUCUUCCCGAAGGAUCCUAAAUCUCGGGAUGAGAUUCGUUUGAGUGGGGGUGAGUUGUCACAUCCUAGCUAGUCAUGCAUUAUAAUGUUGCAUCAUGUCUACCUUUCAUCAGAAACUUGAAUUGGGGAAGACAGAACCCCCAGAACCGCCUCUGGAAUCAACUAAGGUUUACUAAAAACAUUUUCAGUGAACCUGAAAUACCCUUCUAAAAAAUUCACUCUCUUUGUCUUGGGUUAGAACCUCUGGCAAAAUUGGUGCACAAUUUUCUAGGUCAAUAGAAGGUCAUUGAAUUAAAUCAUAUGUAAUUUGCAUUUGGGCAUUUGAAUGCUAGUAAAUAUUUUAAAUGCUCAAAUAAUUCUGAAGAUAAGUGUGGGAUGUUGGAAAUAUUCUAAACAGAGCCUCUGAUUAUUUUCAGGAUUUUUAGAAGUGCCUAGCUAUUUUUAAUAAAGACACAAACCUACAGAAAAAAAUAGAAAAUAGAAAUUAAAAAAGAGGGAGAGAACUUACCUGGCCGCAGCCCAUCAGACGGCCCACCUGGCGGCCCAGCGCUGUGCUGACCCAUGCCAGCCAGUUGCUUUGUCCCCGCUAGGCAGGCAGAGAGCUGACGCCGGCGGGCGCGAGCUCGCCACGGCGCCAGCAGCUUGCCCAUCGCGCGCCUGGACACUGGAUAGGCUCCACGUCGCCACCCCGACCCCGUGGACACCUCACUCGCCCCCUGCCUCUCUCCCUCGCUCUCCCGCACCAUGGCCGACGCACCUGCCGCCGCACCGCCACCGUAGUCGUGCCCUCCGUCGUCCCCGCCCCGAGCCACCGUGUCCAGAAGCUCCGCCACCCUCCACUCCUUCGAGCAAGCCGAGCCCCGAGCGCUCUCUUGCCCCGCAACCUCUGCAACAACCUCACCCGACUCCGCCAUCGCCGGAGAUCCUCUUCGUCGUCGCCACCGCAUCAGCUCGUCCCGGCCGUGCUGUCCAUUCCUACGUGACCCCCGUGAGCUCACCUACCUCCCCAUCCUCUUUGUUUGCUUUCUUGUGCACCAUAGCAACUGCACGAAGCUUCACCGCACGUGCCACCACCGAGCUCGUCGCAGACGUGUCUCCGGCCAACCACCGGCCACACCAUCGUGUCCAACACACUCACUACACCCCCAGGAGGCCGUAGCACCCCUCUGCGCCCCCUGCCGUGCCUCCUAACGCCGUUUCCGUGCACGCCCGAACUCCGGCCGCCGCCUGGCUCGACGCCGGCGUCAUCUCCGGCCACCCUCGCACACACCGCUUGCUCCACUCGGCGCGCGAGUUCACCAACAGCACGUAGAUGCCCUCCGCCGGCCAUUUGGUCACCGGAGGAGGAAUUCCGACGCCCUCCGCCGCGUCUGUCCUCGCCGGCGGGUUUGACCCGUUGACCUUGACUGGGUGGGCCCAGGUUGACUCCCCUGAGUCUAUGACAAGUGGGCCCCCCCUCUGCUAAUUAACCCAGAUUAGUUUUAACUAAUUUUAGUUAGUUUAAAUAAUUGCUGACAUGCGGGACCCACUGGUCAGAUUGACCUGGACGUCCCCGUUGACCACUGAUGUCACCCUGACGCACUGCUGACGCAAUAACUAAUUUCUGGAUUUAGUUUUAUAUAGAGAAUUCCAGAAAUUGUUGCAAACUUUAAAAAAUCAUAGAAAUUAAUCUGUAACUCCAAAUGAAAAGAUUUAUAUAUGAAUUUUGAUCCCAAAAAUUCAGUCUAUCCAUUGGUAAUGGUUUCAUGCAUGACAAAACAAGUUAACCUUGCUGUUUAAGAAAAAUAAGAUAAUGCCCUAAUAUGGCUAUGUUAAAUGAACUAACAUUUGAAUCUUUGAUUCAAAUGGGUUCAUUCCUUUCUAUUUUAGCUUGCAUUAGGCCAAGACACAUUCAUUUUGCCAUGUUAUAGCAUGCAUCAUAUUGUUGCAUAUUGUCAUGUGUUGAUUAUGUUCGGUGUGUCUUUCGUGGUAGGUUCUGCCUCCGAGGAUAACCCCGAAUAUCCGUCUGAAGGGCAGUACCCUAGUACCACUACAUCAGGCAAGCAGCCCCAUUGAUCAUAUCGAUACAAUCCCAUGUUCUCGCCUUUGCUCUCAUUUACUGCAUUAAGACAACAACGUUUCAAACUGCUGUGUGCUACGGUAGUUGAACCCUUAUCCUCUGCAUGACCUGUCAUUGCCACAGUAACUAGAUGAAACCCACUAGCAUGUGUAGGAGUUGAUUGAGCCUUGUAUGUGUUUCCUACCUUGCUAUGCCUGCUAUGCUUAGAGUUGUGUCAGGUCUGGUUCAUCUGGGUGAUGGGCUAGAGUGAAAUGAUUAUGUCAGUAAUGUGAGGGAUGUGUUGAACAUGUUUUGGUAAAGGUAUCGAUGAGAGGCCAUGUGGGAGUACAUGGUGGGUUGUUCCAUUGAGGCCGUCCCUAAGAACUGAGAUCUGUAUGUGUGAUUUUAAGAAUCAGCUACUACCAUGCAUUGGGAUCCUUAAUUGACCCUCUCGGCUUCUUAAUCACCCUAGUACUCUGUCCAGGAGUUGCAAUUAGUUUCUGGUGUUUGUAGGUUAUGUGUUGGCGGCCGUGCGUAGCGCUGACCCUAGGGGUGGGCUAUGUUGCGGUAGAUACACCGUGGCCGUGUAUGCCGGGCGCCCGUUUGGCGUCUCGGGACCCUGUUCACAUCGUUCGGGGCCGUAUGUGGAAACCUCGCUCGGACUCCCUACGGAUGGAACCUGGAUAGGCGAUAAACCUAGACUAGAGACUUGAGUGUUUAGGUAGGCCAUGGCUGACACCCUUGUUGGGCUUCCGCUUGAAGGUUGCCGAGUACAUGUCGUGUAAACGGCGGUAAGUGGUGAGAGUGUGUAUGAAGAAGUACACCCCUGCAGGGUUAACAUCAUCUAUUCGAAUAGCCGCGUCCGCGGUAAAGGACUACUUGGUUGCCUAUACAGUUCAUAGAAAAGUUAAUGGAUACUACUAAAAGACUCAAGAUAAGUGUGAGUACCGAGGAUGGCCCUCUCGUAGGAUGACGAGGGAGGAUCCCCGGUGGUGUAUUGUGUUGGUGAUUAGUGGACCCGUGUGAGAAAACUAUUUUACUAAGUGGUGUCCCAUAGGAUAGCUUAGCCAAUAGUCAAAGCUAGCUUGCUGCUAUAACUCCACCACCUUCUUGAGAAUGAGCAUGUAUAGUAGGUUCUGAUGUAAGACUUGCUAAGUACCUUUGUACUCAUGUUUGUUUAAUUACUAUUUUCAGACGACAACACCACCACCUUCUUGAGAAGGGUUUUAUGUAGAUCUCAACGUCGAUGAGUGACUUGCCACCCAGGUGGUGAUCCUGGCCAUGGAGGGCCCUAUGUAGAUAGACAGGCUUCGAGAAGCCUUCUUUCUUUCUAGUGUCUGUACUCAGACUAUUUGCUUCCGCAUGUGCUUGUAUGCUUGUAUGACUUGAGUGUCAGGUCAUGUGACCCCUACCUAUAUGAACAUGUUAUGUAUGGCUCUCUGGAGCCUUUAAAUAAAGUACUUGAGUUGUAGAGUUUUGUUGUGAUGCCAUGUUGUAUUUGCACAUAUCGAGCAUAUUGUGUGUAUCAUUGAAAUGCUUGGUAUGUGUGGGAUCCGACAAUCUAGUUGUUUAUCCUUGGCAGCCUUUCUUAUGGGGAAAUGUAGUCUAGUGUUCCUCGAGCCAUAGUAGUCCGCUACAGCCCGGUUCAUCGGAGUCCUGCUAGCCCAGCACUACUGCUCAGGACACUUGACUGGCCGCCAUGUGUUUCACUUCGUUCCUAUGUCUGUCCCUUCGGGGAAAUGUCACGCGGUGACAUCCGGAGUCCUGUUAGCCCAGUGCUACAGCCCAGAUUCACUCGCUGAUGACCGACAUGCUUGAUGUGAUUCAUGUAUGCCUGUCUCCAUAGGUCUGUGCCGCUUUGGGUUCUCGACUAGCCAUGUCAGCCCGGGUUCUCUGUCAUAUGGAUCGUAGCGACACUAUCAUAUACAUGAGCCAAAAGGCGCAAACGGUCCCGGGCCAUGGUAAGGCGACACCCGUGGGGAUACCGUGCGUGAGGCCGCAAUGUGAUACGCGGUGUUACCGGCUAGAUCGAUGUGACUUGGAAUCAGGGUCCUGACACCAACCCUCAGAUCACACACAACGCUGCUGGACAGGAGGAAACAAUUCAAAGCACAAUAAAAUUACUUUACAAAAACUUGCUUUGUUCCCAUAAUACAAGACAAAGGCAACAUGAAUACAUUUAUUCAAAUACAAUGUCGUGCGAACAUUGUGCCGCUACAAGUCGAGACCCUUCUACAACAUCCUAGAAAUAUCGCACGGGUGUGCGGUGCUCCUUGCCCUCAGGCGGACCGCUGGCGACUUCAACAACGUUCAUCUUCGCCCACCACAUCUUGCAGUGAGUGAAGGCCACAGCCGGAUUAUCACAUCCUUAAUGGCUAGUUCGGCCACCCUAUGCAGCUUCACCAGCUGUUUCAGCUGAUCGGUGAAGGACACGGGAUGCUCUGGUGCCGCAUACUGCGACCAGAAGAGCCUCUCCGAAGAACCCCCUCCUUCGGCUCGAUAGAAUUCCAUGGCAUCCGAUACACUGCGUGGCAAAUCCGCAGAAGCCCCUGGGGAACUCCGAACCCGGGUUAGUCAAAGGUACUGCUUCUCUGCAUACUUGCUUUGCAUCUUAAAUGCCUUACCUGUUGUGAUCUUCUUGGCCUCCUGGAUCUCUUGGAGGACGGCGUGGGCCUCAUUCUGUGUGGUCUCUGCGCUCUGACGAGCCUUGGUGAGUUCGGUCCCUCGAACCAACGCAUCAUGCUCCAAGGCCUCGCAUUUUUUCACCGCAUCUUGGAGCUCCUGUUGGACUUCUUUGACCCGGACAUUUAGCUUCUUACGGGUUGCUUGCUGCUAGACAGCCUGCUCCUCGGCCUCGCCCAAGGCCUUCCUCAAGGCCUCGACUUCGGUAAUUGCUUCUGCACAUAUCACAAUACCACUGUCAAUAUACAAUGUUUAUCCCUUCCCGAACAUAUAGCAAGUCUUACCUCACCUUGCUUCUCCUGGAGCCGAACCUUAACAUCACCGAGCUCGUUCUCGGUCCGCUCGAGCCUCCGCUUUAGCUCAGAGACCUCGGCAGCAUGCGAGGUCGCGGCCAAAAGGGACGCCUGCUUAUCAAUACAUAUUCAGUCAGCCUCUUAUAAUUAAGGAUUGAUCCCAUGUCCGGUCUUCCUCGCCGAACACCGGACAACAUCUCAGGGCUACAGACUACACGUGGUUUUUCUCUUUCUUACCUCAAAACCUGUUAACAAGCUGCUGCAGGAUUUAUUCAGUCCACUUUUGGCGGACUGAACCUUCUCAAUCACCACACCCAUAAGGAUACAGUUGAUGUCUACUACACAACCUUCUUCUUUAGACGUUGUUGGGCCUCCAAGUGCAGAGGUUUGUAGGACAGUAGCAAAUUUCCCUCAAGUGGAUGACCUAAGGUUUAUCAACCUGUAGGAGGCGUAGGAUGAAGAUGGUCUCUCAAGCAACCCUGCAACCAAAUAACAAAGAGUCUCUUGUGUCCCCAACACACCCAAUACAAUGGUUAAUUGUAUAGGUGCAUUAGUUCAGCAAAGAGAUGGUGAUACAAGUGGUAUAUGGAUAGUAGAUAAUAGUUUUUGUAAUCUGAAAAUAUAAAAAAACAGCAAGGUAACUAAUGAUAAAAGUGAGCACAAACGGUAUUGCAAUGCAUUGAAACAAGGCCUAGGGUUCAUACUUUCGCUAGUGCAAGUUCUCUCAACAAUAAUAGCAUAAUUUGAUCACAUAACUAUCCCUCAACAUGCAACAAAGAGUCACUCCAAUGUCACUAAUAGCGGAGAAUGAACGAAGAGAUUAUGGUUGGGUACGAAACCACCUCAAAGUUAUUCUUUCCAAUCAAUCCGUUCGGCUAUUCCUAUAAGUGUCACAAACAGCCCUAGAGUUCAUACUAGAAUAACACCUUAAGACACAAAUCAACCAAAAUUCUAAUGUCACCUAGAUACUCCAAUGUCACCUCAAGUAUCUGUGGGUAUGAUUAUACGAUAUGCAUCACACAAUCUCAAAUUGAUCUAUUCAACUAACACAUAGAACCUCUAAGAGUGCCCCAAAGUUUCUACCGGAGAAUCACGACGAAAACGUGUGCCAACCCCUAUGCAUAAGUUGAUCACCAAAACAUACAUCAAGUGAAUCACGUGAUAUCCCAUUGUCACCACAGAUACGCACGGCAAGACAUACAUCAAGUGUUCUCAAAUCUUUAAAGACUUAACCCGGGAAACUCAAUCCAUUACAAGAGAGUAGAGGGGGAGGAGAAACAUAAGAUCCAACUAUAAUAUCAAAGCUCGUAAUACAUCAAGAUCGUGCCAAAUCAAGAACACGAGACAUAGAGAUCAAACACAUAGCUACUGGUACAUACCCUCAGCCUCGAGGGAGAACUACUCCCUCCUCGUCAUGGAGAGCACUGGGAUGAUGAAGAUAGCCACCGGAGAGGGAUUCCCCCUCCGACAGGGUGCCAAAACGGGUCUAGAUUGGCUUUCGGUGGCUACGGAUGCUUCUGGCGGUGGAACUCCCGAUCUAUUGUGCUCCCGGAUGUUUUUAGGGUAUAUGGAGAUAUAUAGGCGGAAUAAGUACGUCAGGGGAGCCACGAGGGGCACACGAGGGUGGAGGCCCCCCCCCCGCCUCGUGGCCUCCUCGUUGCUUCCCUUACGUGGAGUCCAAGUCUCCCGGGUUUCUUUCCUUCCAAAAAUAAGUUCCGUGAAGUUUCAGGUCAAUUGGACUCCGUUUGAUUUUCCUUUUCUGCGAUACUCUAAAACAAGGAAAAAACAGAAACUGUCACUGGGCUCUAGUUUAAUAGGUCAGUCCCAAAAAUAAUAUAAAAGUGUAUAAUAAAGGCAAUAAACAUCCAAAGUUGAUAAUAUAAUAGCAUGGAACAAUCAAAAAUUAUAGAUACGUUGGAGACGUAUCAACGGUGCUCGUCGACUACGGAGGUGCUUCGUAGCGCCCCCAUCAGGUCAUCUGGCGCUCCUGGAUGGACAGGAGCCACCGGUGGAGCCGACACCCCCCUCCUUCAAAGGGGGCUGCUCGCCCGAUUCCGGAGCCAUAUUGGUCUCCGGAAUCGUAUUUGGCUGAGGGCCGAACUGGAUACGACCCUCUCCGCCAGUCUCCAUGGGGAUAGACUCCCCCGUGUGUCCGGCAGUGGAGGUCCCGCCUUGAGGCGCCUCCCGGACAACGUCCUGGUCUCCUCUCCUUGGUGCGGUCCUCCGGGAUAACACUUCGGAGUCAUCCCUGGCCCCGGGGGAGUAAGUAGGUGGUGGCGACAUGCUCGCCAUCUCCGAGGGAGCCAACAAACCUCCAGAUGAGGAUCUCUGGAUAAGGUCGCGGCCGGACUACAAUAAUGUGUAUUAACCGUAUCAGAAAUACUAAAAAAGGGCUGCUAUGCGCAUGAGUAAGCCAUGUCACUUACGAUGCGGCCUGGGGCCUAGAACGGGGGUGACGUUCCGGACUACUAUUAGCGUCCCACGCGGUAUUGACCGCUCGAGUGCCCUUCCCCUUUUUGGGCGCUUUCACCUUCGGAUGUGCCGAGGCCACCCUAUUCUUCUUCUUCUCCUCAGGAGGAAGUUUGUUUCCCUCCUCCUCCUCUUCCUCGUCGUUGUCCUCAAGGACAAAUGAAUGGGCCUCGUCGUCUGUGGACAUCAAGUCCGAAGUGCCCUUGCGAUGGGGGCCACUCUUGGCCCCCUUGGCCUUCUUCUUGGCUUUCUUCUCCAGCGCCGUAUAUGGCGCCGACACCAGCAUCUUGGCCAGGCACGGGAUGACUGGUUCUUCAGGCAACGGAGCCGGACACUGGAUUCGCUUCGCCCUCUCCGGCCAGUCCUAAGGGAGCAAUAUUAAAAUCUCAGACAUCAUCUCAUUGGCGGGGCAGUUACAAUUGUGACCAAGGUCUGAGUCCAUGGACGGUGGCUUCUCGUUGCCCUUAAAGAGCAACUUCCAGGCCUCUUCGUGAGAAGUAUCGAAGAGCCUUUUCAGGGUCUGGUGCUUCUUCAGAUUCAAUUCCCAUAAAGGGCGGCUGCAGCGCUGGCAUGGAAUAAUCCAACGGAUUAGCAUCACCUGGAUAACGUCACCAAGCUUGAUGUCCUUGGUCACCAUGCUUUGAAAGCACGUCUGCAGCGCUAUUAGCUCGUCAGGUGCACACCAGUCCGGACUCUUCUCGACCCAGGAGGUGAGUCGCAUGGGAGUGCUGGAGCGGAAUUUAACAGUUACGGCACAGGCGGUGCCCGAGGUUCUGUAAUAUAGAACCACUGCUUCUGCUAUUCCUUUACUAUCUCGAUAAAGGUGCCUUUGGGCCAUGAGACGUUGGAUAGCUUGCUUACCAUGGCCCCUCCGCACUCUGCGUGCUGUUCCUCCACCACCUUUGGCUUCACGUUGAAGACUUUGAGCCAGAGCCCGAAGUGGGGAUGGAUGCGGAGGAAGGCCUCGCACACAACGAUGAACGCCAAGAUGUUGAGGAAGGAAUUUGGGGACAUAUCAUGGAAAUCUAUCCCAUAGUAAUACAUCAGCCCGCGGACGAAAGGGUGGAGUGGAAACCCUAGCCCGCGGAAGAAAUAGGGGAUGAAUACCACCCUCUCUGUGGGCUUCGGCGUGAGGACAGCUUGUCCCUCGUCUGGCAGACGGUGGGUGAUCUCCUUCGCCAAAUAUCCGGCCGCCCGGGGCUUAGUAAUGUCCGCCUCCUUGAUGGAGGAGACCAUCCACUUGCCCUGACCACCAGAUCCGCACAUGGUUGCUUGAGAGGAAAGGAGAUGAGAGCUUGGGCGUUGGAGCUUGAGAUCGGAAAGGCGGAGGCAGAGAGAGAGAGAGCGUGAGGAGUGGAAGGGGGAAUCCUUAUUCCCUUAUAAAGGUAGUAAAUAUUAAACGCCUCCUCACUCGCGUUAGGAUUCGCCUGUUCCCUAGGACUGUAUAAAUGACACGGUUGAGUUACCCAUGUCCGCAUUGAUGAGAAUCCCGCAAUAAGGGGACACGAUCUCUGUUUUGACAUGACGUGCCAGUAGCAACCACGAAUCAUAUCGUGAAUUGGCUGAAGAAAAACGGUUCCAAAUUAUAACCGGACAUACAUGAUGUCGUGUUCGGAAAAAGUUGUCAACAGAUUAGAUUCGAGCAAAUAUUAUAUUCUAUCUGCGGUUGUGUGCGUGACAGGUCCAGAUACCAUCAUUACAUCCGAAGACUAUCUUGGAGUUGAUGUCUACUACACAACCUUCUUCUUGUAGACGUUGUUGGGCCUCCAAGUGCAGAGGUUUGUAGGACAGUAGCAAAUUUCCCUCAAGUGGAUGACCUAAGGUUUAUCAAUCUGUAGGAGGCGUAGGAUGAAGAUGGUCUCUCAAGCAACCCUGCAACCAAAUAACAAAGAGUCUCUUGUGUCCCCAACACACCCAAUACAAAGGUAAAUUGUAUAGGUGCAUCAGUUUAGCAAAGAGAUGGUGAUACAAGUGGUAUAUGGAUAGUAGAUAAUAGUUUUUGUAAUCUGAAAAAUAUAAAAAAACAACAACGUAACUAAUGAUAAAAGUGAGCACAAACGGUAUUGCAAUGCAUUGAAACAAGGCCUAGGGUUCAUACUUUCGCUAGUGCAAGUUCUCUCAACAAUAAUAGCAUAAUUGGAUCACAUAACUAUCCCUCAACAUGCAACAAAGAGUCACUCCAAUGUCACUAAUAGCGGAGAACGAACGAAGAGAUUAUGGUAGGGUACGAAACCACCUCAAAGUUAUUCUUUCCAAUCAAUUCGUUGGGCUAUUCCUAUAAGUGUCACAAACAGCCCUAGAGUUCGUACUAGAAUAACACCUUAAGACAUAAAUCAACCAAAACCCUAAUGUCACCUAGACACUCCAAUGUCACCUCAAGUAUCCGUGGGUAUGAUUAUACAAUAUGCAUCACACAAUCUCAAAUUCAUCUAUUCAACCAACACAUAGAACCUCAAAGAGUGCCCCAAAGUUUCUACCGGAUAAUCACGACGAAAACGUGUGCCAACACCUAUGAAUAGGUUCAUGGAUGGAACCUGCAAGUUGAUCACCAAAACAUACAUGAAGUGAAUCACGUGAUAUCCCAUUGUCACCACAGAUAUGCAUAGCAAGACAUACAUCAAGUGUUCUGAAAUCUUUAAAGACUCAAUCUGAUAAGAUAACUUCAAAGGGGAAACUCAAUCCAUUACAAGAGAUUAGAGGGGAAGGAGAAACAUAAGAUCCAACUAUAAUAGCAAAGCACGCGAUACAUCAAGAUCGUGCCAAAUGAAGAACAUGAGAGAGAGAGAUGAAACACAUAGCUACUGGUACAUACCCUCAGCCCUGAGGAAGAACUACUCCCUCCUCGUCAUGGAGAGCACCGGGAUGGUGAAGAUAGCCACUGGAGAGGGAUUCCCCCUCCGGCAGGGUGCUAGAACGGGUCUAGAUUGGCUUUCGAUGGCUACGGAGGCUUCUGGCGGUGGAACUCCCGAUCUAUUGUGCUCCCGGAUGUUUUUAGGGUAUAUGAAGAUAUAUAGGUGGAAGAAGUACGUCAGGGGAGCCACGAGGGGCCCACCAGGGUGGAGGGUGCGCCCAGGGGGGUGGGCGCGCCCCCUGCCACGUGGCCUCCUCGGUUCUUCCCUUACAUGGACUCCAAGUCUGCCGGGUUGCCUUCCUUCCAAAAAUAAGUUCCGUGAAGUUUCAGGUCAAUUAGACUCCGUUUGAUUUUCCUUUUCUGUGAUACUCUAAAACAAGGAAAAAACAGAAACUGGCAUUGUGCUCUAGGUUAAUAGGUUAGUCCCAAAAAUAAUAUAAAAGUGUAUAAUAAACCCCAUAAACAUCGAAAGUUGAUAAUAUAAUAGCAUGGAACAAUCAAAAAUUAUAGAUACGUUGGAGACGUAUCAACAUCCCCAAGCUUAAUUCCUGCUCGUCCUCGAGUAGGUAAAUGAUAAAAACAGAAUUUUUGAUGUGGAAUGCUACCUACCAUAUUUCUCUAAGUAAUUCUUCUUUAUUGUGGCAAGAAUAUUUCAGAUCCAUAAGAUUCAAGACAAAAUUUUAAUAUUGACAUAAAGAUAAUAAUACUUCAAGAAUACUAACAAAGCAAUCAAAAUAACAUGGCCAAAGAAAGCUAUCCCUACAAAAUCAUAUAGUCUGGCUAUGAUCCAUCUUCACCACACAAAAUAUUUAAAUCAUGCACAACCCCGAUGACAAGCCAAGCAAUUGUUUCAUACUUUUGGUGUUCUCAAACUUUUUCAAUCUUCACGCAAUACAUGAGCGUGAGCCAUGGAUAUAGCACUAUAGGUGGAAUAGAAUGGUGGUUGUGGAGAAGACAAAAAGGAGAAGAUAGUCUCACAUCAACUAGGCGUAUCAACGGGCUAUGGAGAUGCCCAUCAAUAGAUAUCAAUGUGAGUGAGUAGGGAUUGCCAUGCAACGGAUGCACUAGAGAUAUAAAUGUAUGAAAGCUCAACAGAAGAAACUAGUGGGUGUGCAUCCAACUCGCUUGCUCACGAAGACCUAUGGCAUUUUGAGGAAGCCCAUUAUUGGAAUAUACAAGCCAAGUUCUAUAAUGAAAGAUUCCCAUUAGUAUAUGAAAGUGACAACAUAGGAGACUCUCUAUCAUGAAGAUCAUGGUGCUACUUUGAAGCACAAGUGUGGUAAAAGGAUAGUAGCAUUGCCCCUUCUCUCUUUUUCCCUCAUUUAUUUUUAUUUUUUUAUUUGGGCCUUCUCUUUUUUUAUGGCCUCUUUUUUCCUUUUUUUUAUUUGGGCUUCUUUGGCCUCUUUUAUUUAUUUAUUUUCGUUCGGAGUCUCGUCCCGACUUUUGGGGGAAUCAUAUUCUCCAUCAUCCUUUCCUCACUGGGACAAUGCUCUAAUAAUGAUGAUGAUCACACUUUUAUUUACUUACAACUCAAGAAUUACAACUCGAUACUUAGGACAAGAUAUGACUCUAUAUGAAUUCCUCUGGCGGUUUACCGGAUAUGCAAUAAAUCAAGAGUGACACGUAUGAAAGAAUUAUGAGUGGUGGCUUUGCCACAAAUACGAUGUCAACUACAUGAUCAUGCUAAGCAAUAUGACAAUGAUGGAGUGUGUCAAAAUAAACGGAACGGUGGAAAGUUGCAUGUCAAUAUAUCUUGGAAUGGCUAUGUAAAUGCCAUAAUAGGUAGGUAUGGUGGCUGUUUUGAGGAAGGUAUAUGGUGGGUUUAUGAUACCGGCGAAAGGUGCGCGGUAUUAGAGAGGCUAGCAAUGGUGGAAGGGUGAGAGUGCGUAUAAUCCAUGGACUCAACACUAGUCAUAAAGAACUCACAUACUUAUUGCAAAAAUCUAUUAGUAUCGAAACAAAGUACUACGCGCAUGCUCCUAGGGGGAUAGAUUGGUAGGAAAAGACCAUCGCUCGUCCCCGACCGCCACUCAUAGGGAAUACAAUCAAUAAAUAAAAUCAUGCUCCGACUUCAUCACAUAACUGUUCACCAUACGUGCAUGCUACGGGAAUCACAAACUUCAACACAAGUAUCUAUCAAAUUCACAACUACUCAACUAGCAUGACUCUAAUAUCACGAUCUUCAUAUCUCAAAACAAUCAUCAAGUAUCAAACUUCUCAUAGUAUUCAAUGCACUUUAUAUGAAAGGUUUUAUUAUAUCCCUCUUGGAUGCCCAUCAUAUUAGGUCUAGCUUCAUAACCAAAGCAAACUAUCAUGCUGUUCUAAAGACUCUCAAAAUAAUAUAAGUGAAGCAUGAGAGUUCAUCUAUUAUUUCUAUAAAAUAAAACCACCACCAUGCUCUAAAAGGAUAUAAGUCAAGCACUAGAGCAACAACAAACUACUAUGAAAGAUAUAAGUGAAGAUCAAUGAGUAGUCGAAUAAUUAUACAACUAUGUGAAGACUCUCUAACAUUUAAGAAUUUCAGAUCUUGGUAUUUUAUUCAAACAUCAAGCAAAAUAAAAUAAAAUAAAAUGAUGCUCCAAGCAAAACACAUAUCAUGUGGUAAAUAAAAAUAUAGCUCCAAGUAAAGUUACCGAUGACCGAAGAUGAAAGAGGGGAUGCCAUCCGGGGCAUCCCCAAGCUUAGGCUCUUGGUUUUCCUUGAAUAGUACCUUGGGGUGCCUUGGGCAUCCCCAAGAUUAGGCUCUUGCCACUCCUUAUUCCAUAGUCCAUCUAAUCUUUACCCAAAACUUGAAAACUUCACAACACAAAACUUAACAGAAAACUCGUAAGCUCCGUUAGUAUAAGAAAAUAAUUCACCACUUAGGUACUGUUGUGAACUCAUUCUAAAUUCAUAUCGGUGUAAAAACUACUGUAUUCCAACUUCUCUAUGGUUUAUAAACUCUUUUACUAGCCAUAGAUUCAUCAAAAUAAACAAACAACACAUGGAAAACAGAAUCUGUCAAAAACAGAACAGUCUGUAGUAAUCUGGAUCAAACAUAUACUUCUGUAACUCAUAAAAUUCUCAAAUAAAUUGCUGGACGUGAGGAAUUUAUCUAUUUAUCAUCUUAAAAAAGGAUUAACUAAAUAGAACUCACCAAUAAAAUAUGGCAACAAUUCUCGUGAGCACUAAAGUUUCUGUUUUUUACAGCAAGAUUAAAAAGACUUUCCCCAAGUCUUCCCAACGGUUCUACUUGGCACAAACACUAAUUAAAAGCAUAAGACCACAUCUAAACCGAGGCCAUAUGAAUUAUUUAUUACUAAACAGGAGCAAAAAGCAAAUAACAAGAAUAACAUUGGGUUGCCUCCCAACAAAUGCUAUUGUUUAACGCCCCUAGCUAGGCAUGAUGAUUUCAACGAUGCUCACAUAAAAGAUAAGAAUUGAACAUAAAGAGAGCAUCAUGAAGAAAAUGACUAGCACAUUUAAGUCUAACCCACUUCCUAUGCAUAGGGAUUUUGUGAGCAAACAACUUAUGGAAACAAGAAUCAACUUGCACAGGAAGAUAAAACAAGCAUAACUUCAAAACUUUAAGCACAUAGAGAGGAAACUUGAUAUUAUUGCAAUUCCUACAAGCAUAUAUUCCUCCCUCAUAAUAAUUUUCAGUAGCAUCAUGAAUGAAUUCAACAAUAUAACUAUCACACAAAGCAUUCUUUUCAUGAUCUACACACAUAUAAAAUUUACUACUCUCCACAUAAGCAAGAUUCUUCUCAUUCGGAAUAGUGGGAGUAUGAGAUACUCGAAUACUAUAAAUUUUUUCCACAUUAAAAGGGUAAUGUUCAGAGAAAGGGUAUUCAUCAUCAUGACAAGUUUUAUAAAUAUAAUCAUCACUACUCUUUAUAGCAUAUGUAUCAUCACAGUAAUUAUCAUAAGUAGGAGGCAUGCUAUCAUCAUUAUAAAUUUGCAUAUCAAAACUUGGGAGACUAAAAAUAUCAUCAUCAUUAAGCGUAGCAUCCCCAAGCUUGGUCCUUUUCAUAUCAUAAGCAUAAUCACUCUCAUCAUUAAUAGUAUAGAUAGCACCAAUGGUAUAGCAAUUAUCAUAUUCUUCCAAGCAAGUUCCAAAAAGAUUGUCAAGAUCAUAAGAAGUGUCAUUAUCUUCCACAAUUAUAUUUUCAUGAGGCACAAUAGUAAUAGGAGCAGCAUUAUUUGGGGGAGAUAUCUUUUUACCUCUCUUUCCUUUUAUUUUCUUCUUCUUCACCACAUCAUGUGUGGGUUCAAUCCUCUUUUCAGAGCUCCUUAUUAAUGAGAUAGGUUGAAUAGGAGGCUCCUCCUCGUUACCUGAUUCAUCAUAAGAAAUAAUAGGAGGGUAUUGGGAAGCCUCUUCCCUUUCAUUAGUAUUCUCUUCAUCUUCUAUUUGUUUUCUUUCCUUUAUGUAAUUGCCAAUAUAAGGAUUUUCAAUGCAAUUCACCGCACAAUACAUAUCAAUCUUCUCUAGAUCAAAAUCAAGAAAUCUAUCAAGAUUAAACUUUGGAAUACCCUCCGUUAUACGUUUCAUUUCCUCGUACCCCAAAAGAAGACUAAGCUCUUUAUGAUGCUCAAGGGUAAUCAAAUUAUCACAAUUUUUGGAUACGAUUCGGUCAUGAAACAAUUUGCAUUGGAGAUUUAAAUGACCAUGUUCAUUGCAAAGUUCACAAGGGGUGCGAAAAAUAUUGAAUUUUUCAGCACAGUCAUCAAGACUUUCUUGCAACAAUUUAGUUUCUAAAUACUCAUGCCUCUUGCAAUAUCUAUCUUCCCUAUUUGGUGUGUACUUACAAACCCAAUGUACUCCACAAAAAUUAACAUGUUUAUAGGAGACAUUAUCAUCAUGACUAGUGCAAUCAUCAUUAGUACCAUGGAUAUUCAAGGAGUUCAUACUAACAACAUUGCAAUCAUGCUCAUCAUUCAAAGAUUUAGUGACGAACAUUUUAAUGCAUUCUUCUUCUAACAUUUUGGCACAAUUUUCCUUUCCAUCAUACUCACGAAAGAUAUUAAAAAGAUGAAGCGUAUGAGGUAGACUCAAUUCCAUCUUUUUAUAGUUUUCUUCUAUAAUCUAGACUAGUGCUAAAACAAGAAACUAAAAGACUCAAUUGCAAGAUCUAAAGAUAUACCUUCAAGCACUCACCUCCAGGGCAACGGCACCAGAAAAGAGCUUGAUGUCUACUGCACAACCUUCUUCUUGUAGAUGUUGUUGGGACUCCAAGUGCAGAGGUUUGUAGGACAGUAGCAAAUUUCCCUCAAGUGGAUGACCUAAGGUUUAUCAAUUCGUAGGAGGCGUAGGAUGAAGAUGGUCUCAAUCAAGCAACCCUGCAACCAAAUAACAAAGAGUCUCUUGUGUCCCCAACACACCCAAUACAAUGGUAAAUUGUAUAGGUGCACUAGUUCGGCGAAGAGAUGGUGAUACAAGUGGUAUAUGGAUAGUAGAUAAUAGUUUUUGUAAUCUGAAAACAAAAAAAAACAGCAAGGUAACUAAUGAUAAAACUGAGCACAAACGGUAUUGCAAUGCGUUGAAACAAGGCCUAGGGUUCAUACUUUCACUAGUGCAAGUUCUCUCAACAAUAAUAGCAUAAUUGGAUCACAUAACUAUCCCUCAACAUGCAACAAAGAGUCACUCCAAAGUCACUAAUAGCGGAGAACGAACGAAGAGAUUAUGGUUGGGUAUGAAACCACCUCAAAGUUAUUCUUUCCAAUCAAUCCGUUCGGCUAUUCCUAUAAGUGUCACAAACAGCCCUAGAUUUCAUACUAGAAUAACACCUUAAGACACAAAUCAACCAAAACCCUAAUGUCACCUUGAUACUCCAAUGUCACCUCAAGUAUCCGUGGGUAUGAUUAUACGAUAUGCAUCACACAAUCUCAAAUUGAUCUAUUCAACCAACACAUAGAACCUCAAAGAGUGCCCCAAAGUUUCUACCGGAGAAUCACGACGAAAAUGUGUGCCAACCCCAAUGCAUAAGUUGAUCACCAAAACAUACAUCAAGUGAAUCACGUGAUAUCCCAUUGUCACCACAGAUACGCACGGCAAGACAUACAUCAAGUGUUAUCAAAUCUUUAAAGACUUAACCCAAUAAGAUAACUACAAAGGGAAACUCAAUCCAUUACAAGAGAGUAGAGGAGGAGGAGAACCAUAAGAUCCAACUAUAAUAGCAAAGCUCGUGUGAAAGCACAAGUGCUCCCUAGGUGGUUUUGAUAAUUGAUGACAACAUAUCUCUUGUUGGACUAACAUUUCUAUCUAGCAUGUUUCAGAUAAGUUCAACAAUGGAGUGGCAUGGACUAAAGGUUGUGGGAACUCCUUCAAGAUGCUAAGGACAAAGGAUUGGCUAAAGCUUCAAGCUCAGGACUCUUCAUUUUACAUUUUAGUGAUCCAAGAUCACAUUGAGUCCAUAGGAAAAGCCAAUACUAUCAAGGAGGGAUGAGGUGUUGCUUAAUGAGCCUCUUGCUUCAUGUGCUUAAUGAUAUGCUCCAAAAUCCUCAGCUACUUUCCCACUUCCACAUAUGACCUAAACCCUAAGCCAAACUCGGUCCUACCGAUUCUUUCUAUCUGGCGCCACCGAGUUUCACCUGUCAUAAGCCACUGCCAAACCCUAGCAAUUUGGUUCUACUGAUAGGGAUCUCGGUCUCACCGAGAUGGGAUUGCAAACUCUCUGUUUCCCUUUCAUAACUUUUCGGUCUCACCGAAAGAGCGAAUCGGUCCCACCGAGAUUGCAAUGUAAACUCUAUGUUUCCCUUUUGUAACUUUUCGGUCUCACCGAAAGAGCAAAUCGGUCCCACCGAGUUUGCCUGACCAACUCUCUGGUUAGCUUAUUACCAAACUCGGUCUCACCGAGUUUGUGUAAUCGGUCUCACCGAGAUUAUGUUAUGCCCAAACCCUAACCAUAUCGGUCCUACCGAGUUGCAUGUCAGUCCCACCAAAAAUCUCUAAUGGUCACUAGGUUUACCUUUUCGGUCCGACCGAGUUUAUUGAUUCGAUCCCACCGAGAUUGGAAAACUGUGUGUAACGGUUGGAUUUUGUGUGGAGGCUAUAUAUACCCCUCCACCUCCUCUUCAUUCGUGGAGAGAGCCAUCAGAACACAUACACAAUUCCAACUCAUAUGUUCUGAGAGAGAACCACCUACUCAUGUGUUGAGACCAAGAUAUUCCAUUCCUACCAUAUGAAUCUUGAUCUCUAGCCUUCCCCAAGUUGCUUUCCACUCAAAUCUUCUUUCCACAAAAUCCAAAUCCUAUUAGAGAGAGUUGAGUGUUGGGGAGACUAUCAUUUGAAGCACAAGAGCAAGGAGUUCAUAUCAACACACCAUUUGUUACUUCUUGGAGAGUGGUGUCUCCUAGAUUGUCUAGGUGUCACUUGGGAGCCUCCGACAAGAUUGUGGAGUUGAACCAAGGAGUUUGUAAGGGCAAGGAGAUCGCCUACUUCGUGAAGAUCUACCGCUAGUGAGGCAAGUCCUUCGUGGGCGAUGGCCAUGGUGGGAUAGACAAGGUUGCUUCUUCGUGGACCCUUCGUGGGUGGAGACGUCCGUGGACUCGCGCAACCAUUACCCUUCAUGGGUGGAGCCCUCCGUGGACUCGCGCAACCGUUACCCUUCGUGGGUUGAAGUCUCCAUCAACGUGGAUGUAGGAUAGCACCACCUAUCCGAACCACGGGAAAAACAUCCGUGUCUCCAAUUGCGCUUGAAUUGUCCAAACCCUUCCCCUUACAUUCUUGCAAGUUGCAUGCUUUACAUUCCGCUGCUCAUAUACUCUUUGCAUGCUUGCUUGAUAUGUAUUGUGUAUGUUGAAAUUGUGCCUAAAACUCCACUCAAACCAAAAAGGCCUAAAAAUUGCAACUUUAGCACUAACUGUCUAAUCGCUCCCCCUCUAGACACAUCUACUUCUAGAUCCUACAAGUGGUAUCAGAGCUUUGGUCUCCAUUGCCUUGGUUUAAUCACCAUUGGAGGAAGAUGGAUGUGUCUACCUUACGGACUCUUAGACUUAGAGUGCCUAUUCUUGAUGGAGAGUAUUUUCAUGAGUGGAAAAAUGAGAUGCUUGUAAUUUUCAAUCAAUAUCAUUUGAACAAGUAUAUUGCUAGCCCUUGUGCACCUCAUAUUGAUCCUUUGCAUCCUACCCUAGAUGGAGAUAUUGACAUGAUUCGCAAUCUUAGAACUAUUGAGCUCAUCAUUAGAGGAUUGCCCAAAAAUUUGAUUGCUAGUUUGCCUACUCUUAAUUGUGCCUAUACUAUAUGGAAAUUUCUUGCGGAAGGAUUUCCCGAUCAUUCCUUGAAAACUUUGGAUGAAAUUCUCCAUAAAUCUAUUGCCUUGAGUAAGAUGAACUCUAGUGAUCCUAGUUUUGAUAAUUGUCUAUUUGAACUUACCAAUCUUAAGCAUGCUAAAGGAGAUGUUGGAAUCAUUAGUGAUAUCAUAUUCGAAGCUAUAAGAAUUCAUAAAAGUGACCACUUUGAUGAUCAUUUAUCUAAUGAAUUACCCUCUCUAGGAAAUGAUGAGUCACAAGAUCAUGAUGAACAUGGAUACUAUGAUGAUGAUGAUGAUAGUGACUUCGAUCUUGAUGAUGCAAUGAGACAUUUUGGUCUUAUGGCAAAUCUUCGGGGAUAUGAAUCAAGAGGAAAGGAAUGGGUUCUUGAUAGUGGAUGUACUGAUCAUAUGACCGAAGAUGAAGAGAUGUUUCGUGAGCUUGCUGAAAAUGACGGCCCUCGAAAGUAUGUCACCUUUGGUGAUAAUUCAAAGGGUAAAGUGGUUGGCCUUGGUAAGGUGGCCAUCUCACAUGAUAGUUCCAUUCAAAAUGUCAUGCUCGUUGAAUCUCUCGGCUACAACUUACUUUCAGUAUCUAGACUUGCUGAUUUCGGUUUGAAUGUCCUAUUUACUGAGGUAGAUUGCCAAGUAUUUCGUCGAGACAAUCAUAAAAUGGUCUUUACGGGUAUGCGUAGAGGUGAUCUUUACAUUGUCGAUUUCUCUAAAAAGGCACAACCUAAAACUUGCUUUGUUGCUAAAUCCUCAAAAGGUUGGUUGUGGCAUAGACGACUAGGUCACGUUGGCAUGAGAAACCUUGACAAGCUUAUUAAAGGAAAUCAUAUCCUUGGAGUUAACGAUGUCAUAUUUGAUAAGGAUAGACUUUGUAGUGCUUGUCAAGCAGGUAAACAGGUUGGAGGAAGGCAUCCCGUUAAGAACAUCAUGACCACAAGAAGGCCACUCGAGCUACUUCAUAUGGAUCUUUUUGGUCCCAACGCCUACAAGAGUCUCAGUGGAAAUUCUUUUGGUCUAGUUAUAGUUGAUGAUUUUUCAAGAUUUACAUGGGUGUCCUUUCUUAAUGACAAGUCACAGUUCCAGAAGAUCUUCAGAAACUUCAUUAGGAAGGCUCAAAAUCAGUUUGACGUGAAGAUCAAGAAGGUUCGGAGUGACAACGGAACGGAGUUCAAGAACGCAAAUGCGGACACCUUUCUUGACGAAGAAGGGAUUUCACACGAGUUCUCGGCUAUGUACACACCUCAACAAAAUGGAGUUGUUGAGAGGAAGAACCGGACGCUCAUCGAAAUGGCAAGAACGAUGCUUGAUGAAUACAAGACGCUGAAGCACUUUUGGGCAGAAGUGGUUGAGACAGCUUGUCACGCAACAAAUCGCUUAUAUCUUCACAAGCUACUCGGCAAGAUGGCAUACGAGCUUCUCACUGGUAACAAACCCCAAGUUGGAUACUUUCGAGUAUUCGGCUCAAAGUGCUACAUUCUUGAUAAGCAUCGUCGUUCAAAGUUUGCUCCUAAAUCUCAUGAAGGUUUUCUACUUGGUUAUGGCUCAAACUCUCACACUUACCGUGUCUACAGCAAUUUCACCCAAAAGGUUGAAGAGACGGUAGAUGUGAAGUUUGAUGAAUCUAAUGGCUCGCAAGUAGAGCAAUUCCCAAUUGAUGUAGGAGACAAAGACCCUUCAGAAGCAAUCCAAGACUUGUCCAUUGGAAAAAUUCGUCCAAUGGAGGUGAAGGAAAGUACUUCAUCCGUCUAAGUGGAAGCUUCUACUUCACGACAAGGUGAACCAAGAAUCGACACGGAAGCAUCCACAAGUGGGACACACCAAGAUGAAGAAGACAAGGAAAUGCAUCAAGACAAACAUCAACAACCUCUUUCUUCACCACGAAAAGAGAACGACGACGUCAACAAUGAAGAAGGCCAAGAAGAAGAACAAGAUGAAGAAGAUGUUCAAUGAAUACCCAAGCAAAAGCUCUCACGAGUUCGAGCAAGAAUUGCCAAAGAUCAUCCUGUCGAGCAAAUCCUCAAUGAUAUACAAACCGGGAGAAUCACUCGCUCAAAAACUCGUUUAGCUAACUUUUGUGAAAACUAUUCAUUCAUCUCUAGCAUUGAACCUAUGAAGGUUGAAGAAGCAUUGGAAGAUCCGGAUUGGAUAAACGCUAUGCAUGAAUAGCUACACAAUUUUGAGACAAACCAAGUUUGGACAUUGGUUGAGAAGCCCGACAACAACCACAACAUCAUUGGUACCAAAUGGGUGUUUCGCAACAAGCAAGAUGAAGAUGGACAAGUGGUUCGCAACAAAGCACGUCUCGUCGCCCAAGGGUACACACAAGUCGAAGGUAUGGACUAUGGUGAGACAUAUGCUCCCGUUGCUAGACUUGAGUCCAUUCGCAUCUUACUUGCCUAUGCUAAUCACCAUAAUAUCACCUUGUACCAAAUGGACAUUAAAAGUGCUUUUCUAAAUGGUGAAAUAGAGGAGGAAGUUUAUGUCAAACAACCUCCCGGCUUUAUCAAUCCUAAGAAACCAAAUCAUGUUUACAAACUUCACAAAGCUCUUUAUGGUCUUAAACAAGCUCCUAGAGCAUGGUAUAAAUGCUUGACCAAGUUCCUUAUUACAAGUGGUUUUGAAAUUGGUAAAAUUGAUUCUACUCUUUUUACUAAAAGGGUUAAUGGAGAACUAUUUGUAUGCCAAAUUUAUGUCAAUGAUAUCAUAUUUGGUUCAACUAACACUCUCUUUAGUGAAAAGUUUGGAAAGCUAUUGUCAGAGAAGUUUGAGAUGUCUAUGAUGAGUGAACUCAAAUUCUUUCUUGGUUUGCAAAUCAAGCAAACUAAGGAAGGUACAUUUGUCUCUCAAAUGAAGUACACCAAGGACUUAUUCAAGAAGUUCAAUAUGCAAGAAUGCAAAGGUAUGUCUACACCCAUGCCUUCUAGUGGACAUAAUGAUUUGACCAAAGAUGGUGAACCGGUUGAUCAAAGGGUUUAUCGCUCUAUGAUUGGUUCAUUGUUAUACCUAUGUGCUUCACGUCCCGAUAUUAUGCUAAGUGUGUGCAUCUGUGCACGAUAUCAAGCUACUCCUAAAGAAUGUCAUCUUAAGGCGGUGAAAAGGAUAGUGAGAUAUUUAAUCCAUACACCAAAUUUUGGCAUUUGGUAUCCUAAGAGGUCUUCUUUUGAUCUUGUUGGCUAUUCCGACUCGGAUUAUACCGGAGACAAGGUUGAUAGAAAGUCCACUUCAGGUACUUGUCAAUUUCUUGGUAGAUCUCUUGUGUCUUGGUCUUCCAAGAAACAAAACUCGGUAUCCUUAUCCACCGCCGAAGCGGAAUACAUUGCCGCUGGUUCAUGUUGUGCUCAAUUACUUUGGAUGACGCAAACUCUUAAAGAUUAUGGGAUUUAUGUGAAACAUGUUCCACUACUUUGUGAUAAUGAAAGUGCUAUCAAAAUUGGUCAUAAUCCUGUACAACAUUCUCGAACUAAGCAUAUUGAAGUUCGUCAUCAUUUCAUUCGAGAUCAUGUUGCUAAGGGUGACAUUGAUCUUAAGCAUGUUCGCACCGAUAAGCAAUUAGCAGAUAUAUUUACUAAACCUCUUGAUGAGAAAGUGUUUUGCAGGUUGAGAGGAGAAUUGAACAUCAUUGAUGCUUCGAACUUGGAGUAGAAACUCCAUUGGAUACAUGCAAGACAUGAGCUUAUGACUAAUCCAUAAUAUAUCUCUUAUGAUAACUAUCUUAUGUCUUGAAUAUAUUUGCACCUUGCAUGUUGUCUAACCCAUGUAGGUGCUUGGUUGAAUCUAAUUCCAUGAGAUUGCGACUCACUCACAUCUUGAGCAAUCUCUAUACAAUGGUGGUUGAAGACAAGGAAGCACAAAACCAUUCAAACAUAUCCUUUGACAAAUUCUAUGUUGAGCUUCAUGAUUGUCAUUUUUGGAUACACAAGUGCUCUUCCCUGCAAGAACUAACCCAUGUAGGUAGAUGAACUCAAAAUCCAAGUGGUGCUCCCAACUCUGUAUGAGCUACAUCAACCUUGAGCACCCACACAAGUUCAACUACAUGAGCAAGAACCACACCACCACCCAAGGUAUGUUAUUCCAUCUUAGAGAAGCUUUACUCCAAGACAUGAGUCAAAGCAACUCAACAAAAUGUGAAUACAUCAUGAUGCUUAAACGAAAAAUGGUAACCCCAUUUUGAGCUUAAAACGAUGAGUAUGACCUAUGAUCAAGUGUUCUCACUUGACUCCUAAGUCAAUAUACUCUAACAUAGGUGACUAUGUCACAGCCCAACUCUAGAUGAAGUUCUCUUGUGUUCUUUUUGUGUGUAUCUCAUGCAUGUUUAGUUUCUUUCUCUUUUUCAAAAAAAAAACUCCAUCUAGAUUUUUCAGUCUCUUCUCUUUUCUUUUUGUUUAUGUUCUGCAUUUUCUGCAUUUAAUUCCUUGCAAAUCUUUCAGGUAAUUCAUUGCAAAUCUUUGUGAGAUCCUACAUGUCUAGUGAGCUGAGGUGACAAGUGUUUUUCUCUGUGUGAACUCGGUUUAACCAACUUGUAAUUUUCGGUCCAACCGAAUCUUUUCGGUGCCACCGAAACAUACCACUCGGUGCCACCGACUUCGCAACAGGAAAAACAGUUUGCCACUUGUUCUAUAUUUCUUCUGAUCCAGCUCUACUCAAUGAAUCUUGUCCUCUACAAGCAUCACAGUUUUAUCCAUUGCUUUGUGCUGAGUCUCAAGGACCAAACCUAUACGACGGAUUCCAGAAAGCCCUUCUUGGAAAUUGAUGUCAAAGGGGGAGAGAGAGAUCACAUCAAAGCUUGUAGGAGAGAGAGAUCCCAUCAAGGGAGAGAAAAAGUCUCAAGGACCAAACCUACAAGAGAGAAAGUAUUAAGGGGGAGAGAGAGACUUCCAGGGGGAGAGAAUACUCAAGGAUCCCAGUUGUCCCAGAUGCUUGAUGCUUGAUGUUCAAGAGGAGAGAUGUCACAUGUCUUUUUAGGGGGAAAGACAUGUUCAUUUGUAUCUUUCAGCUCUGAUUUGCUGUUCCUUAUCUUCUCCCAAUAUCCCAUGUAAGAUUCUGGGGGAGCAAGACACCUAAGGGAAAGAAAUCAGUCAAAUUCAUUGCAUAUCUUUAUUCUUGGGGACAUGUUGAAUCCAAUGUGGUACCUUGUACUCACUCUCUACAUGUCAUCCCAGUCUUGGUAUUCUUGUGGUUUCUUUUGUUUGCUUUGGCUAGUGGAUGUACCUGUGUUAUCUAACUUUGUUUGUGCAGGUUCAUUCCAUCCUAAGCCAACUCAAGACCACAAGGUAAGUAUAUGCAUCAAAAUCAUGAGUAUGAGGAGUUCUUGCUUAUGUACAUACUGUUUGCAAGAAGGACUCAUGAGCAUGAAGGUAUUUUCCUUGAUAAUCUUUUUCUCUGAUGCAUAUGGCCAAGAUACAUGUAACACAUUGCCUACUCUGUCAUGGUUAUGCUCUCACAUGCCUCUAUAUUUCAUAUUUACAUGAGUGGAUACAUGUAGGGGGAGCCUAUUCUUGUUACAUGUCCUGCCAAAGCUUUACUUGAUGUUCUUUAUAUCUUUAUCUAAAGCUUUGAUGUAUGUUGCCAUCAAUUACCAAAAAGGGGGAGAUUGAAAGCACAAGUGCUCCCUAGGUGGUUUUGAUAAUUGAUGACAACAUAUCUCUUGUUGGACUAACAUUUCUAUCUAGCAUGUUUCAGAUAAGUUCAACAAUGGAGUGGCAUGGACUAAAGGUUGUGGGAACUCCUUCAAGAUGCUAAGGACAAAGGAUUGGCUAAAGUUUCAAGAUCAAGACUCUUCAUUUUACAUUUUAGUGAUCCAAGAUCACAUUGAGUCCAUAGGAAAAGCCAAUACUAUCAAGGAGGGAUGAGCUGUUGCUUAAUGAGCCUCUUGCUUCAUGUGCUUAAUGAUAUUCUCCAAAAUCCUCAGCUACUUUCCCACUUCCACAUAUGACCUAAACCCUAAGCCAAACUCGGUCCUACCGAUUCUUUCUAUCCGGCGCCACCGAAUUUCACCUGUCAUAAGCCACUGCCAAACCCUAGCAAUUCGGUUCUACCGAUAGGGAUCUCGGUCUCACCGAGAUGGGAUUGCAAACUCUCUGUUUCCCUUUCGUAACUUUUCGGUCUCACGGAAAGAGCGAAUCGGUCCCACCGAGAUUGCAAUGUAAACUCUAUGUUUCCCUUUUGUAACUUUUCGGUCUCACCAAAAGAGCAAAUCGGUCCCACCGAGUUUGCCUGACCAACUCUCUGGUUAGCUUAUUACCAAACUCGGUCUCACCGAGUUUGUGUAAUCGGUCUCACCGAGAUUAUGUUAUGCCCAAACCCUAACCAUAUCGGUCCUACCGAGUUGCAUGUCAGUCCCACCGAAAAUCUCUAACGGUCACUAGGUUUACCUUUUCGGUCCGACUGAGUUUAUUGAUUCGAUCCCACCGAGAUUGGAAAACUGUGUGUAACGGUUGGAUUUUGUGUGGAGGCUAUAUAUACCCCUCCACCUCCUCUUCAUUCGUGGAGAGAGACAUCAGAACACAUACACAAUUCCAACUCAUAUGUUCUGAGAGAGAACCACCUACUCAUGUGUUGAGACCAAGAUAUUCCAUUCCUACCAUAUGAAUCUUGAUCUCUAGCCUUCCCCAAGUUGCUUUCCACUCAAAUCUUCUUUCCACAAAAUCCAAAUCCUAUGAGAGAGAGUUGAGUGUUGGGGAGACUAUCAUUUGAAGCACAAGAGCAAGGAGUUCAUCAUCAACACACCAUUUGUUACUUCUUGGAGAGUGGUGUCUCCUAGAUUGUCUAGGUGUCACUUGGGAGCCUCCAACAAGAUUGUGGAGUUGAACCAAGGAGUUUGUAAGGGCAAGGAGAUCGCCUACUUUGUGAAGAUCUACCGCUAGUGAGGCAAGUCCUUCGUGGGCGAUGGCCAUGGUGGGAUAGACAAGGUUGCUUCUUCGUGGACCCUUCGUGGGUGGUUGCUUCUUCGUGGACCCUUUGUGGGUGGAGCCCUCCGUGGAGUCGCGCAACCAUUACCCUUCGUGGGUGGAGCCCUCCGUGGACUUGCGCAACCGUUACCCUUCGUGGGUUGAAGUCUCCAUCAACGUGGAUGUAGGAUAGCACCACCUAUCCGAACCACGGGAAAAACAACCGUGUCUCCAAUUGCGUUUGAAUUCUCCAAACCCUUCCCCUUAUAUUCUUGCAAGUUGCAUGCUUUACAUUCCGCUGCUCAUAUACUCUUUGCAUGCUUGCUUGAUAUGUAUUGUGUAUGUUGAAAAUUUGCCUAAAACUCCACUCAAACCAAAAAGGUCUAAAAAUUGCAACUUUAGCACUAAGUAUCUAAUCACUCCCCCUCUAGACACAUCUACUUCUAGAUCCUACAAGUGGUAUCAGAGCUUUGGUCUCCAUUGCCUUGGUUUAAUCACCAUUGGAGGAAGAUGGAUGUGUCUACCUUAGGGAGUCUUAGACUUAGAGUGCCUAUUCUUGAUGGAGAGUAUUUUCAUGAGUGGAAAAAUGAGAUGCUUGUAAUUUUCAAUCAAUAUCAUUUGAACAAGUAUAUUGCUAGCCCUUGUGCACCUCAUAUUGAUCCUUUGCAUCCUACCCUAGAUGAAGAUAUUGACAUGAUUCGCAAUCUUAGAACUAUUGAGCUCAUCAUUAGAGGAUUGCCCAAAAAUUUGAUUGCUAGUUUGCCUACUCUUAAUUGUGCCUAUACUAUAUGGAAAUUUCUUGAGGAACGAUUUCCCGGUCAUUCCUUGAAAACUUUGGAUGAAAUUCUCCAUAAAUCUAUUGCCUUGAGUAAGAUGAACUCUAGUGAUCCUAGUUUUGAUAAUUGUCUAUUUGAACUUACCAAUCUUAAGCAUGCUAAAGGAGAUGUUGGAAUCAUUAGUGAUAUCAUAUUCGAAGCUAUAAGAAUUCAUAAAAGUGACCACUUUGAUGAUCAUUUAUCUAAUGAAUUACCCUCUCUAUGAAAUGAUGAGUCACAAGAUCAUGAUGAACAUGGAUACUAUGAUGAUGAUGAUGAUAGUGACUUCGAUCUUGAUGAUGCAAUGAGACAUUUUGGUCUUAUGGCAAAUCUUCGGGGAUAUGAAUCAGGAGGAAAGGAAUGGGUUCUUGAUAGUGGAUGUACUGAUCAUAUGACCAGAGAUGAAGAGAUGUUUCGUGAGCUUGCUGAAAAUGACGGCCCUCGAAAAUAUGUCACCUUUGGUGAUAAUUCAAAGGGUAAAGUGGUUGGCCUUGGUAAGGUGGCCAUCUCACAUGAUAGUUCCAUUCAAAAUGUCAUGCUCGUUGAAUCUCUCAGCUACAACUUACUUUCAGUAUCUAGACUUGCUGAUUUCGGUUUGAAUGUCCUGUUUACUGAGGUAGAUUGCCAAGUAUUUUGUCGAGACAAUCAUAAAAUGGUCUUUACGGGUAUACGUAGAGGUGAUAUUUACAUUGUCGAUUUCUCUAAAAAGGCACAACCUAAAACUUGCUUUGUUGCUAAAUCCUCAAAAGGUUGGUUGUGGCAUAGACAACUAGGUCACGUUGGCAUGAGAAACCUUGACAAGCUUAUUAAAGGAAAUCAUAUCCUUGGAGUUAACGAUGUCAUAUUUGAUAAGGAUAGACUUUGUAGUGCUUGUCAAGCAGGUAAACAAGUUGGAGGAAGGCAUCCCGUUAAGAACAUCAUGACCACAAGAAGGCCACUCGAGCUACUUCAUAUGGAUCUUUUUGGUCCCAACGCCUACAAGAGUCUCAGUGGAAAUUCUUUUGGUCUAGUUAUAGUUGAUGAUUUUUCAAGAUUUACAUGGGUGUCCUUUCUUAAUGACAAGUCACAGUUCCAGAAGAUCUUCAGAAACUUCAUUAGGAAGGCUCAAAAUCAGUUUGACGUGAAGAUCAAGAAGGUUCGGAGUGACAACGGAACGGAGUUCAAGAACGCAAAUGUGGACACCUUUCUUGACGAAGAAGGGAUUUCACACGAGUUCUCGGCUAUGUACACACCUCAACAAAAUGGAGUUGUUGAGAGGAAGAACCGGACGCUCAUCGAAAUGGCAAGAACGAUGCUUGAUGAAUACAAGACGCUGAAGCACUUUUGGGCAGAAGUGGUUGAGACAGCUUGUCACGCAACAAAUCGCUUAUAUCUUCACAAGCUACUCGGCAAGAUGGCAUACGAGCUUCUCACUGGUAACAAACCCCAAGUUGGAUACUUUCGAGUAUUUGGCUCAAAGUGCUACAUUCUUGAUAAGCAUCAUCGUUCAAAGUUUGCUCCUAAAUAUCAUGAAGGUUUUCUACUUGGUUAUGGAUCAAACUCUCACACUUACCAUGUCUACAACAAUUUCACCCAAAAGGUUGAAGAGACGAUAGAUGUGAAGUUUGAUGAAUCUAAUGGCUCGCAAGUAGAGCAAUUGCCAAUUGAUGUAGGAGACAAAGACCCUUCAGAAGCAAUCCAAGACUUGUCCAUUGGCAAAAUUCGUCCAACGGAGGUGAAGGAAAGUACUUCAUCCGUCCAAGUGGAAGCUUCUACUUCACGACAAGGUGAACUAAGAAUCGACAUGGAAGCAUCCACAAGUGGGACACACCAAGAUGAAGAAGACAAGGAAAUGCAUCAAGACGAACAUCAACAACCUCUUUCUUCACCAUGACAAGAGAACGACGACGUCAACAAUGAAGAAGGCCAAGAAGAAGAACAAGAUGAAGAAGAUGUUCAACGAAGACCCAAGCAAAAGCUCUCACGAGUUCGAGCAAGAAUUGCCAAAGAUCAUCCUAUCGAGCAAAUCCUCAAUGAUAUACAAACCGGGAGAAUCACUCGCUCAAAAACUCGUUUAGCUAACUUUUGUGAAAACUAUUCAUUCAUCUCUAGCAUUGAACCUAUGAAGGUUGAAGAAGCAUUGGAAGAUCCAGAUUGGAUAAAUGCUAUGCAUGAAGAGCUACACAAUUUUGAGAGAAACCAAGUUUGGAUAUUGGUUGAGAAGCCCGACAACAACCACAACAUCAUUGGUACCAAAUGGGUGUUUGGCAACAAGCAAGAUGAAGAUGGACAAGUGGUUCGCAACAAAGCACGUCUCGUCGCCCAAGGGUACACACAAGUCGAAGGUAUGGACUAUGGUGAUACAUAUGCUCCCGUUGCUAGACUUGAGUCCAUUCGCAUCUUACUUGCCUAUGCUAAUCACCAUAAUAUCACCUUGUACCAAAUGGACAUUAAAAGUGCUUUUCUAAAUGGUGAAAUAGAGGAGGAAGUUUAUGUCAAACAACCUCCCGGCUUUAUCAAUCCUAAGAAACCAAAUCAUGUUUACAAACUUCACAAAGCUCUUUAUGGUCUUAAACAAGCUCCUAGAGCAUGGUAUAAAUGCUUGACCAAGUUCCUUAUUACAAGUGGUUUUGAAAUUGGUAAAAUUGAUUCUACUCUUUUUACUAAAAGGGUUAAUGGAGAACUAUUUGUAUGCCAGAUUUAUGUCGAUGAUAUCAUAUUUGGUUCAACUAACCCUCUCUUCAGUGAAAAGUUUGGAAAGCUAAUGUCAGAGAAGUUUGAGAUGUCUAUGAUGAGUGAACUCAAAUUCUUUCUUGGUUUGCAAAUCAAGCAAACUAAGGAAGGUACAUUUGUCUUUCAAAUGAAGUACACCAAGGACUUAUUCAAGAAGUUCAAUAUGCAAGAAUGCAAAGGUAUGUCUACACCCAUGCCUACUAGUGGACAUAAUGAUUUAACCAAAGAUGGUGAACCGGUUGAUCAAAGGGUUUAUCGCUCUAUGAUUGGUUCAUUGUUAUACCUAUGUGCUUCACGUCCCGAUAUUAUGCUAAGUGUGUGCAUGUGUGCACGAUAUCAAGCUGCUCCUAAAGAAUGUCAUCUUAAGGCUAUGAAAAGGAUAGUGAGAUAUUUAAUCCAUACACCAAAUUUUGGCAUUUGGUAUCCUAAGAGGUCUUCUUUUGAUCUUGUUGGCUAUUCCGACUCGGAUUAUACCGGAGACAAGGUUGAUAGAAAGUCCACUUCGGGUACUUGUCAAUUUCUUGGUAGAUCUCUUGUGUCUUGGUCUUCCAAGAAACAAAACUCGGUAUCCUUAUCCACCGCCGAAGCGGAAUACAUUGCCGCUGGUUCAUGUUGUGCUCAAUUACUUUGAAAUGACCCAAACUCUUAAAGAUUAUGGGAUUUAUGUGAAACAUGUUCCACUACUUUGUGACAAUGAAAGUGCUAUCAAAAUUGGUCAUAAUCCUGUACAACAUUCUCGAACUAAGCAUAUUGAAGUUCGUCAUCAUUUCAUUCGAGAUCAUGUUGCUAAGGGUGACAUUGAUCUUAAGCAUGUUCACUCACAUCUUGAGCAAUCUCUACAUCAACAAGACUCUACACAAUGGUGGUUGAAGACAAGGAAGCACAAAACCAUUCAAACAUAUCCUUUGACAAAUUCUAUGUUGAGCUUCAUGAUUGUCAUUUUUGGAUACACAAGUGCUCUUCCUUGCAAGAACUAACCCAUGUAGGUAGAUGAACUCAAACUCCAAGUGGUGCUCCCAACUCUUUAUGAGCUACAUCAACCUUGAGCACCCACACAAGUUCAACUACAUGAGCAAGAACCACACCACCACCCAAGCUAUGUUAUUCCAUCUUAGAGAAGCUUUACUCCAAGACAUGAGUCAAAGCAACUCAACAAGAUGUGAAUACAUCAAGAUGCUUAAACGAAAAAUGGUAACCCCAUUUUGAGCUUAAAAUGAUGAGUAUGACCUAUGAUCAAGUGUUCUCACUUGACUCCUAAGUCAAUAUACUCUAACAUAGGUGACUAUGUCACCGCCCAACUCUAGAUGAAGUUCUCUUGUGUUCUUUUUGUGUGUAUCUCAUGCAUGUUUAGUUUCUUUCUCUUUUUCAAAAAAAACUCCAUCUAGAUUUUUCAGUCUCUUCUCUUUUCUUUCUAUUUAUGUUCUGCAUUUUCUGCAUUUAAUUCCUUGCAAAUCCUUCAGGUAAUUCAUUGCAAAUCUUUGUGAGAUCCUACAUGUCUAGUGAGCUGAAGUGACAAGUGUUUUCUCUGUGGAACUCGGUUUCACCGACUUGUAAUUUUCGGUCCAACCGAAUCUUUUUGGUGCCACCGAAACAUACCACUCGGUGCCACCGACUUCGCAACAGGAAAAACAGUUUGCCACUUGUUCUAUAUUUCUUCUGAUCCAGCUCUACUCAAUGAAUCUUGUCCUCUACAAGCAUCACAGUUUUAUCCAUUGCUUUGUGCUGAGUCUCCAGGACCAAACCUAUACGACGGAUUCCAGAAAGCCCUUCUUGGAAAUUGAUGUCAAAGGGGGAGAGAGAGAUCACAUCAAAGCUUGUAGGAGAGAGAGAUCCCAUCAAGGGAGAGAAAAAGUCUCAAGGACCAAACCUACAAGAGAGAAAGUAUUAAGGGGGAGAGAGAGACUUCCAGGGGGAGAGAAUACUCAAGGAUCCCAGUUGUCCCAGAUGCUUGAUGCUUGAUGUUCAAGAGGAGAGAUGUCACAUGUCUUUUUAGGGGGAAAGACAUAUUCAUUUGUAUCUUUCAGCUCUGAUUUGCUGUUCCUUAUCUUCUCCCAAUAUCCCAUGUAAGAUUCUGGGGGAGCAAGACACCUAAGGGAAAGAAAUCAGUCAAAUUCAUUGCAUAUCUUUAUUCUUGGGGACAUGUUGAAUCCAAUGUGGUACCUUGUACUCACUCUCUACAUGUCAUCCCAGUCUUGGUAUUCUUGUGGUUUCUUUUGUUUGCUUUGGCUAGUGGAUGUACCUAUGUUAUCUAACUUUGUUUGUGCAGGUUCAUUCCAUCCUAAGCCAACUCAAGACCACAAGGUAAGUAUAUGCAUCAAAAUCAUGUGUAUGAGGAGUUCUUGCUUAUGUACAUACUAUUUGCAAGAAGGACUCAUGAGCAUGAAGGUAUUUUCCUUGAUAAUCUUUUGCUCUGAAACAUAUGGCCAAGAUACAUGUAACACAUUGCCUACUCUAUCAUGGUUAUGCUCUCACAUGCCUCUAUAUUUCAUAUUUACAUGAGUGCAUACAUGUAGGGGGAGCCUAUGCUUGUUACAUGUCCUUCCAAAGCUUUACUUGAUGUUCUUUAUAUCUUUAUCUAAAGCUUUGAUGUAUGUUGCCAUCAAUUACCAAAAAGGGGGAGAUUGUGCACAAGUGCUCCCUAGGUGGUUUUGAUAAUUGAUGACAACAUAUCUCUAUUUGGACUAACAUUUCUAUCUAGCAUGUUUCAGAUAAGUUCAACAAUGGAGUGGCAUGGACUAAAGGUUGUGGGAACUCCUUCAAGAUGCUAAGGACAAAGGAUUGGCUAAAGCUUCAAGCUCAAGACUCUUCAUUUUACAUUUUAGUGAUCCAAGAUCACAUUGAGUCCAUAGGAAAAGCCAAUACUAUCAAGGAGGGAUGAGGUGUUGCUUAAUGAGCCUCUUGCUUCAUGUGCUUAAUGAUAUGCUCCAAAAUCCUCAGCUACUUUCCCACUUCCACAUAUGACCUAAACCCUAAGCCAAACUCGGUCCUACCGAUUCUUUCUAUCCGGCGCCACCGAGUUUCACCUGUCAUAAGCCACUGCCAAACCCUAGCAAUUCGGUUCUACCGAUAGGGAUCUCGGUCUCACCGAGAUGGGAUUGCAAACUCUCUGUUUCCCUUUCGUAACUUUUCGGUCUCACCGAAAGAGCGAAUCGGUCCCACCGAGAUUGCAAUGUAAACUCUAUGUUUCCCUUCUGUAACUUUUCGGUCUCACCGAAAGAGCAAAUCGGUCCCACCGAGUUUGCCUGACCAACUCUCUGGUUAGCUUAUUACCAAACUCGGUCUCACCGAGUUUAUGUAAUCGGUCUCACCGAGAUUACGUUAUGCCCAAACCCUAACCAUAUCGGUCCUACCGAGUUGCAUGUCAGUCCCACCGAAAAUCUCUAAUGGUCACUAGGUUUACCUUUUCGGUUCGACCGAGUUUAUUGAUUCGGUCCCACCGAGAUUGGAAAACUAUGUGUAACGGUUGGAUUUUGUGUGGAGGCUAUAUAUACCCCUCCACCUCCUCUUCAUUCAUGGAGAGAGCCAUCAGAACACAUACACAAUUCCAACUCAUAUGUUCUGAGAGAGAACCACCUACUCAUGUGUUGAGACCAAGAUAUUCCAUUCCUACCAUAUGAAUCUUGAUCUCUAGCCUUCCCCAAGUUGCUUUCCACUCAAAUCUUCUUUCCACAAAAUCCAAAUCCUAUGAGAGAGAGUUGAGUGUUGGGGAGACUAUCAUUUGAAGCACAAGAGCAAGGAGUUCAUCAUCAACACACCAUUUGUUACUUCUUGGAGAGUGGUGUCUCCUAGAUUGGCUAGGUGUCACUUGGGAGCCUCCGACAAGAUUGUGGAGUUGAACCAAGGAGUUUGUAAGGGCAAGGAGAUCGCCUACUUCGUGAAGAUCUACCGCUAGUGAGGCAAGUCCUUCGUGGGCGAUGGCCAUGGUGGGAUAGACAAGGUUGCUUCUUCGUGGACCCUUCGUGGGUGGUUGCUUCUUCGUGGACCCUUCGUGGGUGGAGCCGUCCGUGGACUCGCGCAACCUUUACCCUUCGUGGGUGGAGCCCUCCGUGGACUCGCGCAACCGUUACCCUUCAUGGGUUGAAGUCUCCAUCAACGUGGAUGUAGGAUAGCACCACCUAUCCGAACCACGGGAAAAACAUCCGUGUCUCCAAUUGUGUUUGAAUUCUCCAAACCCUUCCCCUUACAUUCUUGCAAGUUGCAUACUUUACAUUCCGCUGCUCAUAUACUCUUUGCAUGCUUGCUUGAUAUGCAUUGUGUAUGUUGAAAUUGUGCCUAAAACUCCACUCAAACCAAAAGGGCCUAAAAAUUGCAACUUUAGCACUAAGUGUCUAAUCACCCCCCCUCUAGAGACAUCUACUUCUAGAUCCUACAUCGUGAUACAUCAAGAUCGUGCCAAAUCAAGAACACGAGAGAUAGAGAUAAAACACAUAGCUACUGGUACAUACCCUCAGCCUCGAGGGAGAACUACUCCCUCCUCGUCAUGGAGAGCACUGGGAUGAUGAAGAUAGCCACCAGAGAGGGACUCCCCCUCCGAUAGGGUGCCAGAACGGGUCUAGAUUGGCUUUCAGUGGCUACGGAUGCUUCUGGCGGUGGAACUCCCGAUCUAUUGUGCUCCCGGAUGUUUUUAGGGUAUAUGGAGAUAUAUAGGCGGAAUAAGUACGUCAGGGGAGCCAUGAGGGGCACACGAGGGUGGAGGGCGCGCCCCCCUGCCUCGUGGCCUCCUCGUUGCUUCCCUUACGUGGAGUCCAAGUCUCUCGGUUUGCUUUCCUUCCAAAAAUAAGUUCCGUGAAGUUUCAGGUCAAUUGGACUCCGUUUGAUUUUCCUUUUCUGUGAUACUCUAAAACAAGGAAAAAACAGAAACUGCCACUGGGCUCUAGAUUAAUAGGUUAGUCCCAAAAAUAAUAUAAAAGUGUAUAAUAAAGCCAAUAAACAUCCAAAGUUGAUAAUAUAAUAGCAUGGAACAAUCAAAAAUUAUAGAUACGUUGGAGACGUAUCAAUGGUGCUCGUCGACUAUGGAGGCGCUUCGUAGCGCCCCCAUCAGGUCAUCUCGCGCUCCUGGAUGGACAAGAGCCACCGGUGGAGCCGACACACCCCCCUCCUUCAAAGGGGGCUGCUCGCCCGAUUCCGGAGCCAUAUUGGUCUCCGGAAUCGUAUUUGGCUGAGGGCCGAACUGGAUACGACCCUCUCCGCCAGUCUCCAUGGGGAUAGACUCCCCCGUGUGUCCGGCAGUGGAGGUCCCGCCUUGAGGAGCCUCCCGGACAACGUCCUGGGCUCCUCUCUUCGGCGCGGUCCUCCAGGAUAAGACUUCGGAGUCGUCCCUGGCCCCAGGGGAGUAAGUAGGUGGUGGCGACAUGCUCGCCAUCUCCGACGGAGCCAACGAACCUCCAGAUGAGGAUCUCUGGAUAAGGUCGCGGGCCGAACUACAAUAAUGUGUAUUAACCGUAUCAGAAUACUAAAAAAAGGGCUGCUAUGCGCAUGAGUAAGCCAUGUCACUUACGAUGCGGCCUGGGGCCUAGUACAGGGGUGACGUUCCGGACUACUAUCAGCGUCCCACGCGGUAUUGACCGCUCGAGUGCCCUUCCCCUUUUUGGGCGCUUUCACCUCCGGAUGUGCCGAGGCCACCCUAUUCUUCUUCUUCUCCUCAGGAGAAGGUUUGUUUCCCUCCUCCUCCUCUUCCUCGUCAUUGUCCUCAAGGACAGAGGAAUGGGACUCGUCGUCUGCGGACAUCACGUCCGAAGUGCCCUUGCGACGGGGGCCACUCUUGGCCCCCUUGGCCUUCUUCUUGGCUUUCUUCUUCGGCGCCGUAUAUGGCGCCGGCACCAGCAUCUUCGCCAAGCUCGGGAUGACUGGUUCUUCAGGCAACGGAGCCGGACACUGGAUUCGCUUCGCCCUCUCCGGCCAGUCCUAAGGGAGCAAUAUUAAAAUCUCAGACAUCAUCUCGUUGGCAGGGCAGUUACAAUUUUGACCGCGGUCCGAGUCCGUGGACGGUGGCUUCUCGUUGCCCUUCAAGAGCAACUUCCAGGCCUCUUCGUGAGAAGUAUCGAAGAGCCUUUUCAGGGUCUGGUGCUUCUUCAGAUUGAAUUCCCAUAAAGGGCGGCUGCGGCGCUGGCACGGAAUAAUCCGGCGGAUUAGCAUCACCUGGAUAACGUCACCAAGCUUGACGUCCUUGGUCACCAUGCUUUGUAAGCACAUCUGCAGCGCUAUCAGCUCGUCAGGUGCACACCAGUACGGACUCUUCUCGACCCAGGAGGUGAGUCGCAUGGGAGCGCUGGAGCGGAAUUUAACAGUUGGGGCACAGGCGGUGCCCGAGGUUCUGUAAUAUAGAACCACUGCUUCUGCCAUUCCUUUACUAUCUCGAUAAAGGUGCGUUUGGGCCAUGAGACGUUGGAUAGCUUGCUCACCAUGGCCCCUCCGUACUCUGUGUGCUGUUCCUCCACCACCUUCGGCUUCAUGUUGAAGACUUUGAGCCAGAGCCCUAAGUGGGGAUGGAUGCGGAGGAAGGCCUCGCACACAACGAUGAACGCCGAGAUGUUGAGGAAGGAAUUUGGGGACAGAUCAUGGAAAUCUAUCCCAUAGUAAUACAUCAGCCCGCGAACGAAAGGGUGGAGUGGAAACCCUAGCCCGCGGAAGAAAUAGGGGAUGAAUACCACCCUCUCUGUGGGCUUCGGUGUGAGGACAGCUUGUCCCUCGGCUGGCAGACGGUGGGCGAUCUCCUUCGCCAAAUAUCCAGCCACCCGGGGCUUAGUAAUGUCCGCCUCCUUGACGGAGGAGACCAUCCACUUGCCCUGACCACAAGAUCCGCACAUGGUUGCUUGAGUGGAAAGGAGAUGAGAGCUUGGGCGUUGGAGCUUGAGAUCGGAAAGGCGGAGGCAGAGAGAGAGCGUGAGGAGAGGAAGGGGGAAUCCUUAUCCCCUUAUAAAGGUAGUAAAUAUUAAACGCCUCCUCACUCGCCUUAGGAUUCGCCUGUUCCCUAGGACUGUAUAAAUGACACGGUUGAGUUACCCAUGUCCGCAUUGAUGAGAAUCCCACAAUAAGGGGACACGAUCUCUGUUUUUACAUGACAUGACAGUAGCAACCACGCCUCAUAUCGUGAAUUGGCUGAAGAAAAACGGUUCGAAAUUAUAACCGGACAUACAUGAUGUCGUGUUCGGAAAAAGUUGUCAAUAGAUUAGAUUCGAGCAAGUAUUAUAUUCUCUCUGCGGUUGUGUGCGUGACAGGUCCAGAUACCAUCAUUGCAUCCAAAGACUAUCUUGGAGUUCGGAGAAAGGGGAACCCUCCAUGCAAUUCCGAAGACAAUCUACAUGCCGGACUCCUCGUCAUUGAAGCCAGGUUCAGGGGCUAUUGAGGGAGUCCUGGACUAAGGGGUCCUCAAGCGUAUGUCCUGUUAUCUUUGGGCUGGACUGAUGGUCCAUGAAGACAUGAAGGUCGAAGACUGCACCGUGUCCGGAUUGGACUCUACUUGGCGUGGAAGGCAAGCUUGGUGACCGAAUAUUCCUUCUUAUGUAACCGACUCCAUGUAAACCCUAGAUCCCCUCAGUGUCUAUAUAAACCGAAGGGGAUAGUCCUGAAAGGACCCAAGAUAUAUUCAUUACCAUACCCACAUAGGCUAGACUUCUAGGGUUUUAGCCAUUAUGAUCUCAUGGUAGAUCCACUCUUGUACCACUCAUAUUCAUCAAUAUCAAUCAAGCAUGAUGUAGGGUUUUACCACCAUAGAGAGGUCCCAAACCUGGGUAAACAUUGUGUCCCACGUCUCCUGUUACCAUCGAUCCUAGAUGCAUAGUUCGGGGCCCCCUACCCGAGAUCCACUGGUUUUGACCCCGACAAUGCCCCGGAAGGCAUCCCCUCUUUAGUCUUCAUCUAUCGGUAGCUUUACUUGAGGCUCUAUUUUUAUUCACCACAUAAUAUGUGUUUUGCUUGGAGCAUCUUGUAUUAUUUGAGUCUUUGCUUUUUAGUUUACCACAAUCAUCCUUGUUGUACACACCUUUUGGCAGAGACACACAUGAAUCGGAAUUUAUUAGAAUACUCUAUGUGCUUCACUUAUAUCUUUUGAGCUAGAUAGUUUUGCUCUAGUGCUUCACUUAUAUGUUUUUAGAGCACGGUGGUGGUUCUAUUUUAUAGAAAUUAUUGAACUCUCAUUCUUCACUUAUAUUUUUUUGAGAGUCUUUUAGAACAGUAUGGUAAUUUGCAUUGGUUAUGAAAUUAGUCCUACUAUAAUAGACAUCAAGGAUGGGUAUAAUAAAAACUUUCAUAUAGAGUGCAUUAAAUGUUAUGAGAAGUUUGAUUCUUGAUAGUUGUUUUCUGAUAUAAAGGUGGUAAUAUUAGAGUUGUUCUAGUUGAGUAAUUAUGGAAUUGAGAAAUACUUGUGUUGAAGUUGGCAAGUCCCGUAGCAUGCAUGUAUGGUAAAAGUUGUGAGGCAAAUUUGAAGCAUGAGGUGUUCUUUGAGUGCUGUCCUUAUGAGUGGCUGUCGGGUACGAGCGAUGGUCUUUUCCUACCAAUCUAUCCAACUAGGAGCAUGCGCGUAGUGCUUGGUUUUGAUGAAUUGUAGAUUUUUGCAAUAAGUAUAUGAGUUCUUUAUGACUAAUGUUGAGUCCAUGUAUUAUACGCACUCUCACCCUUCCAUCAUUGCUAGCCUCUUUGGUACCCUGCAUUGCCGUUUCUCACCUCGAGAGUUGGUGCAAACUUCGCCGGUGCAUCCAAACCCCAUGAUAUGAUACACUCUAUCACACAUAAGCCUCCAUAUAUCUUCCUCAAAACAGCCACCAUACCUACCUAUUAUGGCAUUUCCAUAGCCAUUCCGAGAUAAAUUGCCAUGCAACUUUCCACCGUUCUGUUUGUUAUGACAUGCUCCAUCAUUGUCAUAUUGCCUUGCAUGAUCAUGUAGUUGACAUUGUAUUUGUGGCAAAGCCACCUUCAUAAUAGUUUCAUACAUGUCACUCUUGAUUCGUUAUCCCGGUAAAUCGCCAGAGGCAUUCACAUAGAGUCAUAUUUUUUCUAAGUAUCAAGUUGUAAAGUAAAUAAAAGUGUGAUGAUUUUCAUUAUUAGAGCAUUGUCCCAUGUGAGGAAAAGUUCUUUAAAAAGAGAAAUGCCAUCAAAAAAGAGAGGCCCAAAAAAUGAGAGAAAAGGAGAGAAGGGGCAAUGUUCCUUUUUCCACACAUGUGCUUCAAAGUAGCAACAUGAUCUUUAUGAUAUAGAGUCUCUUAUGUUGUCACUUUCAUAUACUAGUGGGAAUUUUUCAUUGUAGAACUUGUCUUGUAUAUUCCAACAAUGGGCUUCCUCAAAAUGCCCUAGGUCUUCGUGAGCAAGAAAGUUGGAUGCACACCCACUUAGGUACUUUUGUUGAGCUUCCAUAUAUUUAUAGCUCUAGUGGAUCUGUUGCAUGGCAAUCCCUACUCCUUGCAUUGACAUCAAUUGAUGGGCAUCUCCAUAGCCGUUGAUUAGCCGCGUCAAUGUGAGACUUUCUCCCUUUUUGUCUUCUAACACAACCUCCAUCAUCAUAUUCUAUUCCACCCAUAGUGCUAUAUCCAUGGCUCGCACUCAUAUAUUGCGUGAAAGUUGAAAGAGUUUGAAAAGACUAAAGCAUGAAACAAUUGCUUGGCUUGUCAUUGGGGUUGUGCAUGAUGGGAGCAUUUUGUGUGACAAAAAUGAAGCAUGGCCAAACUAUAUGAUUUUGUAGGGAUAAGUUUUCUUUGGCUAUGUUAUUUUGAUACGACAUGAUUGCUUGGUUAGCAUUGCUUGAAGUAUUAUUAUUUUUAUGUCAAUAUUAAACUUCUGUCUAAAAUCUUCGGAUCUAAGCAUUCAUGCCGCAAUAAACAGAAAUACAUUGAAAAUUAUGUUAAGUAGCAUUCCACAUCAAAAAUUCUAUUUUUAUCAUUUACCUACUCGAGGACGAGCAGGAAUUAAGCUUGGAGAUGCUUGAUGCGUCUCCAACGUAUCUAUAUUUUUUGAUUGUUCCAUGCUAUUAUAUUAUCUGUUUUGGAUGUUUAUGGGUUUUAUUAUGCACUUUUAUAUUAUUUUUGGGACUAACCUAUUAACCGAAGGCCUAGUGCAAAUUGCUGUUUUUUUGCCUAUUUCAGUGUUUCGCAGAAAAGGAAUAUCAAACGGAGUCCAAACGGAAUGAAACCUUCAUGAGGAUCUUUUUUUGGGAACGAACACAAUCUAGGGGACUUGGAGUGGAUGUCAAGGAAGCAGCGAGGCGGCCAUGAGGUAGGGCAGUGCACCCAGGGGGGCCAGGCACACGCCCCACCCUUGUUGGCCCCUCGCAGCUCCACCGACCUACUUCUUUCGCCUAUAUAUACUCUUAUACCCUGAAAAGAUCCAGGGGAGCCACGAAACCACUUUUCCACCGCGCAACCUUCUGUACCUGUGAUAUCCCAUCUGGGGACCUUUUCCGACGAUCUGCCGAAGGGGGAUUCGAUCACGGAGGGCUUCUGCAUCAACAUCAUAGCCUCUCCGAUGAUGUGUGAGUAGUUUACCAUAGACCUUCGGGUCCAUAGUUAUUAGCUAGAUGGCUUCUUCUCUCUCUUUGGAUCUCAAUACAAAGUUCUCGAUGUUCUUGGAGAUCUAUUCGAUGUAAUUCUUUUUGCGGUGUGUUUGCUGAGAUUUGAUGAAUUGUUGGUUUAUGAUUAAGAUUAUCUAUGAACAAUAUUUGAUUCUUCUAUGAAUUCUUAUAUGCAUGAUUCGAUAUGUUUGCAAGUCUCUUCGAAUUAUCUGUUUGGUUUGGCCUACUAGAUUGAUCUUUCUUGCAAUGGGAGAAGUGCUUAGCUUUGGGUUCAAUCUUGCGGUGUCCUUUCCCAGUGACAACAGGGGCAGAAGGCACGUAUUGUAUUGUUGCCAUCGAGGAUAAAAAGAUGGGGUUUAUAUCAUAUUGCUUGAGUUUAUCCCUCUACAUCAUGUAUCUUGCCUAGUGCGUUACUCUGUUCUAUUGAACUUAAUACUCUAGAUGCAUGCUGGAUAGCGGUCUAUGUGUGGAGUAAUAGUAAUAGAUGCAGAAUCAUUUCGAUCUACUUGACACGGUCGUGAUGCCUAUGUUCAUGAUCAUGCCUGGAUAUAAUCAUAACUAUGCGCUUUUCUAUCAAUUGCUGGGCAGUAAUUUGUUCACCCACCGUAAUAUAUGCUAUCUUGAGAGAAGCCACUAGUGAAAACAAUGGCCCCCGGGUCUACUUUACAUCAUAUUAUUUUCCUGUCAACUAGCUAUUUAUUUCACCAUUUAUUUUGCAAUAUUUACUUUUCAAUCUAUACAACAAAAAUACCAAAAAUAUUUAUCUUAUUAUCUCUAUCAGAUCUCACUUUUGUAAGUGACCGUGAAGGGAUUGACAACCCCUUUAUCGCGUUGGUUGCGAGGUUCUUGUUUGUUUGUGCAGGUACUAGGUGACUUGCAUUUAGUGUCCUACUAGAUUGAUACCUUGGUUCUCAAAAACUGAGGGAAACACAUAUGCUACUUUGCUGCAUCACCCUUUCCUCUUCAAGGGAAAACCAACACAUGCUCAAGAGGUAGCAGAGGCCGACGCGGUGAUACGUCUCCAACGUAUCUAUAAUUUUUGAUUUCUCCAUGCUAUAUUAUCUACUGUUUUGGACUAUAUUGGGCUUUAUUUUCCACUUUUAUAUUAUUUCUGGGACUAACCUAUUAACUAGAGGCCCAUCCCAGAAUUGCUGUUUUUUUGCCUAUUUCAGUGUUUCGAAGAAACGGAAUAUCAAACGGAGUUCAAACGGAAUAAAAUCUUCGGGAACGUGAUUUUCUCAGCGAACGUGAUCCAGGAGACUUGGACCCUGCUCCAAGAAACAAAAGAGGCGGUCACGAGGGUGGGGGCACCCCCCUAGGGCGCCCCCUGCCUCGUGGGCCCCUCGUUGCUCCUCUGGCAUACUUCUUCCUCCUAUAUAUACACACGUACCCCCAAACGAUCAGAACAGGAGCCAAAAACCUAAUUCCACCGUCGCAACUUUCUGUAUCCACGAGAUCCCAUCUUGGGGCCUGUUCCGGAGCUCUGCCGGAAGAGGGCCGUCAUCACGGAGGGCUUCUACAUCAUCAUAGCCUCUCCGAUGAAGUGUGAGUAGUUUACCUCAGACCUUCGGGUCCAUAGUUAGUAGCUAGAUGGCUUCUUCUCUCUCUUUGAAUCUCAAUAUAAAGUUCUCCCCCUCUCUCAUGGAGAUCUAUUCGAUGUAAUCUUCUUUUUGCGGUGUGUUUAUUGAGACCGAUGAAUUGUCAGUUUAUGACCAAUUCUAUCUAUGAAUAAUAUUUGAAUCUUCUCUGAAUUCUUUUAUGUAUGAUUGGUUAUCUUUGCAAGUCUCUUCGAAUUAUCCGUUUGGUUUGGCCAACUAGAUUGGUAGUUCUUGCCAUGGGAGAAGUGCUUAGCUUUGGGUUCGAUCUUGCGGUGUCCUUACCCAGUGAUAGAAGGGGCAGCAAGGCACGUAUUGUAUCAUUGCCAUCGAGGAUAACAAGAUGGGGUUUAUUUCAUAUUGCAUGAAUUUAUCUCUCUACAUCAUGUCAUCUUGCUUAAGGCGUUACUCUAUUUUUAACUUAAUACUCUAGAUGCAUGCUGGAUAGCGGUCGAUGAGUGGAAUAAUAGUAGUAGAUGCAGAAUCGUUUCGAUCUACUUGUCACGGACAUGAUGCCUAUAUACAUGAUCAUGCCUAGAUAUUCUCAUAAUUAUGCACAAUUCUAUCAAUUGCUCAACAGUAAUUUGUUCACCCACCAUAGAAUACUUAUGCUCUUGAGAGAAGCCACUAGUGAAACCUAUGGCCCCCGGGUCUAUUCUCAUCAUAUCAAUCUCCAUCACUUUUAUAUUGUUUUGCUAUUUACUUUGCCUUUAAUUUUUUACUUUGCAUCUUUAUGAUAAAAAUACCAAAAAUUUCUAUCUAUCAGAUCUCACUCUCGUAAGUGACCGUGAAGGGCUUGACAACCCCUAAUCACGUUGGUUGCGAGUAGCUAUCGCUUUGUGCAGGUACGAGGGACUUGAGUGUGGGCUCCUACUUGAUUGAUACCUUGGUUUUCAAAAACUGAGGGAAAUACUUACGCUACUCUGCUACAUCAUCCCUUCCUCUUCGGGGAAAACCAACGCAAGCUCAAGAUGUAGCACGCAGCCGCGGAGGAGAAAGAGCUCGCCUAGUGUGCGGAGUAUGCCGGGGAAGCAAAUGGUGCCGGCGCCGGGCCCCCCCUUAAUGAAGAUGCGGGCGACGAUUCGCCCGAAGAGGAAGCCGAGGCGGGCGACCCUCCAUCCGCGGGGAGGAAACGCGUCCUGCGGCGGGCCAACUCCGGUGAGCCGGUCCGGCCUGGCAGAGCCGUGCAGCGGCCACCGGCUCAGGAGCAGCCCGUGCGUGAGACGAGGGCGAUGAAGGGUGCGACAAUGAAGAAGGCGGUGAAGGCCGUGGUGGCGAAGAAGACACGACUUCCUCCUCCUCGUCCAAGCGGCGCCGGACCGCAUCUCCUUCUCCCCCUCCCUCGAACAGCACCCUAGAGGUCGAAUUCGACCUUGGAUCUUUUAGCCAGAAGAGGAAGAGGAAGCCAGUGGAGGACGAGUAAGUAUUUCACCCCCAUCAUCUCCUGACCUUAUGCCCGUGUUAUCCUCUUUUGAUAUGAUGUUAUCUUCAUAGGGACACGAAGAUGCUGGCCCAGAGGGUGGCGAAGAGGGCCAGGGCCUCGACGGGCGACAAGCCUCCGGCGGGUAUUUCGCGUACGCCGGUGUUGUUGGAGAGCAGCCCGAACAACAGCCCCCGAUGCAGCCCUCGCUUCAGCCCCCAGUGUGAGUUCAUCACUCACUUCUUCACUAAUGAGCAUUCGGGUGUAAAUUCUUGAUGCUGACCUUGCUGGGUUUGCAGGAAAAGAACGGCAACAGGAGGAGCCGCUGAGGGCCACUCCCAACACGCCGCCCCCCUAGACUACACCGCCCAAAGGGGCGUCCCCGGCAAGGGCAUCCACCCUCGAGCCCACGCGUAUGGAGGAGGAGGCGAGCACGGGUGCCGGUGGCUCUGCCCCGGCAAUGAAUGUUGCCGGGGAGGGCGCCACUUCUUCCCAGCCUGGUGCGAGUAAGUUGUUUGCCUCCCGUCCCUAUUCUUUCUUCUUCUUUUUGAACCUUGAUCUUGGCUCCGUCUCAUUCCCUUUCUCGGUAUCCAGACCCUCCCUCGGUGGACCGGGAGGAUAUUGACACCAUCAUCGGGGAUGUCGCUAAGGACACCGAGGCUGAGGCCAACAAGAUUGCCGCCGAGGAGGCCGCCAAGACCGCCGCUGAGGAGGCCGCCAAGGGGCCUGCCGGGGAGGCCGGCAAGUCCGCUGCCGAGGAGGCCGGCAAGGGGUCCUGCCGGGGAGAAUAACAAGGCCGCUGCCAAGGAGGCCGGCAAGGUGCCUGUCGGAGAGGGGGUGGUUGAUGACCAACCUUCCUCCUCUGCCGCCCCUGGGCCGGGCAAGUACUUGAAGGUGGGCGACGACCUGUUCGUCCACCUCCUAGGGACGGCGAGCACCAGGGUGCCAACCGAAGGGGAGGUGUAUGACGACGAGGCGCUUGCCUCUGCUAGGCUCCAGGUUGUUGAUGAACCGAGCGCCGGCGGUGGCGGUUCCCAAGAGGAGCAGCUCCUUUGAGCCAUGGGCGCCAACUUCCAGAGGCUCUAGGCACUCCACCGGGCCCGCCAAGACAAGGUAAAAUCCAGGAUGGUAGCGGUGGACAAGGCAGAGGCUGCUUUUGAGGAGUGCGUCGCUGAGACGCAGGUCAGGUUCGGCAAGGCUAGGGAUGAACUGAGGGCCACAGGCGGGAGCUCAUCCUGAAGCAGGCCGGUACCUAAAAGGCCCAGGAGGUGGCGAAGAAUGAGGCCGUUGCGGACGAAGCUGCCCGGCAACAGCAGCAGGCCCUGCUGAACUCGUAGGAGGAGGACCUUGCCGCUCGUGAGAAGGCGCUCGCCGCCACGUUCCGCGGCAAGGACGAGGAGGUCGAGAAGCUCGUCAUGCAGCGGACCCUGGAGCUGGAGCAGAGGCACAAAGAGGCACUCAAUGCUCAGGCCCUAGUCCAUGCCGACAAGGUGAAGGAUGUCACAUCCCUAGUUCUGGUAUGACCUAGACCAGCUAGUCAAUUGUGCAUCAUGUUCAAAUUCCAUUUAAAUUUGAAAUGGGGAUUUUUGAAACCCUCAGAAUCAUUUCUGGAAAUAACCCAGAUAAAAAUUGCUCCAAAAAGGUCCAAGAAAAUGUUCAUGUUGCUCUCUGAAAAUAUUGGUCAGAGGUAAAACUCAAACCAAUAUUUUUAGGAACUCAUAAAUAUUUAUUUUGGCCAUUUGGAAUCAAUGCAAUAAUUAUUUGCAUUGGAUAUAUAUAUAUGAUAUAUUUAUUUAUAUAUGUCCAACAAUUCUGAUUUUUAUGUGAGGGGCUCUGGAAUACUUCAACUAGCUCCUACAAUAAAUUUCAGAAGAAAAUAAAUUGAUUUAGUAUUUUUUUAAUCAAAACAAAUGUCAGAAAAUAGAAAAGAAAAGAAAUGGAAAACCCUACCUGGUCCUUACCUGCGGCCAGCUCCUAUGCUGGCCCAGCAUUGUGCGGCCUGGCCCGGCCCAACUGGCCAAGCCAGUCAUCCUCCUCCUUGCCAGGAGGAGGCGAAGAAGGGCACGGCGAGCGCGCGCAUGCACGCCACGCUCCUGCCUGCCUGCCCCCCUUCCCCUCGGUGCUAUCCACCCCAGAGAGCUCCACCGAGCCCCCUGGCCUCUCCUCACUCUCUCCCAAGCUCUCUCCUCUCCUCUGCUCGUCUUCUCUCCCGCGCCCGAACGCCACCGCAGCACGUCGCCGUGAGCCACCGCGACCAUCGCCACCGCCCCGUCCCUUGCUGCUGUCCAGGAGCACCGCCGCCCUCGACUACGCCUCCUCGUCGAGCUGGACGACGCCAGGAGCACUGCAGCGUCGCCACCGCCGUCAUCCCCUUCGUCGGAGCCACGAAUCGCCGCCGCUAAAUUCGUCGCCGACUAGUCCUCUUCGAGCUCACCGACGACGCCUUCGAGUUCACUAUGAGCUCCCCUUCCUCCUCCCCCUAGCCCUGUAGCUCGAGCGCCCCCCUAGCCCUGUCGGCCACCUUGGCCGAGAGCUCGGCUCCGCCAUUCAUGUCGCCGCCGUGGCCACAGCUGCCACAGCUCGCAACCGAGCUCACCGCCGUUCUCAUUGCCCUCCCGCGCGUCGUUUGCACCCAACUGCAGCCCCCUAGUGCUCCGCAGCACCUAACCCGCACGCACCCGACUCCGGCCGCCGCCGUGAGCUCUGCUCCGGCGAGCUCUGCUCCGGCGAGCUCCGCCAUUCCCGCGGCCUCCCCUGAGUGCGGCUGGAUGCGCCCGUGCACGGGCUACCCGCCGGUGGCCUCCGUGUGCCAAACCAUGGCCUCCAGCUUGUUCCGGCGAACUUCCUCCAUGGCUCGAGGUCGUCGCCGGUGAAACUCCGGCGGCUGACGUGGCGCAUGAUUAGCUGCUAACCAUGCCACUUAAUCCACCCCUAAGCCACUGACUUUGGGCCCCAAGGCUCGGUCAAACCCUAGUUAGCUGGGUUUGACUCGGCUUUAGCCCCGGUGUCACUGACGUGUGGCCCCCACAUGUUAGGUUUGACCUGGUCAGCCCUGCUGACGCCUCUGUGACGUCAUGCUAACGCAAUAAUGAUUUUUUUCUGGAUUUUAAAUAAUUCAGAGAAUUCCAGAAAUUGAUAUAAACUUCAAAAAUUCAUAUAAAUUCAACCGUAGCUCAGAUUGAAAUAAUUUAUAUAUGAAAAAUUAUCAGAAAAAUUCAAUCUAUCCAUCUGUACCUAUUUCAUGCAUGUCUAACCAACUUAUACUUGCUAUAUAGGUGAAAACAUAUAAAUGGCAUUUAUAAAGAUUUAAUUUAGAGUUUCAUUUGAACCUUUGGUUUAAAUGGACAUCUUCCAAAUAGAAUGCUAAAUGCAUUAGCUCAAAGCACAUCACAUACUCAUGCCAUGAUCAUGCAUCAUAUUGUUGCAUAUGCUUGUUUUUGAUUAUCGACACCGUUCCUUCUCAAUAGGUCCUGCUCCAGAGACCCUUCCAGAGUACCUGUCUGAGGAGCAGUGCCUUCCUUGUUGAUCUACCAGGCAAGCAAACCCCCUUGUUCAUUCCGAUACAAUCCUACUCUUUCGCUCCUGCUCUCAUUUAUUGCAUUAGGACAACAAAGAUUCAACUGCUACUUUAUGUUGCGGUAGUUGAACCCAUUCCUCUGCAUGACCUGUCGCUGCCACAGUAAAUAGUUAAAACCCACUAGCAUGUGUAGGAGUUGAUUAAGCCAUGUUGUGUUCUUGCCAUGCCAUGCCUGCUAUUGCUUAGAGUUGUGUCAGGUCUGAUUCAUCGGGAAUGAAUUGGAGUGGUACAAUAUGUUCUGGUGCUGAGAGUUAAGCGUGUGAACACGAUUUGGUAAAGGUAGCGGUGAGAGGCCAUGUAGGAGUACAUGGUGGGUUGUCUCAUUGGAACCAUCCUUAAGCACUGAGUUCCGUGUAUGUUGUCCAAUGACUAGCUACUACCACACAUUGGAAUGCUUAAGUGCCCCUCUCGACUUAUUAGCCAACUUGAUCUCUGUCCAGGAGUCGCAAAUAGUUUCUGGUGUUUGUAGGUAGUGUUAGUAGUCUACCAAGUGGCACCCGGCCAGCUAGGCUUGGGACAGACUAGGCACAAGUGGCACGGUGUACCAAGCAUAGAUCCAUCCGACGAGGUUGGCUUGGGAACCCUGCACAUAUCGUUUGGGGCCGUGAGCGACACCCCGGCCGGAUCUCCUUGCGGAUGGAACCCGAAUAGGCGAUAAACCUGGAGUAGAGUCUUGUGUGGUUAGUCAGGUCGUGGCCGACACCCUCGCCAGGCUUCCGCUUGAAGGUUGCCGAGAUACAUGACGUGUACAUGGUGAUAAGUGGUGAGAGCGUGUGUGAAGAAGUACACCCCUGCAGGGUUAUCAUGAUCUAUUCGAAUAGCCGUGUCCUCGGUUAUGGACUUCUUGGAUGCUUACGUGGUACAUAGACAACUUAAAGUGGAUACCCUAAAAUGCUCAUGACAAGUGUGAGUGCUAUGGAUGGCCUUCUCGUAAGGAGACGAGGAUGAAUCCAUAGUAGUGUCUUUGAUGUGGUGUUUAGUGGACUCGUGUGCGCUGCCUCACCUCAAAGAAGUUUCUCGUUAUCGUAGAACAGGAUAGCAACUCAGUCAAAGCUGGCUUGCUGCAACUAAACCCCACAUUACCUUCUUGAUACAAAUGCAUGUAUGAUAGGAUCUGAUGUAAGUCUUGCUGAGUACCUUUGUACUCACGUUUUCUUUAUUUAUGUUUUGUAGGUGAGACAUCUGUCUCACUAGUAGUACCGCUUGGACUUCGACGAGUAGCUUGUUACCUCAGCUACGAUCUUGUACCCUUGGGAGGGUAUUGUAGAUAGUCAGGCUUCUCAGUUUUUUUUUCUUUUAUAGUUGUCUGUACUCAGACAUGUAAUGCUUCCGUUGCUUGUGUGCUUUGAAUGAUGGGUCAUGUGACCCUGUUUGUAUUAAUGCUAUGUGGCUCUUUUGGGCCUUUAGCUAUUUGAGUUGCGUUAUGUUGUGAUGCCAUGUUGUACAUCACAUACUUGCAUGUUAUGCAUACGUGUGACGUGUAUUGCUAUGUGUGGGAUCCGACAAUCUAGUUGUUUAUCCUUGGCAGCCUCUCUUAUGGGGAAAUUUAGUUAUUGCUUCUUUGAGCCAUAGUAGUCCGCUACAGCCCGGUUCACCGGAGUCCCGCUAGCCCAGCACUACUGCUCAGGACACUUGACUGGCCGGCAUGUGUUUCACUUUGUUCCUGUGUCUGUCCCUUCGGGGAAAUGUCACGCAGUGACAUCCGGAGUCCUGCCUAGCCUGCUAUAGCCCGGGUUCCCCAGAGUCCUGUUAGCCCAGUGCUACAGCCUGGAUUCACACGCUGCUGACCGACAUGCUCAAUGUGAAUCAUGUAUGCCUGUCCCCAUAGGUUAGUGCCGCUUUGGGUUCACGACUAGGCAUGUCGGCCCGGGUGCUCUGUCAUAUGGAUGGUAGCAACACAAUCAUAUACGUGAUCCAAAAGGCGCAAACGGUCCCGGGCCAGGGUAAGGAGACACCCGUGGGAAUACCGUGCGUGAGGCCGUAAAGUGAUAUGAGGUGUUACCAGCUAGAUCGAUGUGACUUGGGAUCGGGGUCCCGACAAAGGAGCUGGAGCUGGAGUGGGAGGAGCUGAAGAAGGUGGCCUCAAAGCUGACGAAGGAGAGGGAAACGGCCAACCGCACUCUUGUGGAUGCGCAUGUCGCCAUCUCCGACAAGAACAAGCUGCUCACCGAGGCCAAGACUCCAUCAAUGACCUGAAGUUGAAGUUGAACGGCUUGGAGGGGAAGCUUUUGGAGGCCGGGACUCGUGAAGAGACCCCAAACAAGGUCCUGGAGGACGAGAGGCAGCUCCGGAGGAAUGGUGCCAACGAGCACAAGGAGUAGGCGGAGGGCGUAAACCUCUGGAUCAGCCGCCUCGUCGACGUCGAUGGCAGGAUCACCACGAAGGUUAGGUACUCCCAGGAGCCGAACGUGAUCCCCAACACCAGGCUGACCCUGUUCUUCAAGGGCGUCCUCGAAGCCUUGGAGUGACUCCGCUCCAAUCAAGAAGCCUAUCUGGGCAAUGAGUCCCGGAGGCUCUGCCGGGGCGCCCUGACGAAGGUACUCACCAAGGUGGCAUUCUAGAACCCCGGUGUCUACUUCGCCAAUGCGCUGCAGAGCUUGCCGAAAGGGACGAACCUCACGACGCUCAGGGAGAGUAUCGAGCCCAUCAUCACCUGCGUCGAUGGAGUCGAGAGAGUGGAGGGCCAGCGCCGGGACUAGCCACCCCGUUUCUCGUUGCGCUGCGGAUUCAUGACCAAGACGAUUUUUAUCUUAAGUCAGAACCGCAGCAAUUAUUGAUGUAAUAUAACUUCGCAGUACUGUAAGCUGAAACAUGCUAUCUUCAUGUAUCGAUCCUUAUUUGUACAUAUACACCUUGUGCCCAGUAGGAUAGGUUCUCUUGCACGUAAACCCAUGCUAUGGUGCUUUGAGGACGAAUCCUUAGGAGCCUGCCGAGGCGUGCUUGCUGUCGGACAAAUCACCUUGCCGCUCUCAGUGUGGCCGCUUGAACUGUUGAGCAGACUCGAAACAGAACAAGGACAUUGCUAAUAGCGGGCAGGUCACCUCGCCUUUCUCAGCGCAGCCGCUCGAACUGUUGAGCGGACUCAAAACAGAAUGAGGGUGUUGCCAAUAGAGGAAGGGUCCCAUUGCGUGCAGGUUUUCCGUACAAAGAGCAAGAUCCUUCAAGGAGAAUAACCGUAUAUUAAGAAGAAAUGCUCAAGGUUGUGCCUGACUUAGCCUUUUACGACCACACGGACAGUCGCUGCGGCUGCGGACGGCACCAGAGUGCGGUUGAUUGACAUCGCCUUCUCCUCUUGUGCCAUCGCGACGAGGGAAUUGAUAAGUUGACUCCAAAACCGGAUUUUCACAGCUUGCGCCCCCUACCUGGCGCGCCAAAGAUGUCGGGGUGAACGACACCUAUGGGAUGACCGGGAAUCCCUUCUAAGGUCGGCGGGCGCGACACUACUAGGGAAAACCUUAUACACAGAACAUUAGCAGUAACGCGGGCUAAAAACGCACAUUGGUGCUAAGUAGCAGCAGUGCAGUGUUUUAAACCGCGCUACAGAGACAGUUAUAGCAGUAGCGCACCCGAGUACAAAAGCGCUACUACUAAAAUUCCCACGGCUUAGCCGAUAGGCUACACAUAGUAGUAGCGAUCUAUGUAGAACCGCGCUACCGCUACUUGUUUUGUAGCAACGCAUUUAUGAACAAAGGUGCUACUGCUAACGAAAAUAAAAUUAAAUGGAAAGAAAAUAAAAGAGAAGGAAUAGCAGUAGCGCUUGUUAAGAAAAACGCUAUAGCUACCGUAGCAGAAGCGCACUUCCACUAGUAGAAAACAGGGCUUUGGUCCAGGUCGGGUCUGCCCAUUAGUCCCAGUUCAGUCCAGAACCGGGACCAAUGUGGGCAUUGGUCCCGGUUCGUGAGCCCAGGGGGCCGGCCGGGCCACGUGGGCCAUUGGUCCUGGUUCAUCUGGACCUUUUGGUCCCAGUUGGUGGGAUGAACCAGGACCAAUGGGCCUCGCUCCUGGCCCACCACCAUUGGUCCCAGUUGGUGGCUUGAACCGGGACCGAAGGCUCCCCUUUAGUCCUGGCUCAUGUCACCAACCGGGACCAAUGAGGUGCCUAUAUAUACCCCUCGCUCGUGAGCAGAGCACCCCGGUGCUCUGUUUUUCUCUGGCCGACGGGAGAGGGCUUGGUGGUGCUCUAGCUCACCUCCUAUGCACACAAGGUGUUCGAUGGAAUGCCCGAGCCACACAACUUAAGCUUUCUCCUCUCCAAGCUCGACCUCCAAGCUCCAUUUUCCAUAAUAUUUGUCUAGGUUUAGCGGUCCGUCACGCCCCGUCCCCGUCUUCACCGCCGUCGAUCACCCGCGCUGAGCUCAUCGCCGGCACCACCGUGGUGAGCCUCUUGUUCUUAUCUUCUUUCUGAAAGGAAAAAUAUUCUUACUUGUAUGUUUACAUAGAUACUUGUAUUAUUUUCUUACUUUAUUAUUGCAUCUUAUAUAGUGCGAUGGUUUUGGUAUCCGCCACCGUCGGCCCUCGUCCUGUCUAUGAUUCAGAUGUGGUAUAUAUAUUAUCUUUAUAACUAUUGGUUCAUUUAUUGUUUAUGAAAAUUAUGCCGACCAAUGUGACAUAGAUUUUAUUUAUGUAGGAUUUAUGUGAAUCGGAAAUGCCAACCGACCCUAUUGUCGAGAAGUUAAAUUUAGUUGAAGAAGAAAACAAUUUGUUGAAGGAAAAAAUAAAAAAAAUUGAGGAGGAGAAGAUGAUAUUGGAGUUGCAUGUUGCGGAUGUCGUCGAUGAUCACAAGAUCAAGAUGGAUGCAAUGCGCUUGAACAUUAGAAAGAUUAGAAAAUAUGCCAUUCAUACCGAGGCUUGGUAUCAUUAUGCCGUUGGAUCAAUUGUUACCUUGGUUGCGAUUAUGAUCACAUUUGUUUUCGCAUUGAAAUGUUUUACAUAGUUUCAAUGUAUGGUUUAAUCAAUUAGAUGCUCUGGAGAGCUAUAUGUUGUUAGAUGAGAACUAUGUAUGCACUCUGGUUUUAAUGUGAUGAUGAACUUCUAUUAAUUUGGACACUUAAUUAUAUAUAAUUCACGCAGAUGAACCGGCAAUGGAUGUACGGUGACAGACACACCCGCGAGUACAUUAAGGGCGUGCAUGAGUUUCUCGAUGCGGCUGAGGCAAACAAGCAUAAUGGUUUUAUGUGUUGUCCAUGCACUCAAUGUGGGAAUACGAGGUCUUACUCUAACCGGAAAAUCCUUCACUCCCACCUGCUUUACAAGGGUUUCAUGCCACACUAUAAUGUUUGGAUGAGGCACAGAGAAAUAGGGGUUAUGAUGGAAGACGGCGAAGAAGAAGAGUACGAUGACAACUAUGUGCCCCCUGAAUACGGUGAUGCUGCAACGGGGGGAGUUGGUGAAGAUCAAGAGGAACCAGACGAUGUGCCCAAUGAUGCUGCAACGGGUGAAGCUGCUGAAGAUCAAGAGGAACCAGACGAUGUGCCCGAUGAUGAUGAUCUCCGCCGGGUCAUUGUCGAUGCAAGGACGCAAUGCGAAAGUCAAAAGGAGAAGCUGAAGUUCGAUCGCAUGUUAGAGGAUCACAAAAAAGGGUUAUACCCCAAUUGCGAAGAUGGCAACACAAAGCUCGGUACCGUACUGGAAUUGCUGCAGCGGAAGGCAGAGAAUGCUGUGCCUGAAAAAGGAUUUGAGAAGCUACUGAAAAUAUUGAAGAAGAAGCUUCCAAAGGAUAACGAAUUGUCCGACAUACAUACGCAGCAAACAAGGUCGUAUGCCCUCUAGGAUUGGAGGUGGAGAAGAUACAUGAAUGCCCUAAUGACUGCAUCCUCUACCGCGGUGCAUACAAGGAUCUGAACGCAUGCCCGGUAUGCGGUGCAUUGCGGUAUAAGAUCAGACGAGAUGACCCUGGUGAUGUUGACGGAGAGCCCCUCAGGAAGAGGGUUCCUGCGAAGGUGAUGUGGUAUACUCCUAUAAUACCAUGGUUGAAACGUCUGUUCAGAAACGAAGAGCAUGCCAAGUUGAUGCGAUGGCACAGUGAGAACCAAAAGAAAGAUGGGAAGUUGAGAGCACCCGCUGACGGGUCGCAGUGGAGAAAAAUCGAGAGAAAGUACUGGGAUGAGUUUGCAAAGGACCCAAGGAAUGUAUGGUUUGCUUUAAGCGCGGAUGGCAUUAAUCCUUUCGGGGAGCAGAGUAGCAAUCACAGCACCUGGCCCGUGACUCUAUGUAUGUAUAACCUUCCUCCUUGGAUGUGCAUGAAGCGGAAGUUCAUUAUGAUGCCAGUUCUCAUCCAAGGCCCUAAGCAACCCAGCAACGAAAUUGAUGUGUACCUAAGGCCAUUAGUUGAAGAACUUUUACAGCUGUGGAAUGGAAACAGUGUACGCACGUGGGAUGAGCACAGACAGGAGGAAUUUAACCUUAAGGCGUUGCUGUUCGUGACCAUCAACGAGUAGCCCACUCUUUGUAACCUUUCAGGACAGACAAACAAAGGAUACCACGCAUGCACGCACUGUUUAGAUGACACUGAAAGUAUAUACCUGGACAAAUGCAGGAAGAAUGUGUACCUGGGUCAUCGUCGAUUUCUUCCGACCAACCAUCAAUGUCGAAAGAAAGGCAAGCAUUUCAAAGGCGAGGCAGCUCACCGGAAGAAGCCGCCAUGCGCACCGGUGAUCACGUGCUUGCUAUGGUCAAUGAUUUACACUACGUAAUCUUUGGAAAGGGUCCCGGUGGACUAGCUGUUCCGAAUGACGCUGAGGGACACACACCCAUGUGGAAGAAGAAAUCUAUAUCUUGGGACCUACCCUACUAGAAAGACCUAGAGGUUCGCUCCUCAAUCGACGUGAUGCACGUGACGAAGAACAUUUGCGUGAACCUGCUUGGCUUCUUGGGCGUGUAUGGGAAGACAAAAGAUACACCUGAGGCACGGGAGGACUUGCAACUUUUGCACGAAAAAGACGGCAUGCCUCUGAAGCAGUAUAAAGGUCCUGCCAGCUACGCUCUUACGAAAGAAGAGAAAGAAAUCUUCUUUGAAUGCCUGCUUAGUAUGAAGGUCACGAGUGGCUUCUCGUCGAAUAUAAAGGGAAUAAUAAAUAUGCCAGAGAAAAAAAUUUAGAACCUAAAGUCUCAUGACUGCCACGUGAUUAUGACGCAACUUCUUCCGGUUGCAUUGAGGGGGCUUCUACCGAAAAACGUCCGAUUAGCCAUUGUGAAGCUAUGUGCAUUCCUCAAUGCAAUCUCAGAAGGUGAUCGAUCCAGAAAUCGUACCAAGGCUAAGGAGUGAUGUGGCGCAAUGUCUUGUCAGUUUCGAGCUGGUGUUCCCACCAUCCUUCUUCAAUAUCAUGACACAUGUCCUAGUUCAUCUAGUCGACGAGAUUGUCAUCCCGGGGCCCGUAUUUCUACACAAUAUGUUCCCCUUUGAGAGGUUCAUGGGAGUCCUAAAGAAAUAUGUCCGUAACUGUGCUAGGCCAGAAGGAAGCAUCUCCAUGGGCCAUCAAACAGAGGAUGUUAUCAGGUUUGGUGUUGACUUCAUUCCUGGCCUUAAGAAGAUAGGUCUCCCUAAAUCGUGGUAUGAGGGGAGACUGACUGGAAAAGGCACUCUUGGAAGAGACUCAAUAAUAUGCAGGGACGGAUAUUCUUGGUCUCAAGCAAACUACACAGUUCUACAGAACUCUACCUUGGUGACCCCGUAUGUCGAUGAACACAAGAACAGUCUGCGCUCCAAACACCCGGAGUAGUGCGACGACUGGAUUACAUGUGAACACAUCAGGACUUUCAGCAGUUGGUUGGAAACACGUCUCAGAGGUGACACCACUGUUUGUGAUGAGUUGUACUUGUUGUCCAGGGGACCAUCUUUGACUGUAUUGACUUACAAAGGAUAGGAGAUAAAUUGGAAUACAUUUUAAACGAUCGCCCAAGAUCAAAAGAGCACCAACCAAAACAGCGGUGUCCGCUUUGAUGCAGCAACCGAGAGUGGAAAGGACACAUAUUAUGGUUACAUAGUGGACAUAUGGGAACUUGACUACGGACCUGAUUUUAAGGUCCCUUUGUUUAAGUGCAAAUGGGUCAAUCUGUUAGGCGGCGGGGUACAGGUAGACCCACAGUACGGAAUGACAACAGUGGGUCUGAAAAAUCUUGGGUACACUGACGAACUGUUCAUCCUAGCCAAUGAUGUGGCACAGGUUAUCUAUGUGAAGGACAUGUCUACCAAACCGAGAGAAAGAAAAGAUAAGGAAGCGAAUACAUCAUACGAUGAGCCAAAGCGCCACAUAGUUCUUUUAGGAAAAAGGGACAUCCUGGGAGUGGACGGCAAGACAGACAUGUCUGAAGAUUAUGAAAAGUUUCAUGAAAUUCCUCCCUUCAAUGUCAAGGCUGACCCAAGCAUCCUGAUAAACAAUGAAGAUUAUCCAUGGUUACGGCGCAAUAAGCAAAUGACACAAGCGAAGAAAAAGUGAAGACUUUCUCCCACAACUAUUAUGAUGAUACCAUGCCAACUUUGUAAUACACGAACAUGCUACCAUUGUCCGUUUUGUACAUGCACAUGCUAUGUGGGUGAAAUUAUGAUACCAUCCCAACUUUCAACUUUUUCAGAGUUCAUUUGAAAUGCUUUCAUGUCUUAUGGUUCGUCCCUCGUAAUACCAUGACCAUUAGUCCCUGGCCCAUGCCAACUUUCAACUUUCUAAAACUAAUGGCACUAACAGAAAGUUUAUAAUUUUGCUCCUCGCCCCUGGCCCAUGACCAUUAGUCCCGGAUUGUGCCACAAACCGGGAAUAAAGGGUUGGUCCUCGUUGCGGGCAGAGUUUAGUCCCACCUCGCCAACCGAAGGGGUCUCACACCGGUUUAUAAGCCCUUCCCUCUCUGCCUUGUUGAGCUCCUCUCGAAGUGAAAAUAGAUGCCCCAAUAGAGAAAAGUUUAACCUAAAUUCAUAGUGAAUUUCUCUGAAAUUCAUAGAAAUUUACUAGGAAUUUAGGUUGAAUUUUCUCUAUAAGCGCAUCUAUUCGCAUUUUUAGUAAGUUAAUCACAAACUUGUGAUUCAAACAAUUUUCAAAGAAUUCAAAUUUUAACUAUUCAAAUUUGAAAACUAAUGGCACUAACAGAAAGUUUAUAAUUUUUCUAAAACUAAUGGCACUAACAGAAAGUUUAUAAUUUUGCUAACCUAAAAGCAAACAGAAUUAAAAAUUAAAGCAAAAAACAAAAGAAAAUAAAUAAUGCAAAAAACAAAUCAAAAAAAGGAAAAAACUAUUUUUAUAGUAAAGUUAAUCACAAAAUAAAAUAAAUAAAGCAACAAAGAAAACAAAAAAUCUAAAAAAGUGUUUUCAAAUUUGAAAACUAAUGGCAUUAACAAAAAGUUUAUAAUUUUUCUAAAACUAAAAGCAUAAAGAAUUAAAAAAUAAAGCAAAAAACAAAAGAAAAUAAAUAAAGCAACAAAAAAACAAAAAAAUGCCACCUACUAGGCCACCACGGCCUGAAUACGACUAGAAACCCUACCAUGGGCCAGGAUUCAGGCCCGCAGUAGGCCCAGUAGGCCCACAGGCAUUGUAGUGACAGAUUAGGCCCGAAAACCUGAAGUUGAGAGGAGCUCGGGAGGGUGGGCGCAGCAGCGCUUAUAAACCACUCCCGAGCCGUCUCAACUAGCAAGGUGGGACUAAACUUUUGGGUGCGGGGCAGCACAAGGCCAUUGGUCCCGGUUGGUGGCACCAACCGGGCCUAAAGGGGGCAUUGGUCACGUUCGUGGCACCAACCGUGACCAAUGCCCCCCUUUAGUCCCGGUUGGUGCCACCAACCGGGACCAAAGGCCGCCGCUUCCCGCCCUUUGGGCUGGCGAAAUCAGGCCUUUGGUCCUGGUUGGUGGCAUCAACCGGGACUAAAGGUGGCAUUGGUCCCGGUUGAUGCCACGAACCGGGACCAAUACUCGGUGUAUAUAAGCAGGACUUAAGAAAUUUUCAGUUUCUCAUCGACCAUUUGCCCCCGACGCCGCCAGGCUGCCCGUGCUCGCCGUCGCCCCGCGCCCCUGCUCCGUNNNNNNNNNNNNNNNNNNNNNNNNNNNNNNNNNNNNNNNNNNNNNNNNNNNNNNNNNNNNNNNNNNNNNNNNNNNNNNNNNNNNNNNNNNNNNNNNNNNNNNNNNNNNNNNNNNNNNNNNNNNNNNNNNNNNNNNNNNNNNNNCGCCGCAUCCCGCCCUUUGGGCUGCGGAAAAGAGGCCUUUGGUCCCGGUUGCUGGCACCAACCGGGACUAAAGGGGGAAUUAGUCCCGGUUUAUGCCACCAACCGGGACUAAAGCUUGGACUAUAUAACAAACACUUGUGAAAAUUUUUAGUUUGCAUCGCCAGUUCCCCCCUCCCCCGCCGACGACGCCGUCAGGCUGCUCCACCUCGCCGUCUACCCCGCCGCCGCCAACGUCGUCGCCUCCACGAGCCCGCACCGUCCUCAUCGCCGGCAUCCCCGAGCCCGCCGUCCUCAUCGUCCCCGUCGCCGCGUGCCUCCUCGAGCCCACCCCUCCUCGUCCCUGUCGCCGGCCACUCGCCGUCCCCGUCACCGCGUGCUGUCCCGAGCCCGCCGUCCUCGUCGCCGAACUCCUGCCAUCGCCGCCCCCUCGAAGUGAGCCCCCCUUUCCCAUGGUCCUGAUCGAGUGCAGCCCUUGCUCUCUGCCCCUGCUCCAUGGUCGCCGCCGGCCUGACACAUUGAAGAGCAGAAGGAGAGGAGAAGGAGUGGAGCAGCAACAAACUUUUCUAAAAUUUCUGAAUUUUUUUUACAGAUAUGAACAGUGCAUAUAGAGGGUGUUUGAUCAAAUGCUAGAUGGCUUUGGGCAUUUUUAGGAUUUAUGAUAUUUUUUGUGGUGAGGUACUGAUGCAGGACAAAGGUGAUGGAAAAAUUUCAGAAUUUUUUGAUUGGUUUAGAAUAGGUUUUCAGCAAGGAAUUUGAAUCUGGUUCAAAUUUCAUUUCAAUGAAAUUUAAAAAAUUAAACUAUGGAUCAUAAGGUUUUUGGUGAAAUCGAGUGUGGGUACUGUCAUUAAGUUGGAGUAAUUUUUGUGGUUGUAGAAGAGUUAGGAAAAUUUAGAAUGUGCUAAAUAUGUCAAAAAUGUUUUUUUGUUCAUAGAAAGUUUUUUGUUCAUAGGCAGAAAGUUUUUAUAUAUGACUAUGGAUAUAUGAGCAAUGAUGAUCCAUGGAUGUAUGCAUUAAUAUAUAUGAGAAACGAUGUUUCAUAGAAUAUUUACCAAGUAUAUAUAUGUAUUUUUGUUCAUAGCAUGUUUUUCCAUUUAUAUAUGUAUGUGGCUAUAGAUGGAUAUAUAUGAGAGGUUUCCUAGUGUCAAAGUAUUGAAGAAAUCCAUGGCUUCAUCAUUAGCCGAAAGUAACCAGGGCAUGAUGAAGUCCUCCAAAGUUAUUUUGGAAUGGUGUCCCGGAUAGGAUAAUUUGCCUUUUUGUAUGAAUUUCAGCAAAGGCCUUCCAAAUAACGAUAUUUGGAAGGUUCUUGCUGAACUUUGUACCAAAAAGCGAAUUAUCUUAUCUGGGACUCUAUUUGAAAAUAACUUUGGAGAGCUUCGUACCAUCAUGCACCUGUUACUUUCGCCUAAUGAUGAUGACAUGGUUUUGUUGAAUCCUUUGACACUAGGCAACCUCCCGACCCCUCGGCGAUCCUCUCGAACAUGAGAGGAAGAAGAGGAUCGCCGAGGGGUCGAGGGUUCCAGGGUCGUCGAGGGUUCGAGGGGUCGAGGAUCGCCGAGGGGUUGAGAGAGGUUUCCUAGUGUCAAAGUAUUGAAGAAAUCCAUGGCUUCAUCAUUAGCCGGAAGUAACCACGGCAUGACGAAGUCCUCCAAAGUUAUUUUGGAAUGGUGUCCCAGAUAGGAUAAUUUGCCUUUUUGUAUGAAUUUCAGUAAAGGCGUUCCAAAUAAUGAUAUUUGGAAGGUUCUUGCUGAACUUUGUACCAAAAAGCGAAUUAUCUUAUCUGGGACUCCGUUCCAAAAUAACUUUGGAGAGCUUCGUACCAUCAUGCACUUGUUACUUUCGCCUAAUGAUGAAGACAUGGUUUUGUUGAAUCCUUUGACACUAGGCAACCUCCCGACCCCUCGGCGAUCCUAUCGAACAUGAGAGGAAGAAGAGGAUCACUGAGGGGUCAAGGGUUCCAGGGUGGUCGAGGGUUCGAGGGGUCGAGGAUCGCCGAGGGGUCGAGAGAGGUUUCCUAGUGUCAAAGUAUUGAAGAAAUCCAUGGCUUCAUCAUUAGCCGGAAGUAACCAGGGCAUGACGAAGUCCUCCAAAGUUAUUUUGGAAUGGUGUCCCGGAUAGGAUAAUUUUCCUUUUUGUAUGAAUUUCAGCAAAGGCCUUCCAAAUAACGAUAUUUGGAAGGUUCUUGCUGAACUUUGUACCAAAAAGCGAAUUAUCCUAUCUAGGACUCCGUUCCAAAAUAACUUUGGAGAGCUUCGUACCAUCAUGCACCUGUUACUUUCGCCUAAUGAUGAAGACAUGGUUUUGUUGAAUCCUUUGACACUAGGCAACCUCCCGACCACUCGGCGAUCCUCUUGAACAUGAGAGGAAGAAGAGGAUAAAAAAAGAAGAGGAAGAAGAAAAAAAGAGGAGAAGAAAGAAUAGGGGAGUUCUUCUCUUCUAUUCUUUCUUCUCCUCUUUUUUUUUCUUCCUCUUUUUUUAUCGGAAACGAGGGUCGUCGAGGGACAUAGAUGUAGUGUCGUCAUUGUCGAUAUACCCCCUCCCGAUAGCUUCAACACGUGGGGGGGGGGGGUCGAUAUUACCCCCUCCUUGAAGCGUUCUCGAGGCCACCCCAAACCCUUGAAGCGUUGUCGAGGCCACCCCAAACCCUAGAGAAGCAGCAUCGAGGCCACUAAUUAAUAUAUAUGAUUCAUUACUAUGAUUAGGUAGCUAGUUCUACGUUUGCCACUAAUAUAUCCAUCUGUCAUGUUUGAAUAAUAAUUGCCAUGUUGUAAAAUUUUGUAGAAACUAUGGACACCGUCCGAGACGAAGCAAAAGAAGCGUUGUUGAGGGACAUAAUCGCAGAAGGAAGUGAUGUCGUCUCGUAGUUUCUCAACGACAUUGAUGGUCUGGAAGGAGAGGGUGAAGAAGCUGGCUACAGUGACCUAAUGCCGGUGCAAGAAGAAGAACAUGAGGAUGGCUCCGGUGACCCAAUGCCGGUGCAAGAAGGAGACCGUGAUGACGGCUCCGGUGAUCGAACCGAGUCCGGCCAGGUAUAUAUAUUAGUUAAGCCUGUGCUGACUAGCUAAUUGAUGCAUUGAUUGUUUUGGUAUGUACACAUAUUAAUUAAGUCUUUGUUCUUUUUUCUAGCCCUCCGGAUCGAGCACAACUUCGGUAAAGAGACGAGGCCCGAAGAAAAAGUUGAGCUCGGAUGAAAGGUUUGAGAUCAUAGCAAUCGCGCCCGACGGCCAACCGAUUGAACCCAUCCGGACAAAGAACGCAUUUGUUGCUCAGUGUGGGGUUCUGGUUAGGGACAAGAUCCCGAUCGGCAUCCAGCAAUGGUUUAAGCCGGCUACAGAAGACCCUGAGGUGUCUUAUGUCAAUGAUAUGCAGAAAAAUGAUCUUUGGACUAAGCUGAAGUCAAAUUUCACCCUACCGCGAGAGGAUAAUCCAGAGAAGCCAGUUAAAGAGCAAUUAAUCAAGUCUUUUGCUCUUAAGAGGAUGGCAGAACUAUUCAGGAGGUGGAAAAAGAGCUGAAUAAGUUUGUCGAAAAUAAUGAGACACCAGAAUUCAAGGGCAGAUAAGAGAGGAUCAGAGAUCACUGGCCCGCAUUUCUCGCCCACAAGACAUCGGAAAAGAGUAAGAAGAUGUCGGCGACAAACAAGCAAAAUGCUGCAAAGAAGAAGCAUCACCAUCACACGGGGUCAGUUGGCUACCUCGUAGCCCGGCCUAAGUGGGCCAAGACUGAGAAUGAUCUGGUUGAUAAAGGGAUCGAACCAGAGAUAAUUAACUAGCCAGACCGUGGCCGGACUUGGUUCUUUGGGGCUGGCGGAACCUUGGACCCUGUAACAGGGAUGUGCAUUUGGACGAACGAUCAAAUGGACAUACCAGUCAGGAAGCUUAAGCAGUAUAUCGAAGCAGCGCAGCAAGGGACGUUCUUUCCAGACAGAGAGAAUGACGAGCUCACAAUGGCCCUCGGGAAUCCUGAUCACCCUGGACGGACACGAGGCACGCCAGGCUCCAUUCCGUGGAAGGUUGGGUUUCCGGACGCAGGCGGUUACAAAUCCCAUGAGAGGAGGAAAAAAGUGCAGCAGACCCAAAUGCAGGCGCUGCAAGCAAGGGUAGACGUGAUAGAGGAACGAGAAGCAAAUCGCAGCAAACGUACUGCCGAAGCUUCCUCCGAAGCUACCCCGCCAUCUCAGCGGAGAACCAGCGUGGCUUCCACCAAGCUGCUUCAGUCGGAGCAUGCCUUGACGGCUCCUGCCAGCUAUCUCGUGGAUGCUAUCACGGAGUCUCAAAAUUGCCACCUUAUGAUGCAAUGGAUGAAUUUGAAGGUCAAGGCGGCUGUUGGCUCUGUUUAUCCUACUGAAACCGGCGCAACUUUUCACUGUCGGCCGAUUCCAGAAGGAUAUGCUAGGGUGAUGGUGGAUGAAAUAACGGAGGGAUUUGAGGACCUCCAGCUUGACCACCCUACCGGUGAAGGGGAGACUAGGCUGGGGUCUGCUCUGAAGACUCCAUGCCUAUGGCGGAAGGAGCUCAUCAACCUUCCGAACUGGACGCCUCUGCCUCCUCCUCCUCCUCCGGCAAGUUAGGGCACGCCGCCUCCUCCACCGCCUCCUCCUUUGGCGAUUCAGGGCACUCCGCCUCCUCCACCGCCUCCUCCUCCGGCGAGUGACGAUCAGAGCACUCGACCGGCUCCUUCUCCAGUGCGUGGCGGCACUCCGCCUCCUUCUCCGCCAGCGCCGACGUGCCUGAGAAGCCAGCCUCCUUCUUCUCCGCCUCAUCAGCAAGGGCGGAAGAGACCUGCCGCCGCUCCGGCUGCUCCGGCACGUCGUAGUCCUUCUCCUCUGCCUCGUAAGCAAGUAAAGAAGACAACCGCUACGUCUGCUCGGUCGGUGUCUAGCAGUACAACCAGAGGCGGGAGGACAUACAGAUUCGGUCCUUCUCUGAAGACUCCAGAGAAGUUACCAUACGAGAGGACCCCGGAGGAGAACGCCGAGAUCGCACGAACCGAAGUGGAUGACUAGUUUCAAGGGUUGAAAGCAAAGAGACAUCCACUUCUGGAGGAGAAGGUAGAUCCGGUGAAAGCGAAGCGCACUCUGGCUGCCCUGACAAAACCACCGAAGUCUCCACCGAAAGGAAACUAUGAGCGCAUUAUUGUAAAGGAAUUUGCCGAAGCAGAGCGGUCGGGAAGUACUGUCAGUGAUCAAAUGCUGAAAGAACAACGAUCUGGGAAACAAAUUGCCCAGCUCGGCGAACAAGCGAAGCAAUCGUGCCUCCCGCUCAAGGUGCCUAGCCACAACGUCGCUAAUGAUCCGAGGAUGGUGCCCGGUUAUAGCAAUCUUGCAGAUUACCUGCCCGACGAUGUACAUUAUGAACCCAUGUACGUGCAGAUACAAAGAUACGAGUACGGGAAGCCUCUCGUCAAAGAUGAAAGAUCUCUAUAAACGAUGAUGUGAAGAUUGCAUGAUUGGUACUUGAAAAUCUGCAGAGACUCUGGGGGGAGGAGUACUUUGUAUGUGAAAGUUAAAAAGGAGUAUGACCUCAUUGGAAUUGAACUGUUGCCUGUUCCAUUUGAGGAGUUCUAUUAGUUUUUCAAUCAAUUGGCCCUCGAUAAAACAAUGGUCGCCUUCUACUGUCUGUAAGUAGUACUACUUUUGUCAUUAAGUCUCUCUAUAUAGCUCAACUCUUUCAUUGCAUGUAUUUAUAAUCAUCCUCACUAUAUUAUGCAGAUUGAAGAUCGCCGAAUUGAAGAAAAGACAAGUCGGUGAUAUUGGGUUCUUAACACAUAUCUCAUAGAUGCAACUCAGGUUAAAUUUCAUGCCGCGGCUACCGAGGCCAACUUGCUACGAUCGUUCGUAAUAAAUGAAAACAAAGAUAUAAUACUCUUUCCUUACAACUUCAAGUGAGUGUUACUGUCUUGUGCGUAUUCGAUUUCCCUUAUAUAUUAGUCAAGGUUAUAGUAAUGUAAUUGAUGAGUUAUGCAUGCGUGUGCAGUUUCCACUAUAUUCUCAUAGAGAUUAAGCUUGAGCAAGGACUAGUAACCGUCUUAGACUCAAGACGAAAAGAUCCCCAGGAAUAUGCAGACAUGACUCAAAUACUCGAGAAGUAAGUUAAAUCGAUCAUUAUCCACCAUAUCAGCAACUUUGUUCAUUUCCUGAUAUAUCAAGUAAUUGUUUUCUUUGUCCGGCAGGGUUUGGAGAAAAUUCACCAGAAAAGCUCCGGGACUGCCGAAGGAGCUGCAAUUUAGACACCCGAAAGUAAGUACUAUAGUAGCAUGUUCCGCGCAUCUACUAGUCAUUCAAGCGCUUGUUUCAUCAAUACCAUUUGGCAUUCUUGCUUAUCAGUUUGAUUGACCUCUAUUUCUUGAAAAGUGGUUGUGGCAGGAACAAGGGAAUGAUUUUUGUGGAUACUACGUUUGCGAGUCCAUCCGCCACACGACCUGUGAGCGGGGCUACACUGACGAACAAUAUGAAGUACGUAAAUAACAACAUUCACAAUUUUAUUUUAUUACCAUCAUUUGUGUUGAGUUUCAUUCAUUCAUAUAUAUAUAUAUGUAUUGACCCCCUUCUUUAAAUUAGAUGUUUCGGAAGCGGGAUGAACUCCUAGCACCAACUCGCAUGCGAGCAAUUCAAGAGGAAUUGGCGGCAUUCUUUCUUGACCACGUGAUCCCUGAAGAUGGAGAAUUCUAUGUGGACCCUGAGUCCGUAUGAUUAUAUUUGUAAGAGACAAUUAUUGUAUAUAUGUAGCCGGUAGUGUCGGAUAGAUAUACGAGAACUUGUUGUUAGACCAAUCUCUCAGAGAAGGAGAGGUGGUCGAUAUCACUUCUCUCUGUAUGCAUAUAUGUUCAUGAUGAUCUUCUGUUUCCUUCGUUUGCUUACUAGCUAGCUAGCGUGUCUAGUCCUCUCUAUACGUAUGUAUAGUACGUAGCAUCGACCAAGCACGCACAUAAGAGAGGAAACUUCUCUCUAUUAAUUAUAGCUAGCUAACACAAUAUAUGAAACACCUAAAUUAACCCCCCAAAACCNNNNNNNNNNNNNNNNNNNNNNNNNNNNNNNNNNNNNNNNNNNNNNNNNNNNNNNNNNNNNNNNNNNNNNNNNNNNNNNNNNNNNNNNNNNNNNNNNNNNNNNNNNNNNNNNNNNNNNNNNNNNNNNNNNNNNNNNNNNNNNNNNNNNNNNNNNNNNNNNNNNNNNNNNNNNNNNNNNNNNNNNNNNNNNNNNNNNNNNNNNNNNNNNNNNNNNNNNNNNNNNNNNNNNNNNNNNNNNNNNNNNNNNNNNNNNNNNNNNNNNNNNNNNNNNNNNNNNNNNNNNNNNNNNNNNNNNNNNNNNNNNNNNNNNNAUGCCUAUUGGUCCUGGUUGGUGCCACCAACUGGGACCAAAGGGUCUCCUGCCUAGGCUCCGCGCACUGCCCACGUGGAGGCCCAUCUGUCCCAGUUCUGGAUUGAACCAGGACUAAAGGGACAGGGCAUUAGUACCGACCCUUUAGUCCCGGUUCCAGAACCGGGACAAAAGGCCCUUACGAACCGGGACAACAGGCCCUUUUUCUACCAGUGUUCCUGGAAUGCGCUACUGCUACUUUUAACUUAAUCGCGCAGUUCGUAUUCUUCGGCUACUAGGACAUCAGUCCAUCUGUCGUCGAGCAGAUCUUGGUCAGCUUGAAGCUGCAGCUGCUUCUUUUCAGGCUCUUUGAAGUGGCUAUUAGCCGGCGCUUGAAGAGCUCCUGCUCCUAAGGUUCUUCAAGCACGAUAAAGUCCUCGUUGUCGAGACUCACUUCAUCCUCAGAGAGUUGAAGAUAAUUAUUGUGCUCCGAGUCGUUGUUUAUGGCCUGUUUGUUGGGGCUAACUUGCCCGUUUUCUCGAUCGUCCUGUUCGGCAGUUCUUUCGUCGGGAUCUUCUCUGACUUCAGGACCAUCCGGACUGUUGUCCUCUCCUCUGUCCGUAUCGCCAUUUAUUCCAUGACACGACUUAGAGCGGCGCCGCUGACGCCGGUGUUUUGGUUGUAUCACAGGAGGUUUGUCCUCAACUGGAUCUGCUUUCUCGUUGUCGUUAGUUCUCUUAGGUGUACCCACCAUGUAUACGUCGCAGGAAGAGGUGGUUGUCCAGCAUUUGGUAAAUGGCGGGUCUUGGCCCAGUUCCUUAUUGGCAUCGUCGUCCAUACCAUCGAUGUCUUCGGAGCCAUAGUCGAGCGAGCCAGUUAAGUUUUCGACAAUGUGUAUGAAGUGGGCAGUGGGUGGGACGCAAAAUUUUCUGUUAUCAAUCUCUAGCUUGAACCGGAUAGAGUUCUGCUGUGAGCCCCCCGCUAAGGAUAGUGCUCUUACCAAGUUUAGCACGUCGCCCAGAGGUGAAUGCCAGAAGAUAUUCGCGGUGCUGAAUUCGGUGAUCGAUGACCGAUCGUGCUCGAUGUGCGCAGACAUGCAUAGUUCGGAACCUAUAGCCGGAGGCGGGUCCAUACUUCCGGUGGCAUAGAUGUCACUUGAAGUUAAGUCUAUGUGCGGUUCCAAUGCUGCUAAGAUCGCGGAUUUUGUGGUGAGGUUGAGCUUCCCGUCUUCGGAUGGCGCGAUCUGCUCCAGAUCUAUGGCUGGAGCAGCUAUAGGUACUACCUCCUACAUAUGGACAGGUGACAGAUUUAAGUCAUGUUCAUCGUGGUGGCACAGAGGGGUUGCCGUGGUCGUGAAUUCUUCGAAGAUCAAGUCUCCACGGAUAUCUACGACGUAGUUCAAGUUUCCAAAUCUGACCCAGUGGCCAGGGGCGUAGCUUUCGAUCUGCUCCAGAUGGCCAAGCGAGUUGGCCCGCAGUGUGAAGCCGUCGAACAUGAAGAUCUCUCCGGGUAGGAAGACUUCCCCUUGGACAACAUCGUUGUAGAUGAUUUAAGGAGCCAUCAAACCUUUUGAGGAUGGCACAGUGGAACUCUCAAUGAAAGAUACAAUGCCGGUGUCAAAACCGGCGGAUCUCGGGUAGGGGGUCCAAAACUAUGCGUCUAGGAUUGAUCGUAACAGGAGACGAGGGACACAAUGUUUACGCAGGUUCGGGCCCUCUCUAUGGAGGUAAUACCCUAAUUCCUGCUUCAUUGAUCUUGAUGAAUAUGAGUAUUACAAGAGUUGAUCUACCACGAGAUCGUAAUUGCUAAACCCUACAAGUCUAGUCUGGCUAAUAUUAUUCUGGGCAUCUACGGACCUAGCCUUCCAGUUUAUAUAGACACGGGAGGUAUCUAGGGUUACACAAGGUCGGUUACAAAGAAAGGAAUCUUCAUAGUCGACGCCAAGCUUGCCUUCCACGCCAAGGAGAGUCCCAUCCGGACACGGGUAGAGUCUUCGGUCUUCUCAUAUCUUCACGGCCCAACAGUCCGACUCAUAUCUAUAGGUCGGACGCCCAAGGACUCCUUGGUCCAGGACUCCCUCAGUGGUGACGGCGCGCGGCGGUGGCGGCACGAGCUGGCGCGAACGGUGGUGGCGUGGGCUGGCCGCAGCGAUGCGGCGGCUGCGGAAGGCGGCGGCGCAGGCGGCUCGAGCGCCGACACGAGGCGCAGCCCGGUUCAGCCCGGGGCCGGGCCAGCGAUGGGCCCCACAGGCCCAUGCGAUGGAGACGGUGGUGGGGUGACGUGGCGCCUUCCGAUUCAUCGAGGGCGGCGGCGCUGGACGCGUCCAGCGCAGACGGAUGUGUCCGGCGGCGUGGAGGGAAGAUGGAGGCUCGGGUUUGGACUGCGAAUUUGGACGGGGUGGACCUAUAUAUAGGUAGAGGGAGCUAGGAGAGGCCAAAUGAGGUGCGGUUUUCGCCCACACGAUCGUGAUCCAACGACAGAGAGCAUGGAGGGGGUUUAGAUGGGCUAGUGGGCUGUUAUGAAGGGGUGCUGGGCUGCAAAAAGAAGGAGGGCUUUCGGUUAACGCGAUUGAUCGUUGGGGCAUCAAACGACCUCCAAAUGGAACGAAAUUUAACAGACGGUCUACCGGUGAUAUACAAAGGCCACUCGACAAAUAUCGGCACAUGCCUGGAAUGUUUUUAUCCCUCUCACGAAACGAGAACUGGAAGGUGCAACGGGUGCAUGUGAGAGUGUCGGAUGUUGAAACGGACAAUGGAGAAAGUGACCAGAUGCAUUCUUUGAAAAAUAUGAUGAUGCAAUGCACAUGGUGACAUGGCAAAAUUCAACACGCAAGCAAAUGUCAUGGCAACAACGAUGAAUAAUUGGAAGACACCGGGCGCAUCGGACUCGGAGCGUUACAAACAGAUACAUAAAAUCAUGAGAGAGAUACUUUCCUUUUCUCUAGAGGGCUAAAAAUGAAAUUAUGAGGAAUUAUAAGAAAUGCAACCGAGGAAGUAUUCACCAACUGUCAGGUAGUUCAAAGAACACCAGAUGUAAAAUUAACAUGCAGGUCCAUAGACCACUUAGCGACGACUAUAAGCACUAGAGCUAGCCAAAAGGUGCGCCGUCUUCAUCGCCCAUCCUUCGUCGGAGAAGGGCAAACAUUGUUGUGGUAGAUAGCCAAGAACAAAAAUAUGCUGCAGCUUGUUAGUUUCCAGCUGAAUAUGUUUGAUGGACCAUUGGUAUGCGCUUAUUUUGUGUGCAAGAACAAUGAAUCUAUUUGGUCCCAAUAGCCAAUAAGCCAUAAUAUGUUUUCCAGCUAUCCUAACUCUUGGUAUCAAAGAUGAUUGUUUGCUACAGAAUUAUUCAAGUCCAUACGUCAAGGUCUACAGAAGGUAUGGUUAAGUUUAAAAUAUUCUACACUUUUUGGUGUGUAGUUCCAGAUUUAGAGGAAAAAUAUUCUAGUUGAAAUCAUAGUAUUAAUUAUACUUCAGUGGUAGAUUUAAUUUUAAUUUUGCCCGAAAAUCGUCCCAAUACGGUGAGUGCAAUGCACGUGUAUGUGAGCAUCUAUGUUAAAAAAAGGCCAUGAUACAGGUUCAAGUACAAAGAGUAGGAAAAUAAAAAAGUGGGAUUUAAAUUAUUCUAGCGAGAAAAACAAUUCAUAAUGCUCCCAAGUAAAUCUUUAUUUCCAAACAUUAUUCUUGGUCAUUUUCUUGCUACAAUUAUCUAAUGCAUUCGCAGUGACCAUCACGGCAGGUCCCACCUCCGUAACCAUCUCUGUUGCAGAUAUCAUUACAAAAUGAAGGAUUCGUACAUGGAGUGUAGGGUUCACGGUGCCCCUCGACGCCAAUGUUAG